GAAUCUAAUUUUUCCAACAGCUAAUAUAUAUAUAUAUAUAUAUAUAUAAGCAACAGGCUAGGCAAUGGCUGCAGACCUGGUUUCCGCUACUUUUUCCAGCAUUGUAACAGAAGAUGCAAAGGCAUUGUUCGAACCGAUUAUGCGGCAGAUCUCUUAUGUGUUCAAGUACCAGAGCUACAUAGAUGAGCUAAAAGAUCAAGUGAAGGGGUUGGAAGGUAUAAACGAAAUGGUGCAACAACAUGUUAAUCAUGCUACUCGACAAGGGGAAGAGAUUUAUCAGGUUGUCAAAGACUGGCGAAAUAGGGUUGAAUCUACGGAGGGGGUUGCAAAAUCUAUCAUUGAUGAAGAAGAUGGAGCCAAGAAGUCCUGCUUCAAAGGAUUGUGUCCAAAUUUGUUGUCUCGUUACAAACUCAGUAGACGAGCAGCAAAGGCCGCAAAAGAUGCCGCUAAUCUCAAGGAUGAAGGCUGCAAACUGAAGAGUGAUGUUUCCUACGAUCCUCCUCCAGAUAUCGAAGCACCUAGGGGCGGGAAAGAUAACGAGGCCUUUGAUUCAAGAAAGAAAGUAUUACAGGAUGUUAUGGAGGCGUUGAAGGAUGAUAAGCUCAACAUAAUUGGGGUCUACGGCAUGGGCGGCGUGGGUAAAACCACGCUAGUCAGGCAAGUUAGAAAGCAAGUGAUGGAAAAUAAGUUGUUCGAUAAGGUCGCUAUGGCUGAGGUAACAGAGAACCCAGAUCAUCAGAAAAUUCAGGACAAACUUGCUUCUGAUUUAGGCAUAAAGUUUGAGUUGAAUGAGAAUAUAUUCGACAGAGCAAAUCGACUACGUCGAGUAUUGAAGAAAGAGAAGCGGGUCCUGAUUAUAUUGGAUAACAUUUGGAGAGAACUGAAGUUCGAUGAAGUUGGAAUUCCUUCUGGGGAUGUUGAUGAGAAAGAUAGAGAGGAUGAUCAGAGAAGAUGCACAAUAAUAUUGACGUCUAGAAGUCGAGAUUUAUUGCGCAAUGAUAUGAAUUGUCAGAAAAUUUUCUGGAUCGAUGCUUUAUCGAAAGAAGAAGCAUUGCAAUUGUUUGAAAAGAUAGUAGGUAAUUCCGCAAAAGCAUCUGAUUUUCUACCUUUAGCAGAUGAGAUUGUUGGAAAAUGCGGAGGUUUGCCUGUUGCACUGAGUACAGUUGCAAAUGCUCUGAAAACUAAGGGGCUUGCCAUUUGGAAGGAUGCGUUGAAUCAGCUAAGAAGAUCGGAUGCAAGAGAAAUUCAUGGCAUGCAAGCAAAUGUGUACACCUCCAUAAAAUUGAGUCAUGACUUCUUGGAAAGUGAGGAGGCAAAAUCUCUGUUCCGUCUUUGUGGUCUAUACAGUGAAGGUCAUGCCAUACACGUACAUUACUUAUUGAGAUAUGGUGUGGGUUGGGGUUUGUUUGAAAAUGUUUACACAUUGGAAGAAGCAAGGAGUAGAGUGCAUCGGUUGAUCGACAACCUCAAAUCUUCAUGCUUAUUGUUGGACGGUGAUGCUGAAGAUGAAGCUAAAUUGCAUGACGUCAUUCAUGUUGUUGCCGUAUCAAUUGCCGCAGAGAAGCGCAUGUUUAAUAUUCCAAAUGUUGCCGACUUAGAGAAAAAGAUGGAAGAGACAAUACGGAAAGAUCCAAUUGCCAUUUCAUUACCCCAGAGAGAUAUUCAAGAGCUCCCUGAAAGGUUGCAAUGUCCCAAUCUCCAGUUAUUUUUGUUGUCUGCAGAGGGUAAUGGCCCUAUGCAAAUUUCAGACCUCUUUUUUGAAGGGACAGAAGAACUGAAAGUUUUAAGCCUUACUAGAAUUCCUUUCUCUUCAUUACCUUCGUCACUUGGUCGCCUCAUUAACCUUCAAACAUUGUGUUUAGACUGGUGCCAACUAGAAGAUGUAGCGGCAAUUGGACAGCUAAAGAAAUUAGAGAUUCUUAGCUUUCGAGAUUCCGACAUUAAGCAGUUACCACUUGAAAUUGGACAAUUGACGCGGUUACAAUUGCUAGAUUUGAGCAAUUGUAGGAGCCUUGUAGUGAUAGCAACAAAUGUCAUAUCAAAAUUUUCACGAUUGGAAGAACUAUAUAUGGGCGACAGCUUUUCGCAGUGGGAUAAGGUUGAAGGAGGAAGUACCGCCAGUCUUGCUGAAUUGAAGGGGCUGUCAAAGCUAACUACUUUGGAGAUACAAUUUUGGGAUGCCCAAAUUCUGCCGCAGGAUUUGGUCUCUGUGGAAUUGCAAAGAUAUAAGAUAUGUAUAGGAGAAGCGUGGCGCAUGUGGGGCGUUAAUUCUGAAACAUCAAGAAUGGUGGAGCUCGAUGGGCUAGAAAAUGUUAGCAGUCUUUUGGAGAAUUAUGGGACGAAAAUGUUGCUGAAGGAAGCUGAAGAGAUCCAUCUAAACGAACUGAAGGGUGUUCUGAAUGUUGUUCAUGAAUUAGAUGAUGGGGAAGGUUUUCCACGAUUGAAGCAUCUUCGUGUAGAAAGUUGUUCUGAGAUUUUGCAUAUUGUCGGUUCAGUUGGACGGGUUCAUUGUACAGUCUUUCCCUUGCUGGAGUCAUUGUCUCUUUGGUUUUUGAACAAGUUGGAGACAAUAUGUGAUAGCCAACUCACAGAAGAUCAAUCUUUCAGCAACUUAAGGAUUAUAGGAGUACAAUCCUGUCACAAAUUGAAGCAUCUUUUCUCAUUCUCCAUGGCAAAAAACCUACUGCGGCUUCAAAAGGUAGAAGUGUUUGUUUGCGAUGAUCUGGAAAUGAUUGUUGGUAAGUGUUGAAAUUAAGUGUUGGUGGAUUUAUGGACUUCGCCUCAAUUAUUUUGAAAAAAAAAAAACAACGACAAAGAUUAAUUAUGUGUAUUGUUUUUGUUUGUUUAUAGGACCCGACAGGGAGAAACCAACAACUUCUUUGGGAUUCAACGAAAUCAUUGCUGAUGAUGAUACUGCUCCAAAGGUGAUAAUUUUCUGUUCAAUAAUUAAUUGAUUAAUUUAUUAUCACGAUUAAUCUUCGAUCAUGAAAAGAAUAUUAUACUAGACGGUUGUACUUGAAGGAACAAAAAUGUAUGGGUUUUCUUUGCAGGUUAUUCUUCCGAGCUUAGAGGAAUUGAAUCUCGGGGAAUUAGGAAACAUCAAAAAAUUAUGGGCCGAUCAUAAUCAAGGAAUGUACUGUUGUCAAAUUUAACAACGGUGAUCGUGGGGGAUUGUAAUCGUCUGAAGUAUCUGUUUUCAUAUUCUAUGGUUAAUAGUCUUUUGCAACUCCAACAUCUUGAAAUACGGUCUUGUGAGUCAAUGGAAGGGGUAGUCGACACCACGGGGUGGUCAGAAAGAGAUGAAGGAAAGUUGAUUGAAUUAAAGGUUUUUCCUAAACUACACUCCCUGCAGCUCUAUCGGCUUCCAAAACUAACAAGCUUUGCAAACACGAGACAUAUUCAUUCAGAUUUAGUUGUUGAAUUCCCUUCUUUGCAAAUACUCAAGAUUGAUAGUUGCAGUAAUAUGUUAAGAUUCAUCUCUACGAGCUCACCAGAAGACACCAUUCAUUCUGAAAUGCAACCUCCUCCUCUCUUUGACGAAAAGGUUUUUUUUUUUAAAUAAAAAAAAAAUUAAUUUGUCCCAAUACUUAAUUUGUCUUUUCCUUGAGUCUUCAAAUUUAGUUAAUAUCCGCCUCUAAUUUAGUUAUCAAUUGAUUAUGCCAUUAAUUGAUUAAUUAGUUAUUUAAUCUUUAACUGCCAGGUACGACUUCCUAGGCUGGAGGUAUUACGUAUCGGGUUGAUGGAUAAUUUGAGAAAAAUAUGGCACCACCAGCUUGCUUCGGAGUCUUUCAGCAAAUUGAAGAAUUUGGGGAUAUGGUGGUGUGAUAACCUAAUGAAUAUUUUUCCUCCAUUGGUAAGGUCGCUGUAUUCAUUUUGAAUAAUUUUUUUUCAAAUUACAUCCAACAAUUUUUUAACCAUUUUUGUGUUUACAAAUGAUAUUCAGCCACUAAUUAUUUAUUUCAAGUAUUGUACUUCGAACCACCACUCUAUCUAUUUCUCUUUUCCUUAAUUCUUCACGUUUCGAUUGGAAAAAAAAAUACAAGUCUUCAAAUUUAAUUAAUAUCUCUAGUUUAGUUACGAAUUGAUUAUGCCAUUAAUUAACCACAAAUUCAUGAUUAUUUACAACUGACCCUUGAUUGUAAAGAAAUUUCCUCAAGUCUGGAAGUACUUAAUAAAGAUCCACUUUACAGCAGUCCCUUGUUGACAGUAUUGGGAAAUCUUUUCCAAAUUUUUUUUCCAUUUUUAAAUAUACAUUAAAAAAAGAACCAAGGAAAAGGGAAAAAUGGUUCAGUAUUUUUUUAAAAAAAGGAAGAGUUGAAAUUUGCAAAUUUAUGCUUAAAAACUGAUAUCAAGAUACAAAAUAAGUCUAAAAUAUUUAGAAAUUGCCUUAAAUUCUUUCUACGUUCCUAAUACUAAAUAGUGUAAAUGCAUUUUUAUUAUCUUUGUUUAUCUGGCUUUUAUUUAUUUAUUUAUCUUGUUGCUUUUUUUGUUUAACAAAAAAUUAUCUAGUAGACAUCUCAUGGUUUGUUAUGUUUAUAAAACGUAUAAUUGUAUGAUUAAACAUACUUUGAGCCUAGUUGAAUGAUAUUCUUACACUUUUACUUUUUUAAUAUACACACAUAUGCACACACUUUUGCUUAUUUUCAGGUUGGAAUUCCCAAUAGCCUAGUGAAUCUUAAUGUAUCGAAUUCCCAAAAAUUAGAAGAAAUCGUAGGACAUGUUGGAGAAGAAGUGAAGGAGAAUCGUAUUGCUUUCAGCGAAUUAAAAUUUUUGAUACUUGAGGAUUUACCAAGGCUUACCGGCUUUUGUUUGGAGAAUUACACUCUUGAAUUCCCAUCAUUGGAACGAGCUUCUAUGAUACGUUGUCCGAACAUAAAGACUUUUUCUCAAGGAAUCUUAUCCACACCAAAGCUGCACAAAGUGCAAGUGACUUUAAAGGAAGAGGGUGAAUUGUACCUUCGCGAAGGCAACCUUAAUUCCACUAUACAAAAGUAUUACAAAGAAAUGGUAUGUGUGAAUCGAUUCAUCAAAAUUGCUCAUGCAUCUCCCUUGAACUUGCACAUUUAAACAUAUACACCUGCCUUGUAUAUGUAUUUUUAGAAGUUAAAACACAAAACAUGUAAGUUUAAUGUAUAUAUAUCUAAUGCCUUUCAAAAAAAAAAAAAUUGUAUAUAUCCAGUGCAAUUGUUUUGGUUUGUGCAGAUUGGAUUCCGUGACAUAUGGUAUUUGCAACUCUCACAUUUUCCACGUUUGAAAGAAAUAUGGCAUGGCCAAGCACUGCCUGUCAGCUUCUUCAACAAUUUAUUUAAGCUGGUGGUGGAUGACUGCACGAAUAUGUCGAGGGCUAUUCCUGCCAAUCUGCUACGGUGCUUGAACAAUUUGAGAUGGCUAGAAGUGAGGAAUUGUGAUUCGCUAGAAGAGGUGCUUCAUUUGGAAGAACUAAUUAAUGCUGAGGAAGAACAUUUUGGCCAACUGUUCCCUAAUCUUUUCGGGCUAAGCCUCAUUGAUCUUCCAAAACUCAAAAGAUUCUGCAACUUCACUGGGAAUAUAAUUGAACUGCCUAUGUUGUGGAGUCUGACUAUUGAGAAUUGCCCUGAUAUGGAAACAUUCAUAUCCAACUCUGUAGUGCACGUGACAACAGAUAACAAGGAACCUCAAAAAUUAACAUCAGAAGAGAACUUCUUGCUGGCUCAUCAAGUACAACCUCUCUUCGAUGAAAAGGUGAUUAUUAUUGUUAUUAUUAAUUUUUCCCUUCACUUUCGUUCGCAUAGAUGUAAUUUCAUUAGAAUCAAAUCAAAUUUAAUGACUCAUCCUUUUGCAUGUCGUCUUAAUUUAUAUCUAAUUUAACAAUAUAACCGCAGUUAUUAACUAACUUUAUAGUAUGAAUUAUAAAAAUGUCUCAAAUUAAUUAGAUGCCUAGUGACAGGAGGUGAUGAACUAUAUCGAUGCGUGUUACAUCUCUGUUUUCCUAGCUAAUUCAUAUUGGAUUUAGCAUCAGAUUUCAUUUAUGUGUUUCAAAGGGUAAUCGAUUUGAUACUUAUAUUUGGGAUCCUACUGCAAAGCAUACUAAUUUGGAAAUAAAAUAUAAAAUGCUGUGAUUAAUCUUGUCCAUAAAAUAUGCAGGGGAAGACUGCAGAGAUUGGAUACAUAUUUUAAUUUACAACUUAAUUUUGUUGAUUUUCAGGUUGCAUUCCCUAAAUUGAGAUGGUUAGAGCUGUCUAGAUUACCCAAUGUGUUGCAUCUCUGGAAGGAAAAUGCCGAAUCCAACAAAGUGUUUGCAAACUUGAAAAGUCUAGAAAUAUUUUAAUGUAGUAAGUUGCAGAAAUUAGUACCAGCUUCGUGGCAUUUGGAAAAUCUUGCGACUCUGGAAGUAUCGAAGUGUCAUGGGUUGAUAAAUUUAUUGACGCUCUCAACAUCUGAAAGUCUAGUGAAUCUUGAAAGAAUGAAGAUAACUGAUUGCAAAAUGAUGGAAGAAAUUAUACAGUCGCAGGUUGGAGAAGAAGCGGAAGAUUGCAUUGUUUUCAGGAAAUUGGAGUACUUGGGACUUGAUUGUUUGCCAAGCCUAACAAGCUUUUGUUUGGGUAAUUACGCUCUUGAGUUCCCGUCCUUGGAACAAGUAGUUGUGAGACAGUGUCCAAAAAUGAAGAUCUUCUCUCAAGGAGUCUUAGACACACCAAUGCUAAACAAAGUGAACGUCACCGAAGAAGAAAAAGAUGAUGAUGAAGGAUGUUGGGAAGGCAACCUCAAUGACACCAUAAAAAAAUUGUUCAAUGAAAUGGUGAGUAUCAAUUAAGUUUCGGUGCUAUUUAGCAAAUUAUUUUAUAGAAACUAAUGUGAUAUAAUAUGAUUGGUUGACUGAAAAUAUAUAAUAAUAAUAAUAAAUAAAUAAAUAAAUUAUGAGGGCCAUGUAAUGUCAAAAGCAGCCAUCCAUCUAGAUGGUCAACAUUCAAAGAAGAGAAAUUUUGCAGCAAGUUGGAAAGGAAAAGGAGCACACGGGCUUGGCAUUUAAAAGAAGAAGUUGGCAACUACUUUGAAAUAUAUACAUAUAUAUAUUAAUUUAAUAGCCAUUUUUUGGCUAUAAAAUGAAGAGCUUCCUCAUUCAUUUUCAUUCAAUUCCAUCGAGAGAAAUCUUUCUUUCUUUGAGUGUUGAGAGUUUUCAAGAGUUUAAUAAACUCUUGAGUGUCUAGUGAGUGAGAGAUUGGGUGUAUUGGGGUUUUGGGUAGUGAGCUAAAAUCUUACAAUACUUGUAAUCCUUAUUUCACUAGUAAAAUAUUUUCUUCUGUCUUCGCCCGUGGAUGUAGGCUAAAAGCCGAACCACGUAAUUUUUCGGUGUCCUCUAUUGUGCUUGUUCUUUAUUUUAUUUUCAAUUUUAUUUUAGCUGCGGUCCUGCUGCACCCACUAAAUUACUAACAGUGGUAUCAGAGCCAUUGGUUGUAUUUUUGGAGUCGGGAAUUGUUCACGUAUUCACGUAUACGGCGUACGGCACUAUUCACGUAUACGGUGUACGGCACUAUUCACGUAUACGGCAUACGGCACUAUUCACGUAUACGGCGUACGACACUAUUCACGUAUACGGUACUAUUCACGUGAAAACGGUGGAAGCGAUCCAAGAAUUUUGCGGUGCAAAGCAGGGAAUAGUGGUGUGAGUAAAGCAACUGUGUGGUUCUGUACAUGUCUAGGAAAGUUUUGUCACAAAGGCGAUAAGAGCCUAAGGAGUCUGGGUUUUAAGUGGGACCAUUGUGACCCCUCCAGUCUUUCCUGGGAACUUUCCUGGUGCGCAUUCUCACACAUACUCACAACUAUUCAAGGUGGUACACUAGCUUGUGUGCAGUAUUAUCAACAAAAUGGCGGCAAAGUAUGAAAUUGAGAAGUUUAACGGAAAUAAUUUUUCGUUGUGGAAAAUGAAGAUGAAAGCUGUAUUGAGGAAAAAUAAUUGUUUGGCAGCAAUUGGAGAAGGGCCUAUGGAGAUAACUGAUGACAAGUGGAACGAGGUAGACGGCAACGCUAUUUCUGAUCUACACUUGGCACUUGCGGAUGGAGUAUUAUCCAGUGUGGCAGAGAAAAAUACGGCGAAGGAAAUUUGGGAUACUCUCACAAAAUUGUACGAGGCCAAGUCACUACACAACAAAAUCUUCUUGAAGAGAAAACUCUAUACUCUUCGAAUGGCGGAAUCUACAAUGGUGACCGACCACAUCAACACAUUGAAGACUCUAUUUUCACAACUCACAACGUUGGGUCAUAAUAUAGAGGAAAAUGAACGUGCAGAGCUUCUACUUCAAAGUCUACCAGAUUCGUAUGAUCAACUCAUCAUCAACCUGACGAACAACAAUCCAGUGGAGGGUCUAGUUUUCGACGAUGUUGCAGCCUCCGUAUUAAAUGAGGAGAGCAGGCGGAAAAAUAAGGAAAACAGACAAGCAAGUUCGCAGCAAGCAGAAGCGCUAUCGGUGAUGAGAGGGAGAUCAACGAAACGUGGCCCCAGUGGGAGUCAAAAUCAGGGUAGAUCAAAAUCCAGAAGUAAGAAGAAUGUUAAAUGCUAUAAAUGUGGCAAGAAAGGGCACGUCAAGAAAGAAUGUUGGAGUAACCAGAAGAGAAAAGAGGGCAAAGAACCUGAGUCAUCAAAUGCUCAGGGUUGUGUAGCAAGUACCUCGGAUGAUGGCGAAAUUCUUUACAGCGAGGCAACAACUAUUUUAGAAGGCAGGAAACGACUUUCUGAUGUCUGGCUUAUAGACUCAGGAGCUACCUGGCACAUGACCUCUAGGAGAGAAUGGUUCCACACAUAUGAACCUAUCUCAGGAGGAUCUGUAUAUAUGGGAGAUGAUCAUGCCUUGGAGAUCGCUGGUAUUGGUACUAUCAAAAUAAAAAUGUUUGAUGGGACAAUUCGCACAAUUGGAGAGGUACGACAUGUCAACGGCCUGAAGAAAAAUCUAUUGUCUUUGGGACAAAUGGAUAGUCAUGGGUACAAAACUCAUGUGGAGAAUGGAAUUAUGAAGAUCGUUAAAGGCGCGCUUGUAUUGAUGAAGGCAGAAAAGAUCGGUGCUAAUCUAUUCAUGCUUAAAGGAGAAACACUACAGGAGGCUGAUGCGUGUGUCGCGUCAAAUGGAGAAGAGUCAACGAUGAUGUGGCAUCUCAAACUUGGCCACAUGUCAGAACAAGGCUUGAAGAUUCUCUCUGAGCGAAAAUUGCUUCCGAGGCUCAAAUCGGUAAGUUUACCAUUUUGCGAGCAUUGUGUUACAAGUAAGCAGCAUAGAUUAAAAUUCAGUAGAUCUAUUGCUAGAAGUAAAUGCAUUCUAGACUUGAUUCAUUCUGAUGUUUGGGAAUCACCGGAUAUAUCCAUGGGAGGUGCAAAGUACAUGGUGACUUUCAUUGAUGAUUAUUCCAGAAGAUGCUGGGUGUAUCCACUUAAGAAAAAGUCAGAUGUAUUUCUAGUGUUUAAAGAAUACAAAGCGCGGGUGGAACUUGAAUCUGGUAAAAAGAUCAAGUGCUUGAGGACAGAUAAUGGUGAAGAAUAUACAGACGGCGAGUUUCUUGCUUUAUGUAAGCAAGAAGGUAUUCAGAGGCAGUUCACAGUGGCAUACACUCCUCAACAAAACGGAGUAGCGGAGCGGAUGAACAGAACUCUUACAGAAAGAAUAAGAGCUAUGUUGAGGACUGCUGGUUUACCCAAUUCAUUCUGGGCAGAAGCAGCCAAAACCGCCUGUUAUAUAGUAAAUCGGUCGCCAUCUACAGCUAUUGGGUUGAAGACAGCGAUGGAGAUGUGGACUGGAAAGCCAGCUGAUUAUUCCUACCUACAUGCAUUUGGAUGUCCUGUGUACGUGAUGUAUAAUGCCCAAGAAAGAACAAAGCUGGAUGCAAAAUCUAGAAGAUGUAUCUUCUUGGGGUAUGCUGAUGGAGUAAAGGGGUAUCGUCUGUGGGACCCCACUGCCCACAAGAUCGUCAUCAGCAGAGAUGUUAUCUUUGUAGAAGAUCAACUAUAAAGAAAAGAUGGAGAUGAUGGCACUGUAAAAGAAAAGUCAGAGACUGUACCAGUAUAUGUCGAAAAUAAUCUAGAAGAUUCAGAUUCUUCUGAAGCAGCACCAGAGCACGAUGGACAAGAACCAGUCGAGUUCGAGGCUCCAGAAGUUCGUCGGUCAACUCGUGAGAGACGACCGCCGGCGUGGCACUCGGAGUAUGUCAUAGAGAUCAACGUUGCAUACUGUCUUCUAACAGAGGAUGGAGAGCCUUCAACUUUCCAUGAAGCUUUAAACAGUUUAGAUGUUGCUUUGUGGAUGACAGCAAUGCAGGAAGAAAUUGAAGCUCUACACAAGAACAAGACAUGGGAACUUGUACCACUACCACACGGAAGAAAAGCCAUUGGAAACAAAUGGGUCUACAAGAUCAAACGUGAUGGCAAUGACCAAGUGGAGCGGUAUCGUGCAAGAUUGGUGGUGAAAGGAUAUGCUCAGAAAGAAGGUAUUGACUUCAACGAGAUAUUUUCUCCAGUGGUUCGACUCACAACAGUCAGAAUAGUCUUGGCGAUGUGUGCUACAUUUGAUCUACAUCUUGAGCAGUUAGAUGUGAAAACUGCAUUUCUUCAUGGAGAACUUGAAGAAGAAAUAUAUAUGCUCCAACCAGAAGGUUUUGCAGAAACAGGAAAGGAGAACUUGGUUUGCAGGUUGAACAAAUCUCUAUACGGUCUCAAACAGGCGCCGAGGUGUUGGUAUAAGAGAUUUGAUUCCUUCAUAAUGAGCCUUGGAUACAACAGACUCAGUUCAGACCAUUUUGCAUAUUAUAAGAGGUUUGAAGAUAAUGAUUUCAUUAUUUUGCUGUUGUAUGUGGAUGACAUGUUGGUAGCAGGUCCCAACAAAGAUCGAAUCCAAGAAUUGAAGGCACAGUUGGCUAAGGAGUUUGAAAUGAAGGACUUGGGACCAGCAAACAAGAUUCUAGGGAUGCAAAUUCACCGAGACAGAAAUAACAGGAAGAUUUGGCUUUCACAGAAGAAUUACUUAAAGAAAAUCUUGCGACGCUUCAACAUGCAAGAUUGUAAGUCAAUUUCUACCCCACUUCCUAUUAAUUUCAAAUUAUCCUCAAGUAUGUGUCCUAGCAAUGAAGCAGAGAGAAAGGAGAUGUCUCGAGUUCCUUAUGCAUCAGCAGUGGGAAGUUUAAUGUUCGCUAUGAUAUGUACAAAACCGGACAUUGCACAAGCAGUGGGAGCAGUCAGUCGAUAUAUGGCGAAUCCUGGUGGAGAGCAUUGGAUAGCUGUGAAGAGGAUUCUGAGAUACAUCAGAGGAACCUCAGAUGUUGUAUUAUGUUAUGGAGGAUCAGAGUUUACUGUCAGGGGCUAUGUGGAUUCAGAUUUUGCAGGAGAUCUUGAUAAAAGGAAAUCCACUACUGGUUAUGUGUUUACACUUGCGGGAGCAGCUGUAAGCUGGGUUUCAAAACUGCAGACCGUUGUGGCUUUAUCUACAACAGAAGCAGAAUACAUGGCAGCUACACAAGCUUGCAAGGAAGCUAUUUGGAUACAAAGAUUAUUGGAGGAGCUCAGGCACAAACAACAGAAAAUUCCUGUGUUUUGUGACAGUCAAAGUGCCUUGCACAUUGCAAGGAAUCCAGCCUUUCAUUCCAGGACAAAGCACAUAGGAGUUCAGUAUCACUUUGUUCGUGAAGUAGUGGAAGAUGGAAGUGUGGAUUUACAGAAAAUCCAUACUAAAGAGAACCUAGCAGAUGUUUUGACCAAGCCGAUAAAUACUCAUAAGUUUAUCUGGAGUAGAUCCUCUUGUGGCCUAGCAGAAACGUAGGCAACAUGAUUAUGGCGAAGCAGAAAGGAUGGUGUGGAGAUUGAUUGAUUCUCCAUCAAAGCUCCAAGUGGGAGAAAUGUCAAAAGCAGCCAUCCAUCUAGAUGGUCAACAUUCAAAGAAGAGAAAUUUUGCAGCAAGUUGGAAAGGAAAAGGAGCACAUGGGCUUGGCAUUUAAAAGAAGAAGUUGGCAACUACUUUGAAAUAUAUACAUAUAUAUAUUAAUUUAAUAGCCAUUUUUUGGCUAUAAAAGGAAGAGCUUCCUCAUUCAUUUUCAUUCAAUUCCAUCGAGAGAAAUCUUUCUUUCUUUGAGUGUUGAGAGUUUUCAAGAGUUUAAUAAACUCUUGAGUGUCUAGUGAGUGAGAGAUUGGGUGUAUUGGGGUUUUGGGUAGUGAGCUAAAAUCUUACAAUACUUGUAAUCCUUAUUUCACUAGUAAAAUAUUUUCUUCUGUCUUCGCCCGUGGAUGUAGGCUAAAAGCCGAACCACGUAAUUUUUCGGUGUCCUCUAUUGUGCUUGUUCUUUAUUUUAUUUUCAAUUUUAUUUUAGUUGCGGUCCUGCUGCACCCACUAAAUUACUAACAUGUAAUUUUUUUAUUUAACCAAUCAUAUUAUGUCGCAUUAGUUUAUACAGUAUUGUUUGUGCACAAGAGGUGGUGGUCAUAUCAUUACUCUAGCUUUAUUAUUCUUAUGGUGGCAAUGUAUGCUGGCUUACACGAGUAAUUACAAAAUCUGCAGAAUUCUAAAGAAGAGAUUGAGCCAACCCUUCAGCUACAGUGAAGAAGCUAUCCCGAACCAGGCCAAUCUCCUAUACAUGAUUUAGCUUGCUCGUUCUUCUGUACUUGAAUAAUUUGGUUCUACAUAUUUACAAUUUUUUGCUCAUGCUACAAACUUGCAAGACACUUUGGAUUUUGUUUGAUGCAUUCUUUGUUUAAGAAAGGACUUGAAUUGAUGUUUCAUGUUUCAUACAAUAUUCGAUUAGAUUCUGCCUAAAUUUCUGUAUUAUUCGUUCAAUUGGUCUUUUAAGCAUUUGAUUUCUAACCUCUCCUGAUAGAAGAUCAUUAGCCGAAGAAAACAGCAUAACAUUUGUGGCAUUAUCAGAAUAAGAAUAUUUUUUAGUAUAGUAAAAUUAUCUCGACCACUGUUAAAAAGAAUUAAUCAGUCAAACUGACCUUCUCACACCAGCACGCUUUAAAUUAAAAGAAUUUCGUGAAAUCAAGACCAUGUUAUAGAUCUCGUGGAAAGAAGUAAACCCGUAAUUUUUUUCACAGCAUCAUAAGAAAAAUCAUUUUUUUAAAGUAUUUUUGUUAGCUGUUGAGUUUUAAUAGUAGUAGCUAUUAAAUAAUAACAAUUAGUGUAUAUUAAAAAGUUGGAAACUGGUUGAUACCACUCGGGAAUCGAGCAGUUCACUUGUUUGCGAGUAGAAACCAACUUUACUACUAAUUGCCUUGUGACAAAAUAAAAUACCAUACUAUAAUGUGUUGAACCAGGAACCUGCAGAUGCUUAGGUUACAACUAUACAACCUCCCAAUACAAUAAGUUUGAAACUUAAUACCUUCUGAAAUGAAACAAACUUACUUGAAGAUUAAAGAUCAGUGAGAAAAGCCCUUUUUCAGAAGCAACCUACAUUUUUUAGAAGAGGGUCAGUGUGUUAUAGAUUCAAUGAACCAUGAGAAGUUAUUUACAUUAUAGUAUCUCACAGGCAGUAUUUUCUCCUAAUGCAUCAAUGGUAAAGGAAAAAUAAAAAGAAAAGAAUAGUUACUUGUGCAGCACAGCCUUUACGCCUAGCUACAUGGUCCAUUCUCUGUCUUUGAACCAAUCAACAGCAACAAGUUCCAUUAAAUGUUUUCCUGCAGGUAUCUGCAGUUACAAAUUGCACAAAGCACAAGAAGAGCCAACCAAACUACAUCAUAACCUGUCUACCUAGCCUAUGCAGGAUAUAUAAAUACCAUAAAUAAGUACCAUAAAUAACAAAUAAACAACAUAUGGGGGAACCUUUGUUUUGUCAUAACAAAAAUGCUUGCUACGAACUCUAAAGUUAUUUCCAUCAGAAAGUUUCCAGCAGUCACGAGCAUUAUCAUGGUCAUCGUGUCGUAGAUUGCCCGAAAAACAAGACAAAUCAAUUUGAUCAGCCUGCUCUUCCUCUAGGGCUGCAACUAAUUGAAAAUUAAAAAAAAAAAAAAAAAGAUCAAUACCAUAAAAAUCCACUAAUGCGGACAUUAGCCAAAUAUACAAAAAUGAAUACUUAUCAUCCACCUGUCCUCUUGAAAUCAUUCUCAAUCUUUUUUUCAUUUGCCUGAAAUCCCAAGGAAAAAUAUGUAACGAAUACUUCCCAUUCAUGACUAUAGUCUGUUGUAUAAACAUGACAUAUUUAAUUGGAAUAAUAAAAUUAUUUAAUUAUUUUAAUUAAAUGUUAAUCCUACAAAUUAUUUUUGUUAAAUCUAGCAAGAAUAACUAAAAUUUCUUUAAGAUAUAUUUUGGUAGUAAAUUAAAAAAAUUUAAUUAUUUGGCAGGAAUUAUUGAAAUUGGAGCCAUUUUUUUUGUGGGAAUUGAAAUAUAUUCUUUAAAUUAUUAUAUAAAUAGCAAAAUGUACAUACACACACAUAUAUAUAAUUCAUAUAUAAAAAUUCUCUAAUUUGUUCACAAGUAUCAUAGAUUAUAAUUCAGUUAUGAAAUAAAAUAACUACAAUAAUUAUAGUUAAAUGAAUACUUCAUUAAUUCUUAAUUUGCUUCCUAACAUUAAAUGAACAACUUGAGUCAGCCACCUGAAUUAACCAGUAACAACGCCUGAGUCAACCAUCUGAAUAAACCAGCAACCCUAGCUGAUUCAAGCACCUGCAAUUAACAUCAGCACAACAGGAACAAUCUUAAAUCAACACCAAGAACAGACCAAACUGCCAUCAAAUGUCACAAAACCAAACAGUCUGCUACUGCCAUCAAAUGCAAGCAAACAUAUGCAACAAAACCAGAUGCAAGUGAAAUUCUGGAGAACAUCGGAUAAACCAAACCAAAUGCCACACUUCUAGUAAUUAGACUAGAUGCAUUGUUCAAUUAAACUAAAUGUAGUCUCAUAUUACAUUCAAAAUUUCUAAAAAAGGCAGUGUUCCAUCAGAGAAGCACCAAAACCAAACCAAUCUAAUCCAGCAUAAUUACCAGCUCAACCCAAAACAAUUACACAUUAUAUUGACAUAUCAAAAUUCGCUAUCAAAACAUAGCCAAAUAAAUGACAAUAAACUCAAAACAGACCCAAACCAACUGAUGUUGCAGCCCUAGUAGUCGUUGUCCGUUCCACUGCCAUGGGAGUGAGGGUAGGCUCCGUUGUUGAUGAGUGAGUAAGAUAAGGCUCCAAAUCAAUAGUUCCACCUCCUUUCUGCAAUUCAAAAAACAGAAAUUCAUAUAUGUAAAACUAUUAAAAAGUGUGAAACAACCUGUAAGUAUUCAACUUCUGUCAACUCAAUAGUACUUACUAAAGUUUUUAUACAGAAGAAAAAGGCAUUUUAAGUCCAAAAAAUUAGAAUUAUUGGUUGAACUCCAACUCCAUCAAUCCAUGCAACCAUCCAAUCUUUAACGAAAAAAUGAAGCAUAAUUAACAAGACAUCUGAAUCAGAAAGAUUGUGCUUUCGUUUGGCACGAGGUGUUGGAAACAACUUAACAAAUCUAGACACAAUCUAUAACCAUCAAGUCCAAACAAAAGUCAGGAUCUAAAAUACUUUGAAAAAUCAGAAAAACAGCAAAAUAUCAGUUUCAAUUUCUUUUUCAUCCAUUGUAAGCUCAAACUAAAGGUAGCCGCGCUACCUUUAAACAUCAUUUGGGCUUGUACAUGUGACAUUUGCUCAUGAACAACUAAAGUUGAAUAAGAUUUUUAUAUGAAACAGAAUAUAAAAAGUCAAAGUAGAAUAUGACAGGAGCUACAAUAUAUUAUUCAGCAUUAGCAUUAUGUAUAAAAUAAAUUUAGACGCAUUAUAUUGAUUCACAAUCUUGCAGAGGUAAUACCAGAUUAUGGCACGCAACUCUUAUAUAGCAGAUAAAGGAGGAGAUGCAGUGGGAAGGUAGUAUCUUGCUUGCAUGAGGAUUAGAAAGCAAUAGCCCAAGAUCAAUUAUAGAUCUCAUAAAACAAAAACAGUGAGGCAAACACAAUUAUUGUGAACAAUUAUUCAUAGAACCACAUACCAGCAACAAGAUCAGAGUCAUCUGUGUAUAUAUCGAUUCCCCAUAGCUGACUGCCUCUGACCUAAACAUAAUGAACUUACAUAACUAAGAAGUAGAGUCAUAAAAUAUGCAGCUGUAACAGCUAUCAAUAAAUUUCCAGACAAAUGGAAUUUGAUCUGUAAGGCUAUAACUAGCAACACUUCAAAAUAAUUUGAAGUAGCAUGAUCUUACUUUAAGGAUCAAUACUACAAUCUUUCAGAAAAAUUAAAGUCUAAGCAAAAUUAAAACCUUAAACAUACUAAAAUCUGGUAAAUAGACCUACAGGAAUUCCAAUGACCUCCAAAAUAUUUGAAAGAAAAAUUAAUUUACAGCAAAAAAUGUUAAAAGAUUUGUAAAAUGGAAGCCCAUACUACUAUUCAAAUUACAAAUGAGGAAAGGGAGCUGGCCAUUAAAUGAUAAAGGCAUGCAUAAAGAAAUACAAAUAAUAUGCCCAUAAAGACGUCCACUCAAGCGUUAUAAGCGGCUUUAUGCAAAGGAAAGCCAAUUAGUUAACAAUAAAUGAAUUUCAAGGUGCAAUAAUUAAACUCCCUGAUCAGCACAUAUAAGGUUCAUGCAUUUCUACAAAACAUGUAAAUCAUAAGAACUUUUUUGGUCCAAAUGCUAACCAAUAAUUAAGUAGAUUAUCAAAGUUGUCACAGAACAAGCACCACAUUGAUUGCUAUGCAAAAGAUGAAAGUAAAAGUUAAUACUUUAUUUUAUUUUACUUUUCGAGAGUUUUGAUCAUCAUGUGCAAAAUAGUAGUAUAACUUGCUCAGUGUUAUCUCAAAAAGCUUGCUUAAAAUACCUAUUAGCACCAGUCCAAGUAGUCAAAUAAAUCCUUAUCUAUCCAUUCAUCUCUGACCUUGCCAAAAAGAUUUAAAUGAGCAUCUAUAUUCUCACUCCAAUCUUUCACAAUCAUGGGCUUUAUCUUUAGACCAGUUCUUCAAUAUCCCUUCCACUGUGAGCCCCUCGAAAACCUUGUAAAUUGAAUCACAUUUGUCGUCAGUUUCAAAUCCAUGUGUCAAAAGGCUAAGCAAAUGAAUAUACAAUCAACACCAUUCUUCCAAACGAAUAUACAGUCAACACCAUUCUUCCAAACGAAUAUACAGUCAACACCAUUCUUCCAAACACAAACAAAGUUUGAACGUAUGACAGAUUUUUAGCCAUUUAAUAUUCCAUCAAAGAUAAUUAGAUAACACCUACCAAGGAUUUUUGAAAAGAAUGCAUUCUCAUCUUAAGCAGCAACCUCACCAGUAACACAUUUUCAUACCCUGUUUCCACCUCUGGUCGCACCACCAAAAAAAAAUCAGUACUAAUUAGCUUCAACAGAGUCUAUUUUUUUAUUUCUUUUUUUUUUCAAAAUAAACCUCCAUUCUUAUACAUAAAAUUAAAAUAUCAAUUAAAUAAAAAAAGUCUAUGCUUACUAGUAAAACACGUCCAUUUUCAGGUAGAGGCAGAUAAUAAAAGAAAAUUGAUACUGAGAUAAAAUAAGAAGAGCUUACUAUGUGCAUUUGAUCAACAAUCCAAUCCUUAAUGAUGGAAUCGAUGCUAUCAAAUAAACGUGACUUAAUCUUGAAACAUUAAACUGCACUAAGCAUAGCACCAAAGCCAGAGCGUGACUAUAAAGAAGAAAAAGAAGAAUUAAAUCAACAUGAAAUUGAACUUUUGUUUUAUCUUCCACAAGCAAGAAAUUCAACUGGAACAAUACAAAAUAUGAAAUUUUUAGCAAUCUUACUAGCAUUAUACACAAAUCUCAAUUCACGACAAAUAGGGGAAUGAAUCACUAACAUCACCCAAUUCAUAUAUUCAAAUAAUGUAUCCCCACUCCUAACAAGCAACGUGCUACCACAGUCGAUUAGUUGUUAGGGUUAAGGCUCACCAUAGAGAACUGGAUGGCGCUAACUAAAUGACACGUUGAAACGGCAUCUGCAAUCGUAUUGAAUGACAUUGAACUUUUUCAGCUUCGUCGGUUGCGAAUGUGAGACCUUGGCUUAGGGUUCUAUACAGUGUUGUUGAUGCUUAAAUCUGCUCGCCUUUUGACCGACCAGAUUCUUUCACCAACAUUUGUGUUGUCAACUGCUGCUCGGACCACUGGGGUUGGAAUUGCCCUCCUUCCUCUUACUAGACCUGCGUUCACCAAAAAUGGAUCAGAGACGCCGGUGGUUUUGCCGGCGUAAACCCUCCGAUGCCUAAGUUAGCACAAGGUAUUUACGGGAAAACGGUGUAAUUUGGAUUCAAGAAGGGCUUAUAACUUGUUUCGAAGUUUGUAAGGAAAAGGCAUGAUUGCAAUUUGGCAGCGUUUUCCCUCUCUUCAUUUUUUUUGUCCUUUUCUUCAUCGAUUUCUUCUCCUUUUAUAGCCGUUGUCCCAUGUUCCCGUUUGGCUUUCAUCCCUCUUUUUUCGGAUGGUGGCAGCCCCUCAACGGACUCUAACUGCUACAUCAUGGGCAAACGUGGGGUCUCGCAUUACUCGCAACGGUUCUGGGAGAAGCGUAACUACCAUGAUUCUGUGGGAUCGUGUUCCCGCUUUUUCGGGGGAUGGGUAUCGGCUCGGUAUAUACCUCUGGUCGGUAUACUCCCCUGGUUGUACUCGUCUCUGGUCGGACCAUACUUGUCCCUGUGUUCUGCUCGUACCAUUUGGUUAAGGUGAUCCAUGCCGGCAUGGAAAUAGAAGCAUGGCCGACCUGGUGCGUAGCAUGGCCGACCUGGUGCUUUUAUUUACUUAACACCAGUCCCCCAGUUUCUGGUCUUGCGAGUAAAAUGAGUUAAGAGUAGAAACUGAUGGUUGAAUCUUACCAGCCCGGGGCUUCUCAUCUGGUCUUCUGUCAUUCCGGGACGGACCUGAGGUACCAUUCUUGUUCUGGGGGGAUUCUGACCUGAGCAUGGGCCUUAAUAAGCAUGUCCAUUGCAUAUAUGGACUUGCAUCUAGCCUGGCCUCUUGUAACGGUUAGUGACGUGGCGCUUCUCGACUCUUCGUAUUUGAAAUUUGAAACGACGGGCUAUCCGUCCUCGAUAUAUGGGGGGUGAGCUGGCAUAUCCCAUCACUUAAACGCUUCCAUUUCCCCCUUUUCGUUUCAAAUCCCUAGACUGGAGUCAUCAUCAUCUUGUUAUUCGUUUCUCCGCCGUUAAUCAAAUUUUUCUCUGAACUUUGCUCACACUUCCAGCGUCCAGAGUAUCCAUUUGGUGGGUGUUUUCUCUGUCACGGCAGCGCUAUCAGUGUCAGUCUAUUCCAGGUAUAGCCUUUAACCUCUUCUUUGGCUGUUGUUGAUUGGGUUCUGUGUUGCCCCUUUUUGUAUUCGUGUACUUGGGUUUGUUUUGGUUUCCUUUUGGGAUUCCGGUAUGUCGAAUCGGAGAAGGCAGUUGAUUGUAGAUGAGGGUGACGAAGGAACAGAGGAUUCACGCCUUAAUGUUUCAAUACCCACUGAAUUUUUACAUCCCUCUAGUACUGUAGGCUUCUCCCAUGGGAGGGAUACCCUUGAGUACCCACGUCCCUUGUCCAUUUCAUCUUCCCCUGAGCUAGGGCUUGUAGGAAAUAGAGGGGGACCUGCGUCGGGCUCUGGUGAGAACCACAGUUCUGGUGGGGUUGGGGUCCUUGAAGAAGUGGGUAAUAGUGAGGGAAGCAGCUCCGAGCCGAGCCGACCUCCUAAGAAAAGAAACCUUGGGCAUAGGGUGGAGGCGAAUUCUUACCCUAUCGACCAUAUAGCCUGUGCCACCACCCAAACUGACCUGUUCAAGCUUAGGAACCUCUACAACAUUCCUAAGGAGGUUCUUCUUGUAGUUCCUAGGAAGGGUGAUGUUCCUAGUCGGCCUCUGCGGGGGUAUGUGACGAUGCACCUGGAGAGUUUCAAACUAGUAGCUCGGCUGCCCCUUCAGCGUUAUUAUGCCAAGAUAUUGGGGGCCAUGCACCUGGCCCCAGGUCAGCUACACCCAAACGGGUGGAGGGUCCUCUCGGCUAUGUUUGUGUUGUGGGAGAGAUGCGGGUCGGAGGAGCCUUCCCUUGUUGAAGUGAAGCAUUUGUAUCAGCUGCGGAGCAGCCCAAGGGAGGCAGGCUGGUACUACUUCAUGUCCAGUUCUGCGAAGAGAAAGCCCAUUACCGGUUUCCCCUCCUCGUGCAAAAAUUGGAAGAACAAAUUCUUAUUUGCUGGGGGAAAUUGAUGUUCAGCAGUCCGUUCGUUGGGUGGUGAUAUUUACCUUCCAACGCAAUUUGUCACCCCAGGUCGUUCAUUUUUUGCCUGUAUCCUUUCUCGAAUUGCCACUUAUUGGGUUCUUUAACCUUGUUUGUUUUUUCAGAAUCGUGGGGUUUGGUUAAGGAUCUCGAAGACCGGCCUUUGCUUCAGGUGGAAACUGCUCUGGUGAACGCGUCUACUUGUCAAGACCUCCUGUCACCAACAAGCUUGGUCGGUUCGGGCUUAGUAGAUAUUGCCGCAGGAAUGGAUAACAAGAUCCUUAACGCGAUGAGCAGAAAACGUGGUCGGGCUCCGAGUAGCUCCAGCAACCCUCCUCCUCCUCCAAAGAAACCCAGCGUCGGUCCUUCCAAGGCGCCUGUUCCUGCUCUGCCCCCUCCUCCACCUCGUAAGAGUGGUGGGGAGAAAACCUCCGACAAGAGUCCUGAGGUCAGCUUGCAGUCAGGGGACCGAUCUUCUCCUCUUCCAUCUCGGGAUCAAGGUGACUACCUGAGCCCUUAUCAGAAGGAUUAUAAAAAAUCGGUUGGGCCCAAGAUGGUGAAGGACAUCGAGAGCAUGAACCUCUCUGAGUUAGCUGCUUCUGUUCAAAGAGUCUCAUUCAGGCUGGCCACAAUGGUCUCGUGCUACAAGACCGGAUCCGCGCGCCAUGAGAAGAAGCUUCAAGCUGACAAUCAGGAGUUGAAGAAGAAAGAUGAAUCUGCUGACCGCUCCAAGGAGAAACUGGCCGAGUUGAACAAGCAGAUUACGGAGCUGGAGGAGAAAAUUGCAGUUGCUGAGUCCACUGCCUCCAAGUUUGAGGGUGAGCUGGGUGGCCUGAAGUCGGACCUUCAGGUAGCUCAAAGUGAAAGAGAUACUUUGAGGACCGCCCUUGAGGGAAAAAUCAAAUCCCUGAACGAGCAGCUGGCUGAGGGGAAAGGUAAAUCCGCCGAUGUGGACGAUCGGUUGGAUGCCGAGUAUGACUCGGGGGUUGCUUUCUCCUAUAAGUGCAUUAUGUCUGUGCUUCAGGGAGAAUAUCCCGAGCUGGACAUGAGCAAGUUGGAGGCUGGAGUGCAGCGAUAUAUGGCAGAGGUCGGUCAGGCGAACAAGGAGCAGGGUGAGCAGGAUCAGGUGGAGGCUCCUUUUGAUGGGAUGCAAGAGGGGGAAGCUGGGGGACGCACUUUCGAAGUGGGUCAAGGGUCCAUGCCUCCUCCUCCCGGUAUUGCUGAUCUCCCACCUCCUGAUGUUGCUGAUCCCUUACUUCCCGAGCUCGCUGAUCCUUCGGCUGCUGGAACCGUUGACUCUGCUAAGCUUUGAGCCUAUUUUUGUAUAAACUCUAGAUUUGCAUUUGUUUUGUAAACAAUUGAACAUUUAUAAAUUUUUAGAUGCUCUUUAUUUGCUUUCUUGCCCGGUUUUUGCUCAUAGAUUGUUUCUGAAAAACAAUUGGACAACUUAUCUGAUUUUGCCUGCUGGUUCUUUAGUGAGCCGAGCAGGAGUAGGCAUUUGUUUGCCUUAGUAAGAUUUCCAUAAAAUUGGUUACUAGUCUUUAUUGACCGAGCAGAAUUAGGCACUUACUUGCCUUAGUAGGAUUUUUGUAGGAUUAGCUGCUGGUCUUUCUUUGACCGAGCAGAGGUAGGCACUUAUUUGCCUUAGUAGAAUUUUCGUAGAUUAGCUGCUGGUCUUUCGUUGACCGAGCAGAUGCGGGCACUUACUUGCCUUGGUAAGAUUUUCGUAGGAUUAGCUACUGGUCUUUCUUUGACCGAGCAGAGGUAGGCACUUAUUUGCCUUAGUAAAAUUUUCGUAGAUUAGCUGCUGGUCUUUCGUUGACCGAGCAGAUGCGGACACUUACUUGCCUUGGUAAGAUUUUCGUAGGAUUAGCUGCUGGUCUUUCUUUGACCGAGCAGAGGUAGGCACUUAUUUGCCUUAGUAGAAUUUUCGUAGAUUAGCUGCUGGUCUUUCGUUGACCGAGCAGAUGCGGGCACUUACUUGCCUUGGUAAAAUCUUCGUAAAUUUAGCUGCUGGUUUUUCGUUGACCGAGCAGAAGUAGGCACUUGCCUUAGUAAAAUCUUCGUAAAUUUAGCUGCUGGUCUUUCGUUGACCGAGCAGAAGUAGGCACUUGCCUUAGUAAAAUCUUCUUAAAUUUAGCUGCUGGUUUUUCGUUGACCGAGCAGAAGUAGGCACUUACUUGUCUUAGUAGAUCUUUUUAAUGGACUUAUUGGCCAGGGGAUUUCAUGCUGAAUUCAUCUUUAUUGAACUUUGAAUGCGUUACAGAAAUACAGAAUAUAUGCAUAUGCAACAAGCCAUCAUGCGUUUGAAAGGAAUAACUUAUCAAAAUGAAAAUUAAUAGGGCACUUUGCUUACUGGAAGUACUUUUUCAAGUGCUCGGCGUUCCACGACCUCUUCACCUCUCGUCCGUCUGGAUACGCCAGCUUGUAGGCUCCCGGUCCAGUUGCUCGUAUCACCCUGUACGGGCCUUCCCAUUUCGGGCCAAGAGCUCCAUGGUUGGGAUCCCUGGUGUUUUGGUUCACCUUCCUAAGCACCCAAUCUUCUGUUCGGAACUGCCUCACGCGUACGUUUUUGUUGUAAUAACGCGUGACCCUUUGCUGACAUUGGACCACCUUCUGCGAAGCCCGUUCCCUUUUCUCCUCCAGCAGGUCCAGGCUCAAGCAGAUCUGCUCGCCAUUUAUUGCUUCGCCCAAUUCUGAUCCGACCUUAACCACUCUGCUAGGGUCACUCCUGCUUACAACAACUUCCUCCAGCUUCUCAACAGGUUCUUGGCGACCGUUUUUUGAAUCCCCUCGGUUAUCUAGAGAGGUAACUUGCAGUGUUUCCUUGGCCGCUGUAGCAUAGCAGCUCCUGGCCAUUCUCUGGUCGCCCUUUACUACACCCACAACUCCAUUUAUUCUGUAUUUCAGUGCCAGAUAAUGUGUGGACAUUACACAUUGGCUUAUUCUCAUGAACGGUCUCCCCAAUAUCAUCUGGUAAGGACUUCUUUCCUCUACCACGACAAAGUCUAGCAUCAUCGUUCUUUCAAAUGGCUUUGUCCCCACAGUAAUCGGGAGUUCAAUGACCCCCAUGGGAGUUAAUCGUCCCCCUCCAAACCCCUUCAAGGAUGUGUUCGUCCGCUCCAGCUUUAAGUCUGAAAUCCCCAUAUCAUCUAGGGCCGACUUAAACAGAAUAUCGACUGAGCUGCCCGUGUCCACCAGUAUUCGCCUUACUUCUGUACUAGCUACCAACGCUUUAAUCACCAGUGCAUCCUCAUAAGGAUACAAAAUGCCCUCUUCGUCAUCCUCCGUCCACAUAAUGGGCACUUGCCGCACUCUUGCCUUCUUGGCUGCUGGCAAAUUUAGAAGCACCUCUUUGCCAGUCAUGGCGUACCUCCCAUAGUUCUUCCGUGCUCUAUUUGAAUCCCCGACCAAUGUUGGCCCUCCUGCUAUCACACGGAUGGUCGGCUGUUCACGUUCCAGAUCCCUCUCAACUCCUUCAUCCCGUGUGUACUGUGAUUCCAUGGCAGGGGACAUUCCAUCUACAUACUCGUCCAAGUAUCGGUUCCUCACUAAAUCCUCCACCUGAAUCUUCAGGUCACGACAUUGGCUGAUAGUGUGACCAUGAGUGUCGUGGAACUUGCAGAAUCUGCUCUUAUCCCGUCGAUGAGUCGGUUUUGUUAUUGGGGCUGGAAGGUACAGCAGGCCUCGUCCUUCGAUCCUCUCAUACAAUUUCUCCAUGGAGAUCUUUAAUGGAGUGUACUGUCUAUAUGCCAAGCUCUGGUCUACUAGCUGAACUGCUCGGCUAUCAUGAACGUCUCCUCGGGUUGGUAUAGCCGGUAGCUGCUCUAGUCGUCCAGACCUGUAAUUAGUUGCACUUAAUCCUCUGGGAGUGCUGUGAUAAGGGUAGGCAGCCAUCUGCCUGAAUUCUCGCUGUCGCUCUGGGAUCGGGGGGCGCAGAGGUUGAGCCCGGCUGUGUUGGAACUGUUGUGAUCUCGGAGCUAUGGGAUAAGGGCGGGACCGAGCUGAUGUUCCGCCCCUUACUGAGGACUCCCCAGCUCGCUUUCCCGACCCGCUCCCACUUGGAGUUCUUCUUUCCUUUCGUCUCAGCUCCUCCAACUGUUCACUCUUUAUCCUUGCCGAUUUUUCUUCUUCGAUUUCGAUGUCUCUCUUUGCCUGCUCAUACCCUGCUGAAUAACUCUGCACUAGGGGGCUCCUCAGGUUAUUCCAUAGCCGGCCUAUCCUCACACCCUCCUUUAAUCCCCUCAAUGCCUGCGGGUGAUUGAAAGCUCCCAAAUCAAGUACGGCUUGGUGGUAUCGCUUUACAAAAUCCCGUAGGGAUUCAUGCUCCUCCUGUUUUAUCCCCAUCAGUUCCAUCAUGUCAUCCUCUGGGGCUGCUGCUCCUCGGAACUGCUCGGCCAACUCCUGGCACAUCUGCUCAUACCCCUUUAUACUUCCUCGGGAUAGCUUGCGGUACCAUUCUCGGGCUCGUCCCUCUAGUGUCAACGGGAACACCCGGCACCUCUGAGCUGGUGUCAGCCCCUGCACACCCGUCAUGUCGUUGAAACGCUCGAUGUGCACCAGCGGGUCACUUCGCCCGGAGUAUUUGAGGUCGGGGAAGCGGAAAUCUCUUGGGAUUAUGAUACCCAUGAUCUCAGUUGAUAACGGAGAUUCUUCAUCUAGCAUUAUCCUCCAGCUCGGGGGCUUUCUCUUGCCCUGUUUCCUCGACUCUACGCCUCCAGAGGUUGGAUUCUGCUCCAACUUCAUCUCUUCCCACGGGGGUUUCACAAUCCCUUCUCCGCUCAUCCCUCAGCUCAAACAAUAUGGCCGCGAGAGUCUCCAUUUGUUUCUCCAUCCGCUCCAGUCUAUCUUGCAUCAUCCUCUCUCGGGCUUCAUUUGCAAUUUCCCGAAGAGUGAUUGUCUCCCCAGCUUCGUUAUCCUCCCUCAAGGCGUCCUUCCUCGUCACAUCCAUGUCUAACCGUUCGUCGUUUCUCCGGUAACUCCUAAUUCGGUGGUAGCUUUUUAUCCAGCUCCCCACAGACGGCGCCAAAAUGUUGAUGCUUAAAUCUGCUCGCCUUUUGACCGACCAGAUUCUUUCACCAACGUUUGUGUUGUCAACUGCUGCUCGGACCACUGGGGUUGGAAUUGCCCUCCUUCCUCUUACUAGACCUGCGUUCACCAAAAAUGGAUCAGAGACGCCGGUGGUUUUGCCGGCGUAAACCCUCCCAUGCCUAAGUUAGCACAAGGUAUUUACGGAAAAACGGUGUAAUUUGGAUUCAAGAAGGGCUUAUAACUUGUUUCGAAGUUUGAAAGGAAAAGGCAUGAUUGCAAUUUGGCAGCGUUUUCCCUCUCUUCAUUUUUUUUGUCCUUUUCUUCAUCGAUUUCUUCUCCUUUUAUAGCCGUUGUCCCAUGUUCCCGUUUGGCUUUCAUCCCUCUUUUUUCGGAUGGUGGCAGCCCUUCAACGGACUCUAACUGCUACAUCAUGGGCAAACGUGGGGUCUCGCAUUACUCGCAACGGUUCUGGGAGAAGCGUAACUACCGUGAUUCUGUGGGAUCGUGUUCCCGCUUUUUCGGGGGAUGGGUAUCGGCUCGGUAUAUACCUCUGGUCGGUAUACUCCCCUGGUUGUACUCGUCUCUGGUCGGACCAUACUUGUCCCUGUGUUCUGCUCGUACCAUUUGGUUGAGGUGAUCCAUGCCGGCGUGGAAAUAGUAGCAUGGCCGACCUGGUGCGUAGCAUGGCCGACCUGGUGCUUUUAUUUACUUAACAAGUGUUAUAGAGAGAGGCUCAGAGUUGAUUCAUUUUAGGUUGCAGUGGCCAGUGGAGAGAGAGGGAUUUAUUCAACGCUUAGCCAAAAUUUGGCGGAAGUGUUGAUGUGUUUUAAGUUAUAUAAAACGGUGUCGUUAAUUUAAACGGCACUGUUUUACAAUCUUAUAAUUUCACAAAACUUAAGCAUGACUUAUAUGUAUCAUUUAUUUAGGACGGUUAAGUUACGUCAUGAAUAUGUCAUAUAUUCUGGACAUAUGAAUAUAUAUCAUGAAUCUAUCAUAUUUUUAUGAUACAUUCGUGACACAACGAUAUAUGUCAUAAAAUUUCUGUCAUUAUUUAAUACUUUUCUAGUAGUGUCAUAUCUUUAAAACCUUUCUAUUAAUAGCAAAAACUCUAAUCCUUUAGCAAAAGACUAAAAAUUUAAAAAAAAAAAUUCUGUUUAAAUAUCAGUUGGCUCAUGAUCAACACUUCAAUACUAUUUGUUGUAUUUUCUUUCUUUCUUUCUUUGUCAUUUUAUUAGAUUUGCUUAAGUAAUUGUUCAUUGUUUACGUCUGUGUUCUUACUAGCUUUUGAUAAUUUAUGGUUGGUUUUUUAUUCAAACCCUCGAAGUACCUUUCUGUUAACAGCAAAACCUUUGAUCCUUAAGAAAGAAAAAGAAAUUCUCUAUUUAGUUAUUAGUUGGUUCAAGAUCAAUAUCGCGAUAUUGUUUGCGGUCUUUUCAUUCUCUAUCUUUCCCUCUAGUUCAAUUUAAUUUAUUUGUAUUCCUUUCUUUGACCCUUGUAUUUAUAUAUAUAUAUUGUUAAGCAACAGGCAAUGGCUGCAGAAGGGUGCCUCCCUGCUUUUUCCAGCAUUGUAUCACAAGGUUCAAAAGCGUUAUUCGAACCGAUUAUGCGGCACAUAUAUUAUGUGUUCGAGUACCAGAGCUACAUAGAUGGGCUAAAAGAUCGAGUGAAGGAGCUGGAAUAUAUAAGAGAAAGGGUGCAAAUGCUGGUUAGAGAGGCUACUCUACAAGGAGAUGAGAUUUAUAAGGGUGUCAGAGACUGGCUAAAUAGAGUUGCUGAAUUCAGUGAAGGGGUUGCAAAAUCCAUCAUUGAUGAUAAAGAUAGAGCUAAGAUGUUCUGCUUCAAAGGGUUGUGCCCAAAUUUGAUUUCUCGUUACAAGCUUGGUAAACAAGCAGCAGAGGCGCAAACGAAGCUGACAAACUUGUGAAAAAAAGGCGAAUUUAACAUAUGUAAUCAUGUUUCCUACCGUCCUGCUCCAGAGAGUACAGAAUAUGUGCAAGUGAAAGAUUACGUAGCCUUUUAUUAUAAUAUCUUUUCACUCUAUUAACUUAAAAAAAGAUUGACUUCAAAUGUUAAAAAUGUAACAGCGUAUACAUUUUAUAAUAAUUUCAAUAUUUAAAAAAUAUUUGAAUACUUUACAAUCUUAUAUUAUAUUAAACUAAUUUUAUAAUAUAUAGAAACAUAAUAGUAAAAUAAAUAUAUAAAAUUUUAAGUUAGGCUUAAUAUUAUUUAAAAUAAUUUAAAUAUCAUUAAUACAUGAGAUAUAUUAUAUUAAUUAUAAAUUCUAUUUAAUCUAAAUAUUUAUUUAAAUUUUUUAUACUAAAAAUAGAUAUAUUAUUAAAAUAAAUAUAACAACUAACAUUUUAAAAAUUAAUACUGAAAUUAAAAUUAUAAAUUAUAUUAAUCUACUAAAAAGAUUAAUCUAUUUGACACUCGCAGCGGACAAUGAGGUCACGGCAUAGGACAACUUCUUUUGAAAAAAAAAAAAAUCAAAAUCAAAGUCAUUGAAGUGCGUUUGAUGAUUUGCUGUGUAGCUUCUCUCUCAAAUGCUUUUCGAGUGCCUCUGGUAUCUGCUUUUAUAUAAGCUUUUGUCUUUAAUCAUUCAUUCAAGCUUUCGCUAAGAGUGAUGCAGCACAGCACGUAAAUAUAGAAGCAUUGACAGCCGUAGUCAGGAGCUCUUCGGUAUUUGAAGCAAGAAUGGUUGUUUGGCUUUGUGCAUUGAAAGAGAAAAGAAAAUAGAAUGACUAAUUUCAAUAAUACAAUUUAAUUAAUUAAUUUAAAAUAAUAAGCAUAUAAUAAUGAUGAAAUUAAUUAAUAAAAAGAAGAAAAUGAAAAUUGCACGUGCUAUUAGCAUAAACCAAUUGCCGGAAUGAGGUCACUUUGUAGACAAAUGAUUCUGGAAUCAGAACUUGGGCCAGCUUUGGGUUAUGGAUCCAAAAUAAAAAUAAGGUGGGCCACAUGGUCUCUUAUGAUCAAUAAAAAUCGAUUGAAAAGGAUGGUAUGGUGAGUGGAAGAGAAAUGUCGAUGGCAGAUCAAGGGAUGAAGAUACGAGCUCACUUGCAACGUGGUAUAGUUCAUCAUGGCUUUCCUAUAAGUUCAGGUCCUUUGAAUACUUUCAAUGACCUUAUUAGUCAGGAAUUUAACAAUAAUUUUUAUUUUUUUACAUCCAGGAACGGUUUUAAGCAUAGGAAAAUUAGGCCUAUAAUAGCAAAUCUUCUUUUUUAGGCCUCUUUUUAGUUAGUAAUUAUCUUAUAAUUAAGAAUUUUUAUACACAUUCUAUAUUUGAUAACCUUAAUAUUAAAGAUCUCUAAUUGUUAAUUUAUUAUUAGUUUUUCCAAGAAAAAAAUUAAAUUCUUUAUCUAUUUAAAAAAGUUUAUUAUUUAACAUUAUAAAAUUUUUUGCGCCAUUCUCUAUAAAGAAAAUUAUUACAUUUAUUGGUUCACUUUUGAAUUAAAAAAAAGUUUAUUAAAUAAUAAUUCUAGAGGAAGUAAAAAAGAUAUCUUCUUGGAAAUGUUUCAAACCCAUGUGUUUGGAUCUGUUUGAUAAUUUGUCGAAUUUGCCCACAUAUGAAAUUAGUAUGAUUUUACAGGUUAUAUUAUUUAAUUGGCUAUUUCAUUAAAAAAAAAAAAAAACACACACACACACACACACACAAGGAUUUUUAUUUGAUGGUAGAAGUUAAGUUGUUUUUCAGUGAUAAAUAAUGUUGUUAACCAAAUUUAAUUGACAUUCUACGUGGCAGUAAUUCAAUUUUAUAGAAGCACGUGGAUUAAAGGACAAAAACACAUCCAGUAUUUAAUAUUGGAUAUGAAUAUGGAUUUUAUCCAUAUAGAUAUGGAGAUCUACGGAUAUUUUAUUUUUAUUAUAUAAAACUAAUAAUAUAAAAUAGUUAAAAUUUCAAUAUCAAAUUUGAUUAUUAAACUAUUUAUAUUAGUAAUAAUAUAUAUAUAUAUAUAUAUAAUGAAAUGGCCGUCCGGUGGCCGGCAACGGAGGUCCGCGAAGUCUCUUCAUUCUCCUGUUAAGUAAUAAAAAAAAUCAAAACAGAGGAGAAACAUGGCCCUCUUUUCAUUCCCCUGUUUGAUAACAAUAAAAACAAAACAAAGGAGAUACGUGGACUCUCUUCUCAUUCCCCUGUUUUUCUUUUCGGUUUGGCGAUUUUAAAAUUUGAUAUCUACACUCAUUAAAAAAAGAAAAAAAAAAGUUAUUCCAAGAUGAUUUUCUAUUUUCAUAUAGACGUUUAUUUAUUAACCAAAAUUUAAAAAGUGUAAUUCUAAACUUAUCCUUGUGCUUUGAUCUUGGAGGGAUUUUUCAUUUUUUCUACACUGGUCUUAUCAAUUAAUGAUGAAAGUUCUUAUCAUUAAUUGCUUUGGAAAUGAGCAAGCACGGUAUGACCCCUAAGAGAAUUUAUUAAUUGGACAAGUUAUAUAACACCUUUGAUAUGGCUCCUAGACAUGUAUGCAAUUUGUAUCUUUUAGUUUUGCUUUUAAUUCUUUUUUAAUUAAAUGAGUCCGGAUUAGGUCAGUGGCAGAUAAAAGAGUCGGUUUUUCCAUUACUAAGCUUUUCAUGGAUGAAAAUUUUAUUUAUUUUUUUGGUUUUAAAGGUUCUCUGUGAAUGCCAUUAGAAAUGAGAUUGACUAAUUCAAGCUUCCUUUUUCCCCUUAGCAUCCAAACGUGUGAGGCAAGGGCAACUAAUGAGUCCCUUGUGAUGAGAACCUUUGUCUAAGCAAAAGCAGAGGUCAAUUGCUAAUACCGUAAUGUUAUUACUUUCAGUGCUUAAAUUGCUCCAUAAGCUUGCAUUUUAAAGUCUUUGUCUUAAUUUCUGUGGUAUACUGGUUAUGAGACCUCCUGCCAAGUUCAAGUUUCUUGAUGUCUUAUAAUUCCAUUUGUUGUGGUGGUUACUUUGUCAUAGAACUGACUGUUAAAGGCCAUCAAUCAGCUCUGUUUUGUAUUUGUGUACGUUUUUUUUCGUAUAAUGAUCAAUCAAAUGUUAGCCCUUAGAUUGCAUCCAAUAUUUAUUGAUUGUCUUUAAUUAGGAUAUAAACUAAAUUCAUAAGACAUUCCCUUAUUGAUAUUCAUUCCAACACGUCCUAGUCUUUUGCCUUGUAGAAAUGCUUGUGGUUGAAGAGCUUUACACAGAAGCUGUCGUCAGUACUGCGCGGAAAUUGAUUAUAUUGAAUCAGAAAACUUGACUAGGUAAGGUCUAUGUGCAUGAGAAUACUUGGAAAAUCUUCACAAUACUGAGGGCCGGAUCUGCACUCUUUCCUCUAUAUGUGUCUUCAAUAUCAAUGGCUCAAAUACAUGUGUUAUGGUCUUUUAAUAUAAAAUACCAUUAUCUCAUGCGUUAUGGUCUUAUCCUUGUAUUCUUAAAAACUAUAUAAAAUACCAUUAUCUCUGCUUUUGUAGCUAUUGAAUUCGACUUUCACAACAUAAAUAUUUAUUUAUGUUAAUGUGUAUAAUUUUGAAAAUUAUAUGCAUUGUUAAUGUGUAUUAUUGUCUAAUAUUUGGAUUUUAUUAAUUUACAACUGCUAUAACUUAAGGCCUCUUCAAACAUAAUGUGAGUCCCACCACGUGUUAAAUUUUUUACAUUAUUUUUGAAGGAACUAUAAGUUACAGCAGCUGUAACUUAGCAGCACCUCCAAUAUUUUACUUUACUUCCCCUAAUAUUUUACUUGUACUUUUAUAUCUUUACAAAACAAUACCAACAAGACAAUAAUGUAUGAAAUAAAUAAAUAAAGAACUGACAACGAAAUUAGGCCUAUCAUUAAUUUCUCGUGGCGUGAACUCUUGACAAUUCUCCCAUAUCCCACCUGAAGCUCUCGCGUGGUGUGAACGCUUGACGAUUCUCCCAUAUCCCUCCAAAAAUUUGUCAUAUUACGAAAAGCAAUGUCAAUUCAAUGUCGUCUCCAUUAAUCAUAGUGGCAGAUAGGACUAGAAUUUGUUGAAACCCCCGGACUUAUUUUUCCUUUUGAAAAUAAUUUUGUAGAAUCUCAUAUCGUGAAUAACAGACAAUGAGACUCUUUUUUUUAACUAUAAUAUUUUUUUUUAAAUUAUUAACUAAAAAAAUAAUUUUAAUAUUUUUAUAAUAAAUAUAAGUAGGAUAUUAAAAUAAAUAUAAUAAUAUUUAUAUAUUAAAAUAAUUUCAAUACCAAAAAAUAUUUUAAUAUUUUACAAUCUCGUAUUCUAUUAAACCAAAUUAUAAUAAAUAGAGACAUAAUAUUCAAAUAAAUAUAUAAAAAUUUAAAUUAUUUUCAACAUCAUAUAAAAUAACUUUAAUAUUAUUAAAACAUGAGAAAUAUUAUAUUAAUUAUAAAAACUAUUUAACCCAAGGAUUUGUUUAAAAUUUUUAUAAUAAAUAUAUUAUUAAAAUAAAUAUAUUAAAUUACAUUUUAAAAAUUAAUUAUUUAAAUUAUACAUACUAGUCUACUAGAAAAUUUAAACUAUUUAAAUCAUAUAUACAUUUAGUAAAAAAUUUUGAAGUCAUUUUUUUUUAUGUGGCUACCAUAAGAGUACUAUAGUCAAAAAGGGUAUUGGUGUUCUUUAUUAAAAUUUUGGGGUCUACAUGACUAUUUUCUAAAAUUUUAAGGGUGUCAUUUUAUUUUUGGAAAAAAAUAAAAAUUUCAUUUAAACGGCUAAAAUGGUGAAUGAUGGUUGUCGAAGCCAACAAAAAUAAAUAGAUACUCUAAAUAAAUUGUAUAUAGUGAUUGAGCAGGGUCGUGUCCACAUAGAUCGGUAAUUAUUUAAAUUCUUUUAAAACAUAAAACAUAAAAUGGGGGUUUUGUUGACAAUAAUAAAAAUCAAAGUAAAAAAACGAAUGCAAAUUAAAGUUGGAAUUCAAAUUGGAGAAAGCUCUGGUUGAAGGAAUUAACUCAGCUUGAUUCAACUGCUGAUCAUUGAUUCAAAUAUAAAUUAUUAUUACUUAUGAAUAGACCGGUUAUAGCUACUGAGACCCUCUAAUAGCCAAUCUCUCCUUAAUUAGUCAAUAACCAAGGUACGACCGUUGGUUAUUUUCCUAAUCAAUAGACAACCCUAGAUACGAUCAUAGAAUUUAAUCAAUUGACAGCCUGAAAAACCAGAGAGACCCAAAUCCUAAUCAACAAACACAUACGAUGGUUCAUUUAAAUUAGAUUGUUUAUUCUCACAACACAACUCUUUGCUAUGUUAUUUGUCACAAACAUUAAAAUCUUCAUACGAUGAAUCCUUUAAUUGACAAUAGAUUAAGUUGAUAAUUAAAUAGUGGCCAAUUACCUAAUUAACAAACAUAAUCAUGAAAAUAAUUUAGAGAAUAAACAAAUACCCAAAAAGCAAUAAAAAAAUUAAAGCAUAAGAAAGAUCUCACAGUAGUGAUGAAUCAAAGCUUCAUUAACCUUCAACCAGAAAAAUAGGUUUAGUUCUUCAUAGAGAGAAGAGAAAAGUUUAGAUCUAGGGUUUCUUUCUUUUUCCAAUCUCCCAUUUUUCACAAUAGAUUCCUCCCUUAAAUACUCUCUCUCUCUUCUCAUCUAGAGUUCUAUUUAAAAUAAAAUACUAAUAUCUGAAAUAUUAAAUUCAUAAUUACAAAAAUAACCAAAAAUACAAAACACGUUAAACUAAAAACUGCAGGUCCGUAGUUGACAGCACGCGCCCACGCCUUAUCAACAAAGUUCUUUUGACGCUCAUAAUUUCUCCAAUGGAACAAUCAUCCUUAAACAUCAUCUUGUAACUCAAUUUUUGCACCAAUCAAUAGAAUUGCACCUAUAAAAAUAAAACACAAGUAAAUCACUAUUAUUAAGUACAAAACAUCGAUAUUAAGGGAAGUAAACAAUUCAAAACUAGUGCAUAAACUGCACUCUAACAGUGAAUAGUACAAUGCUACAGUGGGCGUAAAUGGAAGGUAAAAAGCACUCAAAAUGACCAACAGUCUAAUGCCUCAGCAGGGACAUAAGGUCAAAGUUUGUUACAUGUGGUUAGGGCCAUUUAGUCUGUGAGUGGGUCCUGCGUGUCAUUUUUGGGCAUUUCAUCUUCUUUAGCAUUGAAGAUUAAAUGUUGCCGAUAUUUUCAAAAUUUUGGAAGACCCAUCACACUUUUGGAUGGUUGUCAUUAUUUGAUAUUAUCAUUAUAUGACGAAAUAAAAUUGGAUGUAACACUUGUUUCGCGUUGUGUGAACUUUUGACAAUUCCCCCAUAUCCCCCAAAAAUCUUUCGCCAUUUUGGGAAGAUGCCAUUUAUUUUCAUUUUCAUCAUUGAUAGUGGCAGAUAAUGGGUUCGGGGACAUACUAUAAAUUAUUAUGACCCAUGGACUUUUCUAAUUUUUUUCCCUUUGGAUAGUUGUCGUUAUUUGAUAUAAGGAGAUAGAGAUAAAGUUUUUUAAUCAAAUGCCCAUUUUUUUUACCUUUGGAUAGUUGUCGUUAUUUGAUAUAAGGAGAUAGAGAUAAAGUUUUUUAAUCAAAUGCCCAUUUUAUUUAACAUGGAAGAAGAUCUUUAAACUCUAAGUGAGGCUAUCACUUCAACUGAUGCAGCCCUCAAGAAAGAGGUAACAAGUGAUGAGAUAGACUCAUUAUUGUCUAAUCAAAAAAGGACAUCAGUAGAUGUAUCAGGAUCUUAAGUUAGAUUGGAAUUUGAUACAUUGUUGCUGGUAACAUUGGUUCAAACCUUUAAAGCGAGGUUGGAUGCAAAAUGGUUUACACCAAAGAAGUGAUUUAGGAAGUUAAUUAACGUUAUUUUAGAUAAUUUAUAAUUCUAGAAUAUUUAUUAUUUUAUGAUUUUCUAUUUUAGUUUGAGUCAAUUAUGGUAUGUAUCUUAAUCUUUUAUUUCCAUUAUAAUUAUGAUUUAAAUUUUCUUUUUAGGUUAAUUUAGGAAAGUGGAUUUCUUUUAUUAUAAAUAAAGAUGUCUGUAAUAAAAAAAAAUAAAGAUGUCUUGUCAUUAUUUUCAAAACUUCAAGUUCAAUUAUUAAAUAAAACCCCUCUUUUAUAAUUUCCUCUAAGAUUAUUUAUCAAAAUCUCUCUUGUAGAGUCGUUUGGAUUAGAGUGUCAUCUAAUCUCGUAUUACGCGUUAUUAAAAAUCGCAUUGAGUCAUUUGGAUUAGAACAAUAUCUAAUCACGCUUCGAAUAGAGCGUAAGCUAAUUGCAUUGGCUUGGUCCAGUAUUAGAACGAUAUCUAGUGUUUCUUACCCUAUAAUUCUGCUUCCGCUACGCCUCGCUCCAUCAAUUCGUAUCAAAGCGAUUCUAUGCGAAUCACACAUCGUUCCUAGAUACACGAUACCCAUCCAAACCAAAUCCAUCAAAAAAAAAAAAAUUUACAAAUUUGAAAACCCUACCCGUCACAUCAACCUCCACCGCCGCCCACACCGCCGAUCAGCCAGCCAACACCACCACAAACCUCACUAGCCACCGUCGACCAAGCCUCAGUCAUCGCUGCCUCAACGGCCGCUUGAACAGCCGCAAAUCACCAACGCAAACCCGCGGCUCCACCAAGCAACCCACCACCAUUCAGCCACUUUCUCCAUCAGCCACCUCCACCAACAAACUCGCCGGCCUCCGUUGGCCAAAAACCAACCAACUUCAGCCCUUGAUCGCCGCCCGCUGUCACCAGACGAAACGACAACCCACGAGUGCUUCCUACACGCGCCGCCACCAAAACACCUUGUUUUUCCGUCAAUUUACACCACCACCAUAAUCCCUAGCAGUCGGCAACCGUAAAUCCAGUCUUCUGCCACUGUAAGGCCGCCAUAAACCAAAAGCCACAUCACCAAAAUCAACCGCCAAUUCAAGUCGGAUUUCCCCCAAUUCAAGUUGCUGAAUAUAAAAAGGACUCAUGAAAAUUACUAAAGUUUCAAAUAUUGUUAUUCAGCAACCACUUUUAGGUUACAUUAGUUUCAACCCAAAUUUUAUAUAAAUAAUUUAUAACUCCCAUUAUUAUUAUAAAAAAAAUUGUAGCAAUUGUGGUUAUAUCACAUGAAAAAAAAAAAUUCUAAUUAAAGAAAUUGACAUUAUAACUUAAAAGGAUAGUUGCUCUUUUAAUCAUUAGAAUUUAUGUCAAUUAUCCAGCUUAUCAUUGCAUUCUUAAAAACUAUAUACAAUACCAUUAUCUCUGCUUUUGUAGCUAUUGAAUUUGACUUUGACAAUAUAAAUAUUUAUUAGCAACAACUUAAAAUUCAAACAAAUCUAAUAUGUAAUGUAUGAAAUACAAAUAACAAUUAAACAAAUUUUGAUUAUUUAAUAUUAAGAUAUAAUCACAUUAAUAUCAUAAGGAUAUGUGGUACUCAAAUAAUCUUUUAAAAAUCAAACCCAAAUUAUAUAUUAUUAAUAUGUAUUAUUAUCUAAUAUUUAGAUUUUGUUAAGUUACAACUGCUGUAACUUAAGUCUCUUAAAAAAUAUGUGGGUCCCACCACCUAUUAAAUUUUUUACAUUAUUUUUAAAAAAAUUAUAAGUUACAUCAGUUGUAAUGUAAAAGCCCCCCUAAUAUUUUACUUUACUUUUAUACCUUUAGAAAAACAAUAAUGCAUGAAUAAAUAAAGAACUGACAACAAAAUUGGGCCUAUCAUUAGUUUCUCGUGGUGUGAACUCUUAACAAUCCUCCCCUAUCCCACCUAAAGCUCUCGUGUGGUGUGAACGCUUGACAAUUCUCCCAUAUCUCUCCAAUAAUCUGUCAUAUUGCGAAAAGCAAUGUCAAUUGCAAUGUCGUUUCCCAUUAGUCAUAGUGGUAGAUAGGACCAGAAUUUUUUGAAACCCCUGAGGCCCUGAACUUGUUUUUCCUUUUGAAAAUAAGAAAAGGACACCCGUCUGGAGAAAUAAUUUUGUAGAACCUCAUAUCUUGAAUAACGGACAAUAAGAUUUUUUUUAAAUUAGAUAUUUUUUAAAUUUAUUAACUAAAAAAAUUAACUCUAAUAAUUUAUGAUAAAUAUAAAUAGGAUAUUAAAAUAAAUAUAAUAAUAUAUACAUAUUAAAAUAAUUUCAAUAUCUAAAAAUUUUAAUAUUUUACAAUCUCGUAUUCUAUUAAACCAAAUUAUAAUAAAUAGAGACAUAAUAUUCAAAUAAAUAUAUAAAAAUUUAGGUUAUUUUCAAUAUCAUAUAAAAUAAUUUUAAUAUUAUUAAUACAUGAUAAAUAUUAUAUUAAUUGUAAAAUCUAUUUAACCUAAGGAUUUAGUUAAAAUUUUAAAAUAAUUACAAAUAUUUUAUAAAUACAAAUAAAUUAAUUUACAUUUUAAAAAUUAGUAUUGAAAUUUAUUAUUACUUGGACAAAUUAACACCAAAAUUAAUAUCUAUGCAAUUUGUGUCAUUUACUUUUGCUUUGUAAUAUUUUUUAAAUGAGUCCCGAUUGGUUCAUUGGCAGAUAAAUGAGUCGGUUUUUCUGUUUUUAUUUUAUUUUAUUGUUUUUGAAAAUGGUUUUUCUGUUACGAAGCUUCUCAUGGAUGAAUUUUUUUUUUAAUUUGGGUAAUUUUUAAUUGGGUCCUAAUUAUUUCUAGAAAAAAAAUUCAGAGACCAAAAGUUUACUAAAUGAAUGAAUUAAAUCCUUUUAAGUGCAAAUUUAUGUCAUUCAAGCCCUUAACCCAAUUCUUCCGUUAAAAAAAUUAGUGAAAAUGUUAAGUUAAAUAUAAAAAGACAGGUAUACCCUUAUAAUCAUAUUAGUGAUUUAAAAUACAAUUUUAGCCUUGGACAUUAUUUUUUUUUUCAAUCUAACAACCUAUUUAUCAAUUUGAGUAUUUGAAAACACUAAACGAAUAUCUUUCGCCAAUUUUUAUAAAAAUUCAAAUAUAAAGAGUGAAUUAUACAUGAAAAUGUAAUUUGCUAUCCAUAUAAUUUCAUCACAUCAAUAAAAAUAUGAUAAUUGUUAAACUAAAUAACAUAUGUAUUGAAUAUAAUAUUAAAAAAAACACAAUAACAUUCGGUCUAAAAAUGAAAUUAAAAGUAUGAAAGUCAAUUAAAUUCAAACUAACAAAUACCUUAACAAUACUAAAGUAAACUGAAAUUUAAACACAAAAAAUAGUUAAUUGUCUUCUGAACUCUAUAAUGGAGAAUUAAAUGCCAACCCAAGGUGAAAUUGUACUAUCCUACUCCCUGUUAACUAUGAUAAGUUCUUCAUUUUGAGGUUGAGGUACAAUCCACAAUAGUUGUGUAUACAGUCCCACUAGUUGAGUGACAUUGAUUGAAGCCUAACUAGCUUGUUUUGGAACUAUUGCCAAUUGAUUGUUCAUUGACAUCUACUUCUUGAGAUUGUGGGUUAGUUUCAUGCUAUUCAAAAAAGAAAAAAAAAACAUCAAUUUCAUUAAAUAAAAAAAAAAGAAUCAAUCUAUUCAAUAUAAUUCCACAAUCAAAUCAAACAUAUAUAGCUAGUCAUGUUUUAUUAGCUGCAUACACAUCACUAGGAUCACCAAGUUAUUAAUCCAUUUGAUAACAUAACAAAAAAAAAUAUAAUGAGAUUCAAUUACAAAAUCAGACCUGUGUGGUUGAUGAAGUGAUAUCACUUGCCUGUGCACAAAAAAAAAAUCACCAAGUUUUAAGCAAUUUAAUGAAAAAGAACAAAAAACAAUCCUUUAGAAUUAAAUUUUCAAAAUCAUAUUAAACACGUCCACUUGAUUAAGUCUUAUUUCUUCCUUACACACAACCAAUAUCACCAAGUUUUAAGCAAUAUCUAGUGCAAAAGAAAAAAAAUCCUUUUGAAUUUAAUUAUAAAAUAUAAUUAAAUUAAACCAAUGCACUUGAUGAAGUCCUAUUGCUUCCCUGCACAACAUGAAGAUCAAUAUUUGUUAACUUCACCAAACGAAAUUUAAAAAACAAAAAUGACUCUUAUAUUAUACCUUUAUGGUUCUUGUGGUUUUUGGAAAAUUAGGGCAGCCCCUUUUGUUGUGCCCAAGAUGUCUGCAAGCACCACAUUUGAUAAUAAACCGUUUAUUAGUUAGUUUGGCCUCACCAAUGUCUUUUGUUCUUUUCUUUUUCGGUCUACCAACUGGAGCCUUUAUGUAAGGUGGUCCAACCUUCACAGGCACCACAACAUCAGGUGAAGGUUCAUCUUCCACUUUAGGCCAUGCACACUCAUAAGGAAUAGGAUUUAUAGUCCCUAUGUAUGUCAUCAUAAAAAAUUCAUUGGUCAGAUAAUGAUGCACAUAAUCUUCACGUUGCCCUCCUUUAUUAAAAAUAGCAGCUACUGAAUGUUUGCAAGGCACUCCACUAACUUGCCACAUCUCACAUUCACACGUACCAUCUAUAAUAUGUACUAGGAAAUUUCUAUAGCCAUCUUGACAACAUUCAAACAACUCCUCUCUACCUCCAAAGACCUUAAUUCUCCUUGUCUCAUUUGAGGAUUGAUUUGGUCUGUCUCUAGCAUAUGGGGUCAAACGGUCUUGCCAAGUUUCCCCUUGUUGAUAUUUUUCCAAUAUUCUCACCAUUAGUUGUCUACGAAUAUGCUCAAGAAUGGUUAGGACAAGCUUGUCCCUAACCUCAUCCACCCACUUAUUAAAAGAGUCAAUCAUGUUGUUUGUAACAUGGUCAAAUUUCACAUGGUGAUCAAACCCGCUUCUAGACCACUGUGCAGAUGGUAUUUUUCUCAACUAUUCACAACAAUUUUAGUCUUUAGCCCUAAUUUGACUCAUUGCCCUCUCAAAGUCAUACUGAUUUACAGCCCUAUAAGCUUUCCAAAAUAACCCCAUGACAUUCAAACCAGGAAACUUACACUUCAAAUUGGCAAAGAUAUGCCUAGCACAAUAUCUAGUACUAGCAUUAGGCUAAUAUUUUUCCAGUCCCUAUAAAAGACCUUUUUGUCUAUCACUAAUAAUAGUCACAUGCCUAUGAUCAUCAUCCCUAAUGAAUUCCUACAGCAAAGAUAAAAAAUAACCCCAACUAUCAUAGUUCUCUGCCUCACAUAUGCAAAAAGCCAGCGGAAAAAUUCCACUAUCAACAUCUAAUGCAACAACAAAUAACAAUACUCCCUUGUAUGGCCCCUUCAAGUGACACUCAUCCAAUCCUAUGAAAGGUCUACACCCAGUUAGGUACCCCACUUUAAGUGUAGGAAAUGACAAAAAAAAAAAAAAACUUUGAAAACCUAGGCUAUUUGACUAUGGCCUAUCAACCUUUACCUUGACACAAGCACCUUUAUUCAUUUUCAUUAGAAUGUGAGCAUAUUUCAAAAGCUUUCCAUAGCAAGUAAUGUGGUCAGCACCUCGGUUUUUUAAUGCAAUUUUUUUGCCCUGUAUAGUUUUUGUUUGUCACAUUCAAUCCCAUGUUUAUCUUUUAACUCACUCCUUAUAACAUUUACACCAACUCCUAGGUUAGUUUGAAUAAGUUCAGCACAACUUUAGCUAUCCAAAGUGCUGUUGCAUCUUUGUUAACUGAUUUAAUAUGGCAAUCAUGUUUCCCUUUAAUAUACCUAACUUUAAAAGUUAUCCCAUCAACCAUCGAUGAAGCAUGAAAUUUCCAAGUUCAUUUUGGAUUGACACAAUAACAAGUAUACUUAACACCAUCAUUUUUAAUCCUAUUUAACUCAAAAUCCUCUUGGAUUGCAUAUUUCACCAUAACCUCUCUUAAUAAUGCAACAGAUUCAAAGGUAUUUCUUACUUUUAGACUAACUGAACCAUUUAGUUUUGGUUUCCACUCAUUAUCAAUAAUGGAUUCAUACAUAUGUGAGAGACCAUUCUCUUCAUCAAAUGAGUGCACUCCGAUAAAGCCAUCCUCACUAAAUUUUUCAAACUUAUCAGUACCCAUACUAACACCUAUAUUGAUAGGACUUUUAGAUCCUAUUACAACACUUUCAUGACAUGAUUGACCACCUAACCCAGUGUGCACCUCAAACUCAAUAACAUGCCAACUAUUAGUAAAGAACUCCUAAAAAACCGAAUACAAUUCACUAUCAUUUGAAAUUAGCUUCCUCUGCCUACUUGUAGUCCAUGGUAACACAACAGAAAUUUCAAUCAAAUCCAUUUCGUUGUGUCCAUAUUUAACCAUGACUUCUAGAAUUUCAUGAAACAACCUAAUACUCUUAUAUUCCUAUGGGUUCCUAUAUCCUAUCUCAUACACUGCCCCAUUAAUUUUAACCAACAAAAAAAAGGUAACAUGGCUACCUGCAUCAAUUUUAAACAAAAGGUAUUGCAUCAAAAAAUGGCUAAACUAAUACAAUUUUAUUUAGCAAAGAAUAAAAAAACUCAACCUAAAUGAAAUAUACAUGUAAUUCAGUUAAAAAAGGUACAAAAGCAAAUUCAAUCUAAUACAUAUAAAAAUAAAAAUUGAAAAGAAAAAAUAACCCAGCAAAUAUAGAGAAUUUAGUCUAAUAUAUAAAAAUUACCACUCAUAAUAACACAUAGAAUUCAAUUUUACAUGAACAAAGAAGCAAAUACAACGAAUUCAAUCUUAUUAAUAUAACGAUACCAAUUAGUUGAAAUGAAAUAUUGUACAUAUACAACAACUCAAGAAAGCAAAUAAAAUAAGCUAAAUAAGUUCAAUAAAUACAUAUAUAAAUAUGGUGUAUUUGUUCUAUUUAUUAUAUAAAGAGCAAAUUAAAAAAAGUAUAUUAAAUACAACAUUCAAUAAAAAAAUCCACCAAUAAUUAAACAUAGUUUGUCAUUUAGAAAAAUAGACUUGAAAAACCUAAUUUUUCACAAAGAUCACUAAAUAUGGAAACAAUUUUUUCAGAAAAUGCUUGCAAAAAUCACUAAAAAAUUAGAGUUACUAACUUUGAAACUCAGGUUCUCUCCAACACUUGAACUCAACCAAUGCUAACAAAUCUUUGGUCAAAAUCACAAUAGAUUUAUACAACAUGUUUUGCGCCAUCCCACGUUCUCUCAAUCUCUCCUCUCACACGAAGAAUACGGCAGUUUCUAUAGUAUUUUUUUUUUUCGUUUGAAAGAACUUUAACUUGGUUAGGUUAAUUGACUUUGCUUUAAACUAUUGCCACCUGUAAGCAAACUAUUGCCACCUGUCAAAAAUAAAAGAAUGAGGAAGGGUUCAAUUGUUCUUUUACUAAAAUGUCCUCAAUGUUGUUAAUAUCUCUAACGGACGAGUUAAGUUAAGGACUUGAAUGACAUUACUUUGUACUUGAAAGGAUUUAAUUGAUUUAUUUAGUAAACUUCUGGUUUUUGAAUUUUUUUCUAAAAAUAAUGAGGGCUUAAUUAAAAAUUACCCUUUAAAUUUUAUAGAUUCUCUGCGAGCGCAGUUAGAAGUACCAAGUUUUGUUAGGUAGAAGGGUAUUUAAGUAAAUCUGCCCACAAUGAAGAAUAGUUCAGAACAGUUGAGGAAGCAUGAGAAUACUUGAGGAAAGCCUGAUAAGAAUUACGGCCGGAUCUGCACCCUUUCCUCUAUAUGUGUCUUCAAUAUAAAUGGCUCAAAUAUAUGCGUUAUGAUCUUUUAAUAUUUCGCCUCUGAUAUUGCCCACAUUGCUUACUGCAACACAUAAAGCACUUCGUUUACCCCAAAUCCUGAUAGGGAAGUAUAAAUAUAUGCUUCCGAAAUAGCGCAACUCUCCAUAAUUAUUUAAUAUGCCUCUCAAUGAAGCAAUCACCUUCAUUUACAACUCUGCGAUUAUUAAUCCUACAUACACGUGUUUCUUUUGUCUCUAAAAGUAUUCUCAAUUAAUUUACAUAAUUUAAUAUAAUAAGUACCUAAGACUAGACAAAUUUUCAUUACAAUAAAAUGAAUAAAUUAUAAUAGUAUUGACACAAUAAUGUCAAUAAUAAAAACUUUAAGAAGCCUAUAAAUUUUAAAAUAUGACUCAGAGUGCUACAAUGAACCACAACAAGUUAUUAUAUGAUCUAUAAUCAAUAUUCUAAUGAUAACAGAGUUCCUCUAUUUUCAAUCCCCUACUUUUCUAUUUAGCGAUUGUCAAAUUUUAUAUCUAAAAUUCUUCUAAUUUUACACUAAGGUUUAUUUUUUUAAAAAAAAAGGGGCAGGAGAAAGAGGCUAGAGAGUAUUAAAAAAUGUCAUUCUAAAUUUUCACUUGAGCGUGGUGUGAUUUUUAUCAUUUUUUAAAAUUGGCCAUUUAUAUUGAGUAAAUAAAAGAAUGAAUAGACGUUUGGACCACUUCUUUUCUGUUAUAAUAAAACAUGAGAUGUCUUCUCUUGAUGCUUUCGUCACAAAAGAAUAUGUUUAUGUCAUCAUAGGCUUAAAUGGGGUAAGUAAAUUAAGAUCGAGGACAAGUUUGUUUAAGCACUAAAGUCGCUAAAUAAAAGAAAGGCUCAUAUAAAAAUUACCUAAAGCACCAAAUAUUGUUAUUCAGCUACUUCUUUUAUGUUACAUUAUUUUCUACGCAAAUUUAUAUAAAUAAUUUAUAACUCCCAUCAUUAUUAAAAAAAAAAAAAACUGUAGCAAUUGUGGUUAUAUCACGUGGUGUGAUUGUUGUGAAAAUUUUAAUAUACUCGCAAGCGCACGAAUCUAGAAAUAGAGUAGUGGUAACGAGGUCGAUCCCACAGGGAUUGAUAAAAAGUCUAAUUUAAAUCUAAAAUUAAUAUUACUCCUAACCUAGUUGAGCAAAUUGAGUUUUUAAGAAAAUUAAACCAAUUAAACUAAGGAAGCAAUUAAAAUAAAAGAGAAUUCAAUAAGAUAGAAAUUACCAAGGUUUCAGAAUCCACCACUAUUCAACUAGUAAUUAUCUAAUUAUUAAUUAAUCCCCAAUUUUAGAGUGACAACUCGAAAUCAAUCUAUGUCAUCUCAUAGAUAUAACAAUUAAGCCCAAGUAAUUAAAUCUAAUGUAGGUUCUUUUUCUGCUUAAUAAUAUGACAUCUAAGCAUCCCAUGUAAACAUAUUGAAUAACAAAGAGUCAAAGUUUUCCUAAGCACUCUAUGUAAACAAUUUAAUGAAAGACAUAAAAUCAAAGAUAAUCAUGUAUAAACUUUAUAGAUCCAAGCAUAGAAUUAAUCGAAUAUUAAUCCUAACAAUCAAUAAUGCAUGACAGAAUUGAUGAAAAGAUUUUAAUAACAUCCAAUUAAUCAUGUGAAAUAAAAACCAUAAUUAUCAAAGAACAUAUAUAGGGAAUUAAUUAAAUAAAAAGAGAUAAUUAUUUCAUUGAAUAGGGUUUCAUCCUUAACCUCAGUAUAAGAGAAUUAGUUAGACAUACUUGAAUUGGGAACAACAAAAAAAAUAAAAUCACCCAUGGAAACCGAACUGCUGCUGCCCAACCUUGCGUCUUGCGUCUGCCGAAUUCUCCUUCUCCUUUCGUUUCUGUCCAGCAGCUCCCUUUUAUAUUGCUUGGCCACGGAAUCCUAUUGUGAUUCUAAUAACUAAACCAACUCUUACAAGCUAAAGCUCUAAGCUUGCCACGUAAUUGAAAACAAUAAAAGCCAAAAGCUAUUGAUUUCCUUCCUUUAUUCUACUUUGACUUUCCAUUCAAAGGCUUAAUUAAAAGCUUUGUUUUUAUGUGCUGCCCACUUUAGCUUUAACUUUCAUCUUUGUUUGCACGAGCAUGGAGAAUUCAAUUUAUUGGAUUCGGCUUCUUCCACAUGCACGUAUGUCUAAUUGGUUCCAAAUCAAUUAAUCUUUAAUGCUUACAAAUUGAACUCCUUUAUGCUCUUUUUAUCCAUAAUCUCCAAUUAAUUCCCUAUUCAAUAAAAUAAUUCAAUUAAUUAAAAAUAACAAAUAAAAAUAACUAGCAAUUAAAUAAUUAAGGGUAAAAUAUGUAUAUAAAUUAUGCUCAUCAAAUACCCCCAAACUUAGAUUUUGCUAGUCCUCGAGCAAAACUAAAAAAAAAAAAAAACAAAAAUAAAAAUAAUGAAACAAAAAGUAAAUCCGAACUAAACCACUUUCGCAGGUAAUCGCGAUUGCAUUUAGCGUAUGCAACAAGCCUUUAAACCCCUAGGCGGCCCUAGUGGACGAGUUAUAGUCUCGUGAGGGCUUCAGUGAUGAUACCCACAAACAUCAUUUUUCAAAGAAUUAAAAUAAAAAUAAAAUGAAAAGAACAACAAGCUUUAAACAAAACAUGAAGAUAGCCUCAAAGAUUGCAUAAAUUAUAUAGCUCAAAGAAAAUUUCAAAUAUUGGCAAAGUUCUAACUUUAAUUCAAUAAUCAAUCCCAUCUCUCUUUCGAUUCUUGUAGUGUGUGUGUGUGAAAUCAAUUCAAUCAAAUCCAUUCCCAAAAUCCUCAAUAUCAAUAGCCUUCGCCUCAAACAAAGAAAAGAGUAGAUCAAACUAAUCUUAUCAUCUUGAUCUCCAAUUUUUUUUUUCAGGCUUUUAUGUGCAUUUUCUUUUGAUUUUUUUUUUUUAGCACAUGCACUUGAUUUUUUUUUCUUUUCCUUUUCUUUUUUUUUUGUUUUUUUUUCUUAACCAUAGUCAGGAGCUUUCACUCUACCCCUUAAGGUAGCCUUCUUCUCAUGGUAGAUUAUCCUCUACAUACUUGUGGUACAUAGGCCCAAAUUACUCAAGGAUAACUUCACUCUUAAGGGUUAUAGGUAGCUAUUUCUGACUUUGGCGCCUGUGUAUACUAAUUUGUAUUGUGGAGAUAAGAAUCAAGACAAACAGUCAUUUACUCUAUCUAAAAUUCUCAACUCAGGCUGUGUCAAUUUCAAAUUUCAAGCCAAAAUUAUAAAAGAACUGAUAUUAGUGCUCAUAGUUUAAAGAAUCUCAAUCAAGAGGAAUUAACACAAGAAUCAAGUAUAAACUAAGACAAUAUUCAACCCUUUCUAAAAACCAUAUUCAUUGUCAAUCAAGUUCUUAUCAUUGGCUUUUCACAUAAAAACAAAAAGAAAAAAAAAAACAAAACAUUUUUUUUUGAAUUUUUUUUAAUAACAAACAAAACACACGCUAUUCCCACCCCUAAAUUUAUUCGGAACAUUGUCCUCAAUGUUUCAUAAACAAAAGAUAUGCAUGCAAACAAAUGAAAGAGAAAUAAUAAUAAUAAUAAUAAUAACAAUAAUAAUAAACAUAAAUAAUAAAAAGAAAGUUGGAGAGAACACACCUGGAUGGGCUGGGAAAGCUUAAAAGAAAAUGCCAAAUGAAAAGAAAACAUUAAAAUAUAUAUAUAUAUUAGAAAAGAAAAUAAAUAAAGAAAAGAAAACCGACUAUUAAAAUAAAACAAGAGUGUAAAGAUGAACUUAAUUAAUCCUGAUAAACAGGAUCAUCUAAAAGUAUCUCCUCAACUUCUGGUGUUUUUAAUUCUAAAAAUGGUUUUAAUCUUUGACCAUUCACCUUAAAUAAAUCACCAUUUUUAGGAUUUUCAAUUUCAAUUGCUCCAUAAGGGAAGAUAGUACGAACUAUAAAAGGAUCAGACCAUCGAGAACGUAACUUACCUGGAAAGAGAUGCAAUCGGGAAUUAUAUAAAAGUACUUUCUGACCUGGUGUAAAGGCUUUUCUCAAAAUAUGUUUGUCAUGAAAGACUUUCAUUCGCUGUUUAUAAAUCUUGGCAUUCUCAUAUGCAUCAUUCCUGAUCUCUUCAAGUUCUGCUAGUUGUAAUCUUCUCUUGGACCCAGCUUGCUGCAUGUCAAAAUUGAAUUUCUUGAUAGCCCAAUAUGCACGAUGCUCCAACUCUACUGGCAGAUGACAUGCUUUUCCAUACACAAGUCGAUAAGGUGACAUCCCAAUUGGUGUUUUAAAAGCAGUUCUAUAUGCCCACAAUGCAUCAUCAAGUCUCAAAGACCAAUCCUUUCUAUCUGGCCUAACUGUUUUCUCUAGAAUCUGCUUGAUCUCUCUAUUAGAAAUCUCUACUUGGCCACUGGUUUGAGGAUGAUAUGGGGUGGCAACCUUAUGUGUAAUGGAAUAUUUGUCCAAAAGAGUUUUGAAAGGUUUAUUACAAAAAUGGGUACCACCAUCACUAAUGAUUGUUCUAGGAAAACCAAAACGAGACAGAAUAUUACUCUUCAAGAAUUUCACUACAACCCUAUGAUCAUUGGUUUUGCAUGGAAUAGCUUCAACCCACUUCGACACAUAGUCCACUGCAACCAAUAUAUAUUGAUAACCAAAAGAUGGAGGGAAAGGUCCCAUGAAAUCAAUACCCCAUACAUCGAAGAUCUCAACCACAAGAAUAGGAUUGAGUGGCAUCAUGUUCCUCUUUGAAAUGCUACCCAUACGUUGGCACCUAUCACACAAAGAACAGAAAACAUAAGCGUCAUGAAAAAGAGUAGGCCAAUAAAAACCACACUGUAAAAUUUUUGUUGCUGUCUUUUUAGCACUAAAGUGGCCUCCGCAAGCUUGUUCAUGGCAAAAUGAGAUAACACUUUGAAUUUCAUUAUCGGGAACACAUCACCUAAUAAUCUGAUCAGCACAAUAUUUAAAUAAAUAGGGAUCAUCCCAAAAGAAGUCUUUCGCUUUAGAUAAGAACUUUGUUCUAUCUUGCUUAGUCCAGUGCUCUGGGAUUUGACCUGUAGCAAGGUAAUUAACUAUAUCAGCAAACCAUGGUACAACAUUUACACUCAUAAGUUGCUCAUCUGGGAAAGACUCAUUCAAAGGUAAAGAUUCUGGAAUAAAUUUAAGAUCAAGGCGAGAUAAAUGAUCCGCCACAACAUUUUCAGAACCUUUUUUAUCUCUAAAUUCAAUGUCAAAUUCUUGUAAAAGCAACACCCAACGAAUCAAUCUUGCCUUAGCAUCUUUCUUAGUAAACAAAUAUUUUAAAGCAGCAUGAUCAGUAAAAAUAAUCACUUUACAACCUAUAAGAUAAGAUCUGAAUUUAUCAAGUGCAAAUACCACAGCUAGCAUUUCUUUUUCUAUAAUUGAAUAGUUCAACUGUGCAUCAUUGAGUGUCAUACUAGCAUAAUAAAUCACAUAAGGCACACGAUCUAAUCUUUGUCCUAAAACUGCUCCUACAGCAUAAUCAGAUGCAUCACACAUAAUUUCAAAAGGCAAAUCCCAAUUAGGUGGCUGAAUGAUAGGUGAAGAAGUCAAUAAUUUCUUAAGGUUUGCAAAAGCAUCAAGACAAGAUUCAUCAAAGAUAAAAGGUGCAUCCUUAACAAGUAAAUUGCAUAAGGGUCUAGAAAUUUUACUAAAAUCUUUAAUGAAUCUUCUAUAAAAACCAGCAUGUCCAAGGAAAGAUCUUACUUCUUUUACGGAUUUGGGAUGUGGAAGAUUAGAAAUUAAAUCCACCUUAGCUUUGUCGACUUCUAUACCUUUGCUAGAAAUUAUAUGACCAAGAACAAUACCUUGUUUUACCAUGAAGUGACACUUUUCCCAAUUUAGAACCAAGUUCUUUUCUUUACAUCUCUGCAAAACUAAUGUUAGAUGCUGCAAACAUUCAUCAAAAGAAUCUCCAUAAACAGAAAAAUCAUCCAUGAAUACUUCAAGAAAUCUCUCAACCAUAUCAGAAAAAAUACUAAGCAUGCAUCUUUGAAAAGUAGCAGGUGCAUUGCAUAAACCAAAUGGCAUUCUCCUAUAUGCAAAAGUUCCAAAUGGACAAGUAAAAGUAGUUUUCUCCUGGUCCUCUGGAGCUAUAGGGAUCUGAUUAUAACCUGAAUAUCCAUCUAGAAAACAAUAAAAAUCAUGACCUGCAAGUCUAUCAAGCAUUUGAUCAAUAAAUGGAAGAGGAAAAUGAUCUUUUCUUGUGAAUGAAUUUAAUUUUCUAUAAUCAAUGCAAACACGCCAACCUGUAGUUACUCUAGUGGGAAUUAAUUCAUUAUUAGCAUUAGUAACUACUGUAACACCAGAUUUCUUAGGAACAACUUGCACAGGGCUAACCCAAGAGCUAUCUGAAAUAGGAUAAAUAAUUCCUGCAUCUAAUAAUUUGAUUACUUCAGCUCUUACCACUUCUUUCAUGUUAGGAUUUAGCCUACGUUGCAUUUCCCUAAUAGGUUUAGCAUUUUCUUCAAGAUGAAUACGAUGCAUGCAAUCUACUGGAUUAAUACCUUUAAUAUCAGCGAUGGUCCAUCCUAUUGCCUCCUUAUGCUCUUUUAGAAUAUCUAACAAUUUACCUUUUUGCUCAAGAUCGAGGGAAGAAGAAAUAAUAACAGGUAGAGUGUCAGAUUCUCCCAAGAAUGCAUAUUCCAGAGUGUCAGGCAGUGCUUUGAGUUCCAAUUUUGGUGGUGCCUCCGCAGAUGGGCCAAUUUUCUUCUCAGAAUGAGGCAGUAGUUCUGACUUUGUCUUCCAUUUAAUUGUGUCCGUAAUUAGAGGUGCAUCAAGUAAAGCGUUGAUUUCUGCAAUUGCACUGUCAUCAUUAAAAGAUAAAUCAGAAUGAGUUAGACAUGCCUCUAAUGGAUCAUCAUUAUGGUUAGAAAUGAAUGAAUCUUCUACUAAUUCCUCUAUCAUAUUCGCUUCAACAAAUUCAUCUUCUUCUUGUGGCUGCUUGGUAACAUUAAAAAUAUUCAAUUCCAUGGUCAUAUUACCAAAAGAUAACUUCAUGUUUCCAUUCCUGCAAUUAAUAAGAGCAUCAGCUGUAGCUAAGAAAAGGACGACCUAGAAUAACUGGGGUGUGUUUCUUAGGAUCAUGUACAUGCUGAAUAUCAAUAACAAUAAAAUCAACAGGAUAAUAAAAUUUAUCAAUCUGUAUCAACACAUCCUCUAUAAUACCACGAGGUAUUUUCAUUGAUCUAUCAGCAAGUUGCAAAAUAAUAGGAGUUGAUUUUAACUCACCUAAUCCAAGUUGCAUGUAAACAGAAUAAGGCAAGAGAUUAACACUAGCACCCAAAUCCAAUAAUGCUUUAUCAAAACAUUGGUUUCCUAUAACACAUGAGAUAGUAGGAGAACCUGGAUCCUUAAAUUUUGGUGGCAUUUUACAUUGGAGUAAGUUGCUAGUUUGUUCAGUUAAAAAUGCCUUUUUAGUGACAUGUAAAUUUCUCUUUUUCGUGCAUAAAUCUUUUAAAAACUUUGCAUAUGAAGGAACUUGCUUAAUAGCAUCGAGUAAAGGGAUGUUUAUACUUACCUGUUUGAAUAUUUCCAUAAUCUCACCUGUUGAAGUCCCUUUCUUUACCUUUGUUAACCUUUGAGGAAAAGGAGCCUUGCGAAUGUAAGCUGGCGGGCCACUCUCUUCUGGAUCAUUUGUUGAUGAGUCUUGUGAUGGAACUGGAUCUGAAGAAGUAGGCUCAGAUGUCUUCCUUGUUUGAACCUCUACUUUGUUGUCAAAUAAUUUUCCUCUUCUCAAGGUCAUAAUAGAUUUUGCUUCUUCAUGCUGAUGGCUCGAACUCGAUCCAACUUCAUGCACUCCUUUAGGAUUGGGAAUUGAUUGACUUGGGAAUUUUCCUUUUUCUCUCUCAGCUACAGUAGUUGCUAAUUGACCCAAUUGAUGUUCAAGUUUUAGAAUAGCUUGAGUGUUUGACUGAAAAGCUUGUUGGGUUGACUGAAUGAAACUUUGAAGUGUAUCCUCUAAAGAAGGCUUUCUUUGUUGGGGUGCAACAAAUUGAGACAUAGGUUGUUGGGCAUGAGGAUGUACUUGGUUAGGAGGGACAAAUUGUUGAUUGGGCAUGUUAAAUUGUUGCCCUCCUUGGUUUGACAAAGGUUGAUUUUGUUUCCAAGAAAAAUUAGGGUGAUUCCUCCAAUUAGGAUUAUAUGUGGAUGAAUAUGGACUAUUGGAGGUUUUCUCAUAUGAUUGUAAGGCAUGUACCUGCUCAGAAUAAGCAUCUGGAUAGACUGGUAAUGAUGGACAAUUUUGUGCUGUAUGAGACAAGUUAGAACAAAUAGCACAAACCUCAUUAGCUACACUAGGAUGAUGAUUUAUGGAUUGGUUCAUAACUAAGGCAUCUACUUUCCUAGAAAGUGUAGCUAGAGUGGAUUUCAUAUCUAAAUCAUCCUUAACUUCAUAUAGCCCCUUUCUAGAAACUUGAGAUGAUUUUUCCCUUUGAUUUGAAAAAUCCCACUGUUGAGAAUUUUCAGAAAGUGAAUUAACGAAAUCCCAUGCUGCCCCUUCAUGUAAGUUCAAAAAUCUCCCACCAUUCAUAGAUUCCACCAUAUGACGAUUCGACAUGGUUAAACCGUUAUAAAAGCAUUGUAUAAGUCUCCAUUUCUCAAAACCAUGAUGGGGACACUUAAGGAGUAAAUCAUUAAAUCUUUCCCAACACUCAUAAAAUUGCUCACCAUCUCUUUGAUAAAAAUCACUUAUCUCUCUCCUAAGGGCAUUUGUUUUAGACAUAGGGAAAAACUUGGUGAGAAACUUAUUACUCAAUUCAUCCCACGUAGUAAUAGACCCAGCAGGAAGUGAAUUCAACCAAGCUUUUGCUUUGUCUUUUAAUGAGAAAGGGAACAUACGAAGCCUAAUUGACUCAUCAUUAAAAUUUUGAAAACGAAAUGUAGAGCAUAUGUCAAGAAAUUCCUUAAUGUGCAAAUAUGGAUCCUCUCUCUCUAACCCAUGGAAGGAUGGCAAAAGUUGAAUGACAGAGGGCUUAAGUUCAAAGUGUGUUGCUGUAGUUUGUGGCAACACAAUACAAGAUGGUUGGUUGGCUGCAAGUGGUGAAAAAUAUUCUCUAAGGGUUUUCUCUGCUUGCACUGGUGGGAGUAUUGGCAAUAGUCUAUUUGGGUCAUCCAUCACUUCUAAAGAACUAGUUUGACUACUAUCAAUUUUUGACUCUCUUUUAACCAAACGAUUUGUUGAAUCACGUUCCCAAACACUCAUAAACUAACUAGACAAGGAAAGAAAGAGAAAUAAAAUAAAAUAAACCAACAAAAAUGAGAAUAAACGAAAUUUAAAAAUAAAAGAAAUCAAACAACCAAACAAUGAAUUUAAAAUAAAAUAAAAUUAAAAUUAAAAUUAAAAGUUUUUUUUUGUGUUUUUUUUUAAAAAUAAAAAUUGAAUAAAUAAAAUAAAAGACAACCUAAAUUAUAACUAGUGGAAGAAUCAAAUUAACCUAGAUUAAACUGACUUUCUAGCACAAUCCCCGGCAACGGCGCCAAAAACUUGAUGUGAAAAUUUUAAUAUACUCGCAAGCGCACGAAUCUAGAAAUAGAGUAGUGGUAACGAGGUCGAUCCCACAGGGAUUGAUAAAAAGUCUAAUUUAAAUCUAAAAUUAAUAUUACUCCUAACCUAGUUGAGCAAAUUGAGUUUUUAAGAAAAUUAAACCAAUUAAACUAAGGAAGCAAUUAAAAUAAAAGAGAAUUCAAUAAGAUAGAAAUUACCAAGGUUUCAGAAUCCACCACUAUUCAACUAGUAAUUAUCUAAUUAUUAAUUAAUCCCCAAUUUUAGAGUGACAACUCGAAAUCAAUCUAUGUCAUCUCAUAGAUAUAACAAUUAAGCCCAAGUAAUUAAAUCUAAUGUAGGUUCUUUUUCUGCUUAAUAAUAUGACAUCUAAGCAUCCCAUGUAAACAUAUUGAAUAACAAAGAGUCAAAGUUUUCCUAAGCACUCUAUGUAAACAAUUUAAUGAAAGACAUAAAAUCAAAGAUAAUCAUGUAUAAACUUUAUAGAUCCAAGCAUAGAAUUAAUCGAAUAUUAAUCCUAACAAUCAAUAAUGCAUGACAGAAUUGAUGAAAAGAUUUUAAUAACAUCCAAUUAAUCAUGUGAAAUAAAAACCAUAAUUAUCAAAGAACAUAUAUAGGGAAUUAAUUAAAUAAAAAGAGAUAAUUAUUUCAUUGAAUAGGGUUUCAUCCUUAACCUCAGUAUAAGAGAAUUAGUUAGACAUACUUGAAUUGGGAACAACAAAAAAAAUAAAAUCACCCAUGGAAACCGAACUGCUGCUGCCCAACCUUGCGUCUUGCGUCUGCCGAAUUCUCCUUCUCCUUUCGUUUCUGUCCAGCAGCUCCCUUUUAUAUUGCUUGGCCACGGAAUCCUAUUGUGAUUCUAAUAACUAAACCAACUCUUACAAGCUAAAGCUCUAAGCUUGCCACGUAAUUGAAAACAAUAAAAGCCAAAAGCUAUUGAUUUCCUUCCUUUAUUCUACUUUGACUUUCCAUUCAAAGGCUUAAUUAAAAGCUUUGUUUUUAUGUGCUGCCCACUUUAGCUUUAACUUUCAUCUUUGUUUGCACGAGCAUGGAGAAUUCAAUUUAUUGGAUUCGGCUUCUUCCACAUGCACGUAUGUCUAAUUGGUUCCAAAUCAAUUAAUCUUUAAUGCUUACAAAUUGAACUCCUUUAUGCUCUUUUUAUCCAUAAUCUCCAAUUAAUUCCCUAUUCAAUAAAAUAAUUCAAUUAAUUAAAAAUAACAAAUAAAAAUAACUAGCAAUUAAAUAAUUAAGGGUAAAAUAUGUAUAUAAAUUAUGCUCAUCAGUGAUCUUUUGACAAUUCUCCCACAUCCCACCAAAAACUCUCACGCGGCAUGAACUUUUGACAAUUCUCCCAUAUCCCACCAAAAAUUUGUCAUAUUGCGAAAGGCAAUGUCAAUUGCAAUGUCAUUUCCAUUAGUCAUUGUGGCAGACAAUGGAGGUCCCGAGAUAGGACUAGAAGUUUUUGAAACCCUGAACUUAUUCUUACUUUAUUUUUUCUUUUGAAAAUGAGAAAAGGACACUUGUUUGAGGAAAUAAUUUUGUAGAACCUCAUAUCGUGAAUAGGGGAUAAUAAGACUUUUUUUUUUUUACUUUACUGCAAUACUCUGUAAUUUUAUUAAUUUUAUAUUUUAUAAUAAAUAUAAAUGUGAUAUUAAAAUAAAUGUAAUAAUAUAUACAUAUUAAAAUAAUUUGAUAUUGAAAAACAUUUUAAUAUUUUACAAUCCCAUAUUAUAUUAAACCAAACUGUAAUAAAUAGACAUAAUAUUAAAAUAAAUAUAUAAAAGUUUAAAUUAUUUUGAAUAUCAUAUAAAAUAAUUUUAAUAUUAUUAAUAAAUUAGAAGUAUUGUUGAGGUUAUGGGGCCCCAACAAUUCUUCUUUGCGCUUGUGGGUGUAACAUCCUUCUGUGUAAUUCCAUUGAGGUGGCAGUAAGGUUACCUAGGGCGUAACUGCCCGGCCCAUUGGCACAAUUACAAAUGUGUGCAGCCCCUCAUGUCCAUCCACCGCUUAGUGUGGGGCUCUGCGCUUCCAUUGUAUAAGAAAAUAAAGUUGCACCUUGGCUAUCAGCUUAAGCUUUUAGCCCAAUGGUAAGCGCUUGAUCCUAACAAGUAUUACAUUAAUUGUAAAAUCUAUCUAAUCCAAGGAUUUAUUUAAAUUUUUUAUAAUAAAUUAAAAAUAUAUUAAUUAACAUUUUAAAAAUUAAUAAUGAAAUUAAUUAUAUAAGUUAUACAUAUUAGUCUACUAGAAAAAUUUAAACUAUUUCAAUCAGAUUUAUAUUUAGUGAAAAUUUUUGAAGUUAAUGUUUUUGGUUAUCAUCUACUAAGAAUCUUGUAGUUAAAAGGGGUAUUGACAUUCUUUAUUAAAAAAUUGAGGUCUACAUGACUAUUUUUUAAAUUUUAAGGGUGUCAUUUUAUUUUUGAUGAAAAUAAAAUUUCAUUUAAGUGGCUAAAAUGGUGAAUAAUACAAUGUUACAACUGGCAUAAAUGGAAGGUAGGAAACAAUCAAAAUGACCAAUAGUCUAACGCCACAGCAAGGACAUAAGGUCAAAAAUCCCCUUAUUAAUUAGUAAAAGAGAGUCCUUUGUGCUUAUAAAUAGUAAGGGCGGGCAAAAUCGGAUACAGAUCAAAUUCGGAUUAAUCUGAUAAAUUUCAGAUUGUUUGAAUUGAUAAAAAAAGUCAUCCAAAUGUAAUCUAAACUUUUGUAUGUGUAUAUAUACAUACUUGUUAUAAAUUAAAGUUGCAAAAGUCUUUAAGCAAGGCCAUUCAUAGUAAGUUUCAAAUUUUUAGGUUAAUUAUGUAACUUCAUUAUGCGGGCCAUGCAUAAAGCCCGUAGGUCUAGGCGGGACUGACCUGAGUUUUUUUACCAAUCCUACACAUGACGGGAGGUGUUAGGAAUAACAUCCCGCAUCAAUUGAGUAUUGAACUUGGGUUCAGUAUAUAAGAUUUGGACAACUCUAAACUCUUGAGCUAACUUACUAGUUUUUGGAUUGAGUUAAGCCUGUACGCUGCAAUAUUACAAAUUAGUCUUUCGUUACCAUUACUUAUUUUUUGUAUUGUUUAAAAUUAACACAAUAAAUGACCUUUCAUCCCAAAAGAACUAAAGUAAUCAUUUCGCAUUGUUACGGCCGUAUCUACACUCUUUCCUCUAUAUGUGUCUUCAAUAAAUAUAUGCGUUAAUGAUCUCUCAAUAUUUCGCAUCCGAUAUUGCCCACAUCGCUUACCACAAUAUAUUCACUUUACAAACAGAGUUUGCAACCCAAUUACUAAUAGAGGAAUAUAAAUAUGUACUUGUCAAUGAAGCAAUCACCUUUAUUUAGAAAUUUUUUAUUAUUAAUCCUACGUACACACACUUCUUUUGUCUCCAAAAAUAUUCUUAAUUAAUCCACACAAUUUAAUAUAAUAAAUACCUAAGAUUACAUAAAUUUUCAUUACAAUAGAAUAUAUAAUUUAUAAUAUUAUUGAUACAAUGAUGCCAAUAAUAAAAAUCUUAUAAACCUUACAAAUUUUAGAAAAUGGCUUAGAGUGUGAUAGGUUGAAUGAACCACAACAAAUCAUUUUCAUUAUAGUACCUAUGAUCAAUAUUCUAAUACAAAUUUUACAUUUCCCUAUAUUUUCUGUUUGGUGAUUGUCAAAUUUUAAGUCUAAAAUUUUUCUAAUUUUACCGUGAGGUUUAUGUUUUAAAGAGAGAGAGAGAGAGAGAGAGAGACUCAAAGAGAAAUAAAAAAUGUAAUUCUAAAAUUUUACUUGUGCAUUGUGUGAUUUUUACCAUUUUUGCAGUUGGCCAUUUGUAUUGAAUAAAUAAAAUAAUAAAUAGACUUAUGGACCACUUUUUUCUGUUAUAAUAAACAUCAGAGGUCCUUUCUUGAUGUUUUCAUUCCAUAUGAAUAUAUUAUAAUUUUAUUGAUACAGUAAUGUCAAUAAUAAAAAUCCUAACAAACAUACAAAUUUUAGAAUAUGGAUUAAAGUGUUACAAGUUGAGGGGAUCACAAGUUAUUUAUACUGUAAUGUCUAUGAUCAGUAUUUCAAUGAUAUCAAGGUUUCCCCUGCAAUUUUUGUUUGGUCAUCGCCAAAUUUUGUAUCUAAGAUUUUUCUAAUUUUACACGACAUUUAUUUAAAAAAAGAAAAAGAGAAAGAGAGACGCGGAGAGAAUUAAAAAUGUAAGUCUAAAUUUUCGCUUGUGUGUUAUGUGAAUUUUACCAUUUUUAAAGUUGGCCAUUUGUAUUGAAUAAAAAAGUAAUUGUUGAAUCUGGUUCGUUAGCUAUUCUUUGAUCAAGAACCAGAUCCUCCCAAGAUUCUCAGCCAAGAUUAAUCAGGAUGCAAUAUCAGCUUAGAUCAACUUCAGAGAAUCAACUAAACCCAAUAAGACUCGUAACAAAAAGGAUUAAUUACAAACUUAGAAACCAAAACCAGCAAGAAAACCAAUCACACAAAACAGAGCACAAGCUUUAACGUGGUUCAGCCAUUAAUGGCUUACAUCCACGAGUGAAUUCCUCAGACAGCUUUAUUGAAUGAUUCAAGAAGUUUGUUACAGAGAUUCUAAGAACAAGAACAAGUAAGACACUUCCUCUUUGAUUUCCCUCAAUCUCUAUCACGCACGAUUACCUCCAAACCAGAAGGCUGCAGCUUAUAUACCAGUCUUGUAACAGCUCUAACAACCCAGAUUGCACAGCUCCUUGACACGUGUACUAUGGGUCUGUUAUUUAACGAACUCAGCUUCAGCUAACUAUCACGUGAAGAACCCGUGACUCCACUUAAGUUGAGCAUAUCCAAAACGCACUCAUGUGUUGCCGUUUCGGAACCAGGAUUGGUUGUGCUUCUCACGUGAUCACUUAAAGCUUCUGAACACUACUGGAAACGCUGUCGUUUGCUGGCAAAGGUGUUUGAAUUCACCUUUCAGCCAACAGUAAUGAAUAGACUUAUGGACAACUUUUUUCUAUUAUAAUAAAACAUUUUCUUCCCCUGAUGUUUUUCAUUCCACAAGAAUGUGUUUGUCAUAAGGGGUCCAAAUGGGGUAAAUAAAUUGGGAUCAAGGACAAGUCUGUUUAAGUGUUGAAAUUGCAAGAAGACCUCAUUAAAAAAUUGCCUAAAGCCCCAUUAUUGUUAUUCAACUAUUACUUUCAUGUCACAUUAGUUUCCACACAGACACUUAUACAAAUAAUUUAUAACUCCAUCUUUAUUUGGGAAAAAACUGUAGCAAUUGUUGUUAUAUCACAGGAAAAUUUUCCAAUUAAAAAUAUAAUAAGAAUUAAUUACAAAUUUUUUAAUAAAUAUCAAUAUAAUUUAAUGGUUUAAUUUUUUUGGUAGAUCAAUAUAAUUUAAAAAAUUAAUAGCAGUAUUACUUUUUAAAAUGCAAAUUAUUAUAAUUAUAUUAAUAAUAUAUUUGUAUUUAUUAUAAAAUUUAUUUUAAUAAAAUCUUAAUUUUUUUUAAAUAUUUGUAUAUAUUGUUAUAUUUUGUUAUAAUAUUAUAUUUAUAUUUAUUAAAAUAUAAGAGUCAAUAUUUUUAAAUUAAUUAAGAUAAAAAGUAUUAUAAUAAAAAAAAAUUCUUUUAUUAAAAAUAUAAUCAUUCUCCCAAACUUAUCCUUGUCCCUUUUUGAAAGGAAAAAAUAAAUUAGAAAAGUCUAUGGUCAUGAUAACAUCUAGCCUUGUCCCGUGGGACAUGGCUACGGUGCAGAAGCUGCAAGUAACAGCUUCGAGCUUUCCCAUUUCCAUCACCUUGUAUUGGGACCUCUUUCUCUCUCCUCUAGCACCCGUGGAAGUUCCCCAUUGGCCGCUGUUACUUACAGAAGCCGUAACAUAGACUUCCCCCGUCCCGUGAUGUCCAUUGUCUGCCACUAUGAAUAAUGGCAAUGACAUUGCAAUUGAAACAUUGAAAAGGUAUUUUCGCAAUAUGACAAAGUUUUUGUUAGGAUAUGGGAGGAUGUCAAAAGUUCACACUACGUUCAUUAGCAUUAGAUCUAAUUUUAUUUCGUCAGUUCCUUAUAUAUUUAUUUCAUUUAUUUCAUGGGUCCCUCUAUGAUGCUGUAAUUAUUUUACAGCAUCAAUAGUGUAAGCAAUAUUAACCAUUAGAUUUUAUCAACAAUGUAUAUUAUAUUUAUUAAUAAAAAAAUAACAUAACCGGUUAACAGGGGUGAGCUGUUGGAUCGUGGAGUUGGUAGAAGUAUGCGAAAUUUCAAUGACGACCCCUACAGUUUUAAAAAUUCUCACAUGUUUCACUUGAAUAGCAUAUUCAGAAGAAUAACACAAAAUUUAAUAAAAUAUAUGAUUUCAAUGAAAUAUAUGAACAUGCAUAUGAAACCCACAUUCAUAGAAAUGUUUCAUUAGACUUUUAACGUUUAUCUUACCUAUGUAUCCUAAACCAUUCAUUAUCAACUUUUCGUAAUUUUAUUAAAUAGAAAUUUCAAGCAAAACAAGAAAGAGUGACAAUAUGUAAUUAAUUUGAAGAUUUAAUAUAAAACUCACAAUUGCUAAAAUAGUGCUUAAAUUAUAUCAUUAAUGUUAUAAGAUAAUUUGAUUAUCAUGUAACCAAACUAAUUUCAAAAUUUAUUUUGAAAGCAUGCAAAACUAAUUUCAAAAUCUAUUUUGAGAGCAUGCAAAUGGAUGUAGUCUCCACUAUGUGAUUUUUUUAUUCUAAUUUAUGGCCAUGGGAGAGAAUUGGAAGAUCCAUAUUUGUCCAAUAGUGAAAUAUAAAUAAUAGCCCGUCAAUUUCUCAUGUAGUAUAUUUCAUUGGCUUAUUAGCUUACAAAACUAUAUACAAGUGUUAAACAUUGGACUACUGCAUGAAAUGUCAUGUGAUAUAUUUCAUUUGACCUUAGAUUAAUUAAAUGCCUAUAAAUGGUUUACAACAUUAAUCUAAAAAUUAAUUUUCACUGAUAUUUAUAUGUGACAUAUCAAUUCAUAAUAUAUCAGGGUAAUUACGAUUUUAAUUUCCCUUCUAUUAAUAAAUAGGGGUAGAAAGAAGUACUCAAUAUGUGUGUGUGUGUGUGUGGGGGUAUCAAUUCAUGUCUUAAUGAAUACAAGAAAAAUCACAUCUACUAAUUUAACAUAUGCCUUUCUAUAAUAGUGUUUGUAAAAUAUAUUUUAUUUGCUAUACUUUGGAAGACGUGUAGUAUAUUAUUUUAUAAUUCGUUUUGUAAUUUACAGAAAACGUGUUUAACAUGUUUUAACUUUUAUUACUAUCAAAUAGAUUCUGUUUAAUACAUUUUAUAAUUUGAUUUAAGGUUUAGGCUCACCAAACAUACAUUACACCUAUACUAUUAAAAUGAAAAUGAAAAUCGGGGCUACAAAAUGAUACUGAACAUACCCUAAGUUACUUGGAGUGUUAGUUUAGAAAUAAGUAUCACUGUAGGCUUAAAUUUAUGGAACAACUUUUCAGGACUGUUGGUCUUCCUCCAUUAGCUUAAUUUAGGUCUGUAUUUUCAUUUUUUUUUAAAUGGCGCAAGAUGAUGAUGAUGAUGAAAUUGUGCUAUUUGUAAUGAUGCUCCUUCGUAUUCAAUAAGAAUCAUAUGCAUAUUCAAUAGUGAAAAUAUGAUAACUCUAUCGUAAUUUGAUCAUAUUACAAUACAAUUGAUUACUAAAAAAUGUCUUUAUAUUUUUUUAUUACAUUUUACAUUAAAGUUGUAGCACAUUAUAAAUGCAAAGCUUAAUGUUUAAUAACAUAACACUUCAACAAAAUCAACAUCUUAAGUAUGAUGUAUGAUAUAGAAUAUUGAAAUAGUUAUACCUAACACUCACAACAAUUUAUAAAAAUUUAUAGUGUUUUAUUUACAAUAUCUUUUCUAAUUAUAUAUGUAUUAAUAUCUAUCUUAAAGUCAAUUUUUGGAUUAGUAGAUUUUAAUAAAUCCAUUGGUAUAGAUUAAUAAUAACUUAAUAUUAAAAAAAUUAAUUAUACAUGUUAUUUUAUUAAUUACACUUAUUUUAAUAUUUUAUUUGUAUCAUAUGAUAUUUAUUAUUAUUUUUAUCCUAUUACUAUAUGUAUAUUUAUUUAGGUUGUGUAAAUCAAAACGUAUAAUAGUCAUUUAUGAAAAUUAAGGGGUCUGUAUUACCAUUUAUGAAACUAAGUGGAUCUAUAUGACUAUUUGAGCAAACCUUGGGAUGUGUGUGGCUUUUUCUCAAAUUAAUAUUAAUUUAAAAUUAAAAAAAUAUUUACCAACAACUUGUAGACUACGUGCUACAUUUUCAUUAAUGAUUUAAUUAUCCAUUAUAUUAAAUGGAUGAUUGAGAUUAAAAUACUUAAAACUAAUAGUCCACAUUAAUCCCAGUAUCAAUAUUGUAAAAAUACAUACAGUAUCAUAAAGAAAUCCUUAUUUCAUACAUAACUGUUUUUUUUCUUUGGUUUUUCUUUUUCCAAAACAUAAAUAGACCAAGCACAUCUCCAAAUCGGGUUGGAGCGGAGAUUCUAACCCUACGAUGGCCAUAUUAAAAUUUAAAUUUUUUUAAUUUAUUUUUUUCUUUUAUAGCUACAUCUCAAUAUUUGAAAAAAUGAUUAUACAGAUCUAUAUAUUUUUAAUAAGAGAUAUUAAGAUGCUCUUUUUUUACUAUAACACCUACUAGUUCUAUUAACUCAAAAAAUUACCAACAAAGUGUUGGCUCCACUGGCAAUGGAGUCCCCUUAAGUGGCUUGACUGGGUUUGCUCUCCAGUUCGAGUCGCAGGGAAGUCGCCUUUGUUGGGAGAACAUGUGUCUCCCGGUUUGAGCGGGGACUUCUAGUCUGGGUUGUGGUACGGGCUUAAAGGUGCUUCCCACAGUUGGGGCCCUCCCCAGGAUACCUCGUGGAUAAGACCAAAAAAAAAAACUCAAAAAAUUGACUUCAAUAUUAAUACAUAUAUUUUAAAAUUAUUUUAAUAUUUUUAAAAAAUAUGAAAAAAAAUUUAAUACUUUACAAACUUAUACUAUAUUAAACUAAAUUUUAUAAUAAAUAGAAACUUAAUAUGAAAAUAAACGUCUAAAAAUUUAAAUUAUUUUCAAUAGCAUAUAGAAUAAUUAUAAUAUUAUUAAUACCUAAGAUAUAUUAUAUUAAUUAUAAAUUCUAUUUAACACAAAUAUUUAACUAAAACUGUUAAUUGCAAUUUCUUUUGAAAACAAUAGAUCAAAUCAUUAAAGUGCAUGUGAUGAUGAUUUGCUGUUUAAUUAUUUCUUUAGAAUAUAUCCAAACGUAAGGUUGUGAACUAGUGCUUUCUUCAACUUAAUUGGGUCCAACAAUACACCGCAGCUUCCUCUUUUGGUCAUUCCAAGUUUAAUUCUUAUGAAAGAAGUUACUACUGAUUUAAGUGCAUGUGAAUGAAAAAAAACAAAUACAUAUAAUUAUUCUAUACAUGCGUCAACAAGGCAACAGUAACCAAAUAAAUGAUAUGAAAGGGGGUGCAUGAUUAAGUCCUUUUCUUAUUCAAUUCAUUGUUAUUAUCCUCAUCAACUCUUUUCUCACUUAUUUUUCAGCAGUUACUGUUCAUAGCAUUGUUAUUAUUCUCAUCACUCAUUAAAAUUAUUCUUAAAUAUUCAAGGCCGAAAAGAGAAGCUCAUCAACUGUCUGAUCCCGGAUAAUUAAAGAGGUGAACUUGUUCUAAAUCCUUUGAUAAUUUCUAUUAAUAGCAUAAUCUCCUUGAUCCAAGAAAAAACAUCUCCUGUUUGUCUUAAUCUUGUCAUUUAAUUUUCUUGAUUUAGGUUACUGUUCAUUGUUAACUUCUGUGUUCUUUAGCAUUUGUUAAUUUGCAUCCCUCCUCUAAAAGUCUCUAAAAAAGAAUGUUGCUUUUCAUUCAUACCCUUGAAACCUUUCAGUUAAUAGCCAAAACUCUAAUCUUUCUUUCUCUUCCUCUCAAAAAUGUGCCAAAAAAUGUGCCAAAAAAGUGAAUCCAAUUUUUUCAACAGCAAAUAUAUAUGUACACACACACACAUAUUGUUAAAAAGUGCAGAAAAGCCACUCAAAAACGUGGAGAAAAAUCACUCAAAUUUAUACAAGCGUCAACAGGGAAACAGUAACCAAAUACGUGAUACAAAAAGGGGUGAAUGAUUCUGUCUUUUCCUUUUGCAAGUCGCUGUUAUUACUCUCAUCAACUCCUUUCUCACGCAUUUCUCAGCAGUUACCAGUAAUAUUUAAAAUCGCUGUGUAGGUAUGCAAAAGUUCGGUAAGUGCACUAAUAAUUAUUUGCCAGAAAAAAAGUAGUUGCGUCAAUGAUAUAUUAAUCUUUAGUUGAAUUGACAUCCAGGAACCCAAUUGAGUUGCUUAAUGAUUAAUUAAUUAAUCAAUUUAUAAUAUAUUAAUCUUUUUAGUUGAAUACUUAAAAUCUUAGACCCUAAACAAUAAAUUAUUUGAGCCAUAUAAAAGAGAAAUUAUCAUUCAAUUUUUUUUUAUUUGUAGCUUAUAAAAGAGAAAUUAUCAGUCAUUUACUCAAAGUUUAUUCAAUUAUUAAAAUUAUUAUAAAAAUUUAAAUUUAUUUAAUUUUACACCCAAUGUAUGUAAUUUGUAUUAAAUAUCCGUUAAAAACAUAAAGUUAUUCUUUCAAAGUCACAAAAUAGGAGCGAACACAAAAUUGUAGUGGUGAUUAUGUUUUGGGAGUAACUUUAUCUUUUUAGUAAACAGUUGAUACACAUUGUAAUAAUGGGUAUAAAAUUAAAUAUAUUUAAAUUUUUAUAACUUUUUGGAAAAUAAGAUAAUUCUUAGGUGGAUAAUUAAAAAUUUUUCUUUUCAAAAUAUUUUGAAAACAAUACCAAAUGUACCAUAUCAUUGUUUAUUUACACUAUAUAUAUAUAUAUAUUAACUCAUUCUUAUCCACAAUCUGUCAAUGAAAUAAUUAUUGACACUCAUAUUUGAAAACUUUCGAAAAGAUAAAAUCCAAUAUGAAAGGUGAAACGUUAUAAUCAUAGUAACUAGAAAAUGGAUUGAUUUACAAAUAUCAAUUUAAACAAUUUUCAAGUUGAUCGACAAUUUAAGUAGAUUGACAAAGAUUGAAGUAAUUACUGUUGGUGAUUGAUUGACUUUGUCCUUAUCCUCGCCGCCUUCUUAUCAAAAGUCGAGUGUCAAUUGGGCCAGGGCUUCUGAUUGCAACUAAUAGACUUCAUAUACGCAUAAUGGUCCCUACGUACAUACGUACCAAUAUUUGAUUGAAAAAGGGAUGCGUGCUUAAUGCUCAAGUCGUCUUCUUUUGGAAAUUCAUUGUUAUUACUCUCAUCAACUCGUUACUCGCAUUCCUCUUUAGUCAACAGAGAUCCUUUUGCUCAAUAAAAUUUUUCUUCUAUAUUCAAGGUGAAUACAGCAGCUCAUCAACUCUGAUCCCAGACAGGUAAAGAGGUGCACUUGUUCUAAGACCUUUAAUAUUCUUUUAGUAGCAGAAUCUCUGAUACUUGAUCUUCAUAGCGGUUCUUUCUUAAUUUGCAUCAACUUUCCUAGGAAAAAAUUCUCUGGUUUUUCUUAAGUCAUAUAAUUUAUUUUUCUUAAGUCAUAUCAUUUAUUUUUAGCAGCAGAAUACUUGAUCUUGAUAACGGUUCUUUCUUAAUUUCCAUCAACUUUCCUUGAAGGAUACCUUUUUGUUAAUAGCGAAACCUCUGAUCCUUAAGAUGGAAAAAGAAAUUCUCUAUUUAGAUAUCAGUUGGUUCAAGAUCAAUAUCGCGAUGUUGUUUGCAGUCUUUUCUUUCUCUGUCUUUCCCUUUAGUUCAUUUUAAUUUAUUUGUAUUCCUUUCUUUGACAUAUUAUUAGAUUUGUUAAGUAGCAGGCAAUGGCAGAAGUGGGUCUGGCUGCUUUUUCCAGCGUUGUAUCAGAAGGUGCAAAGUCACUGUUCAAACCGAUUAUACGGCAGAUAUCUUAUGUGUUCAAGUACCAGAGCUACAUAGAUGGCCUAAAAGAUCAAGUGAAGCAGCUGGGAUAUAGAAGAGAAACGGUGCAACAACCUGUUAAUCAUGCUAGACUACAAGGGGAUGAGAUUUAUGAGGGUGUCACAGACUGGCUAAAUCAAGUUGAUGAAUUCAGUGAAGGGGUUGCAAAAUCCAUCAUUGAUGAUGAAGAUAGAGCUAAGAAGUCCUGCUUCAGAGGAUUGUGCCCAAACUUGAUUUCUCGUUACAAGCUUAGUAAACAAGCAGCAAAGGCCGCAGAAGCUGCCGCUAGUCUCGUGGGAAAAGGAAACUUCUCUAAUGUUUCCUACCGUCCUGCUCCAGAGAGUACAGAACAAAUGGAAGUGAAAGAUUACGAGGCCUUUGAUUCAAGAAUGAAAGUAUUUCAAGAUGUUGUGGAGGCGUUGAAGGAUGAUAAGCUCAACAUAAUUGGGGUCUACGGCAUGGGCGGCGUGGGUAAAACCACGCUAGUCAAGCAAGUUGCAAGGCAAGUGAUGGAAGAAAAGUUGUUCGAUAAGGUCGUUAUGGCUGAGGUAACACAGACCCCAGAUCAUCAGGAAAUUCAAAAGAAACUUGCUUCUGAUUUAGGCAUAAAGUUUGAGUUGAAUGAGAGUAUAUUCGACCGAGCGGAUCGAUUGCGUGAAAGAUUGAAGAAAGAGAAGCGGGUCCUCAUUAUAUUGGAUAAUAUUUGGAAAAAACUCGAGUUCGAAAAAGUUGGAAUUCCUUCCAGGGAUGUUGAUGAUAAAGAUAAAAAGGAUGAUCAGAGACGAUGCACAAUAACAUUGACGUCUAGAAGUCGAGAUUUAUUGUGCAUUGAUAUGAAUUCUCAGAAAAAUUUCUCGAUCGAUGCUUUGCCACGAAAAGAAGCAUUGCAGUUAUUUGAGGAGAUAGUGGGUGAUUCAACUAAAAUAUCUGCUUUUCAAAGUAUAGCAAAUGAGAUCGUUGAAAGAUGCGGAGGUUUGCCUGUUGCACUGAGUACAGUUGCAAAUGCUCUGAAAACUAAGGAGCGUGACUUUUGGAAAGAUGCAUUGAAUCAGCUAAGAAGAUCGGAUGCAAGAGAAAUUCAUGGCAUGCAAGCAAAUGUGUACACCUCCAUAAAAUUGAGUUAUGACUUCUUGGAAAGUGAGGAGGCAAAAUCUCUGUUCCGUCUUUGUGGUCUAUACAGUGAAGGUAAUGUCAUACAAGUUUCUGACUUAUUGAGAUAUGGUGUGGGUUGGGAUUUGUUUGAAAAUGUUUACACAUUGGAAGAAGCAAGGAGUAGGGUGCAUCGGUUGAUCGACAAUCUCAAAUCUUCAUGCUUAUUGUUGGACGGAGAUGCUGAAGAUGAAGUUAAAAUGCAUGACGUCAUUCAUGUUGUUGCCGUAUCAAUUGCCGCAGAGAAGCGCAUGUUUAAUAUUCCAAAUGUUGCCGACUUGGAGAAAAAGAUGGAAGAGACAAUACGGAAAGAUCCAAUUGCCAUUUCUUUACCUUAUAGAGGUGAUCAAGUGCUUCCCCAAAGAAUGCGAUGUCCCCGUCUUGGGCUAUUUUUGUUGCAUAGGAAGGGUCUUUGCUCUAUGCAAGUUUCAGACCACAUUUUUGAAGGGACGGAAGGACUCAAAGUUUUGGAUCUUGCCAGAAUUCACUUCUCUUCAUUACCUUCAUCACUUGGGUGCCUCAUUAACCUUCAAACAUUGUGUUUAGACUAUUGCCGACUAAAAGAUAUAGCAAUAGUUGGACAGCUAAAGAAAUUAGAGAUUCUCAGCCUUGUAUAUUCCGAUAUCAAGCAGUUACCACUCGAAAUUGGACGAUUGACGCGGUUACAGUUGCUAGAUUUGAGCAAUUGUCGGAGCCUUGAGUUGAUACCACCAAAUGUCAUAUCAAAAUUAUCUCGAUUAGAAGAACUGUUUAUGCAUAACAGCUUUUCACAGUGGGAUAAGGUUGAAGGAGGAAGUAAUGCCAGUCUUGUCGAGUUGAAAGCGUUGACAAAGCUAACUACUUUGGAGAUAGAAGUUCCGGAUGCCGAAAUUCUGCCGCCGGAUUUUGUCUCCGUGGAAUUGGAAAGAUAUAAGAUAUUUAUAGGAAAAAUGUCUGUCCGACGGCUCGUCGAAUCUAAAACAUCAACAUUGAUGGUGCUCAAGGGGCCAGAAAGAGUUAGCCUUCUUUUGGGGAAUGAUGGGACGAAAAUGUUGCUGAAGAGAACUGAAGAUCUCCGUCUAUACUCACAGAAGGGUGUUCAGAAUAUUGUUCAUGAAUUAGACAAUGGGGAAGGUUUUCCACGAUUGCAGCAUCUUCUAGUAACAGACUGUUCUGAGAUUUUACAUAUUGUCGGUUCAGUUGGACGGGUUCGUUGCAAAGUCUUUCCCUUGCUGGAGUCAUUGGAUCUUAUUGAUUUAACUAAUUUGGAGACGAUAUGCUGCAGCCAACUCAGAGAAGAUCAAUCUUUCAGCAACUUAAGGAUUAUAAACGUAGAUUCCUGUCCAAAAUUGAAGUAUCUCUUCUCAUUCUCUAUGGCUAAAAACCUAUUGGGGCUUCAAAAAGUAAAAGUGAGAAAUUGCGAUGAAUUGGAAAUGAUGAUUGGUAAGUGUUUAAAUUAAUUAUUGGUAGGAUUAUUGACAUUGACUCAUUCUUUUUUUCUUUUUCUUUUUUUUUUGGGUGAAAAAACAACGGAUGUUUAUUAUAUAUUGUUUUUGUUCAUUUAUAGGGCCCGACAUGGAGAAACCAACAACUACUGAGGGACUCACAGAAAUCAUUGCAGAGGAUGAUCCUAUUCACAAGGUGAUAAUUUUCUGUUUAAUAAUUAAUUAAUUAAUAUUUUAUCGCGAUUGAUCUUCAAUCAUCAAAAGAAUAUUAUAUUAGAAGUUGUAGUUGAAGGAACAAAAAUGUACGGUUUUGCUGUGCAGGUUACUUUUCUACGCUUAGAGGAACUGAAACUUGACGGUUUAAAAAACAUCAAAAAAUUAUGGCCCGAUCAAUUUCAGGGAAUGUAUUGUUGUCAAAAUUUAACAAAAGUGACCGUGGAAAGGUGUUAUCGUCUGAAGUAUAUGUUUUCAUAUUCUAUGGUUAAUAGUCUUUUGCAACUCCAACAUCUUGAGAUUAUUAAUUGUUGGUCAAUGGAAGGGGUAGUCAACAACACCGCGGGGGGGUUAGGAGGAAGAGAUGAAUUAAAGGUUUUUCCUAAACUACACUCCCUGCGGCUCCAUUGCCUUCCAAAACUAUGUAGCUUCACCUCACCAGAAGACGUCAUUCACACUGAAAUGCAACCUCAAUCUUUCUUUAAUGAAAAGGUUUUUUUUUUUUUUUUUAAAUUAAUUUUAUUUUCAAUAGUUAAUUUCUUCUUUCGUUGAGUCUUCAAAUUUAAUUAAUAUCCAUCUCUAAUUGCAUUGAAUUUUUAACUUCAGGUACGACUCCCAAGUCUGGAGGUAUUACAUAUUAGUGAGGCGGAUAAGUUGAGAAAAAUAUGGCACCACCAGCUUGCUUCGAAGUCUUUUAGCAAAUUGAAAAAAUUGGAGAUAUCUUGGUGUAAUAAUCUAUUGAAUAUUUUUUCUCCAUUGGUAAGAUUGCUAUAUUCAUUUUGAAUUUUUAUUUCAAAUAACAUUCAACAAUUAUUUUAAUCAUUUUUGUGUUUACAAAUAAUUUUCAUUCACAAAUUAUUUAUUGCAAGUAUUGUACUUCAAACUUCUGGAGGGAAAAAAAGUAGUGUACUUCAAAUCACCAUUCUGAACUCUGCAUUUUCAAUCUAAUUUAUAGGUUCACCUGCAUUAAAGUCAACAAUAUAAUUGUUUUAAACACGAUUUAACAGCAUAAUAUAAUUCAAUUUAAUUUUUUUUUCUUAAAUCGUAAUAAAUAAGAUUUUCAGAAAUUAAAAGAUACUUAGUUACUCAGCUUUUAAGUUCACAAAUUCAUAUAUAUUUCUCUUGUCCUUGGGUCUUUAGAUUUCGAUUUUAAAAAAAAUAAAGAAAAGUGUUCAAAUGUAGUUAGUAUCUCUAGUUUAGUUAUGAAUUGAUUACGCCAUUGAUUAAGCACAAAUUCAUGAUGGUCAUUUUGAAUCGACCGUUGAUUAAAAAAAUUCCUCAAAUAUUCACUCUAUAACAAUCCCAUGUUGAUGGCGUUGGGAAGUGUUUUCCAGAAAUGUUUUCCAUUUUUAAAAGCAUGAAUAUCGGGAAAAAAAAAAAAAAAGAGAAAUACAACGUUUUAGUUUAGUUAUUUUAAAAAUAGGCAUGUUUGAAAAUUAAAAAUUUUUAAAAACUAGCAUCAAGAUGAAAAAUGAAUUUAUAAUAUUUAAAAAUUACCUGAAAUUCUUUCUCCGUUCCUAAUACUAAAUAGUGUAAAUGCAUUUUCAUUAUCUUUGUUUUUCUGGACUUCUAUUUAUUUAUUUAUUUUUGUUUUAAUUUUUUCCUUUUUUUCUUUAACAAAAAAUAUCUAGUAGACAUUCAUGAUUUGUUAUUUUUCAUAAAACAAUUGUAUGAUUUUGACAUACUUUGAAUCUAGUUGAAUGCUACUCUUUAUUUUAAGGUUGGAAUUCCUAGUAGCCUGGUGAAUCUUGAUGUAUCAUACUGUGAAAAAAUAGAAGAAAUCAUAGGACAUGUUGGAGAAGAAGCGAAGGAGAAUCGUAUUGCUUUCAACGAAUUAAAACUUUUGGUACUUGAUCAUUUACCAAGGCUUACCAGCUUUUGUUUGGAGGAUUACACUCUUGAAUUCCCAUCAUUGGAACGAGUUUCUAUGACAUGUUACCCGAACAUGAAGACUUUUUCUCAGGGAAUCGUAUCCACACCAAAGCUGCACGAAGUGCAGGUGAGUAAAAAGGAAGUAUUAAGUUUUAUAUGAAACUGUGAUGUUGUUUGGUUACUAAGAAAAUAGGAAGAAAGAAAACUUCUGUAAGCUGAGAAUUCUGUUAUUAUUGAUCUAAUGAAUCUGGAAAUUACAAGCCUUUUUAUAUGUGCAUAGAAGAUUCUACACACAUUGCACACACGCACAGUUUACUACUAACAACCUCUAUAACAACCUUUAGCUGACUCAGCUGCCAUGUCAGCAUACUCAUUAACUAACUAAUUCUAUUCUUAACAGGAAGAGGGUGAAUUGCGCCGUUGGGAAGGCAACCUUAAUUCCACUAUACAAAAGUGUUACGAAGAAAUGGUAUGUGUUAAAUCGAUUCGUCGAAAUUACUUAUGCAUCUCCCUUGCACUUGCACAUUUGAACAUAUAAGUUUAAUGUAUAUAUAUAUCUAAUGCCUUUCAAGAAAAAAAUUUAUAUAUAUCCAGUGCAAUUGUUUUGGUUUGUGCAGAUUGGAUUUCGUGACAUACAGGAUUUGCAACUCUCACAUUUUCCACGUUUGAAAGAAAUAUGGCAUGGCCAAGCACUGCCUGUCAGCUUCUUCAACAAUUUAGUACGACUGGUGGUGGAUGACUGCACGAAUAUGUCGAGUGCUAUUCCUGCCAAUCUGCUACGGUGCUUGAACAAUUUGGAAUACCUGGCAGUGACGAAUUGUGAUUCACUAGAAGAGGUGCUUCAUUUGGAAGAGCUAAAUGCUGACAAAGAACAUAUAGGUCCCCUGUUUCCUAGGCUUUACAGUCUAAGGCUCACUGAUCUUCCAAAACUCAAAAGAUUCUGCAACUUCAUUGGGAAUAUAAUUGAAAUGCCUGAGUUGGAGAAUCUAACUAUUGAGAAUUGCCCUGAUAUGGAAACAUUCAUAUCCAACUCUGUAGUGCACGUGACAAUAGAUAACAAGGAACCUCAAAAAUUAACAUCAGAAGAGAACUUCUUGCUGGCUCAUCAAGUACAACCUCUCUUCGAUGAAAAGGUGAUUAUUAUUAUUAUUAUUAUUAUUAUUCCCUUCACUUUCGUUCGCAUAGAUGUAAUUUCAUAAGAAUCAAGUCAAAUUUAAUGACUCAUCUUUUUGCAUGUCAUCUUAAUUUAUAUAUGAUUUAACAAUAUAACCGCAGUUAUUAACUAUCUUUAUAGUAUGAAUUAUAAAAAUGUCUGGAAUUAAUUGGAUUCCUGGCAACACGAGGUGCUGAACUAUAUUAAUUAUGUGUGUUAAUUCAUAUUGGAUUUAGGAUCAGAUUUCAUUUAUGUGUUUCAAAGGGUAAUCGAUUUGAUACUUAUAUUUGGGAUCCUACUGCAAAGCAUACUGAUUUGGAAAUAAAAUAUAAAAUGCCGUGAUUAAUCUUGUCCAUAAAAUAUGCAGGGGAAGACUGCAGAGAUUGGAUACAUAUUUUCAUUUCCAACUUAAUUUUGUUGAUUUUCAGGUUGCAUUCCCUCAAUUGAGAUGGUUAAACCUGUCUAGAUUACACAAAGUGCAGCAUCUCUGGAAGGAAAAUGACGAAUCCAACAAAGCGUUUGCAAACUUGGGAAGUCUAGAAAUAUCGGAAUGUAGUAAGUUGCAAAAAUUAGUACCACCUUCGUGGCAUUUGGAAAAUCUUGCGACUCUGGAAGUAUCGAAGUGUCACGGGUUGAUAAAUUUAUUGACGCUCUCAGCAUCUGAAAGUCUAGUGAAUCUUGAAAGAAUGAAGGUAGCUGAUUGCAAAAUGAUAGAAGAAAUCAUACAAUUGCAGGUUGGAGAAGAAGUGAAAGGCUCCAUUGUCUUCGAGAAAAUGAACUACUUGACACUUGAUUGUUUGCCAAGCCUAACAAGCUUUUGUUCGAGUAAUUACACUCUUCAAUUCCCAUUCUUGCAAAAAGUAGUUGUGAGACAGUGCCCAAAGAAGAAGAUUUUCUCUCAAGGAGUCGUAGACACACCAAAUCUAAACAAAGUGAAACUCACCGAAGAAAAAGAUGAUGAUGAUGAUGAAGAAGAUGAUGAUGAUGAAGGAUGUUGGGAAGGCAACCUCAAUGACACCAUAAAAAAAUUGUUCAAUGAAAUGGUGAGUAUCAAUUAAGUUUUGGUGCUAUUUAGCAAAUUAUUUUAUAGAAACUAGUGUGACAUAAUAUGAUUGGUUGACUGAAAAUAUAUAAUAAUAAUAGUAAAUAAAUAAAUUAUGAGGAGCAUGUAAUGUUUUUGUUUAACCAAUCAUAUUAUGUCGCAUUAGUUUAUACAAUAUUAUUUGUGCACAAGAGGUGGUGGUCAUAUCAUUACUCUAGUUUUAUUAUUCUUAUGGUGGCAAUGUAUGCUUGCUUACACGAGUAAUUACAAAAUCUGCAGAAUUCUAAAGAAGAGAUUGAGCCAAUCCUUCAGGUACAGUGAAGAAGCUAUCCCGAACCAGGCCAAUCUCUUAUACAUGAUUUAGCUUGCUCGUUCUUCUGUACUUGAAUAAUUUGGCUCUACAUAUUUACAAUUUUUUGCUCAUGCUACAGACUUGCAAGACACUUUGGAUUUUGUUUGAUGCAUUCUCCGUUUAAGAAAGGACUUGAAUUGAUGUUUCAUGUUUCAUGCAAUAUUCGAUUAGAUUCUGUCUAAAUUUCUGUAUUAUUCGUUCAAUUGGUCUUUUAAGCAUUUGAUUUCUAACCUCUCCUAAUAGAAUAUCAUUAGCCGAUGAAAACAGCAUAACAUUUGUGGUUGUGGCAUUAUCAGAAUAAGAAUAUUUUUUAGUAUAGUAAAAUUAUCUCGACCACUGUUAAAAAGAAUUAAACAGUCAAACUGACCUUCUCACACCAGCACGCUUUAAAUUAAAAGAAUUUCAUGAAGUCAAGACCAUGUUAUAGAUCUUGUGGAAAUAAGUGAACCCGUAAUUUUUUUCACACCAUCAUAAGAAAAAUCAUUUUUUUUAAGUAUUUUUGUUAGCUGUUGAGUUUUAAUAGUAGUAGCUAUUAAACAAUAACAAUUAGUGUAUAUUAAAAAGUUGGAAACUGGUUGAUACCACUCGGGAAUCGAGCAGUUCACUUGUUUGCGAGUAGAAACCAACUUUACUACUAAUUACACUCAUACCAAAAAUAGUGACGAAAGAAUCAGGGAAUUUCCUAUUCACUAUUCUUCAUUUUUUAAUGCAAAAUUCCCAUUCGAAAACACCAAUGACUUUCAUUCAAAGUAAAUGAGAAAUUACAAUGAAAAUAGAAUCAAAAUACAUAUAUGUAUACCUAAAACAAAUGAUUUUUUUAAUUAAAAAAAAAAUACAGUUGAGGUGAAAUGAAACCAGAGUCAUGAUAUCUCUGGUUCCAACUUUGGGACAACAGCAGACUUGAGUUCUAUAUGAGAAACACGUACAGCACCAAUCAGCCGCUCCAGUAAUUCAUCUGUAGUAUUUGCCUGCAUACAGAAGAGCAAGAUAAAGAAGACAAACACAGAAGCAUUAUAUCAUUCUGAGAACAUUCAAGUAUGCAAAAAUGCAAGUUGCAGUGCAAUAUCUCAAAAUCAUGUCUUUUCCCUUGUGUCCAUUUAGCAGUGGGGGAAAAAAACAAUCAUACAUACCUGUACAAGGAAAGCCAUGUCAACCACCAAUGUCGUAAUUACACCAAUUACAAGGCCCAAAACUCCAUUAGCAACAGUAGAAGAAUCGAUGUCAACAUCAAUCUACAGAAAGAUGAACAAUGUUAAACCAUGUUAAAGGUAUUGGACGCUAUUUGAAAGGGGAACAUCUCAUGUACUAUAGAAAUUCCAAGAGCAUUUACUUCUAAGUACUUGGGACCGCGAAUAUAGUUACAAUCAACUGCCUUCCCCAAUAAACAAGGGGUGCUUCCAACACUCUGGCGCACUAUCCAUGACCCCUGCAUGAUUCAGUGCUUAAAAUCAAGAACAAGUGCAAAACAAAUUCAAGAGGGUAAAAAGGACAUAGUUUGAAUCUGAAUCCAAAUCCAUUAAUCCAGAGUUCAUAGCUUGGAUGAAGACUGAUCAACUUCUGUUGAGUUGGAUGAUGUCGUCGAUACAGCAAAAUCUACUUGCUACUGUGAUUGACUCCACAACUUCAAAACAGCUUUGGGAGACUCUUACUAGUAUGUUUAUUUCUUAAUCACAAGCUAGAAUCCAAACACUUAGAAUGCAGAUUCAAACUAUUAAGAAAAGUGCAAUGCAUAUGUCUGAUUACUUUGCAAAAGUAAAACGUAUAGCUGAUACUUUAGCUCUAGCUGGAAAACCUGUUGAGUUAAGUGACCUUGUGAUGCAUGUAUUAACCGGUCUUGAUUCAUCAGAUUAUGAAUCUUUAGUCACAGCUAUUUUAGCUCGAGGUGAGAAGAUAACAUUAGAUGAACUAUAUCCUUUGCUGUUGAAUCAUGAAAAUAGAGUUGAGCAAAAGAAAGGAAAAAUUGCUGGUGAUGUGAUGCACAAUAUAACAGCAAAUAUUGCUCAGAAGAACUCAUGCUGGAAAGAAUAAUGGCAAUUUUCAAAAAAAUUAUGGAAAUAAUUCUGGAGGUGGAAAUAAUUCUAGGUAUGGAGGUUUUAAUGGAUAUGGAUAGGGUCAGUUUAAUAAUGGUGGUAAUUCCUUUGAAAUUGUUUGUCAAAUCUGCUUAAUACCUGGUCAUGCAGCCAAUAGAUGCAAAAAUAGGUACAAUUCAUCUUUUGUUCCACAAAGAAACUAUGGCAGAGGUAAUAUGAAUGGUGUCAGAGGUUUUAAUCAAGGGCAAUAUGGUAGAGGAAGAGCUUUUAAUGGUAAUGGUGGCAGAGGUUUUGGAGGUUUUGGUUUAAAUGCCGGUUUUGGCUAUGCACCCAGGGGUUUUGGCUAUCAAGGAAAUAUAGUGUAUCCAGAUAGGAAUCCUUCUGCUUAUUACUCAUUCACCCUUGGACCAUCUACUUUUGUUUCUGGUCAAGGAAAUAAUAAUCCUGGACAGUCAAGUGCUUCAUCUUCCUCAGCUAUGCCUUCUUCACUUCCACCAGAACACAUUGAAGAUCCUUCAUGGUAUAUUGAUAGUGGAGCAACAAAUCACAUUACAAAUUAUCUAGGUAAACUUCUGGAUUCACAAGUUUAUACUAGUACUGAAAAAUUGUUUGUUGGAGAUGGAAAUGCAUGAGCUAUUACACAUGCAGGAUCAGUUGUGCUAAAUACUUCAACUUCUAAACCUUUAAGAACCAUCUUCUGCAUGUCCCUUUUAUUACUAAGAAUUUGCUUAGCAUUUCAAAAUUAUUGGCUGACAAUCCAGUUAUUGUUGAAUUUCUUGGUGAUUUGUGUUUUAUAAAGGCUAGGAACACAGGGAAAAUUUUACUUGAAGGUGUUGCUAAAGGUGACUUGUAUAGAGUCUCUUCACAUGUUGCUGCUCAUUCAGUCUUUCUCAUUUCAGUUGGUCAAAAUAAAACUCACUCUCUUUGCUUGUUCUCCUGUUUUCAAUUCUGAUCAGCUCACUGCUGUUAGUUCUUAUGAAUUGAAUAAAAAGUCAUGUCUGUCAGUUGUUACAAAGAGUUCUAUUGAUGUAAAUCUUCUUCAUAGAAGAUUAAGACACCCAGCAUCUUAUACUCUCAAAACUAUACUCAAAACUUGUAACAACUCUACUGCUUAUAAUAAAAUUGAAAGCUUGAAAUUUUGUUCAGCAUGUCAAUAUGGGAAAAAUCAUAUGCUGCAUUUUGAUUCAGUUGAAACAAAAACUUCAGCACCCUUACAAGUGAUAUAUGCAGAUCUUUGGGGUCCUUCUCAUGUCUAUUCUACCCAAGGAUAUAAUUACUACUUAUCAAUCUUAGAUGAUUAUAGUAGAUUUACCUGGAUAUUUCCAUUGUCAGCCAAAUCUGAUGCUCUUGAAGUGUUUACCAAUUUCAAAAUUUUUAUUGAAAAGCAUCUUCAACUUCAAAUCAAAACUGUCCAAACUGACUGGGGAGGAGAGUUCAGAACACUUUCCUCAUUACUCACUGCUUCUGGUAUCCAUUUUAGACACCCUUGCCCACAUAUUCAUCAUCAAAAUGGAAGAAUUGAGAGGAAACAUAGACACAUAGUUGAUGUAGGUCUGACCUUAUUAGCUCAAGCACAUUCACCACUCAAAUUUUGGUGGAAUGCAUUCCACACAGCUGUCUAUUUGAUAAACAGACUUCCAACUCCAGUUCUAAACAACAUUUCUCCUUUCCAAAAGUUAUUUCAUCAUCAACUAGAUUAUUCAACACUUAAAACCUUCGGUUGUGCUUGUUAUCCAACACUCAGACCAUACAAUAGACAUAAGUUUGAUUUCAGAACUGCCAGAUGUAUAUUCAUUGGCUACAAUUCACAACACAAGGGAUAUCAGUGUCUUCACUCUUCUAAGAGGGUUUACAUUUCAAAUCAUGUCACCUUUGAUGAAAAUUCUUUUCCUUGUGAGUCUGGAGCAGAUUUUUCUUCACUCUCUUCAAGUUGUCAGUCAACAAAAAACUAUAAGUCUUCUUUCAAUUCCUCUGUUCCUUCUGUUACUCAGUUACAAGCACCUUUAGCAGCAUCAUCAGAACACCAUCAAAAUGUUCAUCAUUUAGAUGCUCCUACUCCCUCACCAAAUUCUACUCCACUUUAUUUUUCUGAUAAUUCCAACUCAGCUUCUUCUUCUUCACCACCACAUAAUUCACCUCCACAUACAUUGCCACAACCUGCAUCAACUGGUCAUCCAAUGAUAACCAGGUCAAAAGCAGGUAUUUUCAAGCCAAAAAUUUAUUUGUCAGCUUUAUUAGCCCAAAAAUCAGAACCAACUUCUGUUUCCCAAGCACUUUCUGAUCCUAUGUGGUAUAAGGCUAUGCAAGAAGAGUAUCUAGCACUUAAAACUAAUCACACCUGGGAUUUAGUUUUACCUGCUACUCCAGUGAAGAUAGUUGGCAGCAAAUGGGUGUUUCGAAUAAAGUAUAACUCAGAUGGUUCAGUUUCAAGAUAUAAAGUCAGGCUUGUUGCAAAGGGGUUUCAUCAGACACAUGGGAUUGACCAUACAUAAACUUUUAGUCCAGUGGUUAAAGCUUCAACUGUUAGAGUUAUUCUUAGCUUAGCAGUAUUGAAUCAAUGGGUGAUUAGGCAAGUAGAUGUUAAUAAUGCCUUUCUAAAUGGCAUUUUAAUUGAAGAGGUGUACAUGGCUCAACCUGAAGGUUUUGUUGACUCAACUAAACCUAAUCAUAUCUGCAAGCUGAAUAAAGCUUUGUAUGGCUUAAAACAGGCACCCAGAGCCUGGUUUGAUAGAUUCAAGGAUGCAAUGAUCUCUAAACAGCAUUUCCAACAUUCAAGGUCUGAUAACUCUCUGUUUCAUGCCUGGAACAGUGGUCAUCUAACUCUUGUUUUGGUCUAUGUUGAUGAUAUUAUCAUCACUAGUUCCAGUCCAACACUAAUUCAGCAAGUUAUUCAGAGUAUGAAUCAAGCCUUUGCUUUAAAAGACAUGGGGGAACUUAGCUAUUUUCUGGGGAUUGAAGUCAGCAAGUCUUCAUAAGGGGUUUCCUUGACACAAGCAAAGUAUAUUACUGACAUUCUAGAUAAACAUGGCAUGACAGAUUGCAGUCGUGUGCCUACUCCAAUGUCUACUGGUUAUUAUCUCACAAAAGAAUCAGGAGAGCUAAUUGAUAAUGUUUCUCAAUAUAGGAGUGUUAUAGGAGCUCUUCAAUAUGUUACUCUUACCAGACCUGACAUUGCUUUCUCUGUAAACAAGCUAAGUCAAUUCCUUUCAAGUCCUAGAACACAACAUUGGGAAGCAUGCAAAAGGUUAUUGAGGUACUUAAAAGGCACUAUACAUCUUGGGCUGCAAUUUAAUAACAAAGGAGCUUUGCAACUACAUUGUUUUUCAGAUUCUGACUAGGCUUGUGAUCGUGAUGAUAAGAAGUCACUGGUUGGCUUUGCUGUUUACCUAGGCCUUAAUCUAGUCUCAUGGUCAUCAAAGAAACAAGCUGUUGUUUCCAGGUCCAACACAGAGGCUGAGUAUAGAUCUCUUGCUCAUGCUGCUUCAGAGGUUCCCUGGAUACAAUCUUUACUUGGUGAACUUAACAUCAAAUUGAGCUCUACUCCUAUGAUGUGGUGUGAUAAUCAAGAAGCAAUUGCUUUAGCUUACAAUCCAGUCUAUCAUGCUAAAACUAAGCAUGUCGAAUUGGAUAUACAUUUUAUCCGAGAUAAAGUUACUGCUAAAGAGAUUGAAGUAUGUUUUGUGCCCAGUCAAGAUCAAACAGCAGAUGUGUUGACUAAGGCUUACUUUCAAACAGUUUAGUUACUUAAGAAGCAAGCUGAAUGUUCAUCCUAAACAUUUCAGCUUGAGGGGGGAUGUAGUGAAUUGAAUGAAGUUGGAGCAAAGCAUGAUGUUGCUGUGUAGCUGACUGUAGCAGAUCAACUCACUAGGCUGACCUGGCAAAGUUAGUUAGCUGGUUGAGCUGAUGUGUCAAAUUAGUUAUGCAGCAAAUGGUUAUGUGAUGUAAAAAACUUGUGUGUGUGUUGAGCAAAUUGUAGCUUAAUAUAAAUAUCAGUCUGUAUUCAUUUAGUUGUAAUGCUAGAGUAAUAAAGGUUCUACAAACUUCUUUACAGCGCUUUCUUUUAUUUUCUUUCAUUUUCUAGCUUGCCAAACAAUACAAAACUAAGUUUCUUUCGGAAAAGGAAAAAUAAAAAGAAAAGAAUAGUUACUUGUGCAGUACAGCCUUGACGCCUAGCUACAUGGUCCAUUCUCUGUGUCUUUGAACCAAUCAACAGCAACAAGAUCCAUUAAAUGUUUUCCCGCAGGUAUCUGCAGUUACAAAUUGCACAAAGCACAAGAGCCAACCAAACUACAUCAUAACCUGUCGACCUAGCAUAUGCAGGAUAUAUAACUACCAUAACAAACAACCAAAAUAUGGGGGAACCUUUGUUUUGUCAUAACAAAAAUGCUUGCUACGAACUCUAAAGUUAUUUCCACCAGAAAGUUUCCAGCAGUCACGAGCAUUAUCACAGUCAUCGUGUCGCAGAUUGCCUGAAAAAUAAGAAAAAUCAAUUUGAUCAGCCUGCUCUUCCUCUAGGGUAGCAACUAAUUGAAAAUUAUAAACCAAAAAAAAAAAUCAAUACCAUAAAAAUCCACUAAUGAGGACAUUAGCCAAAUAUACAAAAAUGAAUACUUAUCAUCCACCUGUCCUCUUGAAAUCAUUCUCAAUCUUUUUUUCAUUUGAUGGCAGGAAUUAUUGAAAUUGGAGCCAUUUUUUUUGUGGGAAUUGAAAUAUAUUCUUUAAAUUAUUACAUAAAUAGCAAAAUGUACAUACACACACAUAUAUAUAAUUCAUAUAUAAAAAUUCUCUAAUUUGUUCACAAGUACCAUAGAUUAUAAUUCAGUUAUGAAAUAAAAUAACUACAAUAAUUAUAGUUAAAUGAAUACUUCAUUAAUUCUUAAUUUGCUUCCUAACAUUAAAUGAACAACUUGAGUCAGCCACCUGAAUCAACCAGUAACAACGCCUGAGUCAACCAUCUGAAAAAACCAGCAACCCUAGCUGAUUCAAGCACCUGCAAUUAACAUCAACACAACAGGAACAAUCAUAAAUCAGCACCAAGAACAGACCAAACUGCCAUCAAAUGCCACAAAACCAAACAGUCUGCUACUGCCAUCAAAUGCAAGCAAACAUAUGCAACAAAACCAGAUGCAAGUGAAAUUCUGGAGAAUAUCGGAUAAACCAAACCAAAUGCCACACUUCUAGUAAUUAGACUAGAUGCAGUGUUCAAUUAAACUAAAUGUAGUCUCAUAUUACAUUCAAAUUUUCUAAAAAAACCAGUGUUCCAUCAGAGAAGCACCAAAACCAAACCAAUCUAAUCCAGCAUAAUUACCAGCUCAACCCAAAACAAUUACACAUUAUAUUGACAUAUCAAAAUUCGCUAUCAAAACAUAGCCAAAUAAAUGACAAUAAACUGAAAACAGACCCGAACCAACUGAUGUUGCAGCCCUAGUAGUCAUUGUGCGUUCCACUGCCAUAGGAGCGAGGGUAGGCUCCGUUGUUGAUGAGUGAGUAAGAUAAGGCUCCAAAUCAAUAGUUCCACCUCCUUUCUGCAAUUCAAAAAACAGAAAUUCAUAUAUGUAAAACUAUUAAAAAGUGUGAAACAACCUGUAAGUAUUCAACUUCUGUCAACUCAAUAGCACUUACUAAAGUUUUUAUACAGAAGAAAAAGGCAUUUUAAGUCCAAAAAAUUAGAAUUAUUGGUUGAACUCCAACUCCAUCAAUCCAUGCAACCAUCCAACCUUUAACGAAAAAAUGAAGCAUAAUUAACAAGACAUCUGAAUCAGAAAGAUUGUGCUUUGAUUUGGCACGAGGUGUUGGAAACAACUUAACAAAUCUAGACACAAUCUAUAACCAUCAAGUCCAAACAAAAGUCAGGAUCUAAAAUACUUUGAAAAAUCAGAAAAACCGCAAAAUAUCAGUUUCAAUUUCUUUUUCACCCAUUGUAAGCUCAAACUGAAGGUAGCGGCGCUACCUUUAAACAUCAUUUGGGCUUAUACAUGUGACAUUUGCUCAUGAACAACUAAAGUUGAAUAAGAUUUUUAUAUGAAACGGAAUAUAAAAAGUCAAAGUAGAAUAUGACAGGACCAACAAUAUAUUAUUCAGCAUUAGCAUUAUGUAUAAAAUAAAUUUAGAGGCAUCAUAUUCAUUCACAAUCUUGCAGAGGUAAUACCAGAUUAUGGCACGCAACUCUUGAAUAGCAGAUAAAGGAGGAGAUGCAGUGGGAAGGUAGUAACUUGCUUGCAUGAGAACUAAAAAGUAAUAUCCCAAGAUCAAUUAUAGAUCUCAUAAAACAAAAACAGUGAGGCAAACACAAUUAUUGUGAACAAUUAUUCAUAGAACCACAUAGCAGCAACAAGAUCAAAGUCAUCUGUGUAUAAAUCGAUUCCCCACAGCUGACUGCCUCUGACCUAAACAUAAUGAAAUUACAUAACUAAGAAGUAGAGUCAUAAAAUAUGCUGCUGUAACAGCUAUCAAUAAAUUUCCAGACAAAUGGAAUUUGAUAUGUAAGGCUAUAACUAGCAACACUUCAAAAUAAUUUGAAGUAGCAUGAUCUUACUUUAAGGAUCAAUACUACAAUCUUUCAGAAAAAUUAAAGUCUAACCAAAAUUAAAACCUUAAACAUACUAAAAUCUGGUAAAUAGACCUAUAGGAAUUCCAAUGACCUCCAAAAUAUUUGAAAGAAAAAUUAAUUUACAGCAAAAAAUGUUAAAGAUUUGUAAAAUGGAGGCCCAUACUACUAUUCAAAUUACAAAAGAGGAAAGGGAGCUGGCCAUUAAAUGAUAAAGGCAUGCAUAAAGAAAUACGAGCACCACAUUAAAUGAUAAAGGCAUGCAUCGAGAAAUACAAAAAAUAUGCCCAUAAAGACGUCCACUCAAGCCUUAUAAGCGGCUUUAUGCAAAGGAAAGCCAAUUAGUUAACAGUAAAUGAAUUUCAAGGUGCAAUAAUUAAACUCCCUGAUCAGCACAUUUAAGGUUCAUGCAUUUCUACAAAACAUGUAAAUCAUAAGAACUUUUUUGGUCCAAAUGCUAACCAGUAAUUAAGUAGAUUAUCAAAGUAGUCACAGAACAAGCACCACAUUGAUUGCUAUGCAAAAGAUGAAAGUAAAAGUUAAUACUUUAUUUUAUUUUACUUUUCGAGAGUUUUGAUCAUCAUGUGCAAAAUAGUAGUAUAACUUGCUCAGUGUUAUCUCAAAAAGCUUGCUUAAAAUACCUAUUAGCACCAGUCCAAGUUGUCAAAUAAAUCCUUAUCUAUCCAUUCAUCUCUGACCUUGCCAAAAAGAUUUAAACGAGCAUCUAUAUUCUCACUCCAAUCUUUCACAAUCAUAGGCUUUAACUUAGACCAGUUCUUCAAUAUCCCUUCCACUGUGAGCCCCUCGAAAACCUUGUAAAUUGAAUCACAUUUGUCGUCAGUUUCAAAUCCAUCUGUCAAAAGGCUAAGCAAAUGAAUAUACAAUCAACACCAUUCUUCCAAACGAAUAUACAGUCAACACCAUUCUUCUAAACACAAACAAAGUUUGAACGUAUGACAGAUUUUUAGCCAUUUAAUAUUCCAUCAAAUAUAAUUAGAUCACACCUACCAAGGAUUUUUGAAAAGAAUGCAUUCUCAUCUUAAGCAGCAACCUCACUAGUAACACAUUUUCAUACCCUGUUUCCACCUCUGGUCGCACCACCAAAAAAAAUUCAGUACUAAUUAGCUUUAAUAUGUAAAUUUUCGCUUAGUUUAAGCUAGGGUUUUCUUUCGAUUGAAACAGAGGAAAGCUUUUGGGUUAUUAAAGUGAAAGAUAUGGAAUAAUACAAAAAAUUAUUGAAGUGAAAGAGCAGGAAUACAAAAAAUCAGCAGAUGAGAUCGUUGAAAGAUGCGGAGGUUUGUAUAUAAAUAUUAAAUUGAUCGUUGAAAGAUGUAUAAACCUCCAUAAAAUUGAGUUACGACUUGAAGGAUUGUAUAUAAACAUUAAAUUGAUCUAAUUUAACUUGUAUGUAAACACUAAAUUGUAUAUAAAUACACAAAACAGAACCAUAUCAGUGUUGGAAAAAAAAUAAGAAUCCAGAGUUAUAUAAAUUCAAUAAAAAAGUAUUGAAUUUUUUAUUACUAACUUUGAACACUCUAAUUUCAAUAAAAAAAAUAUAUUACUAAAAUAGUCUUAAUUGAAUUUAAUAUUAAAGAUAUUAGAAUAACUCAACACUAAUAUUCUCAAAUAUAUUUCUCUCCAUAGUCUAAUCUAAUCCAUUCUAAGAAUCCUAUAGAAAAUCUAUUAUUUACUUUUUCCUUAUUAAACACAAAAACAUGUCAUUUUGUUGCUAACUAAAAUUUUGGAACUAACAACAGCAGAUUAACUAAAAUUAUCAGGAAAAGAAAUCAAACAGGAUUUUAAUCGUCAUCAUCUUCACUCUUGCCUUUUUCUUUUUCUUCACACAUGUGGCUUGCACACGCAUUCCCCUCUCUCAUCCUUAGGGCCGCCCUUCAACAAUAUCCAAUCAUCGAUUAUAAUUAUUUAGAUUGACCAAAUCAAGCUUUGAUCAUAUAUCGGUUGAGGUUAGAAGUAGGCAGGCAGCAACGACAAUACUAAUUAAUAUCUCAUGAGAAUUUUAAAAAAGAAUCUAACGUUGCCCAAUUCGUUUGAUUUCAAUGAAAUCUUUCUCCUACCUAUACUUUCGCAUAUUCUCUUUUAUUUCCAAAGUUAAGGUUAUGGAUGUUGUAGAGUAAAAAGAUGAACAUUGCUAGGAAAGCAAUAAAAGGAAAUAAAUAAAAAUUAAAAAUAUAAAAAGAGUUAAGUCAUUUUUUUUGUCUAUUAGUGUUUUUGUAUUUAAUAACGAAAGAUAAAAAUGAAGUAAAUAUUAUCUGUUAGAUUAUUAAAAUACAUACUUAAAAUGUUUUAGUGACAAUCUAAUUAUAAAUUAAGGGUCUAUUUGAGAUUGAGAUUGAACAGUUAAAAUGUUAUAGUUGUUGUAGUUUAGAAGUUAAGAUGAUUUGAUUUUACACUUAUAUGAUAAAAAAUUAUUAUAUCUUUAUUAAUUUUAUCAAAAUUAUUAUUAAAAAAACUAAAUUUAUUAUAUACUAUUAAUUUUUAUUUUAUACUUAAAAUUUUUUUUUUCUUACGGCAAAAGUUUUAGCACCUCAAUACCCAACCAAGUCUAAAACUGCACAAUAAUAAUUAUGAGUGUGCAUGUUAAAAUCUACACACAUUCUUUAAUUUCAAUCAACAGUGUUACAAACUUAGUUAAAAUAUUAUAUCUGAAAUUAUUGAGGGGAAAAAAAAAGAAAAAAGAAUGUUGUUUUCAUGAUAGUGACAUGCGUCGUGCACAUUUUGCUGUUGGCUCUUUGGUCUCUAACCUAGCGAAUAGGUUGCUGUGUCCUCGUUGUUAGAUGCCCGAACCCAGCGCAAGAACUUUGUACGAUACCAUAUAUUUUGUAUGAAUUUAAGCUGAAGUUGGUACCUUUUAUUGUUUUAUAUCAUGACAUCAGGGAAAUUUUUAAUAGAUCUUCAUUUUAGGCUAAAGUACCCGAACAAUAGUUCCCAUGCACUUUGUGAUCUUUUUACAAAAUAUUAAACUAAAUAGCUGUGGAAGUAACAAAGAGGGCAACUUUUUACCAUAAUGUGAUGAAAAUAAUUUAUUUGUUGUCAUCACGAACUAACCAAAUCAAAACAAAAAACUAACUCAAAUCUGUGCGUCUAGUAACUUAUAUGAUGAUCAUUAGAUCUUGUUCUUGUUAAUGCGUCUAGUAACUUAUAUGAUGAUCUGAUGAUAUCCGUAACAUUAACAUACCCAUAAUCCAUUAUUUUAUAAUUAUAAAAAUUGAAGAUUCGGUCAUGCAAUUUUGUAUGAUGAACAGUGUUUCAUUUUUCUGUGAAACAUAAGAACAAUUUGUAAAUAAUGUCCAUGCGGACCUUGUAAUAGCGAAGCAUCAUUAUUGAUCUUACUUUGAUGAUCGCACUUUAGUUUCUUUUUAAAGUGCCUUUUGUUUAUUUUAUCGGCAUCCGCUUUUACAAAAGUUUUGGUCCUCGUUCAUUCAUCAAAGCUUCUACUUUUAUCUUUUAUUAGGCAUCUUAUAAAAAGCUUAAUUUAAUUGGAUUCAUGUUCGAUAUGAAGAUUGUUUUACUUACUUCAAUCUUUCAAUCAACCGAAUUUAUUCUUUUCUGAUCUGGAAAUUAUUCAUGAAAAAAUAGGCGCGUCAGUAGGACAACAGGGACCAAGUACAUAAUAUGAAAAUUCAUUUGUAUUGCUUACUCUAAUAAGCUCUUAAACUCACACAUUCCUCUGCAGUUACCAGUGAUCUUUUGCUCACUAAAAUUGUUAAUAUAUAUUCAAGGUGAAUAAAGAAACUCAUCAUCCCAGAUAAUUAAAGAGGUGAACUUGUUCUAAAUCCUUUAAUAAUUUCUAUUAAUAGCAUAUAUAAUCUCUAAUCCUUGAUCUUGAUAGUAGUUCUUUCUUAAUGUCCAAGAAAAAUAUCUCUCAUUUGUCUUAAUCUUGUCAUUUAAUUUUCUUGAAUUCUGAGUUAGUGUUUAUUGUUAAAUUCGGUUUUCGGUUAGUAGCUGUUGGUUAAUAGCUUCGGUUAAUCCUUGAAUUAAACAUAUUAAAAUCUAAUCAUAAACCCGCCUUUCCCUAUUUUACGACACCCUUUGUGUAAUAGUGACUUCAAAAGUGUAACAUAUUUUUGAACAAUUGCAAGGAAAGAACAUAUUUGACACUUCACGAAACGGUAAAUAUAUAAGCUUCAAUUCUUGUACAACAAAUUAAUAUAACCAACAUCAACCGUCAAUUGAUCAAUAAUUCAGUAACAAAAAGGGACAGAUAUCCUAGUCUUUCUUUACUAAUGAAGCAAGCCAUUAAACUUCGAAAGCUAUUUCUAUUUCCACAUUCUUCAUGUACCAAAGCCAAAAAAAAAAAAAAGCAACAAAAAUUUGGAAGUAAUCAUCUUUAUUCAGCAGCAUGCAUAUUAAUUAAAACAUAUUCAAAAAGAGAUAUACAAUAUCAGGUCUGGAGACGAAAUGAGCCCACAGAGACUACCAAUAAUGUAGUGGCUUGAUUAAAAAUAUUAAUCAAGCCACUACAUUAGAAGAACAAGAGUUAAUCAUGCAUAUUAAUUAAAAAUAUUUUUGCUAUCAUCCACCUGUUCUCUCUAAAUAGUUGCCACUUUUUUUUUUCGUUUGUCUGAAAUUCCAAGCAAAAAUAUAAUUAGAAGAACAAGAGUUAAGGGUUAAAAAAAUGGAAAAAUAGGGCUCCUCUGUUUUCAUUCCCCUGUUUUUCUGUUCGGUGAUUACAAAGAUUUAAAUCAAAAUUUAUGAUGCAGGCUACACGGCACCUGGUGGAAGACUGCUAGGGUUUACCUUUUAUUGUUAGUUAGAAAUUUAAUUUAGAAUUUGUAGUGUUUGCCUUAUAUAAGUAGGUUUCCUAAUAGUAAAAUUAAAUAAUCAAGUUUAUGAUGCACUAGGAUAUGGUUGUGAUAAAUGAGCUUUUUAUGUAUCCUGUGAGGCUGAUUAUUAUUUUAUUACAUUGAAGAUUCAGUCAUCUCUUGGUAGUCUUGUGAAUCAAGCGGAUUUAGUUAGUAGUAGGUAAUACUCUGGACUUCACAUAGUAAACGGAAUGGAGCAUUAUUUUAUCCCGCUAAAUCAGUUUUUUUUUUAAUUAAAAAAUAAUUCAUCAAACACUUUAUAGCUCUGGUUUUAAGUUGGUAAACACUUUAAGCCGCAACUUUAAAUUCAGUUUACGAGAACUCCUAACAGUCACUGUGGCUUGGGUAGAAAUGAAUAUACUAGCAUAAGUAAUGCUACCCAGGAAAUGUAGUUGAACCUAACCAAACUAAAACCAGAUGAUGAAAGCUUAUAUACGCCAAGAGAUUUAUUCGUUUCUGAGUUUGUUUCCAGAAACCCGGAACCUCCCCUGUUUCUACAAACACGGCACCUUUGUUUUCAUUCCCCUGUUUUUCCAUUUGGUGAUUGUAAAAAUCUAAAUCUAAAUUCUUGAUGCAGUCUACACGGCACCUGCUAGAUGAUUGUUUGGGUUUAUCUUUUAUUCUUAAUUAUCAAUUUAAUUUAGAUUCGUAGUGUGCACCUUAUGAAAGAUUAAAUAGAAUAAUGUGAAAAAAAAAGAAUGCCUUUGUUAAUUUUGACUUCAUAAUGUUGCAGUAACCGUCCUCUCUUAUCAUUCCCCUGUUCUUUGGUUUAGUGAUUGCAAAUAACAUUCUUUUCAUCUACUCUUUAUUUAUUUAUUUUUAAUUUUUAACUCAUUAAUUCUUGUUCUUCUUAAAGCGUUUAGUAAAUUAUAUGAUCACCUGAUCAAAUCCCUCACAUUAACAUACAACAUAACUAACAAAGUGUUGGCUCCACUGGCAAUGGAGUCUCCUCAAGUGGCUUAACUGGAUUUGCUCUCCAGUUCGACUCGCAAGGAAGUCGCCUUUGUUGGGAAAACUUGUACCAAAAACUCUGAUCUGUUGGCUUUGUAUCAGUAUUGCUUGUUUGUUGUCUUUUAUUUCAUUAUUUGUAUCUAAGUUUAUUUGAAGAUUACAGAUCAGCAGGAAAAGCCCUUUUUCUAAAGCUAACUAUACAGAUUUUAGAAUAGGGCUCAACCACAUGAAAAUAUUUACGUUGUAAUAUCUCAUAUUAAUAAUCUAAAAACAACCAAUCCAACAAGUUCAAAUUCAGUCAAAUCUAAAAAAAAAUUGCUUUUAAGGAGUACAUGAUAGCUAUUAAACUUUGGUUAAAGAUCUUUUGGGCAAACGUGAAAUUCAGUCAAUCAUAAAUCAACCAAUCCAACGAGUUCAAAUUCAUCACUUGCAAAAUUAAGUUUUCUUCCGAAAUUGAGUUUUUUCCAGUAGAAAUUUUCCCGCAGUCACGAGCACUAUCAUCAAAACAAGAUUAUUAACAUAAGAACAAGAGUUGAGGAAAAAAAUAUCUGUUUAUAUGGACACGGGGUGCACGCUUUAAGUCUUGUUCUUUUACAAUUCAAUUGUAUUGCUUACUCCCAUAAACUCCUUACUCACAUUCUUCUGCAGUUAACAGUGAUCUUUUGCUCAUUAAAAUUUUUCUUAUAUAUCGAAGGCCAAGAGUGAAGCUCAUAAACUCUGUGAUCCUAGAUAACCGAAGAGGUGCGUUUGUUCUAAAUACUUUAAUAAUUUCUUUCAAUCGCAUAAUUUCUAAUCUUUGAUCUUGAUAGCAGUUGUUUCUUAAUGUCCAACAAAAACUAUCUCUUGUUUGUCUUAAUCUUGUCAUUUAAUUUUCUUGAGUUUUAAGUUACUGUUUAUUGUUAACUUCUGUGUUCUUAUGCAGUAUUAUUAAUGGUUAAUUUGCAUCCAUCUUCCAAAAAAGUUUUCUUUCUUCAUAAAAUUGUUGGUUUUCCAUUCAGGCCCCUGAAACCUUUUUCUAAAAAGUUUUUUGUUGUCGUUUCUUUCUUUUUCUUCCCCGCUAGUUCAUUUAAUUUAUUUGAAUCCAUUUUUUUUUCAACAGCCAAAAACUAGAUAUUUAUAGUUAAGCAACAGGCAAUGGCUAUAGAAGCGUGUCUGGCUUUUUUAACCAACUGUGUAUCAGAAGGUGCAAAGUCACUGUUCAACCCUAUUACACGGCAGAUAUCUUAUGUGUUCAAGUACCAGAGCUACAUAGAUGAGCUAAAAGAUCAAGUGAAGCAGCUGGGAUAUAAGAGAGAAAUGGUGCAGCAACCAGUUAAUCAUGCUAGGCUACAAGGGGAUGAGCUUUUUGAGGGUGUCACAGACUGGCUACAUAGCGUUGAUGAAUUCAUCAGUGAAGGGGUUGCAAAAUCCAUUAUUGAUGAUGAAGAUAGAGCUAAGAAGUCCUGCUUCAAAGGAUUAUGCCCAAACUUGAUUUCUCGUUACAAGCUUAGUAAACAAGCAGCAAAGGCGGCAGAAGCUGCCGCUAGUCUCGUGGGAAAAGGCAACUUCUCCAAUGUUUCCUACCGUCCUGCUCCAAAGCGGGCAGAACAUAUGCAAGUGAAAGAUUUCGAGGCGUUUGAUUCAAGAAUGAAAGUAUUUCAAGAUGUUGUGGAGGCGGUGAAGGAUGACAAGGUCAACAUAAUUGGGGUCUAUGGGAUGGGCGGCGUGGGCAAAACCACGCUGGUCAAACAAGUUGCAAACCAAGUGAUGGAAGAUAAGUUGUUCGAUAAGUUCGUUAUGGCCGAGAUAACACAGACCCCAGAUCAUCAUAAAAUUCAAGACAAACUUGCUUUUGAUUUAGGCAUGGAAUUUGACUUGAAUGAGAAUGAAUUUCAAAGAGCUUCUCGACUGUGUCAAAGGUUGAAGCAAGAGAAGCGGCUCCUCAUUAUACUGGAUAAUAUUUGGACAAAACUUGAGUUGGAUGCGGUUGGAAUUCCUUCUGGAGAUGUGGAUGAGAAAGAUAGAGAGGACGAUCGGAGAAGACUCACAAUAAUAUUGACGUCUAGAAGUCGAGAUUUAUUGCGCAAUGAUAUGAAAUCUCAGAAGGAUUUCUCAAUUGAAGUUUUAUCAAAGGAAGAAGCAUUGCAAUUGUUUGGAAAGAUAGUGUGUAAUUCUGCAAAAGCAUCUGCUUUUCAACCUUUAGCAGAUGAGAUCGUUGAAAAAUGCGGAGGAUUGCCUGUUGCACUGAUUACCCUUGCAAAAGCUUUGAAAAAUGAGAGGCUUGACACUUGGAAGGAUGUGCUGCGUCAGCUAAGAAGUUCCAAUGCAAAAGAAAUUGAUGGAAUGGAAAGAAAUGUGUACAUCUCCAUAAAAUUGAGUUACGACUUACUGGGAAAUAAGGAAGCAAAAUCUCUGUUCCUUCUUUGUGGUCUAUAUACUGAAGGUGAUGUCAUACACGUUUCUGACUUAUUGAGAUAUGGUAUGGGUAUGGGCUAUUUUAAAAACGUUUACACACUGGAAGAAGCAAGGAGUAGAGUGCAUACGUUGAUCGGUAAACUCAAAUCUUCAUGCUUAUUGUUGGACGGUGAUGCCGAAGAUGAAGUUAAAAUGCAUGACAUCAUUCAUGCUGUUGCUGUAUCAAUUGCAGAAGAGGAGCUCAUGUUUAAUAUUCCAAAUGUUGCCUACGUGGAGAAAAAGAUGGAAGAGACAAUACGGGAAGGUCCAAUAGCUAUUUCUUUACCUUAUAGAGAUAUUCAAGAGCUUCCCGAAAGGUUGGAAUGUCCCCGUCUCGAGUUACUUUUGUUGUUUUCAAAGCGUGAUAGCUCUUUGCAAAUUUCAGACCUCUUUUUUCAAGGGACAGAAGAACUCAAAGUUUUAGAUUUUACUGGAAUAUUUUUCUCUUCAUUACCUUCAUCACUUGGUUGCCUCAUUAACGUUCAAACAUUAUGUUUAGAUGGUUGCCGACUGAACGAUGUAACUAUAAUUGGACAGCUAAGGAAAUUAGAGAUUCUCAGCUUCCGAGAUUCUGAUGUUAACGAGUUGCCACUUGUAAUUGGACAAUUGACGAGAUUACAGUUGCUAGAUUUGAGCAAUUGUAGCAGCCUUGUGGUGAUAGCUCCAAAUGUCAUAUCAAAAUUAUCUCGAUUAGAAGAACUAUAUAUUGGUAACAGCUUUUCACAGUGGGAGAACGUUGAAGGAGGAAGUAACGCCAGUCUUGUUGAGUUGAAGGGGUUGUCAAAGCUAACUACUUUGGAGAUACACGUUCGGGAUGCCGAAAUUCUACCGCAGGAUUUGGUCUCUGUGGAAUUGCAAAGCUAUAGGAUAUGUAUAGGAAAUAAGUGGUGGAGCAGCUGGUCCGUUAAAUCUGGAUUAUCAAGAUUGAUGAAGCUCCAGGGGCUAGAAAAGUUUGGCAUUCUUUUGCAGAAUUACAGGAUGAAACUGUUGUUGAAGAGAACUGAAUAUCUCUAUCUAGGAGAACUGAAGGGUGUUCAGAAUGUUGUUCAUGAAUUAGAUGAUGGGGAAGGUUUUCCACGAUUGAACCAUCUUUCUGUAAAAAGUUGUUCUGAGAUUUUGCAUAUUGUCUGUUCAGUUGGACGGGUUCGUCGCAAAGUCUUCCCCUUGCUGGAGUCAUUGUCUCUUCGUCGUUUGAUCAAUUUGGAGACAAUAUGUGACAGCCAACUCACAGAAGAUCAAUCUUUCAGCAACUUAAGGAUUAUAAAAGUAUCAGACUGUCACGAAUUGAAGCAUCUUUUCUCAUUCUACAUGGCCAAAAACCUACUGUGGCUUCAAAAGGUAGAAGUGUUUUUUUGCGAUGAUCUGGAAAUGAUUGUUGGUAAGUGUUGAAAUUAAGUGUUGGUGGAUUUAUGGACUUCGCCUCAAUUAUUUUGAAAAAAAAAAAAGACAACGACAAAGAUUAAUUAUGUAUAUUGUUUUAGUUUGUUUAUAGGACCCGACAUGGACAAACCAACAACUUCUUUGGGAUUCAACGAAAUCAUUGCUGAUGAUGAUCCUGCUCCAAAGGUGAUAAUUUUCUGUUCAAUAAUUAAUUGAUUAAUUUAUUAUCACGAUUAAUCUUCGAUCAUCAAAAGAAUAUUAUACUAGACGGUUGUACUUGAAGGAACAAAAAUGUACGGGUUUUCUUUGCAGGUUAUUCUUCCGAGCUUAGAGGAAUUGAAUCUCAUGUCAUUAAGAAACAUCAAAAAAUUAUGGGCCGAUCAUAAUCAAGGAAUGUACUGUUGUCAAAAUCUAACAAAGCUGCACGUGGUCGGUUGUCAUCGUAUGAAGUAUCUGUUUUCAUAUUCUAUGGUUAAUAGUCUUGCGAAACUCCAACAUCUUGAGAUAAGCUAUUGUGAGUCAAUGGAAGGGGUAGUCGACACCACGGGAUGGUCAGAAAGAGAUGAAGGAAAGUUGAUUGAAUUAAAGGUUUUUCCUAAGCUACACUCCCUGCAGCUAGAAUGGCUUCCAAGACUAAGUAGCUUUGCCAAUAUGGGACAUAUUCAUUCAGAUUUAGUUGUUGAAUUCCCUUCUUUGCUAAACCUCAUGAUUGGUUGUUGCAGUAAUAUGUUAAGAUUCAUCUCUACGAGCUCACCAGAAGACACCAUUCAUUCUGAAAUGCAACCUCCUCCUCUCUUUGAUGAAAAGGUUUUUUUUUUUUUUUUUAAUUAAAAAAAAUAAUUUUAGUCACAAUACUUGAUUUGUCUUUUCCUUGAGUCUUCAAAUUUAGUUAAUAUCCGCCUCUAAUUUAGUUAUCAAUUGAUUAUGCCAUUAAUUGAUUAACUAGUUAUUUAAUCUUUAACUGCCAGGUACGAGUUCCUAGGUUGGAGGUAUUAUAUAUUGCGUGGAUGGAUAACCUAAGAACAAUAUGGCACCACCAGCUUGCUUCGGAGUCUUUCAGGAAAUUGAAGAAUUUGGAGAUAGAAGAGUGUGAUAACCUAAUGAAUAUUUUUCCUCCAUUGGUAAGGUUGCUGUAUUCAUUUCGAUUUUUUUUUUCAAAUAACAUUCAACAAUUUUUUAAUCUUUUCUGUGUUUACAAAUGAUAUUCAGCCACUAAUUAUUUAUUUCAAAUAUUGUACUUCAAACCACCACUCUAAAAUCUACGUUUUAAGUCUAGUUUUUAGGUUCACCAGCAUUAGAAUCAACAAUAUAAUUUUUUUAAACACGAUUCAAUAGCAUAAUAUAAUUCAAUUUAAUUGUUUUUGCUCAUAUCUUAAUAAGUACGAUUUUCAAAAAUUAAAGGAUAGUCACUCAUCUUAUAAGUUCACAAAUUCAUCUAUAUAUUUCUCUUUUCCUUAGUUCUUCACAUUUCGAUUGGGAAAAAAAAAAAGAAAGUCUUCAAAUUUAAUUAAUAUCUCCAGUUUAGUUAAGAAUUGAUUAUGCCAUUACUUAACCACAAAUUCAUGAUUGUUUACAACUGACCCUUGAUUGUAAAGAAAUUUCCUCGAGUCUGGAAGUACUUAAUAAAGAUCCACUUUAUAGCAAUCCCUUGUUGACAGUACUGGGAAGUCUUUUCCAAAUUUUUUUUUUCCAUUUUUAUACAUACAUAAAAAAAAGGGGACCAAGGAAAAGGGAAAAAGAGGCAUUUUAGUUGAGUUUUUUUUAAAGGAAUAGUUGAAAUGUGCAAAUUUAUGCUUAAAAACUUAUAUCAAGAUGCAAAAUAAGUCUAAAGUAUUUAGAAAUUGCCUUAAAUUCUUUCUACGUCCCUAAUACUAAAUAGUGUAAAUACAUUUUUAUCAUCUUUGUUUAUCUGGCUUUUAUUUAUUUAUCUUGUUACCUUUUUUGUUUAACAAAAAAUUAUCUAGUAGACAUUUCACAGUUUGUUAUGUUCAUAAAACGUAUAAUUGUAUGAUUAAACAUACUUUGAGCCUAGUUGAAUGAUACUCUUACAUUUUUACUUUUUUAAUAUACACACACACACACACUCUCUCUGCUUAUUUUCAGGUUGGAAUUCCUACUAGUCUGGUGAAUCUUUAUGUAUGGAACUGCAAAAAAUUAGAAGAAAUCGUAGGACAUGCUGGAGAAGAAGUGAAGGAGAAUCGUAUUGCUUUCAGUGAAUUAAAACUUUUGGAACUUGAUGAUUUACCAAGGCUUACCAGCUUUUGUUUGGAGAAUUACACUCUUGAAUUCCCAUCAUUGGAACGAGUAUUUGUGACACAUUGUCCGAACAUGAAGACUUUUUCUCUGGGAAUCUUAUCCACACCAAAGCUGCACAAAGUGCAAGUGACUGUAAAGGAAGAUGGUGAAUUGCACCAUCGGGACGACAAUCUUAAUUCCACCAUACAAGAACACUAUACAAGAUCUCAUGGAAAUAAGUAAACCCGUAAUUUUUUUCACAGCAUCAUAAGAAAAAAUCAUUUUUUUUUUAGUAUUUUUGUUGGCUGUUGAGUUUUAACAGUAGUAGCUAUUAAACAAGAACAAUCAGUGUAUAUUAAAAAGUUGGAAACUGGUUGAUACCACUUGGGAAUCGAGCAGCUCACUUGUUUGCGAGUAGAAACCAACUUUACUACUAAUUACACUCAUUCCAAAAAUAGUAACUAAAGAAUCAGGAAAUUUCCUAUUCACUAUUCUUCAUUUUUUAAUGCAAAAUUCCCAUGAAAAUGGGAUCAAAAUACAUGUAUGUAUACCUAAAACAAAUUAUUAUUUUUAAUUAAAAAAAAACACAGUUGAGGUGAAAUGAAACCAGAGUCAUGAUAUCUCUGGUUCCAACUUUGGGACAACAGCAGACUUGAGUUCUAUAUGAGAAACACGUACAGCACCAAUCAGCCGCUCCAAGACACACGAAGCGUUAUGCCAUUCCGAGAACAUUCAAGCGUUAUAUCUCAAAAUCAUGUCUUUUCCCUUGUGUCUGUUAAGGAAGCACACUGAGCACGUGUGAACUAAGAGUAGCUGCACGAUAAGCAUGUGUUAGUUAAAGAAGUAUAUGCCAGCUCAGCCAAUUAGUUAAGCAGGCUUUUGAUUCUGUUAUAGUUGUGUACCUUGCUUUAAUUCUGUUUUUAUGAUGUAAGCAACGAGUAUAAACACUGCUACGUUUGUCAUUUGUAUGUUAUGGAAAGAAAAGAAAUCCAGAAUAUUCUAUUUCACUUUCUCAUGAAUUUUCUGAGCUUCCAAACAAAAUUAUCAGUUCAAUUUUAAGCUUUUCAACAGUGUCCAUUUAGACGUGCAAAAAAAACAAUCAUACAUACCUGUACAAGGAAAGCCAUGUCAACCACCGACCGAUGUUGUAAUUACACCAAUUACGACAAGGCCCAAAACUCCACUAGCAAAAGUAGAAUAACAUCUAUGCCAACAUCAAUCUAUAGAGAGAUGAACAUGUUAAUGGUAUCGGACGAGCUAUUUGAACGGGAAACAUCUCAUGUACUAUAAUAGAAAUUUUAAGAGCAUUUACUUCUAAGUACUGGGGACCGCGGAUAUAGUUACAACCAACUGCAUUUAGAAACAAAAAUUUGCGCUUGCGACAAGAGCUGAUCUCUUCAUUCCCCUGUUUAGUAAUAAAAAAAAAUCAAAAUAGCGGAGAAACAGGGCCCUCUUUUCAUUCCCCUGUUUGAUAACAAUAAAAACAAAACAGAGGAGAAACGUGGGCUCUCUUUUCAUUCCCCUGUUUUUCUUUUCGGUUUGGCGAUUUUAAAAUUUUAUAUCCACAUUCAUUAAAAAAAAAAAAAAAAGUUAUUCCAAAAAGAUUUUCUAUUUUCAUAUAGACGUUUAUUUAUUAACCAAAAUUUAAAAAGUGUAAUUCUAAACUUAUCCUUGUGCUUUGAUCUUGGAGGGGUUUUUCAUUUUUUCUACACUGGCCAUAUCAAUUAAUGAUGAAAGUUCUUAUCCUUAAUUGCUUUUGAAAUGAGUGAGCACGGUAUGACCCUUAAGAGAAUUAAUUAAUUGGACAAGUUAUAUAACGCCUUUGAUAUGGCUCCUAGACAUGUAUGCAAUUUGUAUCUUUCCUCAAGUAUGCAUGAGAAUACUUGAGGAAAGCUUCACAAUAGUUACGGCCGGAUCUGCACUUCACAAGUCCUAAUAGGGAAGUAUAAAUAUAUGCUUCUGGAACAGUGCAACUCUCCAUAAUAAGUACCUAAGAAUAGACAAAUUUUCAUUACAAUAGAAUGAUAAAUUAUAAUAAUAUUGACACAAUGAUGCCAAUAAUAAGAAUCUUAACAAAUCUACUAAUUUUAGAAUAUGGCUUAGAGUGCUACAAUGAACCACAACAAGUUAUCGAUAUUAUAAUAUCUAUAAUUAAUAUUCCAAUAAUAACUGGGGCUCCUUUGUUUUCAUUCCCCUACUUUUCUGUUAAGUGAUUGCCAAAUUUUUAUAUCUAAAAUUCUUCUAAUUUUAAACUAAGGUUUAUUUAGAAAAAAAAAGGGAGAGAGAGAGAGAGACUCGAAGAGCAUUAAAAAAUGUAAUUUUUAAUUUUCACUUAAGCAUUGUGUGACUUUUAUCAUUUUUUAAAGUUGGCCAUUUGUACUGAAUAAAUAAAAUAAUGGAUAGACUUAUGGACCACUUUUUUUCUGUUAUAUUAAAACAUGAGAUGUCUUUUCUUGAUGUUUUCAUCACACAAGAAUCUGUUUAUGUCAUCAUGCAUCAUGGGUUUAAAUGGGGUAAAUAAAUUAAGAUCGAGGGCAAGUUUGUUUAAGUUCUAAAGUUGCUGAAUAUAAAAAGGGCUGAUAUGAAAAUUACCUAAAGUUUCAAAUAUUGUUAUUCAGCAACCACUUUUAGGUUGCAUUAGUUUCUACACAAAUUUUAUAUAAAUAAUUUAUAACUCCCAUUAUUAUUUAAAAAACUGUAGCAAUUGUUGAAAAAAAAUUCUAAUUAAAGAAAUUGACAUUAUAAUUUAAGGGAUAGUUGCUGUUUUAAUCAUUAGAACUUAAGUCAAUUAUCCAGCUUAUCCUUGUAUUCUUAAAAACUAUAUAAAAUACCAUUAUCUCUUCUUUUGUAGCUAUUGAAUUCGACUUUCACAACAUAAAUAUUUAUUAGCAACAACUUAAAAUUCAAACAAAUAUAAUAUGUAAUGUAUGAAAUACAAAUAAUAGUUAAACAAAUUUUGAUUAUUUACUAUUAAAAUACAUUCACAUUAAUAUCUUAAGGAUAGGUGGUACUCAAAUAAUUUUUUAAAAAUCAGACCCAAAUUAUAUGCAUUGUUAAUAUGUAUUAUUGUCUAAUAUUUGGAUUUUGUUAAGUUACAACUGUUGUAACUUACGAUCUCUUCAAAAAAGAAAAUUGAGUCCCACCACCUAUUAAAUUUUUUACAUUAUUUUUUAAAAGACUGUAAGUUACAUCAGUUGUAACUUAACAGCACCCUUAAUAUUUUACUUUACUUUUAUAUCUUUACAAAACAAUACCAACAAGACAAUAAUGUAUGAAAUAAAUAAAAUAAAUAAAUAAAGAACUGAUAGCGAAAUUAAGUCUAUCAUUAGUUUCUUGUGGUGUGAACUCUUGACAAUUCUCCCACCUAAAACUCUCUAGUGGUGUGAACUUUUGACGAUUCUCCAAAAAUUUGUCAUAUUGCAAAAAGCAAUGUCAAUUGUAAUGUCAUUUCCAUUAGUCAUAGUGGCAGAUAGGACUAGAAAUUGUUGAAACCCAUUGACUUAUUUUUCUUUCUAAAAAUAAGAAAAGCACACCCGUCCGGGGAAAUAAUUUUGUAGUACCUCAUGUCGUGAAUAAGGGACAAUACGAUCCUUUUUUUAUUAUAGUAUUUUUAAAUUUAUUAACUAAAAAAUUAAUUCUAAUAUUUUAUAAUAAAUAUAAGUAGGAUAUUAAAAUGAAUAUAAUAAUGUAUACAUAUUAAAAUAAUUUCAAUAUCUAAAAAUAUUUUAAUAUUUUAAAAUCUCGUAGUCUAUUAAACCAAAUAAUAAUAAAUAGAGACAUAAUAUUCAAAUAAAUACAUAAAAAUUUAAAUUGUUUUCAAUAUCACAUAAAAUAAUUUUAAUAUUAUUAAUACAUGAGAAAUAUUAUAUUAAUUGUAAAAUCUAUUUAACCUAAGGAUUCAUUUAAAAUUUUUUGUAAUAAUUACAAGUAUUUUAUAGAUACAAAUAUAUUAAUUCACAUUUUAAAAAUUAAUAUUGAAAUUAAUUAUUUAAAUUUUAUAAAAAAUUUUGAAGUCUUUUUUUUUUUUUUGGCUACCAUCUACUAAGAGUAGUAUUAUGAUCAAAAGGGGUAUUGGUAUCCUAUAUUAAAAAUUUGAGGUCUACGUGACUAUUUUUCUAAAUUUUUAGGGUAUCAUUUUGUUUUUGACAAAAGUAAAAUUUCAUUUUUGACAAAAAUAAAAUUUCAUUUAAAUGGCUAAAAUGGUGAAUAAAAUAAUACUACAGUGGGCGUAAAUGGAAGGUAAGAAACAAUGAAAAUGAAUAGUCUAAUGUCACCACAGGCACAUAAGGCCAAAGUUUGUUACAUCUGAUCAAGGACAAUUUAGUAUGUGGAGUGGGUCCUGCGUGUCAUUUUUUGGGCAUCUACCUUCUUCAGCAUUGAAGAUUUGAUGUUGACGACAUUUUAAAAAUUUGGAAGACCCAUCAUACAUUUGGAUGGUUGUCAUUAUUUGAUAUUAUCAUUAUCUCGUGGUGAUCCUAUUAUUUAUGUGGCAAAAGAGGUAAUUAAAUAAAAUUUAAUUGGAUGUAACACUUGUUUCGCGUUGUGAACUUUUGACAAUUCCCCUAUAUCCCUCCAAAAACUUUCGUCAUUUUGCCAAGAUACCUAACGAUUGUAAUGUAAUUUUCAUUAUUCAUAGUGCCAGAUAAUGGAGGUCCAGGAACGGACCAGAAAUUAUUGCUACCCGUGGACUUUUCCAAUUUAUUUUUUUUCUUUUGGAUGGUUGACGUUAUUUGAUAGGAGGACGAGAUAGAGAUAGAGUUCUUAAUCGAACACCCGUUUUAUUUAAUGGGGAAAUUAUCAUUUCACCACUACUCUUUUGCCUUAUGCUCAUUCAAUUACUACAAAAUUUUAACAUGUUCUCUGCACUACUUUUCUUUUUUAAAUUUGUAUCAAUUACUCACUUUUAUACUAACACCAUUAAAUAAUUUAAACAAAAUAAUAAAUUUACCCCUAAAUAAAUUAAAAGACCAUUUUAUUUUAUAAAAACUUAAAAAAUAAAAAAUAAAAAUUAUAAUUAUAAUUAUAAAAAUACCCCUAAAUUUAAUAAAGAAAUAAAUCCCCAAAUUAGAAUUUUUAUUUUAAUAAAAAUUAUAAUUAUAAAAUAAUUGCAAAAUUUUGGGAUUUAAUAAACAUCCCCUAAAAUAUUAAAUUUUGGGAUUUAUUUUUAAUAAAUAAAUUUAGUUAUUUUAAUAAAAUUUUACAAAAUUAUAAAUUUGUAAUAAAAAUAAGCUGAGCGCCUCUAUUUUGGAUUAUUUUUUAUUAAAUUUAGGGGUAUUUUUGUAAUUCUAAUAUUUUUUUUCAAAGCUUUUAUAAGAUAAAAUGGCAUUUUAAUUUAUUUAGGAGUAAAAUUAUCAUUUCGUUUAAAUUAUUUAACAGUAUUAGUGUAAAAGUGGCUAAUCGAUUCAAAUUUAAAAAGAAAGAUAGUGCAGAAAACAUGUUGAAAUUUUGUGGUGGUUAAAUGAACAUAAGUCAAAAGAAAGAUGGUAGAAUGAUAAUUUCCCUAUUUAAUAUGGAAGAAGAUCUUUAAACUCUCAGUGAGGCUAUGGCUUCAACAGAUGCAGCCUUGUGGAAAGAGGCAACAAGUAAUGAGAUAGACUCAUUAUUAUCUAAUCAACUAGAUGCAUCAACAAGAUCUUAACUUAGAUUGGAACUUGAAGCAUUGUUGUUUGAAACAUUGGCUCAAGCCUUUAGAGCGAGGUUGGAUGCAAAAUGAUUUACAACAAAGAAAGGAAAAAAUAAAUUUACUAAUUUACAAAAUAAAUUUAGUAAAUUAAUAAAGUCAUUAUAUGAUCUUAAAUAAGCACUAAAGCAACAGCAUGAAAAUUUUGAUUCUAUGAUCAUGUUGCAUGGAUUUUAACAUAAUAACGAUGAUAAAUGCAUUUAUUCUAAAUUAAUGGAUAAAUAUGGUAUGAUAAUUUUCCUCAUUUGAGAAAGAAUUCUUAAAUAAUGUCCCAUAUUAAUUAGUAAAAGAGAGUCACUUGGGCUUAUAAGUAGUAGAGAUGGGCAAAAUUGGAUGCAGAUGAUAUUCGGGUUAAUAUGAUCAGAUUUUGGAUUGUUCGGAUUGAUAAAAAGUCAUAUGAAUGCAAUAUGAACUUGCAUCCAAUCCGAUUAUGUACGGAUCAUAUUCAAAUUGGAUGAAUAGUGCAGAUUAAUUUGGAUUCGGAUCAGAUCGAUAAUAUCAAACUGAAAUCGGAAUCAGAUGUGUUCGAAUAAAUCAGAUGAAUUUCAAUCACUUGCAAGUUGAAAUACAAAAUUGAAAAAUCAUAGAAAUUAAGAAAAAAAUGCAGCAAGCUAGCAAAUGGAAGAACAAAGGCAAAAAAUUAUAUUAUAAAUUAAUCGUAAAAAGGUGCUAUUAGCAAUUGUUGCACAAUGCGAAAAUGUCCUGGAACUCGCUGUGUAGACAUGCAAAAGUUCCGUAAGUGCAUUAACAAUUAUUUUCCAAAAAAAGGUUGUUGCGUCAAUAUUAAAGGAAUUGACAUCCAGGGACCCAGUUUAGUUGCUUAAUGAUUAAUUAAUUAAUCAAUUUAUAAUAUAUUAAUCUUUUAAGUUGAAUACUUAAAAUCUUAGACCCCAAACAAUAAAUCAUCUGAGUAAUAUAAAAGAGAAAUUAUCAUCCUAUUUUUUAUUUGACUUCUUGUAGCUUAUAAAAGAGAAAUUAUCAGUCAUUUACUCAAAGUUUAUUCAGUUAUUAAAAUUAAUAUAAAAUUUAAAUUUAUUUAAUUUUACACUCAAUGUAUGCAAUUUGUAUUAAACAUCCGUUAAAAACAUAAAGUUAUUCCAUCAAAGUGACAAAAUAGAAGCGAACACAAAAUUGUAUUGGUGAUUAUGUUUUAAGAGUAAUUUUAUCUUUUUAGUAAACAGUUAUCCACAUUGUAACAAUGGGUAUAAAAUUAAGUAUAUUUAAAUUUUUAUAACUUUUAGGAUAAUAAGAUAAUUUUUAGGUGGAUGACUGAAAAUUUUUCUUUUCAAAAUAUUUUGAAAACAAUACCAAAUGUACCAAAACAUUGUUUACUUACACUCUAUAUAUAUAUAUAUAUAUAUAUAUAUAUAUAUAUAUAUUUAAUUUCUUAACUCAUUCUUAUCCUUAUUCUUGCUAACAUAUCCACAAUCUGUCAAUGAAAUUUACUUUUAUAAAUUUGAAGAUUCUUUCAUGCAAUUUUGUACGAUAAUGAGUUCUCAUGUCUCUGUUAAAAAAGAAUUCGUAAAUAAUACAAAUGAAAAAAAAACAAAAAGUAGCAGGGCUGGCAAUACAAACCAUAACUUUUUUUCUUUGAAAUAUGCAUAAAUAAAGUUAAUAGUGAUGUGUCAGCACGAUCUUGAGAGCACGGCUUGGAGUCUCAAUAAUUAUUGACACUCAUAUUUGAAAACUUUUGAAAAGAUAAAAUCCAAUAUGAAAGGUGAAAUGUUAUAAUCAUAGUAACUAGAAAAUUGAUUGAUUUACAAAUAUCAAUUUAAACAAUUUUCAUGUUGAUCGACAAUUUAAGUAGAUUGACAAAGAUUGAAGUAAUUACUGUUGGUGAUUGAUUGACUUUGUCCUUAUCCUUGCCUUCUUCUUAUCAAAAAUCGAGUGUCAAUUAAAUUGGGCCAGGGCUUCUGAUUGCAACUAAUAGACUUCAUAUACGCAUAAUGCUCCCUACGGACAUACGUACCAGUAUUUGAUUGAAAAAGGGAUGCGUGCUUAAUGCUCAAGUCGUCUUCUUCUGGAAAUUCAUUGUUAUUACUCUCAUCAACUCGUUACUCACAUUCCUCUUUAGUCAACAGAGAUCUUUUGCUCAAUAAAAUUUUUCUUCUAUAUUCAAGGUGAAUACAGCAGCUCAUCAACUCUGAUCCCAGACAGGUAAAGAGGCGCACUUGUUCUAAAACCUUUAAUAUUCUUUUAGUAACAGAAUCUCUGAUACUUGUUCUUCAUAGCGGUUCUUUCUUAAUUUCCAUCACCUUUCCUAGGAAAAAAUUCUUUGGUUUUUCUUAAUCAUAUCAUUUAUUUUUCUGAAGUCAUAUAAUUUAGUUUUAGUAGCAGAAUACUUGAUAUUGAUAGCGGUUCUUUCUUAAUUUCCAUCAACUUUCCUUGAAGGAUACCUUUCUGUUAAUAGCAAAACAUCUGAUCCUUAAGAUAGAAAAAGAAAUUCUCUAUUUAGGUAUCAGUUGGUUCAAGAUCAAUAUCGCGAUGUUGUUUGCGGUCUUUUCUUUCUCCGUCUUUCCCUUUAGUUCAGUUUAAUUUAUUUGUUUUCCUUUCUUUGAUAUAUUAUUAGAUUUGUUAAGUAGCAGACAAUGGCAGAAGUUGGUCUGGCUGCUUUUUCCAGCAUUGUAUCAGAAGGUGCAAAGUCACUGUUCAAACCGAUUAUACGGCAGAUAUCUUAUGUGUUCAAGUACCAGAGCUACAUAGAUGAGCUAAAAGAUAAAGUGAAGCGGCUGGAACAUAAAAGAGAAAGGGUGGAAAUACCCGUUCAUCAGGCAACUCAACAAGGAGAUGAGAUUUAUAAGGAUGUUGCAGACUGGCUUAAUAGCGUCAAGGAAUUCACUCAGGGAGCUGCAAAAUCCAUCACUGAUGAUGAAGAUAGAGCUAAGAAGUUCUGUUUCAAAGGAUUGUGCCCAAACUUGAUCUCUCGUUACAAGCUCAGUAAACAAGCAGCAAAGGCUGCAGAAGCUGCCGCUAGUCUCGUGGGAAAAGGCAACUUCUCCAAUGUUUCCCACCGUCCUACUCCAAAGCUGGUAGAACAUAUGCAAGUGAAAGAUUUCGAGGCCUUUGACUCAAGAAUGAAAGUAUUUCAAGAUGUUUUGGAGGCGUUGAAGGAUGAUAAGCUCAAGAUAAUUGGGGUCUACGGGAUGGGCGGCGUGGGUAAAACCACGCUUGUCAAGCAAGUUGCGAAGCAAGUGAUGGAAGAUAAGUUGUUCGAUAAGGUCGCUAUGGCUGAGGUAACAGAGAACCCAGAUCAUCAGAAAAUUCAAGACAAACUAGCUUCUGAUUUAGGCAUAAAGUUUGAGUUGAAUGAGAGUAUAUUCGACAGAGCAAAUCGACUAUGUGGAGUAUUGAAGAACAAGGAGCGGCAUCUCAUUAUAUUGGAUAAUAUUUGGAGAGAACUGGAGUUCGAUAAAGUUGGAAUUCCUUCCAGGGAUGUCGAGAAAGAAAGAAUGGAUGAUCAGAGACGAUGCACAAUAAUACUGACGUCUAGACGUCAAGAUUUAUUGCGCAAUAUUAUGAAUUCUCAGAAAGAAAUCCAGAUCGAUGCUUUAUCAAAAGAAGAAGCAUUGCAUUUAUUUAAGAAGAUAGUGGGUGAUUCAAUGAAAACAUUUGCUUUUCAAUCUAUAGCAGAUGAGAUCGUUGAAAGAUGCGGAGGACUGCCUGUUGCACUGAUUACACUUGCAAAAGCUUUGAAAAAUGAGAGGCUUGACACUUGGAAAGAUGUGUUGAAUCAGCUAAGAAGUUCCAAUGCAAAAGAAAUUGAUGGAAUGGAAAUAAAUGUGUACAUCUCCAUAAAAUUGAGUUACGACUUAUUGGGAAGUAAGGAAGCAAAAUCUCUGUUCCUUCUUUGUGGUCUAUUUAGUGAAGGUCAUGCUAUACCAGUUUCUUCCUUAUUGAGAUAUGGUAUGGGUAUGGGCUAUUUUAAAAACGUUUACACACCGGAAGAAGCAAGAAGUAGAGUGCAUACGUUGAUCGGCAAACUCAAAUCUUCAUGCUUAUUGUUGGACGGUGAUACUGAAGCUAAAGUUAAAAUGCAUGACGUCAUUCAUGCUGUUGCUGUAUCAAUUGCAGAAGAGGAGCUCAUGUUUAAUAUUCCAAAUGUUGCCGACUUGGAGAAAAAGAUGGAAGAGACAGUACAGGAAGGUCCAAUUGCUAUUUCUUUACCUUAUAGAGGUAUUCAAGUGCUUCCUGAAAGGUUGCAAUGUCCCUGUCUUGAGCUAUUGCAUACGGAGGGUGAUGGCUCUAUGCAAGUUUCAGACCACCUUUUUAAAGGGACGGAAGGACUCAAAGUUUUGAAUUUUAAUCGAAUUCACUUCUCUUCAUUACCUUCAUCACUUGGUUGCCUCAUUAACCUUCAAACAUUGUGCUUAGACUAUUGCCGACUAAAAGAUAUAGCAAUAGUUGGACAGCUAAAGAAAUUAGAGAUUCUCAGCCUUGUAUAUUCCGAUAUCAAGCAGUUACCACUUGAAAUUGGACGAUUGACGCGGUUACAGUUGCUAGAUUUGAGCAAUUGUUGGAGCCUUGAGUUGAUACCACCAAAUGUCAUAUCAAAAUUAUCUCGAUUAGAAGAAUUGUUUAUGCAUAACAGCUUUUCACAGUGGGAUAAGGUAGAAGGAGGAAGUAAUGCCAGUCUUGUCGAGUUGAAGGGGUUGUCAAAGCUAACUACUUUGGAGAUACAUGUUUCGGAUUCCGAAAUUCUGCCGCUGGAUUUUGUCUCUGUGGAAUUGGAAAGAUAUAAGAUAUUUAUAGGACAAAUGUCUGUCCGGUGGCUCGUCGAAUCUAAAACAUCAACAUUGAUGGUGCUCAAGGGGCCAGAACAAGUUAGCCUUCUUUUGGGGAAUGAUGGGACGAAAAUGUUGCUGAAGAGAACUGAAGAUCUCCGUCUAUGCUCACAGAAGGGUGUUCAGAAUAUUGUUCAUGAAUUAGACGAUGGGGAAGGUUUUCCACGAUUGAAGCAUCUUCAUGUAAAAAGUUGUUCUGAGAUUUUACAUAUUGUCGGUUCAGUUGGACGGGUUCGUUGCGAAGUCUUUCCCUUGCUGGAGUCAUUGGAUCUUAUUAAUUUAACUAAUUUGGAGACGAUAUGCUACAGCCAACUCAGAGAAGAUCAAUCUUUCAGCAACUUAAGGAAAAUAAACGUAGAUUUCUGUCCAAAAUUGAAGUAUCUCUUCUCAUUCUCUAUGGCCAAAAACCUAUUGCGGCUUCAAAAAGUAAAAGUGGAAAACUGCGAUGAUUUGAAAAUGAUUAUUGGUAAGUGUUGAAAUUAAUUAUUGGUAGGAUUAUUGACAUUGACUCAUUCUUUUUUUCUUUUCUUUUUUUUUUUUUGGUGAAAAAAACAACGGAUGUUUAUUAUAUAUUGUUUUUGUUCAUUUAUAGGGCCCGACAUGGAGAAACCAACAACAACUCAGGGAUUCACAGAAAUCAUUGCAGAGGAUGAUCCUGUUCACCAAGUAAUAAUUUUCUGUUUAAUAAUUAAUUAAUUAAUAUAUUAUCACGAUUGAUCUUCAAUCAUCGAAAGAAUAUUAUAUUAGAAGUUGUAGUUGAAGGAACAAAAAUGUAUGGUUUUUCUUUGCAGGUUACUUUUCCACGCUUGGAGGAACUGAAACUUGUCAGUUUAACAAACAUCAAAAAAUUAUGGCCCGAUCAAUUUCAUGGAAUGUAUUGUUGUCAAAAUUUAACAGAAGUGACCGUGUUCGGUUGUGAUCGUCUGAAGUAUCUGUUUUCAUAUUCUAUGGUUAAUAGUCUUGGGCAACUCCAACAUCUUGAGAUACGAAAUUGCUGGUCAAUUGAAGGGGUAGUCAACACCACGGGGUUAGGAGGAAGAGAUGAAUUGAAGGUUUUUCCCAAACUACACUACCUGUCGCUCCAUUGGCUUCCAAAACUAAGUAGCUUUGCCUCACCAGAAGACGUCAUUCACACUGAAAUGCAACCUCAAUCCCUCUUUGAUGAAAAGGUUUUUUUUCAUUGAAUUUUUAAAUUCUCUUUUCGUUGAGUCUUCAAAUUUAAUUAAUAUCCAUCUCUAACUGCAUUGAAUUUUCAACUUCAGGUACGACUCCCAAGUCUGGAGGUAUUACAUAUUAAGAGGCUGGAUAAGUUGAGAAAAAUAUGGCACCACCAGCUUGCUUCGAAGUCAUUUAACAAAUUGAAAAAAUUUGAGAUAUCAGGGUGUCAUAAUCUACUGAAUAUUUUUCCUCCAUUGGUAAGAUUGCUAUAUUCAUUUUGAAUUUUUAUUUCAAAUAACAUUCAACAAUUAUUUUAAUCAUUUUUGUGUUUACAAAUAAUUUUCAUUCACAAAUUAUUUAUUGCAAGUAUUGUACUUCAAACUUCUGGAGGGAAAAAAAGUAGUGUACUUCAAAUCACCAUUCUGAACUCUGCAUUUUCAAUCUAAUUUAUAGGUUCACCUGCAUUAAAGUCAACAAUAUAAUUGUUUUAAACACGAUUCAACAGCAUAAUAUGAUUCAAUUUAAUUGUUUUUUUUCUUAAAUCCUAAUAAAUAAGAUUUCCAGAAAUUAAAAGAUACUUAGUUACUCAGCUUUUAAGUUCACAAAUUCAUAUAUAUUUCUCUUUUCCUUGGGUCUUUAGAUUUCGAUUUUAAAAAUAAAAUAAAGAAAAGUGUUCAAAUGUAGUUAAUAUCUCUAGUUUAGUUAUGAAUUGAUUACGCCAUUGAUUAAGCACAAAUUCAUGAUGGUCAUUUUGAAUCGACCGUUGAUUAAAAAAUUUCCUCAAAUAUUCACUCUAUAACAGUCCCAUGUUGAUGGCGUUGGGAAGUGUUUUCCAGAAAUGUUUUCCAUUUUUAAAAGCAUGAAUAUCGGGAAAAAAAAAAAUGGGAAAUACAGCGUUUUAGUUUAGUUAUUUUAAAAAUAGGCAUGUUUGAAAAUUAAAAAUUUUUAAAAACUAGCAUCAAGAUGAAAAAUGAAUUUAGAAUAUUUAAAAAUUACCUGAAAUUCUUUCUCUGUUCCUAAUACUAAAUAGUGUAAAUGCAUUUUCAUUAUCUUUGUUUUUCUGGUCUUCUAUUUAUUUAUUUUUGUUUUAAUUUUUUCCUUUUUUUCUUUAACAAAAAAUAUCUAGUAGACAUUCAUGGUUUGUUAUUUUUCAUAAAACAAUUGUAUGAUUUUGACAUACUUUGAAUCUAGUUGAAUGCUACUCUUUAUUUUCAGGUUGGAAUUCCCAAUAGUCUAGUGAAUCUUAAUGUAUCAUACUGUGAAAAAAUAGAAGAAAUCAUAGGACAUGUUGGAGAAGAAGCGAAGGAGAAUCGUAUUGCUUUCAACGAAUUAAAACAUUUGGAACUUGAUCAUUUACUAAGGCUUACCAGCUUUUGUUUGGAGAAUUACACUCUUGAAUUCCCAUCAUUGGAACGAGUAUCUGUGACACAUUGUCCGAACAUGAAGACUUUUUCUCAGGGAAUCGUAUCCACACCAAAGUUGCACGAAGUGCAGGUGAGUAAAAAGGAAGUAUUAAGUUUUAUAUGAAACUGUGAUGUUGUUUGGUUACUAAGAAAAUAGGAAGAAAGAAAACUUCUGUAAGCUGAGAAUUCUGUUAUUAUUGACCUAAUGAAUCUGGAAAUUACAAGCCUUUUUAUAUGUGCAUAGAAGAUUCUACACACAUUGCACACACGCACAGUUUAAUACUAACAACCUCUAUAACAACCUUUAGCUGACUCAGCUGCCAUGUCAGCAUACUCAUUAACUAACUAAUUCUAUUCUUAACAGGAAGAGGGUGAAUUGCGCCGUUGGGAAGGCAACCUUAAUUCCACUAUACAAAAGUGUUACGAAGAAAUGGUAUGUGUUAAAUCGAUUCGUCGAAAUUACUUAUGCAUCUCCCUUGCACUUGCACAUUUAAGUAUAUACACCUGCCUUGUAUAUAUAGUUUUAGAAGUUAAAACACAAAACAUGUAAGUUUAAUGUAUAUAUAUCUAAUGCCUUUCAAAAAGAAAAAAAAUUGUAUAUAUCCAGUGCAAUUGUUUUGGUUUGUGCAGAUUGGAUUUCGUGACAUAAUGCGUUUGCAACUUUCGCAUUUUCCACGUUUGCAAGAAAUAUGGCAUGGCCAAGCACUGCCUGUCAGCUUCUUCAACAAUUUAAGAGAGCUGGUGGUGGAUGACUGCACGAAUAUGUCGAGUGCUAUUCCUGCCAAUCUGCUACGGUGCUUGAACAAUUUGGAAUACCUGGCAGUGAGGAAUUGUGAUUCACUAGAAGAGGUGCUUCAUUUGGAAGAACUAAUUAAUGCUGAGGAAGAACAUUUUGGCCAACUGUUCCCUAAUCUUUACGAGCUAAAGCUCAUUGAUCUUCCAAAACUCAAAAGAUUCUGCAACUUCACUGGGAAUAUAAUUGAACUGCCUAAGUUGGACAAUCUAACUAUUGAGAAUUGCCCUAGUAUGGAAACACUGCCUGUCAGCUUCUUCAACAAUUUAAGAGACCUGGUGGUGGAUGACUGCACGAAUAUGUCGAGUGCUAUUCCUGCCAAUCUGCUACGGUGCUUGAACAAUUUGGCAUGGCUGAAAGUGAGGAAUUGUGAUUCACUAGAAGAGGUGCUUCAUUUGGAAGAGCUAAGUGCUAAGGAAGAACAUAUAGGCCCCAUGUUUCCUGAGCUUUCCCUGCUAGGGCUCAUUGAUCUUCCAAAACUCAAAAGAUUCUGCAACUUCACUGGGAAUAUAAUUGAAAUGCCUAAGUUGGAAUAUCUCAUUAUUGAGAAUUGCCCUGAUAUGGAAACAUUCAUAUCCAACUCUGUAGUGCACGUGACAACAGAUAACAAGGAACCUCAAAAAUUAACAUCAGAAGAGAACUUCUUGCUGGCUCAUCAAGUACAACCUCUCUUUGAUGAAAAGGUGAUUAUUAUUAUUAUUAUUAUUUUUCCCUUCACUUUCGUUUCAUAGAUGUAAUUUCAUUAGAAUCAAAUCAAAUUUAAUGACUCAUCUUUUUGCACGUCGUCUUAAUUUUUAUAUGAUUUAACAAUAUAACUGCAGUUAUUAACUAUCUUUAUAGUAUGAAUUAUAAAAAUGUCUGAAAUUAAUUGGAUGCCUGAUAACACGAGGUGAUCUAUUAAUUAUGUGUAUUACAUCUCUGUUUUCCUAGCUAAUUCAUAUUGGAUUUAGCAUCAGAUUUCAUUUAUGUGUUUCAAAGGGUAAUCGAUUUGAUACUUAUAUUUGGGAUCCUACUGCAAAGCAUACUAAUUUGGAAAUAAAAUAUAAAAUGCCGUGAUUAAUCUUGUCCAUAAAAUAUGCAGGGGAAGACUGCAGAGAUUGGAUACAUAUUUUCAUUUACAACUUAAUUUUGUUGAUUUUUAGGUUGCAUUCCCUCAAUUGAGUUGGUUAACGCUAUCUGGAUUACACAAAGUGCAGCAUCUCUGGAAGGAAAAUGACGAAUCCAACAAAGCGUUUGCAAACUUGGCAAGUCUAGAAAUAUCGGAAUGUAUUCAGUUGCAAAAAUUAGUACCACCUUCGUGGCAUUUGGAAAAUAUGUGGGGACUGGAAGUAUCGAAGUGUCACGGGUUGAUAAAUGUGUUGACGCUCUCAGCAUCUAAAAAUCUAGUGAACCUUGAAAGAAUGAAGAUAGCUGAUUGCAAAAGGAUAGAAGAAAUCAUACAGUCGCCGGUUGCAGAAGAAGCGAAAGAUUGCACUGUUUUCAAGAAAUUGAAGUACUUGACACUUGAUUGUUUGCCAAGCCUAACAAGCUUUUGUUUAGGUAAUUACGCUCUUGAAUUCCCGUCCUUGAAACAAGUAGUUGUGAGACAGUGUCCAAAAAUGAAGAUCUUCUCUCAAGGAGUCUUAGACACACCAAUGCUAAACAAAGUGAACGUCACCGAAGAAGAAAAAGAUGAUGAUGAUGAAGGAUGUUGGGAAGGCAACCUCAAUGACACCAUAAAAAAAUUGUUCAAUGAAAUGGUGAGUAUCAAUUAAGUUUUGAUGCUAUUUAGCAAAUUAUUUUAUAGAAACUAAUGUGAUAUAAUAUGAUUGGUUGACUGAAAAUAUAUAAUAAUAAUAAUAAUAAUAAAUAAAUAAAUAAAUAAAUUAUGAGGACCAUGUAAUGUUUUUGUUUAAUCAAUCAUAUUAUGUCGCAUUAGUUUAUACAAUAUUAUUUGUGCACAAGAGGUGGUGGUCAUAUCAUUACUCUAGCUUUAUUAUUCUUAUGGUGGCAAUGUAUGCUUGCUUACACGAGUAAUUACAAAAUCUGCAGAAUUCUAAAGAAGAGAUUGAGCCAACCCUUCAGGUACAGUGAAGAAGCUAUCCCGAACCAGGCCAAUCUCUUAUACAUGAUUCAGCUUGCUCGUUCUUCUGUACUUGAAUAAUUUGGUUCUAUAUAUUUACAAUUUUUCGCUCAUGCUACAGACUUGCAAGACACUUUGGAUUUUGUUUGAUGCAUUCUCCGUUUAAGAAAGGACUUGAAUUGAUGUUUCAUGUUUCAUGCAAUAUUCAAUUAGAUUCUGCCUAAAUUUCUGUAUUAUUCGUUCAAUUGGUCUUUUAAGCAUUUGAUUUCUAACCUCUCCUAAUGGAAGAUCAUUAUCUGAAGAAAACAGCAUAACAUUUGUGGCAUUAUCAGAAUAAGAAUAUUUUUGAGUAUAGUAAAAUUAUCUCCACCACUGUUAAAAAGAAUUAAUCAGUCAAACUGACCUCACACCAGCACGCUUUAAAUUAAAAGAAUUUCGUGAAGUCGAGACCAUGUUAUAGAUCUCAUGGAAAGAAGUAAACCCGUAAUUUUUUUCACAGCAUCAUAAGAAAAAUCAUUUUUUUUAAGUAUUUUUGCUAGCUGUUGAGUUUUAAUAGUAGUAGCUAUUAAACAAUAACAAUUAGUGUAUAUUAAAAAGUUGGAAACUGGUUGAUACCACUCGGGAAUCGAGCAGUUCACUUGUUUGCGAGUAGAAACCUACUUUACUACUAAUUACACUCAUACCAAAAAUAGUAACUAAAGAAUCAGGAAAUUUCCUAUUCACUAUUCUUCAUUUUUUAAUGCAAAAUUCCCAUUCGAAAACACCAAUGACUUUCAUUCAAAGUAAAUGAGAAAUUACAAUGAAAAUAGAAUCAAAAUACAUGUAUGUAUACCUAAAACAAAUGAUUUUUUUAAUUAAAAAAAAAACACAGUUGAGGUGAAAUGAAACCAGAGUCAUGAUAUCUCUGGUUCCAGCUUUGGGACAACAGCAGACUUGAGUUCUCUAUGAGAAACACGUACAACACCAAUCAGCCGCUCCGGUAAUUCAUCUGUAGUAUUUGCCUGCAUACAGAAGAGCAAGAUAAAGAAGACACACACAGAAGCAUUAUAUCAUUCUGAGAACAUUCAAGUAUGCAAAAAUGCAAGUUGCAGUGCAAUAUCUCAAAAUCAUGUCUUUUCCCUUGUGUCCAUUUAGCAGUGGGGGAAAAAAACAAUCAUACAUACCUGUACAAGGAAAGCCAUGUCAACCACCAAUGUCGUAAUUACACCAAUUACAAGGCCCAAAACUCCAUUAGCAACAGUAGAAGAAUCGAUGUCAACAUCAAUCUACAGAAAGAUGAACAAUGUUAAACCAUGUUAAAGGUAUUGGACGCUAUUUGAAAGGGGAACAUCUCAUGUACUAUAGAAAUUCCAAGAGCAUUUACUUCUAAGUACUUGGGACCGCGAAUAUAGUUACAAUCAACUGCCUUCCCCAAUAAACAAGGGGUGCUUCCAACACUCUGGCGCACUAUCCAUGACCCCUGCAUGAUUCAGUGCUGAAAAUCAAGAACAAGUGCAAAACAAAUUCAAGAGGGUAAAAAGGAGAUAAAGUUUGAAGGUACAACCCAUCAAUACAUUCACACCUAAAUGCAUGCCUUCUUUGUACAAAUUGAAGUGUACCAUGCAGUAAAGGGUAAGUAUACGUUAAUAUAGUCCUACUACAUGAAGGCCAAGAUGGAUACCUUAGGAACAGAUGGAAUAAGUUUCAACCUACUAUUGCGAAAUUCAUCAUCGCCAUCAACAAACCGUUGCAAAAGUGAUCCCGUAACCAAUUGCCUUGUGACAAAAUAAAAUACCAUACUAUAAUGUGUUGAACCAGGAACCUGCAGAUGCUUAGGUUACAACUAUACAACCUCCCAAUACAAUAAGUUUGAAACUUAUACCUUCUGAAAUGAAACAAACUUUCUUGAAGAUUAAAGAUCAGUGAGAAAAGCCCUUUUUCAGAAGCAACCUACAUAUUUUAGAAUAGGGCUCAGUGCGUUAUAGAUUCAAUGAACCAUGAGAAGUUAUUUACAUUGUUGUAUCUCACAGGCAGUCUUUUCUCCUAAUGUAUCAAGGGAAAAUGCUAGUGAAUUGAAUGAAGCUAGAGCAGAGCAUGAUGUUGCUGUGUAGCUGACUUUAGCAGAUCAACUCACUAAGCUAACCUGGCAAAGUUAUUUAGCUGGUUGAGCUGAUGUGUCAAAUUAGUUAUGCAGCAAAUGGUUAUGUGAUGUAACAAACUCGUGUGUGUGUUGAGCAAAUUGUAGCUUAAUAUAAAUAUCAGUCUGUAUUCAUUCAGUUGUAAUGCUAAAGUAAUAAAGGUUCUACAAACUUCUUUACAGAGCUUUCUUUUAUUUUCUUCAUUUUCUAGCUUGCCAAACAAUGCAAAACUAAGUUUCUUUCAUGGUAUUAGAGCCAUAAAUGGCGAAUACAGUUCAAAAUAACAACUCUUUUAGUUUUGUUACGCCUGUAAAGCUAGACCAAAACAACUUCAUUUUAUGGCGGGCACAAAUUUUAGCAUCGAUCAAAGGAAACGGUCUGGAAGGGUUUAUCAAUGGUGAUCAAGAAUGUCCUGAGCAGUUUCUUUCUUCUGGAAACAACAAUGGAGCUGAAAUUUUUACUGAAUCUGAAUCCAAAUCUAUUAAUCCAGAGUUCAUAGCUUGGAUGAAGACUGAUCAACUUCUGUUGAGUUAGAUGAUGUCGUCGAUACAGCAAAAUCUACUUGCUACUGUGAUUGACUCCACAACUUCAAAACAGCUUUGGAAGACUCUUACUAGUAUGUUUAUUUCUUAAUCACAAGCUAGAAUUCAAACACUUAGAAUGCAGAUUCAAACUAUUAAGAAAGGUGCAAUGCAUAUGUCUGAUUACUUUGCAAAAGUAAAACGUAUAGCUGAUACUUUAGCUCUAGCUGGAAAACCUGUUGAGUUAAGUGAUCUUGUGAUGCAUGUAUUAACUGGUCUUGAUUCAUCAGAUUAUGAAUCUUUAGUCACAGGUGUUUUAGCUCGAGGUGAGAAGAUAACAUUAGAUGAACUAUAUCCUUUGCUAUUGAAUCAUGAAAAUAGAGUUGAACAAAAGAAAGGAAAAAUUGCUGGUGAUGUGAUGCACAAUAUGACAGCAAAUAUUGCUCAAAAGAACUCAUAUGCUGGAAAGAAUAAUGGCAAUUUUCAAAAAAAUUAUGGAAAUAAUUCUAGGUAUGGAGGUUUUAAUGGAUAUGGAUAGGGUCAGUUUAAUAAUGGUGGUAAUUCCUCUGAAAUUGUUUGUCAAAUCUGCUUCAUACCUGGUCAUGCAGCCAAUAGAUGCAAAAAUAGGUACAAUUCAUCUUUUGUUCCACAGAGAAACUAUGGCAGAGGUAAUAUGAAUGGUGGCAGAGGUUUUAAUCAAGGGCAAUAUGGUAGAGGAAGAGCUUUUAAUAGUAAUGGUGGCAGAGGUUUUGGAGGUUUUGGUUUAAAUGCUGGUUUUGGCUAUGCACCCAGGGGUUUUGGCUAUCAAGGAAAUAUGGUGUAUCCAGAUAGUAAUCCUUCUGCUUAUUACUCAUUCACCCCUGGACCAUCUACUUUUGUUUCUGGUCAAGGAAAUAAUAAUCCUGGACAGUCAAGUGCUUCAUCUUCCUCAGCUAUGCCUUCUUCACUUCCACCAGAACACAUUGAAGAUCCUUCAUGGUAUAUUGAUAGUGGAGCAACAAAUCACAUUACAAAUGAUCUAGGUAAACUUCUGGAUUCACAAAUUUAUACUAGUACUGAAAAAUUAUUUGUUGGAGAUGGAAAUGCAUUAGCUAUUACACAUGUAGGAUCAGUUGUGCUAAAUACUUCAACUUCUAAACCUUUAAAAACCAUGUUCUUCAUGUCCCUUUUAUUACUAAGAAUUUGCUUAGCAUUUCAAAAUUAUUGGCUGACAAUCCAGUUACUGUUGGAAUUUCUUGGUGAUUUGUUUUUUAUAAAGGCUAGGAACACAAGGAAAAUUUUACUUGAAGGUGUUGCUAAAGGUGACUUGUAUAGAGUCUCUUCACAUGUUGCUGCUCAUUCAGUCUUUCUCAAUUCAGUUGGUCAAAAUAAAAUUCACUCUCUUUGCUUGUUCUCCUGUUUUCAAUUCUGAUCAGCUCACUGCUGUUAGUUCUUAUGAAUUGAAUAAAAAGCCAUGUCUGUCAGUUGUUACAAAGAGUUCUAUUGAUGUAAAUCUUCUUCAUAGAAGAUUAGGACACCCAGCAUCUUAUACUCUCAAAACUAUACUCAAAACUUGUAACAACUCUACUGCUUAUAAUAAAAUUGAAAGCUUGAAAUUUUGUUCAGCAUGUCAAUAUGGGAAAAAUCAUAUGCUGCAUUUUGAUUCAGUUGAAACAAAAACUUCAGCACCCUUACAAGUGAUAUAUGCAGAUCUUUGGGGUCCUUCUCAUGUCUGUUCUACCCAAGGAUAUAAUUACUACUUAUCAAUCUUAGAUGAUUAUAGUAGAUUUACCUGGAUAUUUCCAUUGUCAGCCAAAUCUGAUGCUCUUGAAGUGUUUACCAAUUUCAAAAUUUUUAUUGAAAAGCAUCUUCAACUUCAAAUCAAAACUGUCCAAACUGAUUGGGGAGAAGAGUUCAGAACAUUUUCCUCAUUACUCACUGCUUCUGGUAUCCAUUUUAGACACCCUUGCCCACAUAUUCAUCAUCAAAAUGGAAGAAUUGAGAGGAAACAUAGACACAUAGUUGAUGUAGGUCUGACCUUAUUAGCUCAAGCACAUUUACCACUCAAAUUUUGGUGGAAUGCAUUCCACACAGCUGUCUAUUUGAUAAACAGACUUCCAACUCCAAUUCUAAACAACAUUUCUCCUUUCCAAAAGUUAUUUCAUCAUCAACCAGAUUAUUCAACACUUAAAACCUUCGGUUGUGCUUGUUAUCCAACACUCAGACCAUACAAUAGACAUAAGUUUGAUUUCAGAACUGCCAGAUGUAUAUUCAUUGGCUACAAUUCACAACACAAGGGAUAUCAGUGUCUUCACUCUUCUAAGAGGGUUUACAUUUCAAAUCAUGUCACCUUUGAUGAAAAUUCUUUUCCUUAUGAGUCUGGAGCAGAUUUUUCUUCACUCUCUUCAAGUUGUCAGUCAACAAAAAAUUAUAAGUCUUCUUUCAAUUCCUCUGUUCCUUCUAUUACUCAGUUACAAGCACCUUUAGCAGCAUCAUCAGAACACCAUCAAAAUGUUCAUCAUUCAGAUGCUCCUACUCCCUCACCAAAUUCUACUCCACUUUAUUUUUCUGAUAAUUCCAACUCAGCUUCUUCUUCUUCACCACCACAUAAUUCACCUCCACAUACAUUGCCACAACCUGCAUCAACUGGUCAUCCAAUGAUAACCAGGUCAAAAGCAGGUAUUUUCAACCCAAAAAUUUAUUUGUCAGCUUUAUUAGCCCAGAAAUCAGAACCAACUUCUGUUUCCCAAGCACUUUCUGAUCCUAUGUGGUAUAAGGCUAUGCAAGAAGAGUAUCUAGCACUUAAAACUAAUCACACCUAGGAUUUAGUUUUACAUGCUACUCCAGUGAAGAUAGUUGGCAGCAAAUGGGUGUUUUGAAUAAAGUAUAACUCAGAUGGUUCAGUUUCAAGAUAUAAAGUCAGGCUUGUUGCAAAGGGGUUUCAUCAGACACAUGGGAUUGACCAUACAGAAACUUUUAGUCCAGUGGUUAAAGCUUCAACUGUUAGAGUUAUUCUUAGCUUAGCAGUAUUGAAUCAAUGGGUGAUUAGGCAAGUAGAUGUUAAUAAUGCCUUUCUAAAUGGCAUUUUAAUUGAAGAGGUGUACAUGGCUCAACCUGAAGGUUUUGUUGACUCAACUAAACCUAAUCAUAUCUGCAAGCUGAAUAAAGCUUUGUAUGGCUUAAAACAGGCACCUAGAGCCUGGUUUGAUAGAUUCAAGGAUGCAAUGAUCUCUAAACGGCAUUUCCAGCAUUCAAGGUCUGAUAACUCUCUGUUUCAUGCCUGGAACAGUGGUCAUCUAACUCUUGUUUCGGUCUAUGUUGAUGAUAUUAUCAUCACUAGUUCCAGUCCAACACUAAUUCAGCAAGUUAUUAAGAUUAUGAAUUUGCUUUAAAAGACAUGGGGGAACUUAGCUAUUUUCUGGGGAUUGAAGUCAGCAAGUCUUCACAAGGGGUUUCCUUGACACAAGCAAAGUAUAUUACUGACAUUCUGGAUAAACAUGGCAUGACAGAUUGCAGUCCUGUGCCUACUCCAAUGUCUACUGGUUAUUAUCUCACAAAAGAAUCAGGAGAGCUAAUUGAUAAUGUUUCUCAAUAUAGGAGUGUUAUAGGAGCUCUUCAAUAUGUUACUCUUACCAGACCUGACAUUGCUUUCUCUGUAAACAACCUAAGUCAAUUCCUUUCAAGUCCUAGAACACAACAUUGGGAAACAUGCAAAAGGUUAUUGAGGUACUUAAAAGGCACUAUACAUCUUGGGCUGCAAUUUAAUAACAAAGGAGCUUUGCAACUACAUUGUUUUUCAAAUUCUGACUGGGCUUGUGAUCGUGAUGAUAAGAAGUCAGUGGCUGGCUUUGCUGUUUACCUAGGCCCUAAUCUAGUCUCAUGGUCAUCAAAGAAACAAGCUGUUGUUUCCAGGUCCAGCACAGAGGCUGAGUAUAGAUCUCUUGCUCAUGCUGAUUCAGAGGUUCCCUGGUUACAAUCUUUACUUGGUGAACUUAACAUCAAAUUGAGCUCUACUCCUAUGAUGUGGUGUGAUAAUCAAGAAGCAAUUGCUUUAGCUUACAAUCCAGUCUAUCAUGCUAAAACUAAGCAUGUCGAAUUGGAUAUACAUUUUAUCCGAGAUAAAGUUACUGCUAAAGAGAUUGAAGUAUGUUUUGUGCCCAGUCAAGAUCAAACAGCAGAUGUGUUGACUAAGGCUUACUUUCAAACAGUUUAGUUACUUAAGAAGCAAGCUGAAUGUUCAUCCUAAACAUUUCAGCUUGAGGGGGGAUGUUAGUGAAUUGAAUGAAGUUGGAGCAGAGCAUGAUGUUGCUGUGUAGCUGACUGUAGCAGAUCAACUCACUAGGCUGACCUGGCAAAGUUAGUUAGCUGGUUGAGCUGAUGUGUCAAAUUAGUUAUGCAGCAAAUGGUUAUGUGAUGUAACAAACUUGUGUGUGUGUUGAGCAAAUUGUAGCUUAAUAGAAAUAUCAGUCUGUAUUCAUUCAGUUGUAAUGCUAGAGUAAUAAAGGUUCUACAAACUUCUUUACAGCGCUUUCUUUUAUUUUCUUUCAUUUUCUAGCUUGCCAAACAAUACAAAACUAAGUUUCUUUCAGAAAAGGAAAAAUAAAAAGAAAAGAAUAGUUACUGUUGAAAAUAAAGAUUCAAAGUUAUGAUUUCUUUGUAAUCUAGGCUAUUUUAGGAAUAAGUUAAAUUAUAAUGGGAAGAUUCAUUAGGAUUUUUUCCAGAUUUUGUUUCCUAUUAUUUAGGAAAGGAUAGAUGUAGUCUCCUAUUUUCUCUCCUAUUUUGCUGUAUAUAUUCCCUGUACAUACUGUUCUGGAAAGUAAGAAAAAGAGGAACCAAUUCACAUUUUUCUUCAUGGUAUCAGAGCCUGGCUCUAAACCCUAGUUCUCCUAUCAGCCGCCAUUUCCUUCUUCUCUCAUAAAUUGAACAAUCUACCUUCCUUCCUCUCCCAUCAAUUGUAUUCUCUGUGGCAAAAUACGGGAUGGCUUCCUCAUCAACCUCUGUUACAGUAUCACAGUCUAAAGGAAACGUGGAGACUGCAACUCAUGGUGGAAUUGAUUCUUCACCGAUCUUAAUUACCAGUCAUAAAUUGAACGGCCACAAUUAUCUCCAGUGGUCACAAUCUGUCAUGAUGUUCAUCUGUGGCAAGGGUAAGGAUGAUUAUCUCACGGGUGAGGCGGCCAUGCCAAAGGUAUCAGACCCUAGUUUCAAAAGGUGGAAGUCAGAGAACAACAUGAUCAUGUCAUGGCUUAUCAAUUCCAUGAACAAUGAUAUUGGUGAGAAUUUUCUUCUGUUUGGGACUGCAAAGGACAUAUGGGAUGCUGCAAAGGAAACCUAUUCUAGCUCUGAGAACACAUCAGAGUUAUUCCAGAUUGAAACCAUCCUCCAUGACUUCCGCCAAGGAGAACAAUCUGUCACUCAGUACUUUAAUACUCUGACUAGGCAUUGGCAACACCUUGAUCUAUUUGAAACAUACCCUUGGAAGUGCACCGACGAUACAACCUUGUACAAGAAGAUUGUGGAACAGAAGAGAACGUUUAAAUUUCUCCUCGGACUCAAUAAAGAUCUUGAUCAGGUUAGGAGCCGUGUACUCGGGACAAAGCCUCUACCACGCCCUCGUGAAGCCUUUUCUGAAGUUAGGCAUGAAGAAAGUAGGAAAAAGGUGAUGAUGGGGUCAUCAGAACCAACACUGGACGCCUCUGCACUUGCUGCCCGUGCAUCCAACUCUGUAGGGGUUAGUGAAAAUCGUACAAAGAAAGAAAGACCAUGGUGCGAUCACUGUCGUAAGGCAGGCCACUAUAAGGAGAGUUGCUGGAAAAUUUAUGGCAAGCCUGCUGAUUGGAAACCUCGUUCCAAAGGUGACCGUGAAUCUCGUGCUCAUGCAGCAUCCACCACGGACAAUCAGGCCCUACCCGAGCCAAAUCCAUUCAGCAAGGAGCAAAUGGAGAUUCUUCAAAAGCUUUUCGAUCAAGCCACUUUGAACUCCAAUGCAGGGACAAGUCUAGUGGCUCAGAAAGAGACUCAUUCAGCAUUUGCAGCCACUAAUGGAGCAAGCAAACCUUGGAUAAUUGACACUGGUGCUUCUGAUCACAUGACUGGAGAUGCCUCAAUGUUGCAGGAUUAUAAAGCUAGCAUCAACAGCACUUCAGUCUGGAUCGCAGAUGGCUCUCACACAAAAAUAGCAGGGACAGGUUCCAUCAGACUCACUAAGGAGUUACACCUUAAUUCUGUACUUUAUGUGCCUAAUUUGGCUUGCAAUUUACUUUCAAUCAGUAAAUUCACUCGUGAUCAGAAUUGUGUAACUAAAUUCUAUCCAAAUAUGUGCGUUUUUCAGGACUUGGAUUCGCGAAGACGAUUGGCAGUGCUGAGCUAUGUUCUGGACUCUAUCUACUCAAAAGCGAUCAAUCCUCCUUCAUACAAGAUUCGAGAGCAAACUGUGCCAAGUCCAAUAGUCUGUCAACUAGUUAUCCUCAUUCUAUUGUUAGUCCAAAUGUCAAUAACGAUAGUGAAAUUGUUCUGUUACACUAUCGAUUAGGUCAUUCUAGUUUCAUGUAUCUCGCAAAAAUUUUUCCCAAUCUAUUCAUCAAUAAAAACCCUUUAUCAUUUCAUUGUGAAAUUUGUCAAUUUGCAAAACAUACUCGAAAUGUUUAUUCAAGUGUUAAGUAUAAGCCUUCUCGUCCAUUUGCUUUAAUUCACAGUGAUGUGUGGGGUCCCUCAAGAAUUAAAAAUGUUUCUGGGGCUCGCUGGUUUUUGUCAUUUGUGGAUGAUCAUACUCGUCUCACUUGGGUGUUUCUCAUGAAAAACAAAUCCGAAGUUAGUCAAAUCUUCCAAAACUUUAACGCCAUGAUUCAAACCCAAUUCAAUACCAAAAUCCAAGUCCUUAAAACCGACAAUGCCAAGGAAUAUUUCAAAGACUCCCUCAGCUCAUAUCUUCUCCAUCAAGGCAUUCUUCACAUCAGUUCUUGUGUUGACACCCCGCAACAAAAUGGGGUCGCUGAACGCAAAAACAGACACCUUCUUGAAGUGGCUCGCUGUCUUUUGUUCUCAUCUCAUGUUCCUAAUUUUUUCUGGGGUGAAGCUGUUCUCACUGCAGCCUACUUAAUCAACCGAAUGCCUUCUAGAGUCUUGGGGUUUCAUUGCCCAAGAAAAGUUCUUCUCAAUUUCUUUCCACACACUAGGAUUGUUUCAGCAGAUUUACCACAAAAAAUAUUCGGUUGCACAGCAUAUGUCCAUGUUCACUCUCAACACAGGACUAAACUUGAUCCCCGAUCUCUCAAGUGUAUAUUUUUAGGCUAUUCUCCACAUAAAAAAGGAUACAAAUGCUAUUCUCCUCAUACCAGAAAAAUAUACAUUUCCAGAGAUGUAACAUUUGUUGAAAACCUGCCUUUAUAUUCCAAAACUGUUGUUCAGGGAGAGAGUAUGAGCGAACAUCAGCCUUGGGAAUCUUCUUGGCAAUCUUGGCUGGAAACCCCUCAUGAAAACCCUCAUAACUCAACCACCACACAUGAUCAAUCUAUCCAACAGCCACAAUCAGCAAUCCUCCCAACAUCUUCACAACCUUUUGAGUCAUCUGAGUCCUCCCAACCACAAUCAGCCGAGUCACCCCGUCAUCCAUCAGCCCAUCAACUACAGCCUCUAAUCUCACCUCUUCCACAGCUUGCUGUUGAUAAUCUUAAUGUUUAUAGGAGGAGAAGAACUGGAGAGCAGAUAGAGCACAGAACUCAGCCACAUGUCCAAGAAACUGAACCAAAUCCAAGCUCUUAUGAAGACAACACAGGUAUGGAUAGUCUUGCCUCGGUUGAGUUCAUGGUUCCAAGUGUGGAUGAUUCUAAUAAAUCAAUUGCAGAAAGAAAGGGGGUUCAAAGUUGUACCACUCAUCCAAUUGCCAAAUAUGUCUCAUAUGAUGGUUUGUCCCCAUCAUACCGAGCCUUUGUUUCUUCUUUAGAUAAUCUACAUGUUCCCAACAAUAUACAAGAGGCUCUCGGUCAUCCUGAGUGGAAGAGAGCUGUUCAUGAAGAAAUAAAUGCUCUUGAGAAAAAUGAUACAUGGGUUAUAACAGAUCUUCCUGCAGGGAAACGACCAGUUGGAUGUAAGUGGAUUUUUACUGUUAAAUACAAGGCAGAUGGAAGUGUUGAGAGCCUCAAAGCUCGUCUUGUAGCUAAAGGGUUCACACAGUCAUAUGGGAUUGAUUAUCUUGAAACCUUUGCUCCGGUUGCGAAGCUCAACACCAUUAGAAUCUUGCUCUCCUUAGCAGUAAAUCUAGAUUGGUACUUAUACCAACUAGAUAUAAAAAAUGCGUUUCUCAAUGGCGAUCUUGAAGAAGAAGUGUUUAUGGAAGUUCCCCAGGGUCUUGAUCUGAAUCUUACUAGAAAUAAAGUGUGCAAGCUCAAGAAAUCUUUGUAUGGGCUUAAACAAUCCCCUCGAGCAUGGUUUGAUAGAUUUGCGAAGGCAGUUGUGAGACUUGGUUACACUCAGUGUCAGGCAGAUCACACUUUAUUCCUCCGAACAUCACAAGCAAAGAAGAUCUCUCUCCUAAUCGUAUAUGUUGAUGACAUCAUUCUCUCAGGAAAUGAUGAGGAAGAACUGCAGAAGUUGAAGAAACAGCUAGCUCAGGAAUUCGAAGUUAAAGAUCUAGGGAAUCUGAAAUAUUUUCUUGGGAUGGAGGUGGCAAGAUCUAGGAAGGGAAUUGUUGUCUCCCAAAGGAAAUACACCCUGGACUUACUAAAGGAGACUGGUAUGAUUGGGUGCAAACCAGUAGAUACUCCUAUGGAUCCCUACAAGAAACUAGGCUCAGUUGAGAAUAGUGUUCCAGUCAAUAGAGGGAGAUAUCAAAGACUGGUUGGUCGUUUAAUUUAUCUCUCACAUACCCGUCCGGACAUAGGCUUUGUUGUUAGUGUUGUGAGCCAAUUCAUGCACAAUCCUACAGAGGAACACAUGGAUGCAGUCUUUAGAAUUUUGAAGUAUCUAAAGAUGACACCUGGAAAAGGAUUGUUUUUCAAGAAAUCAGAAUAUAGGAAUAUUGAGAUCUACUCUGAUGCAGACUGGGCUGGAGACAUCACAAAUAGAAGAUCAACAUCUGCUUACUGUUCCUAUGUCUGGGGAAAUCUAGUAACCUGGAGGAGUAAGAAACAAUCAGUUGUAGCUAGGAGUAGUGCAGAAGCAGAGUUCAGAGCUUUGGCAAAUGGAAUCUGUGAAGGAAUUUGGAUAAAGCGUGUACUCAAGGAACUCGGUGUGUGCAGCCCUUCAUCCAUUCUAAUGAGGUGUGACAAUCAAGCAGCAAUCAGCAUCGCAAAAAACCCAGUGCAUCAUGAUCGAACCAAACAUGUCGAGAUUGAUAGGCACUUCAUCUCAGAGAAGGUCACUAGUGGAAGUGUGGAACUAAAGUACAUUCCAACUAGACAACAAAUUGCAGACAUCCUUACUAAAGCACUGCCAAGACCUAACUUUGAAGACUUAAGUAACAAGCUGGGUUUGUAUGAUAUACACACACCAGCUUGAGGGGGAGUGUUGAAAAUAAAGAUUCAAAGUUAUGAUUUAUUUGUAAUCUAGGCUAUUUUAGGAAUAAGUUAAAUUAUAAUGGGAAGAUUCAUUAGGAUUCUUUCUAGAUUUUGUUUCCUAUUAUUUAGGAAAGGAUAGAUGUAGUCUCCUAUUUUCUCUCCUAUUUUGCUGUAUAUAUUCCCUGUACAUACUGUUCUGGAAAGUAAGAAAAAGAGGAACCAAUUCACAUUUUUCUUCAGUUACUUGUGCAGUACAGCCUUGACGCCUAGCUACAUGGUCCAUUCUCUUUGUGUCUUUGAACCAAUCAACAGCAACAAGAUCCAUUAAAUGUUUUCCCGCAGGUGUCUGCAGUUACAAAUUGCACAAAGCACAAGAGCCAACCAAACUACAUCAUAACAUGUCGACCUAGCAUAUGCAGGAUAUAUAAAUACCAUAACAAACAACCAAAAUAUGGGGGAACCUUUGUUUUGUCAUAACAAAAAUGCUUGCUACGAACUCUAAAGUUAUUUCCACCAGAAAGUUUCCAGCAGUCACGAGCAUUAUCACAGUCAUCGUGUCGCAGAUUGCCGGAAAAAUAAGACAAAUCAAUUUGAUCAGCCUGCUCUUCCUCUAGGGUAACAACUAAUUGAAAAUUAUAAACCAAAAAAAAAAAAUCAAUACCAUAAAAAUCCACUAAUGAGGACAUUAGCCAAAUAUACAAAAAUGAAUACUUAUCAUCCACCUGUCCUCUUGAAAUCAUUCUCAAUCUUUUUUUCAUUUGCCUGAAAUCCCAAGGAAAAAUAUGGAACUAAUACUUCCCAUUCAUGACUAUUGUCUGUCAUAUAAACAUGACAUUUAAUUGAAAUAGUAAAAUUAUUUAAUUAUUUUAAUUAAAUGUUAAUCCUAUAAAUUAUUUUUGUUAAAUCUAGCAAGAAUAACUAACAUUUCUUUAAGAUAUAUUUUGGCGGUAAAUUAAAAAAAAUUAAUUAUUUGGCGGGAAUUAUUGAAAUUGGAGCCAUUUUUUUGUGGGAAUUGAAAUAUAUUCUUUAAAUUAUUAUAUAAAAAGAAAAAUGUACAUACACACACAUAUAUAUAAUUUAUAUAUAAAAAUUCUCUAAUUUGUUCACAAGUAUCAUAGAUUAUAAUUCAGUUAUGAAAUAAAAUAACUACAAGGAAAAAUAUGUAACUAAUACUUCCCAUUCAUGACUAUUGUCUGUCAUAUAAACAUGACAUUUAAUUGAAAUAGUAAAAUUAUUUAAUUAUUUUAAUUAAAUGUUAAUCCUAUAAAUUAUUUUUGUUAAAUCUAGCAAGAAUAACUAACAUUUCUUUAAGAUAUAUUUUGGCGGUAAAUUAAAAAAAAUUAAUUAUUUGGCAGGAAUUAUUGAAAUUGGAGCCAUUUUUUUGUGGGAAUUGAAAUAUAUUCUUUAAAUUAUUAUAUAAAAAGCAAAAUGUACAUACACACACAUAUAUAUAAUUUAUAUAUAAAAAUUCUCUAAUUUGUUCACAAGUAUCAUAGAUUAUAAUUCAGUUAUGAAAUAAAAUAACUACAAUAAUUAUAGUUAAAUGAAUACUUCAUUAAUUCUUAAUUUGCUUCCUAACAUUAAAUGAACAACUUGAGCCAACCACCUGAAUCAACCAGUAACAACGCCUGAGUCAACCAUCUGAAAAAACCAGCAACCCUAGCUGAUUCAAGCACCUGCAAUUAACAUCAACACAUCAGGAACAAUCGUAAAUCAGCACCAAGAACAGACCAAACUGCCAUCAAAUGCCACAAAACCAAACAGUCUGCUACUGCCAUCAAAUGCAAGCAAACAUAUGCAACAAAACCAGAUGCAAGUGAAAAUCUGGAGAAUAUCGGAUAAACCAAACCAAAUGCCACACUUCUAGUAAUUAGACUAGAUGCAGUGUUCAAUUAAACUAAAUGUAGUCUCAUAUUACAUUCAAAGGUGAAAACACUGUAAAAAAAAAUACAGCCAAAACAAUUGUUUACUUUUAAGUUCUAACAAAGCGUAACAGUCCAAAACCAAAACAUCUUAACUACCAAGCAAACAUCUAACAUAAUUAUUAAAAUUAAAAAGGAAAAAACAUAGGAAUCUCAGUUCUUAUACAUUUUGUAUGCAUUUAGUAAGCACACGCACAUAGACCAUCUAUGCAUAACCUUCUUCUAGCCCACCUGCAGAUGUCACAGAGAAGAGACAUUUUUUGCAGCUUGAAGUGCUCCAAUUGCUUUGUGAAGGUCCAAUUGUAAGCCUAAAUAUUGAAUCCAUGAGUCCAUAUAAUUGAAGGCUGGUGGCGACUUUUGAGUACAAAUCAAGAGAGAGUGAAGUGUGAAUUUCUGCAUGGCCCAUAACUUCAUCCACGUAGCUAUUCACUUCUUUGCAGUGAAAAGUUCCUUAAUCCUGGCACUAAUGUUGGGCAUCAUUUUGAUUUUUCAAGCCCUUUUAGAACACUUAUUGAUUUAGGAAAUUAAGGGAGCCAUUGAAAGGUGACUAAAACGGAGUGAGUUAGGGGUCCUACCUCUCUGUAGGGCUCUCGAAUCGCGGGAAAUGAGCUCCAUUGUGACCUUCAUUUCCUCCUUUUCGGAAAAAUUAGUUCAUGGCGCUUACGAUGUGAGCAAUUACUCUUUCUGGUGUCCUGAUGGUUGAUAACAGAGACUUUCAGCCUCGCUGCCUCAGGUAAGCUUGAUGGGAGGACCAGAUGUCAUACAAAAAAUAAAAGCUUUCUUUUCUCGGUAAAAGCAUGCGCAUUUUUCUGUAAGUGGGGAAGAGGCCGCGCCGUCAACACUGCAUCGGUGAAGAUGGGUGGUGGUUGUUGGUGGAGAAACGGAGGGAGGUGGCGAUUCUGAGACUUGUUGCGAUUUAGGGUUGGCCGGUUGGGUUUGGGGGAAAUUGGGUAAAGCAAAAUGCAUUUUUGUUGUUAUAUAUAUAUAUAUAUAGAUAUAUAUAUAGUAGUUGGAUUAGCUAAAAGACAAAAAAAUUUAAAUUUUACUACACUACAUGAUAAAAUACAGUGCAUUGGAGUAUGUGUUUAUUUUGUCUUUUAACUAAUCCCUGAUUGGAAAACUACUAUAUAUAUAUAUAUAUAUAUUUUUUUUUUACUUAAUAAAAAAGUGGGCACGGGUCCGGGUUCCGGAUUCUUGGUGCUGUGACCGGACCCGUGCCCGGAUCCGCUUUUUCCAUGCAUCCGAUCCGGGUUUUACCCGGACCGUAUGCACCAGGUCCAGUCCGGAUCCGGUCUGAGCGGGCUUUUCUGCCAUCUCUACAGUGGAGAGAGGGAUUAAUUCAACGCUUAGCCAAAAUUUGGCUGCGAGUGUUAAUGGGUUUUAAGUUAUACAAAACGGUGUCGUUAAUUUAAACGGCAUUGUUUUACAAUCUUAUAAGUUCACAAAACUUAAGCAUGACUUAUAUGUAUAAUUUAUUUACGAUGGUUAAGUUAUAAGUCAUGAAUAUGUCAUAUACUCUGGACAUGAAUAUAUAUCACGAAUCUAUCAUAUUUUCAUGACACAUUCGUGACAUAACGAUAUAUGUUAUAAAAUUUCUGUCAUUAUUUAGUAUUUUUCUAGUAAUGUCAGGUCUUUAAAACCUUUCUAUUAAUAACAAAAACUCUAAUCCUUUAGCAAAAGACUAAAAAUUUUAAAAAAAUCUGUUUAAAUAUCAGUUGGCUCAUAAUCAACACUUCAAUAUUGUUUGUUGUAUUUUCUUUCUUUCUUUUUUUGUCAUUUUAUUAGAUUUGCUUUGUAUCAUGGUUUGUUUUGCUUAAGUAAUUGUUCAUUAUUUACGUCUGUGUUCUUACUAGCUUUUGAUAAUUUAUGGUUGGUUUUUUAUUCAGACCCUCGAAGUACCUUUUUGUUAAUAGCAAAACCUCUGAUCCUCAAGAAAGAAAAAGAAAUUCUCUAUUUAAUUAUUAGUUAGUUCAAGAUCAAUAUCGCAAUAUUGUUUGCAGUCUUUUCAUUCUCUGUCUUUCCCACUAGUUCAUUUUAAUUUAUCUGUAUUCCUUUCUUUGACACUUGUAUUUAUUUAUAUAGAUUGUUAAGCAACAGGCAAUGGCUGCAGAAGGGUGUCUCCCUACUUUUUCUAGCAUUGUAUCACAAGGUUCAAAAGCAUUAUUCAAACCGAUUAUGUGGCACAUAUCUUAUGUGUUCCGAGUACCAGAGCUACAUAGAUGGGCUAAAAGAUUGAGUGAAGGAGCUGGAAUAUAUAAGAGAAAGGGUGCAAAUGCUGGUUAGAGAGGCUACUCUACAAGGAGAUGAGAUUUAUAAGGGUGUCAGAGACUGGCUAAAUAGAGUUGCUGAAUUCAGUGAAGGGGUUGCAAAAUCAAUCAUUGAUGAUAAAGAUAGAGCUAAGAUGUUCUGCUUCAAAAGGUUGUGCCCAAAUUUGAUUUCUUGUUACAAGCUUGGUAAACAAGCAGCAGAGGCCGCAAACGAAGCUGAUAAACUUGUGAAGAAAGGCGAAUUUAACAUUUGUAAUCAUGUUUCCUACCGUCCUGCUCCAGAGAGUACAGAAUAUGUGCAAGUGAAAGAUUACGUAGCCUUUUAUUAUAAUAUCUUUUCACUCUAUUAACUUAAAAAAGAUUGACUUCAAUAUUAAAAAUGUAACAGUAUAUACAUUUUAUAAUAAUUUCAAUAUUUAAAAAAUAUUUGAAUACUUUACAAUCUUAUAUUAUAUUAAACUACAUUUUAUAAUAAAUAGAAACAUAAUAUUAAAAUAAAUAUAUAAAAUUUUAAGUUAGGCUUAAUAUUAUUUAAAAUAAUUUAAAUAUCAUUAAUACAUGAGAUAUAUUAUAUUAAUUAUAAAUUCUAUUUAAUCUAAAUAUAUAUUUAAAGUUUUAUACUAAAAAUAGAUAUAUUAUUAAAAUAAAUAUAACAACUAACAUUUUAAAGAUUAAUACUGAAAUUAAAAUUAUAAAUUAUAUUAAUCUACUAAAAAGAUUCAUCUAUUUGACACUAGCAGCGGACAAUGAGGUCACGGCAUAGGACAAGCAGUUAUCGUGACCCAUGGACUUUUCUACUUCUUUUGAAAAAAAAAAAAAUAUCAAAGUCAUUGAAGUGCGUUUGAUGAUAUGCUGUGUAGCUUCUCUCUCAAAUGCUUUUCGAGUGCCUCCAGUAUCUGCUUUUAUAUAAGCUUUUGUCUUUAAUCAUUCAUUCAAGCUUUCGCUAAGAGUGAUGCAGCACAGCACGUAAAUAUAGAAGCAUUGACAGCCGUAGUCAGGAGCUCUUCGGUAUUUGAAGCAAGAAUGGUUGUUUGGCUUUGUGCAUUGAAAGAGAAAAGAAAAAAGAAAGACUAAUUUCAAUAAUACAAUUUAAUUAAUUAAUUUAAAAUAAUAAGCAAAUAAUAAUGAUGAAAUUAAUUAAUAAAAAGAAGAAAAUGAAAAUUGCACGUGCUACUAGCAUAAACCAAUUGCCGGAAUGAGGUCACUUUGUAGACAAAUGAUUCUGGAAUCAGAACUUGGGCCAGCUUUGGGUUAUGGAUCCAAAAUAAAAAUAAGGUGGGCCACAUGGUCUCUUAUGAUCAAUAAAAAUCGAUUGAAAAGGAUGGUAUAGUGAGUGGAAGAGAAAUGCCGAUGGCAGAUCAAGGGAUGAAGAUACGAGCUCACUUGCAACGUGGUAUAGUUCAUCAUGGCUGGCUUUCCUAUAAGUUCAGGUCCUUUGAAUACUUUCAAUGACCUUAUUAGUCAGGAAUUUAACAAUAAUUUUUAUUUUUUACAUCCAGGAACGGUUUUAAGCAUAGGCAAAUUAGGCCUAUAAUAGCAAAUCCUCUUUUUUAACAAUUAAACAAUUAGGAAGUCUCCCUUUUUUAUUUUUGGUAUUACUUAUAAUAGCAAAUCUUCUUUUUUAGGCCUCUUUUUAGUUAGUAAUUAUCUUAUAAUUAAGAAUUUUUAUACACAUUCUAUCUUUGAUAACCUUAAUAUUAAAGAUCUCUAAUUAAUAGUAUUAUCUAAUUGUUAAUUUAUUAUUAGUUUUUCCAAGAAAAAAAUUAAAAUCUUUAUCUAUUUAAUACUUCAGUUUUUUUUUCGUCAGUGGCAGAUAAAAGAGUCGGUUUUUCCGUUACUAAGCUUUUUAUGGAUGAAUUUUUUUUUAUAAUUUCUUUGUUUUAUAGGUUCUCUGUGAAUGCCAUUAGAAAUGAGAUUGACUAAUUCAAACUUCCUUUUUCCCCUUAGCAUCCAAACGUGUGAGGCAAGGGCAACUAAUGAGUCCAUUGUGAUGAGAACCUUUGUCUAAGCAAAAGCAGAGGUCAAUUGCUAAUACCGUACUGUUAUUAGUUUCAGUGCUUAAAUUGCUCCAUAAGUUUGCAUUUUAAAGUCUCUGUCUUAAUUUCUGAGGUAUACUGCUAAUGAGACCUCCUGCCAAGUUCAAGUUUGUUGUGAUGGCUACUUUGUCAUAUAACUGACUGUGAGAGGCCAUCAAUCAGCUCUGUUUUGUAAUUUUGUACCUUUUUUUUUCAUAUAAUGAUCAAUCAAAUGUUAGCCCUUAGAUUGCAACCAAUAUUUACUGAUUGUCUUAUAUAGGAUAUAAACUAAAUUCAUAAGACAUUCCCUUAUUGAUAUUCAUUCCGACACGUCCUAGUCUUUUGCCUUGUAGAAAUGCUUGUGGUUGAAGAGCUUUACAGAGAAGCUGUCGUCAGUACUGCGCGGAAAUUGAUUAUAUUGAAUCAGAAAACUUGACCAGAUAAGGUCUGUGUGCAUGAGAAUACUUGAGGAAAGCUUCACAAUACUGAGGGCCGGAUCUGCACUCUUUCCUCUAUAUGUGUCUUCAAUAUCAAUGGCUCAAAUACAUGUGUUAUGGUCUUUUAAUAUAUAUAAAAUACCAUUAUCUCAUGCGUUAUGGUCUUAUCCUUGUAUUCUUAAAAACUACAUAAAAUACCGUUAUCUCUGCUUUUGUAGCUAUUGAAUUCGACUUUCACAACAUAAAUAUUUAUUAGCAACAACUUAAAAUCCAAACAAAUCUAACAUGCAAUGUAUCAAUUACAUAUUAUGAUUAAACAGAUUUUGAUUAUUUAUUAUUAAAAUAUAUUCUCAUUAAUAUCUUAAGGAUAGGUAAUACUCACAUAAUUUUUUUAAAAAUCAAACCCAAAUUAUAUGCAUUGUUAAUGUGUAUUAUUGUCUAAUAUUUGGAUUUUACUAAUUUACAACUGCUAUAAUGUACGGCCUCUUCAAACAUAAUGUGGGUCCCACCACGUGUUAAAUUUUUUACAUUAUUUUUGAAGGAAUUGUAAGUUACAGCAGCUGUAAAUUAGCAGCACCUCCAAUAUUUUACUUUACUUCCCCUAAUAUUUUACUUGUACUUUUAUAUCUUUACAAAACAAUACCAACAAGACAAUAAUGUAUGAAAUAAAUAAAAUAAAUAAAUAAAGAACUGACAACGAAAUUAGGCCUAUCAUUAAUUUCUCUUGGUGUGAACUCUUGACAAUUCUCCCAUAUCCCACCUAAAGCUCUCGCAUGGUGUGAACGCUUGACGAUUCUCCCAUAUCCCUCCAAAAAUUUGUCAUAUUGCGAAAAACAAUGUCAAUUCAAUAUCGUCUCCAUUAGUCAUAGUGGCAGAUAGGACUAGAAUUUGUUGAAACCCUUGGACUUAUUUUUCCUUUUGAAAAUAAUUUUGUAGAAUCUCAUAUCGUGAAUAACGGACAAUGAGACUCUUUUUUUUAACUAUAAUAUUUUUUUAAAAUUAUUAACUAAAAAAAUUAAUUUUAAUAUUUUAUAAUAAAUAUAAGUAGGAUAUUAAAAUAAAUAUAAUAAUAUAUACAUAUUAAAAUAAUUUCAAUACCAAAAAAUAUUUUAAUAGUUUACAAUCUCGUAUUCUAUUAAACCAAAUUAUAAUAAAUAGAGACAUAAUAUUAAAAUAAAUAUAUAAAAUUUUAAAUUAUUUUCAAUAUCAUAUAAAAUAACUUUAAUAUUAUUAAAACGUGAGAAAUAUUAUAUUAAUUAUAAAAACUAUUUAACCCAAGGAUUUGUUUAAAAUUUUUAUAAUAAAUAUAUUAAAUUACAUUUUAAAAAUUAAGUAUUUAAAUUAUACAUACUAGUCUACUAGAAAAUUUAAACUAUUUAAAUCAUAUUUACAUUUAGUAAAAAAUUUUGAAGUCAUUUUUUUUUUUGUGAAUACCAUAAGAGUGCUAUAGUCAAAAAGGGUAUUGGUGUUCUUUAUUAAAAGUUUGGGGUCUACAUGACUAUUUUCUAAAAUUUUAAGGGUGUCAUUUUAUUUUUGAAAAAAAUAAAAAUUUCAUUUAAACAGCUAAAAUGGUGAAUAGUACAAUGCUACAGUGGGCGUAAAUGGAAGGUAAAAAGCAAUCAGAUUUUGAUUAAACAUGCAAUGUAUGAAAUAUAUAUUAUAAUUAUACAGAUUUUGAUUAUUUAAUAUUAAAUUAUAUUCACAUUAAUAUCUUAAGGAUAGUUAAUACUCAAAUAAUUUUUCAAAAAAUCAAACCCAAAUUAUAUGCAUUGUUAAUGUGCGUUAUUGUCUAAUAUUUGGAUUUUGCUAUGUCACAACUACUGUAACUUAAAGCCUCUUCAAACAUAUGUCGAUCCCACCACGUGUUAAAUUUUUUACAUUAUUUUUUAAGGGAUUGUAAGUUACAACAGCUUAACUUAGCAGCACCCUAAUAGUUUAUUUUACUUUUAUAUCUUUACAAAACAAUGCCAACAAGACAACAAUGUAUGAAAUAAAUAAAAUAAAUAAACAAAGAUCUGACAGCAAAAUUAUGGCUAUCAUUGGUUUCUUGUGGUGUGAACUCUUGACAAUCCUCCCCAAUCCCAUCCAAAACUCCCGCGUAGUGUGAACAUUUGACGAUUCUCCCAUAUCCCUCCAAAAAUUUGUCAUAUUGCGAAAAGUAAUGUCAAUUGCAAUGUCGUUUUCAUUAGUCAUAGUGGCAAAUAGGACUAGAAUUUAUUGAAACCCCUCGACUUAUUUUUCCUUUUGAAAAUAAUUUUGUAGAACCUCAUAUCGUGAAUAAAAGACAAUAAGACUCUUUUUUUUAAUUAUAAUAUUUUUUAAAUUUAUUAACUAAAAAAAUUAAUUUUAAUAUUUUAUAAUAAAUAUAAGUAGGAUAUUAAAAUAAAUAUAAUAAUAUGUACAUAUUAAAAUAAUUUCAAUACCUAAAAAUAUUUUAAUAUUUUACAAUCUCGUAUUCUAUUAAACCAAAUUAUAAUAAAUAGAGACAUAAUAUUCAAAUAAAUAUAUAAAAUUUUUAAUUAUUUUCAAUAUCAUAUAAAAUAAUUUUAAUAUUAUUAAAACAUGAGAAAUAUUAUAUUAAUUAUAAAAUCCAUUUAACCCAAGGAUUUGUUUAAAAUUUUUAUAAUAAAUAUAUUAUUAAAAUAAAUAUAUUAAAUUACAUUUUAAAAAUUAAUUAUUUAAAUUAUACAUACUAGUCUACUAGAAAAUUUAAACUAUUUAAAUCAUAUAUACAUUUAGUAAAAAAUUUUGAAGUCAUUUUUUUUUUGUGGCUACCAUAAGAGUACUAUAGUCAAAAAGGGUAUUGGUGUUCUUUAUUAAAAUUUUGGGGUCUACAUGAUUAUUUUCUAAAAUUUUAAGGGUGUCAUUUUAUUUUUGGAAAAAAAAAUUCAUUUAAACAGCUAAAAUGGUAAAUAGUACAAUGCUACAAUGGCGUAAAUGGAAUGUAAAAAGCAAUCAAAAUGACCAACAGUCUAACGCCUCAUCAGGGACAUAAAGUCAAAGUUUGUUGCAUGUGGUCAGGGCCAUUUAGUCUGUGAGUGGGUCCUGCAUGUCAUUUUUGGGCAUUUCAUCUUCUUUAGCAUUGAAGAUUAAAUGUUGACGACAUUUUCAAAAUUUUGGAAGACCCAUUAUACUUUUGGAUGGCUGUCAUUACUUGAUAUUAUCAUUAUAUGAUGAAAUAAAAUUGGAUGUAACACUUGUUUCGCGUUGUGGGAACUUUUGACAAUUCCCCAUAUCUCCUAAAAAUCUUUCGCCAUUUUGGGAAGAUGCCAUUUAUUUUCAUUUUCAUCAUUGAUAUUGGCAGAUAAUGGGGUCCGAGGACAGACCAUAAAUUAUUGCGACCCAUGGACUUUUCUAAUUUUUUUUUUUCCUUUGGAUAGUUUUCGUUAUUUGAUAGAAGGAGAUAGAGAUAAAGUUUUUUAAUCAAAUGCCCAUUUUAUUUAACAUGGAAGAAGAUCUUUAAACUCUAAGCGAGGCUAUCACUUCAACAGAUGCAGCUUCAAAAAAGAGGUAACAAGUGAUGAGAUAGACUCAUUAUUGUCUAAUCAAACAAGGACAUCGGUAGAUGUAUCAGGAUCUUAAGUUAGAUUGGAAUUUGAUACAUUGUUGUUCGUAACGUUGGUUCAAACCUUUAAAGCAAGGUUGGAUGCAAAAUGGUUUACACCAAAGACGUGAUUUAGGAAGUUAAUUAACGUUAUUUUAGAUAAUUUAUAAUUCUAAAAUAUUUAUUAUUUUAUGGUUUUCUAUUUUUGUUUGAGUCAAUUAUGGUAUGUAUCUUAAUCUUUUAUUUCCAUUAUAAUUAUAAUUUAAAUUUUCUUUUUAGGUUAACUUAGGAAAGUGGAUUUCUUUUAUUAUAAAUAAAGAUGUCUGUAAUAAAAAAAAUAAAGAUGUCUUGUCAUUGUUUUCAGGACUUCAAAUUCAAUUAUUAAAUAAAACUCUUUUUUUUAUAAUUUCCUCUAGUAUUAUUUAUCAAAAUCUCUCUUAUAGAGUUAUUUAAAUUAGAGUGUCAUCUAAUCUCGUAUUACGCGUUAUUAAAAAUCUCAUUGAAUCAUUUAGAUUAAAACAAUAUCUAAUCACGCUUUGAUUAAAGCGUAAGUUAAUUGUGUUGGCUUGAUCCAGUACUAGAAUGAUAUUUAGUAUUUCUUACCUUAUCAAUUCCACUUCCGCUACGCUCGCUCCAUCAAUUGGUAUCAAAGCAAUUCUGUGCGAAUCACACAUCUUUCCUAGAUACACCAUACCCAUCCAAACCAAAUCCAUCAAAAAAAAAAAUUACAAAUUUGAAAACCCUACCCGUCAGACCAACCCCCACCGCCGCCCACCACCGCCAAUCAGCCAGCCAACACCACCACAAACCUCACUAGCCACCGUCGACCAAGCCUCAGUCAUCGCUGCCUCAACCGCCGCUUGAACAGCCGCAAAUCACCAACCCAAACCUGCGGCUCCACCAAGCAACCCACCACCAUUCAGCCACUUUCUCCACCAGCCACCUCCACCAACAAACUCGCCGGCCUUCGUUGACCAAAAACUGACCGACUUCGGCCCUUGAUCGCCGCCCUCUGUCACCACACGAAACGACAACCCACGAGUGCUUCCUACACGCGCCGCCACCAAAACACCUUCUUUUUCCGUCAAUUUACACCACCACCAUAAUCCCUAGCAGUCGGCAACCGUAAAUCCAGUCUUCCGCCACUGUAAAGCCGCCAUAAACCAAAAGCCACAUCACCAAAAUCAACCGCCAAUUCAAGUCGGAUUUUCCCCAAUUCAGGUUGCUGAAUAUAAAAAGGACUCAUGAAAAUUACCUAAAGUUUCAAAUAUUGUUAUUCAGCAACCACUUUUAUGGUACAUUAGUUUCAACCCAAAUUUUAUAUAAAUAAUUUAUAACUCCCAUUAUUAUUAUAAAAAAAAAUUGUAGCAAUUGUGGUUAUAUCACAUGAAAAAAAAAAUCUAAUUAAAGAAAUUAACAUUAUAAUUUAAGGGAUAGUUGCUCUUUUAAUCAUUAGAAUUUAUGUCAAUUAUCCAGCUUAUCCUUGCAUUCUUAAAAACUAUAUACAAUACCAUUAUCUCUGCUUUUGUAGCUAUUGAAUUUGACUUUGACAACAUAAAUAUUUAUUAGCAACAACUUAAAAUUCAAACAAAUCUAAUAUGUAAUGUAUGAAAUACAAAUAAUAAUUAAACAAAUUUUGAUUAUUUAAUAUUAAGAUAUAAUCACAUUAAUAUCAUAAGGAUAGGUGGUACUCAAAUAAUCUUUUAAAAAUCAAACCCAAAUUAUAUGCAUUAUUAAUAUGCAUUAUUGUAUAAUAUUUAGAUUUUGUUAAGUUACAACUACUAUAACUUAAGUCUCUUAAAAAAUAUGUGAGUCCCACCACCUAUUAAAUUUUUUACAUUAUUUUUGAAAAAAUUACAAGUUACAUCAGUUGUAACUUAACAGCACCCCUAGUAUUUUACUUUACUUUUAUACCUUUACAAGAACAAUAAUGUAUGAAAUAAAAAAAAUAAAUAAAUAAAGAACUGACAACGAAAUUAGACCUAUCAUUAGUUUCUUGUGGUGUGAACUCUUGACAAUCCUCCCCUAUCCCACCUAAAGCUCUCGCGUGGUGUGAAUGUUUGACAAUUCUCCCAUAUCCCUCCAUAAUAUGUCAUAUUGCGAAAAGCAAUGUCAAUUGCAAUGCCGUUUCCCAUUAGUCAUAGUGAUAGAUAGGACCAGAAUUUUUUGAAACCCCCGAGGCCCUAAACUUGUUUUUCCUUUUGAAAAUAAGAAAAUGGCACCUGUCUAGAGAAAUAAUUUAUUAGAACCUUAUAUCAUGAAUAACGGCCAAUAAGACUUUUUUUAAAUUAUAAUAUUUUUAAAUUUAUUAACUAAAAAAAUUAACUCUAAUAAUUUAUGAUAAAUAUAAAUAGGAUAUUAAAAUAAAUAUAAUAAUAUAUAGAUAUUAAAAUAAUUUCAAUAUCUAAAAUAUUAAUAUUUUACAAUCUCGUAUUCUAUUAAACCAAAUUAUAAUAAAUAGAGACAUAAUAUUCAAAUAAAUAUAUAAAAAUUUAGGUUAUUUUCAAUGUCAUAUAAAAUAGUUUUAAUAUUAUUAAUACCUGAGAAAUAUUAUAUUAAUUGUAAAAUCUAUUUAACCUAAGGAUUUAGUUAAAAUUUUAAAAUAAUUACAAAUAUUUUAUAAGUACAAAUAAAUUAAUUUACAUUUUAAAAAUUAAUAUUGAAAUUAAUUAUUUAAAUUAUAUAUAUUAGUCUUCUGGAAAAUUUAAAUUAUUUAAAUCAUAUUUACAUUUCGUAAAAAAUUUUAAGUCAAUUUGUUUGAUUACCACCUGCUAAGGGUAUUGUAGUCAAGGGGAAUAUUGGUAUUCUUUAUUAAAAAUUUGGGAUCUACAUGAUUAUUUUUCUAAAUUUUAAUGGUGUCAUUUUAUUUUUGACAAAAAUAAAAUUUCAUUUAAACAACUAAAAUGAUGAAUAAUACAGUGCUACAGUGGCGCAAGUGGAAGGUAGGAAACAAUCAAAAUGAACAGUCUAACGUCACAGCAGGCAUAUAAGGCCAAAGUUUGUUACAUCCCAAUACAAAAAGUUUGAAACUUUGCACCUUCUGAAAUGAAACAAACUUACUUGGAUAUUGGUGAUCAGUGAGAAAAGCCCUUUUUCAAAAGCAACCUUAGGGUACCGAGUGUUACAGAUUCAAUGAACCACAAAUACUUAUUUACAUUGUAGUAUCUCAAAGGCACCGAUUUCUUCUGAUCCGUUAAGGAAAACAAGAAAAAUAAAAAGAAAAGAAAAAGGGUACUUGUGCCACACAACCUUGACGCCUAGCUACAUGGUACAUUCUCUUUGUGUGUUUGAACCAAUUAACAAUAAUGGUGCCUUUACUUCUUGGACUGGAGAAUCGAAAUCCGAAAUCGAAAUCAUUAAUGAUGUUUACUUCAUAAAAUGGAGGCUGGGAUCCGAAUCAGAACUAUGGGGACCACCCAAAUUAGGAGUGAGGAAUGGAAGAUUGAUUCCUAAGGAAGGUGGUGGGAAUCAAUCCCCCAUUCCCAAGAUUGAUCAUUUUGCCCCCUCUCACAAACUAUAAAAUAUCUAUUUUGUCCUCAAUUAAAAAAUUAUUAUGAUUAAUUAAUAUAUGUUUAUAAUUUAUUAAUAUAACUAUUCUAAUCAAUUUAUAUAUAUUUUAAAUAUAUUAUUAUUAAAUAAUUAAUAUAUUAUUAUAAUUAAUUAAUAUAUUUUGAAUUUUUAUUAUUAUCGUCAUCAUCAUCAUUAUUAUUGUUAUGAAUGAUAAAUUUUUUUACAAUUAAUUAGUAUAUUAAUAUAUUAUUGACAAUAAUUAAUAAUAAUAAUAAUUUUUGAAUAAAUAAAUAAAUAAAAUUAAUUACUGAAUUUGAACAUUUUACAAUUAUUCUAUUAUUUGGACUUAUCGAGAACUUACAUGCAGCGUAGCUAGUUUGCUAGCAUAUGUAAGGUUUAAUUUGAAUGCAUGCAGCAUUGAGAAGAGACAACGCAGAAACAAAAUUUCCGCUUGCAAUCUUUUCAUUUCCCUUUUUAAUAACAAGCAAAAUAGAGGAUAAACAGGGACUUUGUUUUAAUUCUCCUGUUUUUCUGUUUGGUGAUUUUAAAAUUUUAUGUCUAUAUUUAUCAAAAAAAGUUAUCCAAAAUUAUUAUCUAUUUUUGAUACACGUUGAUUUAUUAAAAAAAAAUUAAAAACUUCAUUUCUAAAUUUAUCGUUGUGCUUUGACCUUGGGGUGGUUUUUUUCUGUUUUUUUACGUAGGCCAGAACCUUAAUGAAGAAAGUUUUCAUCGUUAAUUGCUUUUGACCUAGGAGAAUUUAUUCUUGGACAAAUUAACACCUUUGUCUUUUGAUGCGGCUCCUAGAUAUCUAUGCAAUUUGUGUCAUUUACUUUUGCUUUGUAUUCUUUUUUAAAUGAGUCCCGAUUGGUUCAUUUGCAGAUAAAUGAGUCAGUUUUUCUGUUUUUAUUUUUUGAAAGACGGUUUUUCUGUUACGAAGCUUUUCAUGGAUGAAUAUUUUUUUUUUAAUUUUAUAGAUUCUCUGCGAGUUUUGUUAGGUAGAAGGGUAUUUAAGUAUUUUCAUUUCAUAUUUUGACAUUUCCUUGACCUUUGAAGUAUUGAAUCAUUGUGCAGGUAUUUAAGUAAAUCUGCCCACAAUGAAGAAUAGUUCAGAACAGUUGCGGAAGAUAAAUGGCUCAAAUAUAUGCGUUAUGAUCUUUUAAUAUUUCGCCUCUGAUAUUGUCCACAUUGCUUACUGCAAUAGAUAAAGCACUUCGUUUACCCCAAAUCCUGAUAGGGAAGUAUAAAUAUGUGCUUCCGAAAUAGUGCAACUCUCCAUAAUUAUUUAAUAUGCCUCUCAAUGAAGCAAUCACCUUCAUUUACAAUUCUUCGAUUAUUAAUCCUACAUACACGUGUUUCUUUUGUCUCUAAAAGUAUCCUCAAUUAAUUUACAUAAUUUAAUAUAAUAAGUACCUAAGACUAGACAAAUUAUCAUUAUAAUAGUAUUGACACAAUAAUGUCAAUAAUAAAUGCCUUAACAAACCUAUAAAUUUUAGAAUAUGGCUCAGAGUGCUACAAUGAACCACAACAAGUUAUUAUAUUGUCUAUAAUCAAUAUUCCAAUGGUAAUAGAGUUUUUUUAUUUUCAAUCCGCUGCUUUUCUGUUUAGCGAUUGCCAAAUUUUAUAUCUAAAAUUCUUCUAAUUUUAUAUCUAAAAUUCUUCUAAUUUUACACUAAGGUUUAUUUUUUCAAAAAAGGGGGGGGGGGGGGGGGGGGGGGGGGGCAGGAGAGAGAGACUUAGAGAGUAUUAAAAAAUGUAAUUCUAAAUUUUUACUUGAGUGUUGUGUGAUUUUGAUCAUUUUUUUAAAGUUGGCCAUUUAUAUUGAAUAAAUAAAAUAACGAAUAGACGUUUGGACCACUUCUUUUCUGUUAUAAUAAAACAUGAGAUGUCUUCUCUUGAUGUUUUCGUCACAAAAGAAUAUGUUUAAUUAUGUCAUCAUAGGCUUAAAUGGGAUGCCUUUUCUGUUAUAAGAUCGAGAACAAGUUUGUUUAAGCACUAGAGCCGCUAAAUAAAAGAAAGGCUCAUAUAAAAAUUACCUAAAGCACCAAAUAUUGUUAUUCAGCUACUUCUUUUAUGUUACAUUAGUUUCUACGCAAAUUUAUAUAAAUAAUUUAUAACUCCCAUCAUUAUUUAAAAAAUAAAAACCAUAGCAAUUGUGGUUAUAUCAUGUGGUGUGAUCUUUUGACAAUCCUCCCACAUCCCACCAAAAACUCUCACAUGGCGUGAACUUUUGACAAUUCUUCCAUAUCCCACCAAAAAUUUGUCAUGUUGCGAAAGGCAAUGUCAAUUGUAUUGUCAUUUCCAUUAGUUAUAGUGGCAGACAAUGUAGUCCCGGGAUAAGACUAGAAGUUUUUGAAACCCAUGGACUUAUUCUUACUUUAUUUUUUCUUUUGAAAAUGAGAAAAGGACACCCGUUUCGGGAAAUAAUUUUGUAGAAUCUCAUAUCGUGAAUAAGAGAUAAUAAGACUUUUCUUUUUUACUUUACUGCAAUACUCUUUAAUUUUAUUAAUUUUAUAUUUUAUAAUAAAUAUAAAUAUGAUACUAAAAUAAAUGUAAUGAUAUAUACAUAUUAAAAUAAUUGGAUAUUGAAAAAUAUUUUAAUAUUUUACAAUCCCGUAUAAUAUUAAACCAUAUUAUAAUAAAUAGACAUAAUAUUAAUAUAUAUAUAAGUUUAAAUUAUUUUGAAUAUCAUAUAAAAUAAUUUUAAUAUUAUUAAUAAAUCAGAAGUAUUACAUUAAUUGUAAAAUCUAUUUAAUCCAAGGAUUUAUUUAAAAUUUUUAUAAUAAAUUAAAAAUAUAUUGGUUAACAUUUUAACAAUUAAUAAUGAAAUUAAUUAUUUAAGUUAUAUAUAUUAGUCUACUAGAAAAAUUUAAACUACUUCAAUCAGAUUUACAUUUAAUGAAAAAAUUUGAAGUUAAUUUUCUUUUUAUCAUCUACUACGAAUCUUGUAGUUAAAAGAGGUAUUGACAUUCUUUAUUAAAAAUUUGAGGUCUACAUAACUAUUUUUUUUUUUAUUUUAAGGGUGUCAUUUUAUUUUUGACAAAAAUAAAAUUUCAUUUAAAUGGCUAAAAUGGUGAAUAAUACAAUGUUACAGCUGGCGUAAAUGGAAGGUAGGAAACAAUCAAAAUGACCAACAGUCUAAUGCCACAGCAAGGACAUGAGGUCAAAAAAUUCCCUUAUUAAUUAGUAAAAGAGAGUCACUUGGGCUUAUGGCGGGCAAAAUCGGAUAUAGAUCAGAUUCAAAUUAAUCCGAUAAAUUUGAUAUUGUUUGCAUUGAUAAAAAAAGUCACCCAAAUGCAAUCUAAACAUGUGUGUGUGUGUAUACAUAUUUGUUAUAAAUUAAAGUUACAAAAGUCUUUAACCAAGGCCAUUCAUAGUAAGUUUCAAAUUUUUAGGUUAAUAUCUGUAACUUCAUCAUGCUGGCCAUAAAUAAAGCUUGCAGGUCUAGGCGGGAUUGACUCGAGUUUUUUUGCCAAUCCUACGCAUGACGGGCGGUGUUAGGAAUAAUAUCCUGCAUCAAUUGAGUAUUGAACUUGGGUUCAGCAUAUAAGAUUUGGACAACUCUUAACUCUUGAGCUAACUUACUAAGUUUUGGAUUGAGUUAAGCAUGUAUGCUUCAAUAUCACAAAUUAGUCUUUCGUUACCAUUACUUAUUUUUUCUAUUGUUUAAUCCUAACACAAUAAAUGACCUUUCAUCCCAAAAGAACUAAAGUAAUCAUUUUAGACGAAUUAAGACACCAUAAAGUAAAUCUGCACACUAUGAAAAAUACUUUGGAACAGUUAAGGAAGCGUGAGAAUACUUGGGGAAAGCUUCAUAAUUGUUACGGCCGGAUCUACACUCUUUCCUCUAUAUGCAAUAAAUAUAUGCGUUAAUGAUCUCUCAAUAUUUUGCAUCCGAUAUUGCCCACAUCGCUUACCACAAUAUAUUCACUUUAUAAACAAAGUUUACAACCCAAAUACUAAUAGAGAAUAUAAAUAUGUACUUGUCAAUGAAGCAAUCACCUUUAUUUAGAAAUUUUUUAUUAUUAAUCCUACGUACACACACCUCUUUUGUCUCCAAAAAUAUUCUUAAUUAAUCCACACAAUUUAAUACAAUAAAUACCUAAGAUUACACAAAUUUUCAUUACAAUAGAAUAUAUAAUUUAUAAUAUUAUUGAUACAAUGAUGCCAAUAAUAAAAAUCCUAUAAACCUUACAAAUUUUAGAAAAUGGCUUAGAGUGUGACAGGUUGAAUGAACCACAACAAAUCAUUUACAUUAUAGUAUCUAUGAUCAAUAUUCUAAUGAUAAUAGGGCUCCUCCAUUUUCAUUUCCCUACAUUUUCUGUUUGGUGAUUGUCAAAUUUUAUGUCUAAAAUUUUUCUAAUUUUACAGUGAGGUUUAUUUUUUAAAGAGAGAGAGAGAGAGACUCAAAGAGAAUUAAAAAAAAUGUAAUUCUAAAAUUUUACUUGUGCAUUUUGUGAUUUUUACCAUUUUUUAAGUUGGCAAUUUGUAUUGAAUAAAUAAAAUAAUAAAUAGACUUAUGGACCACUUUUUUCUGUUAUAAUAAAAAUCAGAGGUCCUUUCUUGAUGUUUUCUUUCCAUAUGAAUAAAUUAGAAUUUUAUUGGUACAGUAAUGUCAAUAAUAAAAUUCCUAACAAACAUACAAAUUUUAGAAUAUGGAUUAAAGUGUUACAAGUUGAGUGGAUCACAACAAGUUAUUUAUAUUGUAGUGUCUAUGAUCAGUAUUUCAAUGAUAUCAAGGGUCCUCUAUUUUCUUUCCCUUGCAAUUUUUGUUUGGUCAUCGCCAAAGUUUAUAUCUAAAAUUUUUCUAAUUUUACACUGACAUUUAUUUUUUUUUUAAAAAAAAGAGAAAGAGAGACACGGAGAGAACUAAAAAAUGUAAAUCUAAAUUUUUGCUUGUGCGUUAUGUGAUUUUUAUCAUUUUUUAAGUUGGCCAUUUGUAUUGAAUAAAAAAAGUAAUAAAUAGACUUAUGGACCACUUGUUUUUUUAUUAUAAUAAAACAUUUUCUUCUCCUGAUGUUUUUCAUCUCACAGGAAUAUAUUUAUCUCAUCGUGGGCCCAAAUGGGGUAAAUAAAUUGGGAUCAAGGACAAGUCUGUUUAAGUGUUGAAAUUGCAAGAAGACCUCAUAAAAAAAAUUGCCUAAAGCCCCAUUAUUGUUAUUCAACUAUUACUUUCAUGACACUUACACAAAUAAUUUAUAACUCCAUCUUUAUUUAGGGAAAAAACUGUAGCAAUUGUUGUUAUAUCACAGGAACAAAUUCCAAUUAAAAAUAUAAUAAGAAUUAAUUGCAAAUUUUGUAAUAAAUAUCAAUAUAAUUUAAUAGUUUAAUUUUUUUUGGUAGAGUAAUAUAAUUUAAAAAAUUAAUAUUUAAAAAAAUAAUAUCAGUAUUACUUUUUAAAAUGCAAAUUAUUAAAAUUAUAUUAAUAAUGUAUUUUUAUUUAUUAUAAAAUUUAUUUUAAUAAAAUCUUAAAUUUUUUUAAAUAUUUGUAUAUAUUGUUAUAUGUUAUUAUAAUAUUAUAUUUAUAUUUAUUAAAAUAUAAGAGUUAAUAUUUUUAAAUUAAUAAAGACAAAAAGUAUUAUAAUAAAAAAGAAUUCUUUUAUUAAAAAUAUAAUCAUUCUCCCAAACUUAUCCUUGUCCCUUUUUGAAAGGAAAAAAUAAAUUAGAAAAGUCUAUGGUCAUGAUAACUUCUAGCCUUGUCCCGUGGGACAUGGCUACGGUGCAGAAGCUGAAAGUAACAGCUUCGAACUUUCCCAUUUCCAUCACCUUGUUGAUGGUUGUUGAAGCCAAUAAAAAUAAAUUCCUACUCUAAAUAAAUUGUGUAUAGUGAUUGAGCAGGGUCGUGUCCACAGAGAUCGGUAAUUAUUUAAAUUCUUUUGAAACGUAAAACGUAAAAUGGGAGAAUUGUUGACAAUAAUAAAAAAUCAAAUUAAAAUAACAAAAAUGCAAAUUAAAGUUGUAAUUCAAAUUGGAGAAAGCUUUGGUUGAAGGAAUUAACUCAGUUUGAUUCGACUACUGAUCAUUGAUUCAAAAAUAGAUUAUUAUUACUUAUGAAUAAACUGGUUAUAGCUAUUGAGACCCUCUAAUAGCCAAUCUCUCCUUAACUAGUCGAUAACCAAGGUACGACUAUUGGAUAUUUCCCUAAUCAAUAGACAACCCUAGAUACGAUCAUAGGAUUUAAUCAAUUGACAGCCUGAAAAACCAGAGCGACCCAAAUCCUAAUCAACACAUAUGAUGAUUCAUUUAAAUUAGAUUGUUUAUUCCCAUAACACAACUCACUGCUAUGUUAUUUGUCACAAACAUUAAACUCGUCAUACGAUGAAUUCUUUAAUUGACAAUAGAUUAAGUUGAUAAUUAAAUAGUGGCCAAUUACCUAAUUAACAAACAUAAUCAUGAAACUAAUUCAGAGAAUAAACAAAUACCCAAAAAGUAAUAAAACAAUUAAAGCAUAAGAAAGAUCUCACAGUAGUGAUGAAUCAAAAAUUCAUUAACCUUCAACUAGAAAAAAUAAGUUUAGUUUUUCAUAGAGAGAAGAGAAAAAUUAGAUCUAGGGUUUCUUUCUUUUUCUCCAAUUAAAAUCCCCCCUUUUUCACAAUAGAUUCCUCCCUUAAAUACUCUCUCUCUCUUCUCUUUUAAAGUUCUAUUUAAAAUAAAAUAAUAAUAUUUGAAAUAUUAAAUUCGUAAUUACAAAAAUAGCCAAAAAUACAAAACACAUUAAACUAAAAACUGCAGGUCCGCAGUUGACAGCACGCGCCCACGCCUUAUCUAUAAAGUUCUUCUGACGCUCUAAAUUUCUCCAAGAGAACAAUCAUCUUUAAACAUCAUCUUAUACCUCAAUUCUAUCACAAAUCAAUAGAAUUGCACUUACAAAAGUAAAACACAAGUAAAUCAUUAUUAUUAAAUGCAAAACAUCGAUAUUAAGGGAAGUAAACAAUGCAAAACUAGUGUAUAAAUUGUACUCUAACACUUGUAUUGGGACCUCUUUCUCUCUCCUAUAGCCCCCAUGGAAGUUCCCCAUUGGCUGCUGUUACUUACAGAAGCCGUAACAUAGACUUCUAGCCAUGUCCCGUGAUGUCCAUUGUCUGCCACUAUGAAUAAUGGCAAUGACAUUGCAAUUGAAACAUUGAAAAGGUAUUUUCGCAAUAUGACAAAGCUUUUGUUAGGAUAUGGGAGGAUUGUCAAAAGUUCACACCACUUGAAACUAGAAUUAGAUCUAAUUUCAUUUAUUUCAUAAAUUAGAAAAGUCUAUGGUCGUGAUAACUUCUAGCCGUGUCCCGUGAUGUCCAUUGUCUGCCACUAUGAAUAAUGGAAAUGACAUUACUAUAAUAAAAUGACAUUGCAAUUCCAAUAUGCAAUUGAAAAGUCUAUGGUCGUGAUAACUUUUGUAAUAUGACAAAGUUUUUGUUGGGGUAUGAGAGGAUUGUCAAAAGUUCACACACCACAUGAAACUAGUGUUAGAUCUAAUUUUAUUUCGUCCGUUCCUUAUAUAUUUAUUUCAUACAUAUAUGUCUUAGGGUGAUAUUGUUUUGUAAAGAUAUAAUAGUAAGGUACUAUAAAAAGAAAAGAACUGUGUGUAUACUUCCCAGUGUAAUAAUUAUAUGUAGAAGAAAACUAACAAGAGGAAAAAUGACAAAGAGCAAGGCGCUGGUUGUUGGGAGAAGAGGACAUGUCGGCAGAGGAUAGAGAAGCCAAUCUUAGCCUUGUUGAUUGAGGGCUCAUCUUCUGAUCAUCGUAGCCUUGUUGGAGCUGUCAAACAAGUCGAUGUUGUCAUUUAAGGAGCCACAACAUUUUGAUGCUGCUUAAACUUGUUGGGGCCAUCAAAUAAGCUGUAAAUAUUAAGGUACGUAAGCCUUAAUUUUUAUGUAAUUUUAAUUUCAGAUCCAAAAUUGCAUGCAAGCCAUUAAUUUCUUUCCUUUUUUAUUUUUGAUUUGAUGAGGUGCUUGAUUUGGUCGGGUGUGUAUUUUUUCUUUGUUCUUUUUUUUUUUAAAACAUAAAUCUCCAAAUCGGGUUGGAGCGGGGAUUCUAACCCUACGAUGGCCAUAUUAAAAUUUAAAAUUUUUUAAUUUAUUUUUCUACAUCUCAAUAUUUGAAAAAAUGAUUAUAUAGAUCUAUAUAUUUUCAAUAAGAGAUACUAAGAUACUCUUUUUUACUAUAACACCUACUAGCUCUAUUAACUCAAAAAAUUAGCUUCAAUGUUAAUAUAUAUAUUUUAAAAUAAUUUUAAUAUUUUAAAAAAAAUGAAAAAAAUAUUUUAAUACUUUACAAGCUUAUACUAUAUUAAACUAAAUUUUGUAAUAAAUAGAAACUUAAUAUAAAAUAAAUGUCUAAAAAUUUAAAUUAUUUUCAAUAGCAUAUAGAAUAAUUAUAAUAUUAUUAAUACCUAAGAUAUAUUAAAUUAAUUAUAAAUUCUAUUUAACACAAAUAUUUAACUAAAUUUUUUAUAAUAAAUAUAAAUAUAUUAUUAAAAUAAAUCUAAUAAUUAACAUUUUAAAAAAUAAUACUGAAAUUAAUUUUUUAAAUUAUACUAACACUAGUUUCACGCUGUGCGAACUUUUGACAAAAACUGUUAAUUGCAAUUUCUUUUGAAAACAAUAGAUCAAAUCAUUAAAGUGCAUGUGAUGAUUUGCUGUUUAAUUAUUUCUUUAGAAUAUAUCCAAACGUAAGGUUGUGAACUAGUGCUUUCUUCAACUUAAUUGGGUCCAACAAUACACUGCAGCUUCCUCUUUUGGUCAUUCCAAGUUUAAUUCUUCAUGAAAAUCUUAGACACUAAUACAAGGAUAUCGAAUCCAAAAUUAUAAUAAUACAUGUAAUUAUUCUAUACAUGCGUCAACAAGGCAACAGUAACCAAAUACAUGAUAUGCAAAGGGGGUGCAUGAUUAAGUCCUUUUUUUAUUCAAUUCAUUGUUAUUAUUCUCAUCAACUCUUUUCUCACUUAUUUUUCAGCAGUUACCAGUGAUCUUUUUGCUCUUUAAAAUUAUUCUUAAAUAUUCAAGGCUAAAUAGAGAAGCUCAUCAACUAUCUGAUCCCGGAUAAUUAAAGAGGUGAACUUGUUCUAAAUCCUUUGAUAAUUUCUAUUAAUAGCAUAAUCUCCUUGAUCUUGACCGCAGUUAUUUCUUAAUGUCCAAGAAAAAAAUAUCUCCUGUUUGUCUUAAUCUUGUCAUUUAAUUUUCUUGAUUUAAGUUACUGUUCAUUGUUAACUUCUGUGUUCUUGUUAUUAGCAUUUGUUAAUUUGCAUCUCUCCUCUAAAAUAGUUUCUAAAAAAGAAUGUUGCUUUUCAUUCAUACCCUUGAAACCUUUCAGUUAAUAGUCAAAACUCUAAUCUUUCAGUUAAUUUAUUUGAAUCCAAUUUUUUCAACAGCAAAUACACACACACAUUGUUAAGCAACAGCCAAAAAAGUGCAGAAAAACCAGUCAAAUUUAUACAUGCGUCAACAGGGAAACAGUAACCAAAUAGGUGAUACAAAAAGGGGUGAAUGAUUCUGUCUUUUCCUUUUGCAAGUCGCUGUUAUUACUCUCAUCAACUUCUUUCUCGCACAUUUCUCAGCAGUUACCAGUAAUAUUUAAAAUCGCUGUGUAGAUAUGCAAAAGUUCCGUAAGUGCAUUAAUAAUUAUUUGCCAGAAAAAAAUAGUUGCGUCAAUAUUAAAGGAAUUGACAUCCAGGGGACCCAAUUUAGUUGCUUAAUGAUUAUUUAAUUAAUUAAUUUAUAAUAUAUUAAUCUUUUAAGUUGAAUAAUUAAAAUCUUAGACCCGAAACAAUAAAUCAUCUGAGGCAUAUAAAAGAGAAAUUAUCAUCCUAUUUUUUCUUUUUUCUUUUUAACUUCUUGUAGCUUAUAAAAGAGAAAUUAUCAGUCAUUUACUCAAAGUUUAUUCAAUUAUUAAAAUUAUUAUAAAAAUUUAAAUUUAUUUAAUUUUACAUCCAAUGUAUGCAAUUUGUAUGAAACAUCUGUUAAAAAUAUAAAGUUAUUCGUUCAAAGUGACAAAAUAGAACCGAACACAAAAUUGUAGUGGUGAUUAUGUUUUAGGAGUAACUUUAUUUUUUUAGUAAACAGUUGAUACACAUUGUAAUAAUGGGUAUAAAAUUAAAUAUUUUUAAAUUUUUAUAACUUUUUGGAUAAUAAGAUAAUUCUUAGAUGGAUAAUUGAAAAUUUUUCUUUUCAAAAUAUUUUGAAAACAAUACCAAAUGUACCAAAACAUUGUUUACUUUCACUCUCUCUCUCUCUCUCUCUCUCUCUCUAUCUAUCUAUCUAUAUAUAUAUAUAUAUAUAUAUAUAUAUAUAUAUAUUAUUUCUUAACUCAUUCUUAUCCUUAUUCUUUCUAACAUAUCCACAAUCUGUCAAUGAAAUUUACUUUUAUAAAUUUGAAGAUUUUUUCAUGCAAUUUUAUACGAUGAUGAGUUCUCAUGUUUCUGUUAAAAAAUAAUUCGUAAAUAAUACAAAUGAAAAAAACAAAAAGUAGCAGGGCUGGCAAUACAAAACCAUAACUUUUUUUCUUUGAAUUUUGCAUAAACAAAGUCAAUAGUGAUUUGUCAGCACGAUCUUGAGAGCACGGCUUGGAGUCUCAAUAAUUAUUGACACUCAUAUUUGAAAACUUUCGAAAAGAUAAAAUCCAAUAUGAAAGGUGAAACGUUAUAAUCAUAGUAACUAGAAAAUGGAUUGAUUUACAAAUAUCAAUUUAAACAAUUUUCAUGUUGAUCGACAAUUUAAGUAGAUUGACAAAGAUUGAAGUAAUUACUGUUGGUGAUUGAUUGACUUUGUCCUUAUCCUUGCCUUCUUCUUAUCAAAAAUCGAGUGUCAAUUAAAUUGGGCCAGGGUUUCUGAUUGCAACUAAUGGACUUCAUAUACGCAUAAUGGUCCCUACGUACAUACGUACCAAUAUUUGAUUGAUAAAGGGGGUGCAUGCUUAAUGCUCAAGUCGUCUUCUUUUGGAAAUUCAUUGUUAUUACUCUCAUCAACUCGUUCCUCACAUUCCUCUUUAGUCAAAACCUGUAAUAUUUCUUCUAUAUUCAAGGUGAAUACAGCAGCUCAUCGACUCUGAUCCCAGACAGGUAAAGAGGUGCACUUGUUCUAAAACCUGUAAUAUUCUUUUAGUAGCAGAAUCUCUGAUACUUGAUCUUCAUAGCGGUUCUUUCUUAAUUUCCAUCAACUUUCCUAGGAAAAAAUUCUCUGGUUUUUCUUAAUCAUAUCAUUUACUUUUCUUAAGUCAUAUCAUUUAUUUUUAGUAGCAGAAUACUUGAUCUUGAUAGCCAUUCUUUCUUAAUUUCCAUCAACUUUCCUUAAAGGAUACCUUUCUGUUAAUAGCGAAACCUCUGAUCCUUAAGAUAGAAAAAGAAAUUCUCUACUUAUGUAUCAGUUGGUUCAAAAUCAAUAUCGCGAUGUUGUUUGCGGUCUUUUCUUUCUCUGUCUUUCCCUCUAGUUCAUUUUAAUUUAUUUGUAUUCCUUUCUUUGACAUUUUUAUUCAUUUUAUUCAUAUAUAUACAUAUAUUGUUAAGCAACAGGCAAUGGUUGCAGAAGUGGGUCUGGCUGCUUUUUCCAGCAUCGUAUCAGAAGAUGCAAAGUCACUGUUCAAACCGAUUAUACGGCAGAUCUCUUAUGUGUUCAAGUACCAGAGCUACAUAGAUGGCCUAAAAGAUCAAGUGAAACAGUUGGGAUAUAAAAGAGAAAGGGUGGAAAUACCCGUUCAUCAGGCUACUCAACAAGGAGAUGAGAUUUAUAAGGAUGUUGCAGACUGGCUUAAUAGCGUCAAGGAAUUCACUCAGGGAGCUGCGAAAUCCAUCACUGAUGAUGAAGAUAGAGCUAAGAAGUUCUGUUUCAAAGGAUUGUGCCCAAACUUGAUUUCUCGUUACAAGCUCAGUAGACAAGCAGCAAAGGCCGCAGAAGCUGCUGCUAGUCUCAUGGGAAAAUGUAACUUCUCUAAUGUUUCCUACCGUCCUGCUCCAAAGCGGGCAGAACAUAUGCAAGUGAAAGAUUUCGAGGCCUUUGAUUCAAGAAUGAAAGUAUUUGAAGAUGUUGUGGAGGCGUUGAAGGAUGAUAAGCUCAAGAUAAUUGGGGUCUACGGGAUGGGCGGCGUGGGUAAAACCACGCUAGUCAAGCAAGUUGCAAGGCAAGUUAUGGAAGAUAAGGUGUUCGACAAGGUCGUUAUGGCUGAGGUAACACAGACCCCAGAUCAUCAGGAAAUUCAAAAGAAACUUGCUUUUGACUUAGGCAUGAAAUUUGGCUCGGAUGAGAAUAAAUUCGAAAGAGCAGAUCGAUUACGUGAAAGAUUGAAGAACGAGAAGCAGGUCCUCGUUAUAUUGGAUAAUAUUUGGAAAAAACUCGAGUUCGAAAAAGUUGGAAUUCCUUGUGGGGAUGUUGAUGAGAAAGAUACAAAGGAUGAUCAGAGACGAUGCACAAUAAUAUUGACGUCUAGAAGUCGAGAUUUAUUGCGCAUUGAUAUGAAUUCUCAGAAAAAUUUCCCGAUCGAUGCUUUGCCACCAAAAGAAGCAUUGCAGUUAUUUGAAAAGAUAGUGGGUGAUUCAACUAAAAUAUCUGCUUUUCAAAGUAUAGCAAAUGAGAUCGUUGAAAGAUGCGGAGGUUUGCCUGUUGCACUGAGUACAGUUGCAAAUGCUCUGAAAACUAAGGAUAGUUACUUUUGGAAAGAUGCAUUGAAUCAGCUAAGAAGAUCGGAUGCUAGAGAAAUUCAUGGCAUGCAAGCAAAUGUGUACACCUCCAUAAAAUUGAGUUAUGACUUCUUGGAAAGUGAGGAGGCAAAAUCUCUGUUCCGUCUUUGUAGUCUAUACAGUGAAGGUAAUGUCAUACAAGUUUCUGACUUAUUGAGAUGUGGUGUGGGUUGGGGUUUGUUUGAAAAUGUUUACACAUUGGAAGAAGCAAGGAGUAGAGUGCAUCGGUUGAUCGACAACCUCAAAUCUUCAUGCUUAUUGUUGGACGGUGAUGCUGAAGAUGAAGUUAAAAUGCAUGACGUCAUUCAUGUUGUUGCCGUAUCAAUUGCCAGAGAGGAGCGCAUGUUUAAUGUUCCAAAUGUUGCUGACUUGGAGAAAAAGAUGGAAGAGACAAUACAGAAAGAUCCAAUUGCUAUUUCAUUACCUCAUAGAGAUAUUCAAGAGCUCCCUGAAAGGUUGCAAUGUCCCAAUCUCCAGUUAUUUUUGUUGUAUACGGAGGGUAAUGGCCCUAUGCAAGUUUCAGACCACUUUUUUGAAGGGAUGGAAGGACUCAAAGUUUUACAGUUUCCUGGAAUUGGCUCUUCUUCAUUACCUUCAUCACUUGGUCGCCUCAUUAACCUUCAAACAUUGUGUUUAGACUGGUGCGAACUAGCAGAUAUAGCGGCAAUUGGACAACUAAAGAAAUUAGAGAUUCUCAGCCUCGCAUAUUCCAAUAUCAACCAGCUACCAGUUGAAAUUGGACAAUUGACGCGGUUACAAUUGCUAGAUUUGAGCAAUUGUUGGUGGCUUGAGGUGAUAGCACCGAAUGUCAUAUCAAAAUUAUCUCAAUUAGAAGAAUUGUAUAUGGGUAACGGUUUUUCAGGGUGGGAGAAGGUUGAAGGAGGAAGUAAUGCCAGUCUUGUCGAAUUGGAGAGGUUGACAGAGCUAACUACUUUGGAGAUAGAAGUUCCGGAUGCCGAAAUUCUGCCGCCGGAUUUUGUCUCUGUGGAAUUGCAAAGAUAUAAGAUACGUAUAGGAGAUGGGCCCGAAGAUGAGUUUGACCCAUUGCUCGUCAAAUCUGAAGCAUCAAGAUUGAUGAUGCUCAAGGGGAUAAAAAAAGUUAGCAUUCUUCAGGAGAAUGAUGGGACAAAAAUGUUGCUGCAGAGAACUGAAGAUCUCUGGCUAGAAACAUUGGAGGGUGUUCAAAGUGUUGUUCAUGAAUUAGACGAUGGGGAAGGUUUUCCACGAUUGAAGCGUCUUCUCGUAACAGACUGUUCUGAGAUUUUACAUAUUGUCGGUUCAGUUAGGGUUCGUUGCGAAGUCUUUCCCUUGCUGGAGGCAUUGUCUCUUAUGUUUUUAACUAAUUUGGAGACGAUAUGCUACAGCCAACUCAGAGAAGAUCAAUCCUUCAGCAACUUAAGGAUUAUAAACGUAGAUUCCUGUCGAAAAUUGAAGUAUCUCUUCUCAUUCUCUAUGGCCAAAAACCUAUUGCGGCUUCAAAAAGUAAAAGUGGAAGACUGCGAUGAUUUGAAAAUGAUUAUUGGUAAGUGUUGAAAUUAAUUAUUGGUAGGAUUAUUGACAUUGACUCUUUCUUUUUUUCUUUUUCUUUUUUUGGGGAAAAAAACAACGGAUGUUUAUUAUAUAUUGUUUUGGUUCAUUUAUAGGGCCCGACAUGGAGAAACCAACAACAACUCAGGGAUUCAUAGAAAUCAAUGCAGAGGAUGAUCCUGUUCACCAGGUAAUAAUUUUCUGUUUAAUAAUUAAUUAAUUAAUAUAUUAUCACGAUUGAGCUUCAAUCAUCGAAAGAAUAUUAUAUUAGAAGUUGUAGUUGAAGGAACAAAAAUGUAUGGUUUUUCUUUGCAGGUUACUUUUCCACGCUUGGAGGAACUGGAACUUGUCAGUUUAACAAAUAUCAAAAAAUUAUGGUCCGAUCAAUUUCAGGGAAUAUAUUGUUGUCAAAAUUUAACAAAAGUGACCGUGUGGAGUUGUCAUCGUCUGAAGUAUUUGUUUUCAUAUUCUAUGGUUAAUAGUCUUGGGCAACUCCAACAUCUUGAGAUUCGUAAUUGCCGGUCAAUUGAAGGGGUAGUCAACACCACGACGUUAGGAGGAAGAGAUGAAUUUAAGGUUUUUCCCAAACUACACUACCUGUCGCUCCAUUGGCUUCCAAAACUAAGUAGCUUUGCCUCACCAGAAGACGUCAUUCACACUGAAAUGCAACCUCAAUCCCUCUUUGAUGAAAAGGUUUUUUUUCAUUGAAUUUUUAAAUUCUCUUUUCGUUGAGUCUUCAAAUUUAAUUAAUAUACAUCUCUAAUUGCAUUGAAUUUUUAACUUCAGGUACGACUCCCAAGUCUGGAGGUAUUAAAUAUUAGUGAGGCGGAUAAGUUGAGAAAAAUAUGGCACCACCAGCUUGCUUCGAAGUCUUUUAGCAAAUUGAAAAAAUUGAAGAUAUCUGGGUGUAAUAAUCUACUGAAUAUUUUUCCUCCAUUGGUAAGAUUGCUAUAUUCAUUUUGAAUUUUUAUUUCAAGUAACAUUCAACAAUUAUUUUAAUCAUUUUUGUGUUUACAAAUAAUUUUCAUUCACAAAUUAUUUAUUGCAAGUAUUUUACUUCAAACUUCAGGAGGGCAAAAAAGUAGUGUACUUCAAAUCACCAUUCUGAACUCUGCAUUGUCAAUCUAAUUUAUAGGUUCACCCGCAUUAAAGUCAACGAUAUAAUUGUUUUAAACACGAUUUAACAGCAUAAUAUAAUUCAAUUUAAUUGUUUUUUUCCUUAAAUCCUAAUAAAUAAGAUUUUUAGAAAUUAAAAGAUACUUAGUUACUCAGCUUUUAAGCUCACAAAUUCAUAUAUAUUUCUCUUUUCCUUGGGUCUUCAAAUUUCGAUUUAAAAAAAAAUAAAAGAAAAGUGUUCAAAUGUAGUUAAUAUCUCUAGUUUAGUUAUGAAUUGAUUACGCCAUUGAUUAAGCACAAAUUCAUGAUGGUCAUUUUGAAUCGACCGUUGAUUAAAAAAAUUCCUCAAAUAUUCACUCUAUAACAGUCCCAUGUUGAUGGCGUUGGGAAGUGUUUUCCAGAAAUGUUUUUCCAUUUUUAAAAGCAUGAAUAUCGGGAAAAAAAAAAGGGAAAUACAGCGUUUUAGUUUAGUUAUUUUAAAAAUAGGCAUGUUUGAAAAUUAAAAAUUUUAAAAAACUAGCAUCAAGAUGAAAAAUGAAUUUAGAAUAUUUAAAAAUUACCUGAAAUUCUUUCUCCGUUCCUAAUACUAAAUAGUGUAAAUGCAUUUUCAUUAUCUUUGUUUUUCUGGACUUCUAUUUAUUUAUUUUUAUUUUUUCUUUUUUUUCUUUAACAAAAAAUAUCUAGUAGACAUUCAUGGUUUGUUAUUUUUCAUAAAACAAUUGUAUGAUUUUGACAUACUUUGAAUCUAGUUGAAUGCUACUCUUUAUUUUCAGGUUGGAAUUCCCAAUAGUCUAGUGAAUCUUGAUGUAUCAGACUGUGCAAAAAUAGAAGAAAUCAUAGGACAUGUUGGAGAAGAAGCGAAGGAGAAUCGUAUUGCUUUCAACGAAUUAAAACUUUUGGAACUUGAUGAUUUACCAAGGCUUACCAGCUUUUGUUUGGAGAAUUACACUCUUGAAUUCCCAUCAUUGGAACAAGUUUCUAUGACACAUUGUCCGAACAUGAAGACUUUUUCUCGGGGAAUCUCAUCCACACCAAAGCUAUACGUAGUGCAAGUGACUGAAAGGGAAGAGGGUGAACACCAUUGGGAAGGCAAUAAGCUUAAUUCCACUAUACAAAAGUGUUACGAAGUAAUGGUAUGUGUUAAUCGAUUCACUUUACGAAGUAAUGGUGUUACGAACACCAUUACGAAGUAAUGGCAAUAAGCUUAAUUCCACUAUACCACAUUUAAACAUAUACACCUGCGUUGUAAAUAUAUUUUUAGAAGUUAAAGCACAAAACAUGUAAGUUUAAUGUAUAUAUAUAUCUAAUGCCUUUCAAAAAAAGAAAUUUAUAUAUAUCCAGUGCAAUUGUUUUGGUUUAUGCAGAUUGGAUUCCGUGACAUAGAGCAUUUGCAACUCUCACAUUUUCCACGCUUGAGAGAAAUAUGGCACGGCCAAGCAGUGCCUGUCAGCUUCUUCAACAAUUUACGACAACUGGCUGUGGAUGACUGCACGAAUAUGUCGAGUGCUAUUCCUACCAAUCUGCUACGUUGCUUGAACAAUUUGAGAUGCCUGGAAGUGAGGAAUUGUGAUUUAAUAGAAGAGGUGCUUCAUUUAGAAGAGCUAAAUGCUAAGGAAGAACAUAUAGGCCCCCGGUUUCCUAGGCUUAACAGACUAAGGCUCAUUGAUCUUCCAAAACUCAAAAGAUUCUGCAACUUCACUGGGAAUAUAAUUGAACUGUCUGAGUUGGAGAAUCUAACUAUUGAGAAUUGCCCUGAUAUGGAAACAUUCAUAUCCAACUCUGUAGUGCAUGUGACAACAAAUAACAAGGAACCUCAAAAAUUAACAUCAGAAGAGAACUUUUUGCUGGCUCAUCAAGUACAACCCCUCUUCGAUGAAAAGGUGAUUAUUAUUAUUAUUAUUAUUAUUAUUAUUAUUUUCCCCUUCACUUUUGUUCGCACAGAUGUAAUUUCAUUAGAAUCAAAUCAAAUUUUAUGACUCAUCUUUUUGCAUGUCAUCUUGAUUCAUAUAUGAAUUAACAAUACAACUACAGUUAUGAACUAACUUUAUAGUAUGAAUUAAAAAAAUGUCUUAAAUUAUUUCGAUGACUGGUAACAUGAGGUGAUGAACUAUAUCAAUUAUGCUUGUCGCAUCUCUGUUUUCCUAGCUAAUUCAUAUUGGAUUUAGUAUCAGAUUUCAUUUAUGUGUUUCAAAGGGUAAUCGAUUUGAUACUUAUAUUUGGGAUCCUACUGCAAAGCAUACUAAUUUGGAAAUAAAAUAUAAAAUGCCGUGAUUAAUCUUGUCCAUAAAAUAUGCAGGGGAAGACUGCAGAGAUUGGAUACAUACUUUCAUUUACAACUUAAUUUUGUUGAUUUUCAGCUUACAUUCCCUCAAUUGAAGGAGUUAAAGCUAUCUAGAUUACACAAAGUGCAGCAUCUCUGGAAGGAAAAUGACGAAUCCAACAAAGCGUUUGCAAACUUGAAAAGUCUAGAAAUAUUUGAAUGUAGUAAGUUACAGAAAUUAGUACCAGCUUCGUGGCAUUUGGAAAAUCUUGAGGCUUUGAAAGUAUCGAAGUGUCACAGGUUGAUAAAUUUGUUGACGCUCUCAACAUCUAGAAGUCUGAUAAUUCUUCAAAGUAUGACGAUAGCUGAUUGCAAAAGGAUAGAAGAAAUCAUACAGUCGCCGGUUGCAGAAGAAGCGAAAGAUUGCAUUGUUUUCAAGGAAUUAAAGUACUUGGGACUUGAUUGUUUGCCAAGCCUAACAAGCUUUUGUUUAGGUAAUUACGCUCUUGAAUUCCCGUCCUUGAAACAAGUAGUUGUGAGAGAGUGUCCAAAAAUGAUGAUCUUCUCUCAAGGAGUCUUAGACACACCAAUGCUAAACAAAGUGAACGUCACCGAAGAAGAAAAAGAUGAUGAUGAUGAAGGAUGUUGGGAAGGCAACCUCAAUGACACCAUAAAAAAAUUGUUCAAUGAAAUGGUGAGUAUCAAUUAAGUUUUGGUGCUAUUUAGAAAAUUAUUUUAUAGAAACUAAUGUAAUAUAAUAUGAUUGGUUGACUGAAAAUAUAUAAUAAUAAAUAAAUAAAUAAAUUAUGAGGGCUAUGUAAUGUUUUUGUUUAACCAAUCAUAUUAUGUCGCAUUAGUUUAUACAAUAUUGUUUGUGUACAAGAGUUGUAAUGUAUGCUUGCUUACACGAGUAAUUACAAAAUGUGCAUAAUUCUAAAGAAAAGAUUGAGCCAACCCUUCAGGUACAGUGAAGAAGCUAUCUCGAACCAGGCCAAUCUCGUGUACAUGAUUCAACUUGCUCGUUCUCCUGUACUUGAAUAAUUUGGUUCUAAACGCAUUUACAACUUUUUUGUCAUGCUAUAGACAUGCAAGACACUUUGGAUUUGUUUGAUGCAUUCUUUGUUUAAGGAAGGACUUGAAUUGAUGUUUCAUGUUUCAUGCAAUUUUCAAUUAGAUACUGUUUAAACUUCUGCAUUAUUCAUUCAAUCGGUGUUUUAAGCAUUUGAUUUCUAACUAGUCCUGAUAGAAGAUCAUUAGCUGAAGAAAACAUCAUAACAUUUGUGGCAUUAUCAGAAUAAGAAUAGUUUUAUGAGUAUAGUAAAAUUAACUAGACCAUUAUUAAAAGGAAUUAAUCCGUCAACUUUAAGUAAACUUUAGAUGAUGGUUCUGACCUAAACCAUUUUAAUGCUUGGCAAAAUCACAUCCUGAGCAUAGAGUAAAGAAAGUGGCAUACAUGGUAAUCAACUUCAAGAAGCUCUUCGAAAUGCAUAAUACUGUUGGGGAGAAAAGAAAAAGAAAGAAUACAAAUAAAAAGAAGUCACACAUCAUCAGCAGUUUUUCGGGAACACAAAAAUGUUAUAAUAACUUUUCUUGAUUGCCACCCACAUGCUAAACUGAUCAAAUACAAAACAGGAUACAGAAAAUCUCUAACCUUUUUGGCACUGAAGAAGACGCCAGUGCUUUCAAAAGAAAAUGCUUGAUUGUUGGCAUUCUGGUUUGAAAAAUAUGAGUCCAAUUCCUGUGUCCAGUCAUGUACCAAAUCAGGACGACGUGCAAGUCAUACAAAGAUGACAAAAAUACAGUAUAAAUUGCGUCAAACCAAUUCAAGUCAAUUGGAGAAGUAAAUCAAGGACCAUUUGCAAUAGUUGUUCUCCACAUCAAAUUUGGGUGUCCAUCGUCUUCAUCCUCUUGUGCACUGAACCUGAGAGUCCACGAGAAAUACAUAUAAAAAUUAGGCAUGAUUGAAAUUGAUAGUAGUACAAAAUGGAUAUAAACAUCACGAUGAACAAAUUAAAUUGUUCCCUGUCAGACAAAUCCAACCUGCAAGCUUAAGCUCUUAAGCUAGACCAAAUCACACUGCAAAUAACAAGACAUAAGGCCAAAAAAAGAUAAUAUGUAUCAUUCAUAUGCUUCGCCCUAUAGAAAUGAUUUGGGCCAUAGGUCAAUUAUGUUAAAAGCAGCGAUACUAAACCCAAAAGAAGAGAGGUGAGGCGAGGGAGUGGUGGGUUUUUUUUUUUUUUUUUUCAUUUAUAUAUUUUUACCUUAAACCAAAUGACCGGUUUUACAGGUUUCUGGUUGUUUCAAAUUUUUUUAUUGCUUAAUAAUGAAACAAAUCUCAGCCAUUAGAUCACUCCAUUUAAUCCAAUGGUCAGUUUUUGUGCAUGUAUCAGAUGCACGCAUGUAUUGUAGCCGCCCCAUUUUCCUUUUUAGUUGCAAAACCUCGUUCGAAAGCAACAAUGACUUUCACUCAAAGUAAAUGAGAAAUUACAAUGAAAAUGGGAUCAGAAAAAGGUUGAGGUGAAAUAAAACCAAAGGGAUGAUGUUUCUGCUUUCCAGCUUUGGGAAACGGCGUGGAUGGAGCACGUUCAAUACGAAAAACUUCAUUAGCUCACGCGCUGCUCAGCUGAUUCUUAACAGAAAAUGAUUUAGUGGAAACGGCGUGGAUGGAGCACGUUUAACAUAUCAGUUUAAGUAACCACGUGAGAAAGCAUGUGAUGAAGGUUGUUCCGAGUUCGUUGAAGGUUGUUAACCACGUGUCAAAACAAAGUGUUCAUACUGGAAAGAAACAAAAUAUUAAUAAAUAAACCAUUAAAAAGAUUAUCUGAAAAUUAUGUUUAACUAGGCCAAUUCAAUUAUCGAGCAGUUUGAUAUAUUAAAUGAGCUAGAACAGUAGCCUUUUAAUUAUUUCACUUACUAUUAUCGAACAGUUUUAUAUCAUUCCCUAUCUUAUAGUAAAGGUAAAAGAACAGAAAAGGUAUAUUGCAUUAGAGUUCGUGUACUUCUACCUUUUAGUUUAUUCUUCAUUUUAUUAAAAUGACAGAUUCCUCAUUAAAAAAGGUCACUCUACAUAGUAUGUGGGUGUAUGUUCUUUUAAAAAGGACUGAGAGAAAAAUAAAUGUGAAAAACAAGUAACAUCUGAAGAAGAAAGUGAUGCUGACACAUUAACGACCACUUGAUUUUGUAGGGACUGCACAUAAUUGAUAAUUUCAUCCAACAUGAGACCUUUCCAAUUACCUAAUUUUAUACCAAACAACAUGAAGUUUAUAAGAAAUAUUAAAAACACAAAAACUCGUUAUUUGUUUUAAGACAGGAAAAAGUGAAUAAAAAACAAUAACAAAAAAAAGAACUCAAAUUACUUAAUUACCAUAGCUAUGAACAAGUUUUUGCAAAAUUUUCAUCCUCUCACUAACUUUCUCUCUUCUUACCUAAAACCAAAUAAUGACAAGACAACUGCCCAUUAGACUAUGACAAAAGUUGGAAAUUAAAAUAAUAUAGUAGGUUAUUUUGGAUAAAAUUAGAAAAAGAAAGUUUGAAUUUGUAUUAAUAUACUCACCCUUUCUGUUAACCCCUAUUUGAAGGGCCGAAAGAGUAGUAACAGUAGCAAAAAAUUCAAAUAAUAGAAAUCAGAGUGCCCACUACAUAUAAAUGGAUCUAAAGAAUAGAUUAUAUAAUAGCUUGUUUCUUAUGAAUGAUACAUGUGAUUCCACAGAUAAAAAGAAAAUAAAAAUCAAGUAUGUGAAUUAAAAAAAACACCUAACCAAUAGGGGUUAGUGAGAUAUUUUAGCUAAAUAUCAGUUGACAGAAUCUGACCCACAAUAAAAAUUGCUAUCUUUUCACAAUGGGAAUCUGAAUUAUAAAAUUACUGAACAAAACUUUUAACACCUACAAGUCCAAAUAACAUCAAAUAAAAUGCCUAACCAGCUGUUAAAUAUAAAAUGUCCAUGUAGGACUAAAGCCCUGUGGCUAAUCCUUCAAAGUUCCAAGCAACAAUAUGAUAAAAACAUAAUGCAUAAUAUAUAAGGAGCUUAUCUGUAAAACUUCCAUACAAUACUUAUCAUAUUAAACAAUGUACAUAAUGAAAUAUUGGCUUAUUUCUACAGAAUAUUACGAUCUAAGUACACCAAUUUCUCAAGCAAUGCCAUAUAGAAAGAUACCGAAGAAAAAAGGAAAAUAAAAAAUCGAAGUAUGUUAGUUAUGAUUUCAACUUUUGAACUAAAAGUCUGUGACAAAUUUUGCUUCGGGAAAUACUAACAAACACUUGAGAAAAACUAAAGUGUAUCACACUUGAACCGUAUAUAAAGCACAAGAAUAAAAACAACAAGGGGCAAAAAGAGGCUAGAUGUAUCAUCUUCAUUAGUUAAACAACAUAAAUAGAAUCAAAAUAUUAAUGCAUACACCAAAACCUUCAAAAUUCUCUAAACAUUCAAUUUUUUUCAGAGUAAGAAAAUAAAUUUAUAAGAAAUCGAGAAUGCGUAUUUGUUGCGGUAUUUUAUCAAGCAAUUAGCAUGCAGCAAUGUAAAUGACAAUUAAAACAUGUAAAUCUCUGUACUUUGAAAGCUCACCUUCGUUAUUCAUCCAAAGAGAAUAUAUAGGGCAUGUAAGCUCCUUCUUUGAUAUUUAUCCCUAUCGUUCAAUUAUUUUGUUUUCAUCAAAUUCCGUUAGCUCAAGUGGAGACAAAGCAAUACAAAUGGUGCAUUUAGAAGGUACAACUUUAGAAACCGAAUUUGUGCUUGCAACAUAGGAGAAACAGGGGCUCUCCUUCCAUUUUCCUGGUUUUGUGUUUGGUGAUUUUAAAAUUUUAUAUCUAUAUUUACGAAAAAAGAAAAGAAGUUUUCAAAACUAUUUUUUUUAUACAAGUUCUGUGUCAACUCAAAAAUUGCUCAUGACCAAAAAACAUCUAUGGUUCUUCAGUUACUCAAAAAUUCCUCGUUUUUGAGUUACUUUUUUUUUUUUUUUUAAUUUUUAUUCUCAAGUAAUUUUAUCAUGGAAUUGUUAAUUUUUAUUGAAUGUUGAACAAGCCUUUAUUUCUUUUCUUUCCCUUUUAAUGAAAUUAAAUAAAUGGUGGGGAUAUACCCUACAAAUUAUUGUCUCCACCCCAUAUUUAGUAUUGCUUUUACCACAUGAAAAAUUAAUUUUAUACGAUAAAUUUAUUUACUUGAAUAUUAAACCAUAUCAUGAACCAAUUGACAGGUUGAAGAAUUAACUUUCAAGUUUCAACAUUAUAAGAUUAAUAAAUAGCAUAAACAAAUUUUUAUUUUCAUUUAAAUUAAUCUAAUCCUACCAACUUCAUUUGGAUUUCAUAGUUGUUGGUUUCAUGUAUCACACGAAUUGUUAGGCACCAACUAACACAAGUAUAUGUUACUCAAGCAUCUCACUUGAAUAAUAGUCUAAGGAACUUUGAUUCGGAUGGUAGAUAUUUAACUAACUAAAACUAACAUUCUUAACUCAAAGCUCAUUUACUAGUAAAAGUAGAACCUUCUCCGUCAGCUUAUCUUGUUCAUUAUAUAACAAAAGAUAUUUAGUGAAAAAAAAAAAUUGGAGGGGGGGGGGGGAGGGGGAGACUAUGAUAAUAAUUAUGUUCAAGAUCUAGCCGCUAGGGAUAGAUUUGGCUAUGACUAUUUGUUGAUCCAGUAAUUAAUUUGAACAAUAUUGUUAAUUUUAGUUGAAACUGGAAUGAAUUUUGUGAAAGAUGCUUUCUCAUAACUAACCAACUAAAACUAACAAUCAAAUUAUCAAAAUCAGAGCUCAACUACUAGUAAAACUAUAAAAGUAAAACACUUGCUUCUCCAUCAAGUCAUCUCUUUAUAUAUAACAAAGAAUGUUUUAUGAAAGAUGGCAAAAGCAGUCAAUAACAAUUAAGUCUCAAAUAAUUCAUAAAAGAUGUCAAGCUCUGUUGCGAAUGCUGCUGAGGCUGAGAUUUGGAUUGUCCCAUUCUUCGGUAAGGGACAUAUGUUUCCAUGCAUUGAAUUAUGCAAGCAAAUCACUUCUCGUAAUUACAAAUCUACCCUCAUUAUUCCCUCUCACGUUUCCGCCACCAGCAUCACCCCUUCUUUUGUUCACCAAUACCCUCUAUUUGAAAUUACUGAAAUACCCUCCUCAUCUCCACUACUACCAUCGCCUCCUUCUUACCUCCAUGUUGUCAUGCACAACCAAAUGCUUCAGGGUCUUCGAAACCUCCUUUCAACCCGGAACCCGAAAGCCGACCUGUUUGCGUAGUCAUCGGCGUUAUGAUGGGCUGGACGGCUGAUGUUUUCAAGAAUUUUGAAGUUCCCAUUGUUGGGUUCUUCACUUCUGAUGCUUGCUCAGCAGCUGUGGAGUGUGCCAUGUGGCAGGCUCGCAUCCAGGAUGUCAAACCGGGAGAGGCCCAUUUACUUCUUGGGUUACCCAAGGAUGUUGCUUUAUUCCAAUCAGAUCUUAAACGCAGGCCUCACGGGUCCCUUCCUGGUGGCCCACAACCUUUGUGAGGUGCACCCGGUUCAGAGAAAAUAGGUCCAUCAGAACCGAGUGAUCAACCACACUGGAUGAAGCAAGUGGAGGGAUCGAUGGUGUUGAUGCUAGUGUGGGGAGUGGGCCCAUUGUUACCUGAACAAUUUUACAAAUCGACCGGUUCAGUGCUUCGUGAUUGUGAGAUGAGAACCAACCGGCGGAGUUCUAACAUGACCAAAGAUGAGAUCAUUCAAUGGUUAGAUUUGAAAUCAUGUGGAUCAGUGUUAUACAUGUCAUUUGGUACCGAAAUGGGUCCCACCUUAAAUGAUUAUUCAACAUUAGCCAAUGAUUUAGAAGCAUCAAAUCCACCGAUUAUUUAGGUAAUUCAAACUGAUGUAAAUAGAUUGGAUCCUCCACGUCAUUUAACCAGCUUAUUUUCAUAGUGGUUUAGAUAGUAAAGCCGGUAAAAAGGGUUUGAUAAUAGAUGGAAUGGCACCACAAUUAUUGAUGCCGAGUUAUCAAUUAAUAGGUGGAUUUUUAUCUCACUGUGGAUAAAAUUCAACUGUAGAAGCAAUUGGCUGUGGGGUCUCAAUUUUAGCAUGGGCAAUUAGAGGUGAUCAACGUUACAAUGCCAAAUUGGUGAUCAAUCAUCUCAAGGUGGGGUGCAUGAUCUCUGAUGAUCAGUCGAAAUUGACUUAAAAGGAUGAUAUAGUGAGUGGUAUAGAAAAGCUUAUGAGUAGGGUUGGGCAAAAUAUCCGACCCGAUCCGAUCCGAUCUGACCCAAAAAAUAUCGGGUUCAGAUCGGAUCGGAUUGUUAACAAAAUCCAAUCGGAUGUAACUUUGCCAACCCGAUCGGAUCAUGAUCGGAUCGGAUGAAACCCGAUCCGAUCCGAAAACCCGAUCGGGUUGGCUUAAAAAAAAAACUGUGUAACAAACUAACAAAGUGGCAAACACAACAAAAUCGGAUUCACACCACACAAAAAGCAAAUCUUAGAUCUAAAUUAAAAUAAUCUGUAAGUGCACACACACACACUCACAUCACACACGGUCACACACAAAUAGAGGUUUGGCCUCGGAGAUCGGAAAUGUUGAGAUGCCAAACAACGAAGCAGCAGCCAACAGAUUGGAGAUACAACCGCAAGAAGCAGCAACCAGCAGACCGGAGAUGCGGCCGCGCGAAGCCGCGAACCAGCAGCCAGCAAUCACCGACGUGAUCGUGCGAAGCCAAACCAUCGGAGAUCGGAGAUGUCAGCGAAGCAGCGGUGAGCAGAUCGGAGAUGCAACCGCAAGAAGCAGCAGCCAGCAAAUCGGAGAUGCAACUGCGUGAACCAGCAGCCAUCAGUCACCGACGCGAUCGUUCAAAGCUAAGCCAUCGCUGCAACCGCAACGUGCCGAUGGAAUCUACUACACCUCGACUGCUACCGCUUGCUGCCACUAGCUUCACCGGUUACCACAACUGCUACAACUAAAUUCACCUCCACAUUCACUGUCACCAAGUUUUUGGUGGUAUUGACUAUAUUGUUUUAAAUAAUUUAAUUUAAAAAGCUUAAAACAAAACUAUAUCUUGAGAAAAGGUUGAUUGUUUUACUUGAUUGCUUCUGAAAUUAACCCAGAAAUAUAGAAUGGAUAUAUAACCCGAAUGCUUUUAAAUCUGAAUCUAAUCCGAAUUAAUCCGAAUUUUCGAUCCAAUCCGAUCCGAAUUAUAUUCGGAUCGGAUUGGAUCGGGUUAAUAAUUCGGAUUGAGUUCGGAUGAUUUUUUCCCCAACCCGAUUGAUCCGAAAUUGAUCAAAUCAACCCGAACCCAAUCCGAAUCCGAUUUUGCCCACCCCUACUUAUGAGUGAUCAAAGAAAUUGAAAAACGAGCUCACAUGCUUCGCCGUGUAUUUAAUCAUGGCUUUCUUAUAAGUCAAUGACUUCUUUAAUAUAGUGUUUACUUUUUGGAGUGAGAGUGAGGAGUGUGGAUUCCUCUUACUCCAGUGUUUACUUACAAUUUUCAAAGGGGAAGUGAGAAUUCCACUCCGUGGAUCCCACCUAAUUUUGGAGUGGGGGAGUGAGAUUCCCACUCCCAUGGAGGAAGGUGGGAGUGGAAAUUCACUCGCCUCUCUUCCUUUUUCACCCUUAUAUUUAAUAAAAUAAAAUAAAUAAUAUCAUAUUUAUUUAACUUAUAUUAUUAUUUUAUUUUAUAAAUUACAUUUAUUAAAAAUAAUAAUAUUAAACAUAUUUAUUUUAUUAAAUUUAAUAAAAUAAGUAAAAUCAUAUUUAUUUAAAUAAUAAUAUUUUAUUAUUUUAUAAAUUAAAUUUAUUAAAAAUAAUAAUAUUAAACAUAUUUAAAAUAAUAUUAAUUUUUUGGUUAAAAAUAAUAAUUUACAUUGAUUCUAAGUUAAAAUUACUUAAAAAUAAUAUCAUUAUAUUCAUAAAGAAUUAAUAAUAUUACUAUAUUCUAUUUUUAUUUGAAAAUAUAAUAUUAUUAUACUUAUUUAAAAAUAAUACUAUUAUAUUUAUUUAAUAUUAGUAAUUAAUAAUAAUAAAUAUUUUAUUCUAAAAAAAUUAAUUUUGUACUAUAUUAUCAAUAAUAAUGUUUCAUUUGUAUUGUUGUUAUUAAUAAUUUUUUAUUUAUAUAAUUAAAAUUAAAAUUAAUAAAAUAAUUGUGAUUUACAUAGUUAAGAAUAUUAAUAAUUAUUAUUAAUUUAAAAAUAUAAUUUUUAUUAAUUUUGUAAUUAAUAACUAUAAUUCUUUAAGAGUAAAGCUGUAAUUUAAAAUCAUUACUCACAAUCUAAGACAAUGUAAACAAAUAAAUUGGAUUCUGAUUUCAAUUCCAUACUUCCAUUUCAGUGUAAGUAAACAACAUACUUCGACUCCCACUCCACACUCCUAAUCCCAGGAUUCUCACUUCUCACGAUUCUCACUCCAACGCAAAAUGUAAACGCUACCUAAAUGCUUUCAAAUAUCUUGUUAACCAGAAAUCAAUUUAACAAAAACAAUUACCGUGUAUAUUAUUAACGAAAAGGCUUUGAUUCCGUUGGCUUGGGUGUAAAUAAAUCGACUUUAUCAAGAACAGACAUCUCAGCAACUACAUAAUAAUAUAUGUAAGCUUUUGUUAAUUGACUGCAUUAAAUCAUUAAAUCAAAAGCCUUACAAAGCAUCUACAAUAAAAAGAUGGCACAUCCUCCAUCCAAACGACAAAAACAUGGACUCGCAACGCAAUUCUUGCUAAUUAAUUAAUAGGUAGUCAUAUUCCUCCGAGCAACAAAAUGAACAUCAAAUUGUUGAUGAGGCACCAUAUGCACAAAAUGUUGAUAUUGUUUAAUGUUUAAUAUUAUGGGAAAGUUUUAAUAGAUCUUCAUUUCCCUUACAUAUUGUGAGCUUAUAACCAAAAAUGGGACUAUAUGGUUGUGUGACAAACAAAAAGGGAAAUUUUUUACUAUUCGGCUAAAUUUUAAUGUCAAUAAUAUAGGAUCUGAAUUCACUUUAAUAUGAUAUCGACAUGUGUAGAAAAUUCCUUAAGUAAAUAGAUUUUGCAUAAAAGGUAUCGACCCAGAGUCAGAGGAAAAUUAAAUAGAAUGUCUUUUAAUACAACAAUCACUGGUGACCCUGUUUGGGCAUAGUUUGAGAGUACUAAAAUAUCUACUGCCAACUCUAUUCUAGUUGAAAGGCUAUCAAGGCAAAUUGGUCGCAUUGUUGAUGAUGAGGAAAUAGAGGUUGGAUUCAAGAAGAAGAAGAUUAUGGUAGUAAUGUUCUUGAAGGUCGAGAGAUGGAGAGAUUGAGAAAUAAUAGUGCAGCAAGUUUAAUGAGUGGAUAAUAUUAUGGUCAUAUGUUUUUUUUUUUUACACACAUGUAUAUAAUAUUAUAUUUCUAUGAACUAGUUUGAUUACAAUGAUUUUAUGUACAUAAAAGUUUAUAUAAAGAUUAAAUUUUUGCAUUUUCUUUUUUGCACUUAAUUUAUUAAUCAAACUAAUGAUAUGUUAGUAUUUGUUAUAUCACGAACUACAUAACAAAUUUUUUAGUUAAAAAGAUAUUGAAGUUAAUUUUAUUGCAAAUUAAAAUAGUUAAUAAAAAAUUAUUUAAAUAUGUAAUAAAGAAAAUAGAAUAUGCUCUUAAAAAAUCUUGUAAAUAAAAAAAGAUUUAAAUAAUAAUAUUCUAAAUAAAUUACAAACAAGUAAACAAGUACAUUUUUGUCAUUGUACAUGAACAUUUUACACUUUUAAUUUUCAUUUACCAGAUUUGUAUAGUAAACCGUUUAAAAAUUGAUUGUCAAAUAAUCAUCAUUUACCAAACACCCUAAUAGAUUAUUUGUAAAAUUAUUUUUUUGUUCAGAAUCAAGGUAGAAAUUAAUUCUUGGAAAGUAAAGGAAAUCUCAAACAUACCCUCAAUCAACCAUGGGAAGUUAUUUAAGUUGUAGUAUCUAAUAAGUUCUAUUAAUAGUGAGCGCACAUAUCAAAUAUAUAAAAAUAAGUAUUUUAGUUAUUAUCCACCUGUUCCCUUGAAAUCAAUCUCAGUUUUUUUUUUCUUUUACCUAAAAUUCCAAGAAAAAUAUAUAAAAGAAGAAGAACUUUUUUUUGGGGGGGGGGGGGGGGGGGGGGGGGCGGGGAUUGGGGUGGGGGAGGGGGGAGCUCCUCUGUUUUCAUUCCAUUGUUUUGAAAUUAUCUAUCAUCAGUAUAAAGUUAUACUUUUGAAUCAAUAUGCUUUGUGACUCGAUAAUUUAGCAUAAUAAAAAAAGAAAAACACACUUACUCACAUCCCGAUUGAAUCUUAUCUCUAAGGAUAAGUAAAAAAUUAUUGUUCCUCUUUUUCUUUUACGGUUUGUUUACGAAAAGAAAACACUCACACCUUCAAGAUAUUUAUAAGUAGAACACUUAAGUUUUAAGAAUAAUACACCCUAAUUUGAAAAAAAAUGAAUACAUGUAUCAUAUUUUAUGUUUUUUUUUUAAAAAAAUUAUUUGAUGACAUUAUGAGACUCUAUAUGCCAAGAUCUAUGUGAUGGUGAGAAUGGUUUCAUAAAAGAAGCAAUAGUAUAACCGCACACAUGGCAUUGUUUGUAAUGACUAAAAUUAGAAGAGAGUCUAUGUAUCUACUCCUGAAACAUUAAGAAUUUAACUAUUUAUUAAUUAAAUCAAAAUUUCAAGAUCAUAGUGUCGUUUUACAUAAAGAACCCAAAUACUAAAUCUAGCUAAUAAAGGAGAACGGUUUAGAUUAGUUGCUUGGACUUCCUUGUCUCGGGGCUGUGUGGUCAAGCCUGUCCAUCAGGCGGAUUCAGAUUUUGAAAGUUAUCUGAAUCUUCUUCUCUAUGUAAGCCUAUACAAUGAUUUUGUGAAAGACAUAUGCAAAAACAGUACCAGUAAGCAUAUUUAUUUAUCAAAGAUGUCAAGCUCUGAUGCUCAGAUAUGGAUAUCAAAGAGAGAGAUUGAAAAAGAGAGAGAGAGAGAGAGGAUAAUCAGGGACUCGUCUGUUAUCAUUCCCCUGUUUUUCAGUUUGGUGAUUGGAAGUAACAUUAUUUGCGUGUACUCUUUAUUUAAUUUAUUUUUCAAUUUUUUAAAAAUUAAUUAUUGUUCUUCUCAAAGCGUUUAGUAAAUUAUAUGAUAAUCUGAUCAAAUCUCUAACAUUAAUGUCCGCAUAAUCUAGUAAUGAAACUUAUAAUUUUAUAAUAAUCAAAUUGAAGAUUUCUUCACGCUGUUUUGUAUGAUGACGAGUUUUUAUUUUUCUGUUAAACAUAAGAUCAUUUUCUAAUAAUGUCCAUCUGGAAUUAGUAAUAACGAAGCAUCAUUUGUGGACAGAACAAUUGAAAUAUCAAGUCACUAUUGAUCCCACUUUGAUGAUUGCACUUUAGUUUCUUUCUAAAAUGUCAUUCUUCAUUCAAGCUUUUACUUUAUCUUUUAUCAGGUAUCUUACAAAGCUUUUCCCUCCUAAUAAGCUCUAAUAAACCAAUGUGCUUUUCAAUUUCGCAGGAUACAAGUAACGUAUAUGCCAAAAUUAUUCAAGCACAACAAGUAUUUAUUCGUCGAAAACUUCAACUUAAUUAUUUCAUUAGAAAAUAUGAAACGCAGAGCCAUAAACUAGUGUUUUCUUCAACUUACUUGGGUUAAAUAAAAUUUUUUCAGUAUUUUUCCCGAUCCAUUUCUUGUAUCUCACUGCAUGCUUUAUUAAAGCUUCGUCUUUGUUCUUGAUUGUGAACUUCAAGAUUAAAUCUUAAAAAUCGGGUAUAAAAGGGGUGCUUGAUUAAGUCUUCUUCUUUUGCAAUUCAUUGUUACGGCUCUUUUCAGCUUUUUACUCACAAAUUCCUCUGACGUUAACAGUGAUCUAUCGCUCACUAAAAUUGUUCUUCAUAAUUUCUUUCAAUACCAGUUCUUAAUAUUCAAGGCGAAUAGAGAGCUCAUCAACUCUCUGAUCCCAAAUAAUUAAAGAGGUACACAUGCUCCUAAAUCCUCUAAUAAUUUCUUUUAACAGCAGUUCUUAUUUAAUUUAAUUUCCGUCUAUUUUCCAAGAAAAAUUUCUCCGGUUUGUCUUAAUCUUAUCAUUUAUUUUGCUUGAGUUGUAAGUUAUUGUUCAUUUGUAAGGUCUGUGUUCUUAUUACUAGCUUUGGUUAAUUUGAAUCUAUCUUCCCCAAUAAAAAAAAAAAAGAAGUUUUUAAAAAAAGCGCGGGUUUUUAUUCGGACCCUUAAAACCUCUCUGUUAAUAGCAAAGAAAGACUCUAAUCCUCGAGCCAGGGGGAGUAAAAAAAGAACAAAGAAUUCUCUGUUUAAGUAUCAAUUGUCUCAAGAUCAACAUUGUUUUUUUUCUUUUUCUUUUUUUUGUUAAUUUGUUUGUUAUUUUAUUAGAUUUGCUUUUAAUCUAAUUGUGCUUGAGGAUUGAAGAUGAGUGAGAAAUACCCUUUUUUUCUGAAGCAACCUACAAAUUUUAGAAUAGGGUAAGAGUAUUAGAGAUUCAAUUAAUCAAAAAAAGUUAUUUACAUUCGUCAUUUGCAAAAAUGUUUGCAUUAGAAUUUUUCUAGCAUUCAAGAGCAUUACAUAUCAUCAUGUCACAAAAUAGCCUGAAAAACAAGAUAAAUCAAUUAGAGCAACUUGCUCUUUAUUGAAUUUUUUUUUUUUUUGUUUGGUUUGCCCGAAAUCCCAGGGAAAAUAUUAUAUAAGAACAAGAGUUAAGAUCAAAAAAAUGUAAAACAAGUUUCCUCUGUUUUCGUCCCCCCCCCCCCCCCCCCCCGGUUUGAUGAUUGAAAUUUUUUUUAUCUAAAUUUUAUGAUUUUCCGUUGGGGUUUUAUUAAAUAAAAAAUAAUUAGAAAAUGUAAUUCUAGAUUUACCCUUGUGCAUCGAGUGAUUAUUAUUAUGUUCUCUUAAGAUUUGAUAGUGCAAUUUUGUGUGAUGUGAAUUUCAUGUUUCUGUUAAUCAAUACAAACACAAUUUGUAAGUAAUGGCCAUGUGGAACUUAAUUAUAACCAAGCAUCAUUUGUGGAAAGAACAAAUGAAAUAACAAAAAAGCAGCGUUGGCAAUACAAUAUCAAACUUUAUUUAUUUAUUUAUUUUUGUUUUUGUUCUUGAAUAUGCAUUAAUCAAAUCAUAUAUUGUUGAUCUUACUUUGAUGAUUUGCUGUUCAGUUUCUCUCUCAAAUGAUUUUUGUGUGUUUCCGGUAUCUGCUUUUAUGAAAGAAGCCCUAAAGUGCAUGUGGAUUUUUAAAAAAAGAUUGCAUAUAAUUAUCCUAUACGUGCGUAAACAGGGCAACAAUAACCAAAUACAUGAUAUAAAAAAGGGGUGCUUGAUUAAUGCUUUUUCUUCUGCAAGUCAAUGUUAUUAUUCUCAUCAACCCUUUUCUUACACAUUCCUCGGCAGUUACCGGUGAUCUUUUUGCUCUUUGAGGUUGUUCUUAAAUAUUCAAGGCCAAAUAGAGAAUCUCACCAACUCUCUAAUCCCAGAUAAUUAAAGAGGUGCACAUUUUCCAAAUCCUCUAAUGUGUGUGUUUGUGUAUAGUAGAUCUUUGAUCUUGACAUCUGUUCUUUCAUAAUUUCCAUCUAUUUUCCAAGAAAAAAAAUUUCUCUGGUUUGUUUUAAUAUUGAAUUUACUUUGCAUGAGUUUUAAGUUAUUGUUCAUUGUUAAAGCCUGUGCUCUUAUUAUUUCGUUUGGUUAACUUGCAUUCUUCCCCCCCCCCCCCCCCCCCCCCCCCCCCCCCCCCCCCCCCCCAAAAAAAGAAAAAAGAAAAAAGAAAAAGAAAGUUUUUAAAAAGAUUAUAGGUUUCUACUCAGACCCUUGAAACCUUUUAGCUUUCCGGUAAUACCAAAAUCUCUAAUCCUCCAACAAAUGAAAGCUAGGAAAAAAAUGUCCUAAAGUUUAAUAUCUGUUGCCUUUGUAUCAAUAUUGCCAGUUUGUUGUCUUUUAUUAUAUUGCUUGUUUGUCAUUUUAUUUGAUUUACUUUAUAUCUAAGUUUACUUGAAGAUUAAAUAUCAGUAGGAAAAGCCCUUUUUCUAAAGCAACAUACAGAUUUUAGAAUAGGGCUCAGCCACAUGAAAAUGUUUACAUUGUAGUAUCUCAUAUCAAUAAUCUAAAAACAGCCAAUCCAACAAGUUCAAAUUCAGUCAAAUCUAAAAAUGAUUGCUUUUAAGGAGUACAUGAUAGCUAUUAAAAAGAUCUUUUAGGCAGAAUUGAAAUGCAGUCAAUCGUAAAUCAACCAAUCCAACGAGUUCAAGUACAGAGUCAAUUGAACAAAUUCAUCACUUGCAGAAUUAAGCUUAUCUUCCGAAAUUGAGUUGUUUCCAUUAGAAAUUUUCCCAUAGUCACGAGCACUAUCAUCAAAACAAGAUUAUUUGUAUAGGAACAAGAGUUAAGGAAAAAAAAAAAAAGGUAAAACAAGAUUCCUCUGUUUUCAUUCCCAUUUUUUUUCCUUGGUGAUUGAAAAAUUUUAUCUCUAAAUUUUUAUAAUUUUCCAUUAAGAUUUAUAUUUAAAUAAAGAAUUAAAAAAAUCUAAUUUUAAAUUUAUGCAUUGAAUGAUUAUUAUUAAAUUCCCUUAAAAUUGGUUACAAUAUCAAUUAAAUAACGCAUAGAGUUAUUGAUCACUUUGUUAAAAAUGAUCAUGUGUUCUAUUUAUAUAAUAAAACAAAAGAUGGGGUCACACUUAAGUCUUGUUCUUUUACAAUUCAUUUGUAUUACUCACUCUCAUGAACUCUUUACUUACAUUCGUCUGCAGUUAAUAUUCAUCUUCUGGUCGUUCUUAUAUAUUCAAGGCCAGCAGUGAAGGUCAUUAACUCUUUAAUAAUUAAAUAGGUACAAUUGUCCAAGAAAAAAUAGCCCUUGUUUGUUUUAAUCUUGUCAUUUAAUUUUCUACGUACUGUUCAUUGUUAACUUCUGUGUUCUUAUGUAAUAUUAGCAAUGGUUAAUCUGCAUCCAUCUUACAAUUUUUUUUUUAAAUUGUUGGUUUUCCAUUCAGGCCCUUGAAACCUUUUUUUAAAAAGUUGUUGGUUGUCAUUUCUUUCUCCGUCUUUCCCCUAGUUCAUUUUAAUUUAUUUGAAUCUAAUUUUUCCAACAGCUAAUAUAUAUAUAUAUAUAUGUAUGUAUGUAUGUAUGAAAGCAACAGGCUAGGCAAUGGCUGCAGACCUGGUUUCCACUACUUUUUCCGGCAUUGUAACAGAAGGUGCAAAGGCAUUGUUCGAACCGAUUAUGCGGCAGAUCUCUUAUGUGUUCAAGUACCAGAGCUACAUAGCUGAGCUAAAAGUUCAAGUGAAGGAGCUAGAAUAUAAAAGAGAAAGGGUGGGAAUACCCGUUCGUGAGGCUACUCAACAAAGAGAUGAGAUUUACAAGGAUGUUGCAGACUGGCUUAAUAACGUUGAUGAAUUCAUCAGUGAAGGGGUUGCAAAAUCCAUCAUUGAUGAUGAAGAUAGAGCUAAGAAGUCCUGCUUCAAAGGAUUUUGCCCCAACUUGAUUUCUCGUUAUAAACUUAGUAAACAAGCAGCAAAGGCCGCAGAAGCUGCCGCUAGUCUCGUGGGAAAAGGCAACUUCUCUAGUGUUUCCCACCGUCCUGCUCCAGAGAGUACAGAACAUAUGCAAGCGAAAGAUUUCGAGGCCUUUGAUUCAAGAAUGAAAUUAUUUCAAGAUGUUGUGGAGGCAUUGAGGAAUGAUAAGCUCAACAUAAUUGGGGUCCACGGUAUGGGCGGCGUGGGUAAAACCACGCUAGUCAAGCAAAUUGCAAAGCAAGUUAUGGAAGAUAAGGUGUUCGAUAAGGUCGUUAUGGCUGAGGUAACAGAGAACCCAGAUGUUCAGAAAAUUCAAGACAAGCUCGCUUCCGAUUUAGACUUGAACUUUGACUUGAAUGAUAGCAAACCCCACAGAGCAAAACAACUUUGUCAAAGAUUGACGAAAGAGAAGCGAGUCCUCAUUAUAUUAGAUAAUAUUUGGAAAAAACUUGGGUUGGAAGAAAUUGGAAUUCCUUUUGGGGAUGUUGAUGAGAAAGAUAGAAAGCAAGAUCUAAGGAGACGCAUGAUAAUAUUGACGUCUAGAAGUAAACAUUUAUUGACCAAUGACAUGAAUUCUCAGAAGAUUUUCCUAAUUGAAGUUUUAUCAAAGGAAGAAGCAUUGCAAUUUUUUGAAAAGAUCGUGGGCAAUUCCGCAAAAGCAUCUGCUUUUCAACCUUUAGCAGAUGAGAUUGUUGGAAAAUGUGGAGGAUUGCCUGUUGCACUGAGUACAGUUGCAAAUGCUCUGAAAAAUAAGAAGCUUCCCGUUUGGAAGGAUGCGUUGACUCAGCUGCGAAAUUCUAAUCCAAGAGAAAUUCAUGGAAUGGAUGCAAAUGUCUGCUCUUCCAUAGAAUUGAGUUACAACUUCUUGGAAAGUGAUGAAGCAAAAUCUUUGUUCCUUCUUUGUACUCUAUUUGGUGAAGGUACUCCUAUACAAGUUGCUUCCUUGUUGAGAUAUGGUAAGGGUUUGUUUAAAAAUGUUCGCACAUUGGAAAAUGCAAGGAAUAGAGUGGACGCAUUGAUCGACAAUCUCAAAGCUUCAUGCUUAUUGUUGGACGGCGAUGCUGAAGAUGAAGUUAAAAUGCAUGACGUCAUUCAUGUUGUUGCCGUAUCAAUUGCCUCAGAGAAGCUCAUGUUUAGUAUCCCAAAUGUUACCAACUUGAAGGAAGAGAUAGAAAAGAUCAUACAGAAAGGUGCAAUUGCUAUUUCUAUACCUUAUGGAGAUAUUCAAGAGCUUCCCGAAAGGUUGGAAUGUCCCCAACUCAAGUUAUUACUGUUGCUUGCAAAUGGUGAUAGCUAUUUGGAAAUUUCACACCUCUUUUUUGAAGGGACGGAAGAUCUCAAAGUUUUAAGUCUUAGCGGAAUUCAUUUCUCUUCAUUAUCUUCAUCACUUGGUCACCUCAUUAACCUUCAAACAUUGUGUUUAGACUGGUGCCAACUAGAAGAUGUAGCGGCAAUUGGACAGCUAAAGAAAUUAGAGAUUCUUAGCUUUCGAUAUUCCGACAUUAAGCAGUUGCCACUUGAAAUUGGUCAAUUGGCGCAGUUACAAUUGCUAGAUUUGAGCAAUUGUAGCAGCCUUGUAGUGAUAGCACCAAAUGUCAUAUCAAAAUUUUCUCGAUUGGAAGAACUAUAUAUGGGUGACAGCUUUCCGCAGUGGGAUAAGGUUGAAGGAGGAAGUAACGCCAGUCUUGCUGAAUUGAAGGGGCUGUCAAAGCUAACUACUUUGGAGAUACAAGUUCAGGAUGCCCAAAUGCUGCCGCAGGAUUUGGUCUUUGUCGAAUUGCCAAGAUAUAGGAUAUGUAUAGGAGAAGCGUGGGGCAUCUGGCGCGCUAAUUCUGAAACAUCAAGAUUGGUGCAGCUCCAUGGGUUAGAAAAUGUUAGCACUCUUUUGGAGAAUUAUGGGAUGAAAAUGUUGCUGAAGUUAACUGAAGAUAUCCGUCUAGAGGAACUGACGGGUGUUCAGAAUGUUGUUCAUGAAUUAGAUGAUGGGGAAGGUUUUCCACGAUUGAAGCAUCUUUGGGUAGAAAGGUGUUCUGAGAUUUUACACAUUGUCGGUUCAGUUGGACGGGUUCAUCGCAAAGUCUUCCCCUUGCUGGAGUCAUUGUCUCUCUAUAAAUUGAUCAAUUUGGAGGCCAUAUGCCACAGCCAACUCAGAGAAGAUCAAUUUUUCAGCAACUUAAAGAUUAUAGAAGUAGAAUCCUGUGAUAAAUUGAAGCAUCUUUUCUCAUUUUCCAUAGCCAGAAACCUACUGCGGCUUCAAAAGGUCAAAGUGGCUUCCUGCAAUAAACUGGAAAUGACUGUUGGUAAGUGUUGAAAUUAAGUGUUGGUGGAUUUAUGGACUUCGCCUCAAUUAUUUUGAAAAAAAAAAGACAACGACAAAGAUUAAUUAUGUAUAUUGUUUUUGUUUGUUUACAGGACCCGACAGGGAGAAACCAACAACUUCUUUGGGAUUCAACGAAAUCAUUGCUGAUGAUGAUACUGCUCCAAAGGUGAUAAUUUUCUGUUCAAUAAUUAAUUGAUUAAUUUAUUAUCACGAUUAAUCUUCGAUCAUCAACAGAAUAUUAUACUAGACGGUUGUACUUGAAGGAACAAAAAUGUACGGCUUUUCUUUGCAGGUUCUUCUUCCGAGCUUAGAGGAAUUGAAUCUCACGGAAUUAAGAAACAUCAAAAAAUUAUGGGCCGAUCAUAAUCAAGGAAUGUACUGUUGUCAAAAUUUAACAAAGCUGUACGUGAGAAGUUGUGAUCGUAUGAAGUAUCUGUUUUCGUAUUCUAUGGUUAAUAGUCUUUUGCAACUCCAACAUCUUGAAAUAUGGUCUUGUGAGUCAAUGGAAGGGGUAGUCGACACCACGGGGUGGUCAGAAAGAGAUGAAGGAAAGUUGAUUGAAUUAAAGGUUUUUCCUAAACUACACUCCCUGCAGCUCUAUUGGCUUACAGAACUGACAAGCUUCGCCAAUACAGGACAUAUUCAUUCAGAUUUAGUUGUUGAAUUCCCUUCUUUGCUAAACCUCGAGAUUGGUAAUUGCAGUAAUAUGUUAAGAUUCAUCUCUACGAGCUCACCAGAAGACACCAAUCAUUCUGAAAUGCAACCUCCUCCUCUCUUUGACGAAAAGGUUUUUUUUUUAAUAAAUAAAAUUAAUUUUAGUCACAAUACUUAAUUUGUCUUUUCCUUGAGUCUUCAAAUUUAGUUAAUAUCCGCCUCUAAUUUAGUUAUCAAUUGAUUAUGCCAUUAAUUGAUUAAUUAGUUAUUUAAUCUUUAACUUCCAGGUACGACUUCCUAGGUUGGAGGUAUUAGAUAUUAGCUGGAUGAAUAAUUUGAGAAAAAUAUGGCACCACCAGCUUCCUUCGGAGUCUUUCAGCAAAUUGAAGAAUUUGGAGAUAUAUAAGUGUCAUAACCUAAUGAAUAUUUUUCCUCCAUUGGUAAGGUCGUUGUAUUCAUUUCGAAUCUUUUUUUUUUUAAAUUACAUCCAACAAUAUUUUAACCAUUUUUGGGUUUACAAAUGAUAUUCAGCCACUGAUUAUUUAUUUCAAGUAUUGUAUUUCGAACCACCACUCUCAAAUCUACAUUUUAAGUCCAUUUUUUAGGUUCGCCAGCAUUAGAAUCAACAAUAUAAUUUUUUUAAUCACGAUUCAACAUCAUAAUAUAAUUCAAUUUAAUUGUUUCUGCUCAUAUCUUAAUAAGUACAAUUUUCAAAAAUUAAAGGAUAGUCACUCAUCUUAUAGGUUCACAAAUUCAUCUAUAUAUUUCUCUUUUCCUUAAUUCUUCACAUUUCGAUUGGAAAAAGAAAAAAAGAAAAGAAAAGUCUUCAAAUUUAAUUAAUAUCUCUUGUUUAGUUACGAACUGAUUAUGCCAUUAAUUAACCACAAAUUCACGAUUAUUUACAACUGAUCCUUGAUUGUAAAGAAAUUUCCUCGAGUCUGGAAGUACUUAAUAAAGAUCCACUUUAAUUUUGUUUCCAAAAUUAAAUAUACAUAAAAAAAAGGGACCAAGGGAAAAGGGAAAAAGCGGCAUUUUGGUUGAUUUUUUUUUCCCAAAAGGAAUAGUUGAAAUUUGCAAAUUUUGUUUAAAAACUGGCAUCAAGAUGCAAAAUAAGUCUAAAAUAUUUAGAAAUUGCCUUAAAUUCUUCGUACGUUCCUAAUACUAAAUAGUGUAAAUGCAUUUAAUAUCUUUGUUUAUCUGGCUUUUAUUUAUUUAUUUAUCUUGUUGCUUUUUUUGUUUAACAAAAAAUUAUCUUGUAGACAUUUCAUGGUUUGUUAUCUUUAUAAAACGUAUAAUUGUAUGAUUAAACAUACUUUGAACCUAGUUGAAUGAUAUUCUUACAUUUUUACUUUUUUAAUAUACACACACUUUUGCUUAUUUUCAGGUUGGAAUUCCUAGUAGUUUGGUGAAUCUUAAAGUAUCGAAGUGCCAAAAAAUAGAAGAAAUCGUAGGACAUGUUGGAGAAGAAGUGAAGGAGAAUCGUAUUGCUUUCAGCGAAUUAAAAGUUUUGAUACUUAAUUAUUUAUCAAGGCUUACCAGCUUUUGUUUGGAGAAUUACACUCUUGAAUUCCCAUCACUGGAACGAGUUUCUAUGAUACGUUGUCCAAAUAUGAAGACUUUUUCUCAGGGAAUCUUAUCCAUUCCAAAGCCAUGCAAAGUGCAAGUGACUGAAAAGGAAGAGGGUGAACUGCACCAUUGGGAAGGCAAUAACCUUAAUUCCAUUAUGCAAAAGUAUUACAAAGAAAUGGUAUGUGUUAAUCGAUUCACCCAAAUUGUUUAUGCAUCUCCCCUGCAAUUGCACAUUUAAGCAUAUACCCCGGUCUUGUAUAUAUAUUUUUAGAAGUUAAAACACAAAACAUGUAAGUUUAAUGUGUAUAUAUAUAAUGCCUUUCAAAAAAAAAAUUGUAUAUAUCCGGUGCAAUUGUUUUGGUUUGUGCAGAUUGGAUUCCGUGACAUAUGGUAUUUGCAACUCUCACAUUUUCCACGUUUGAAAGAAAUAUGGCAUGGCCAAGCACUGCCUGUCAGCUUCUUCAACAAUUUAGCACGGCUGGUGGUGGAUGACUGCACGAAUAUGUCGAGUGCUAUUCCUGCCAAUCUGCUACGAUGCUUGAACAAUUUGCGACGGCUGGAAGUGAGGAAUUGUGAUUCACUAGAAGAGGUGCUUCGUUUGGAAGAGCUAAAUGCUGACAAAGAACAUAUAGGCCCCAUGUUUCCUAAGCUUUCCAAUCUAAGGCUCAUUGAUCUUCCAAAACUCAAAAGAUUCUGCAACUUCACUGGGAAUAUAAUUGAACUGCCUGAGUUGAGAUAUCUAACUAUUGAGAAUUGCCCUGACAUGGAAACAUUCAUAUCCAAUUCUACAUCUGUAUUGCACAUGACAGCAGAUAAUAAGGAAGCUCAAAAAUUAAAAUCAGAAGAGAACCUCUUGGUAGCUAAUCAAAUACAACAUCUCUUCGAUAAAAAGGUAAUCAUUAUUAUUAUUUUUCCCUUCACUUUCAUUCGCAUAGAUGUAAUUUCAUUAGAAUCAAAUCAAAUUUAAUGACUUAUCUUUUUGCACGUCGUCUUAAUUUAUAUCUGAUUUAACAAUAUAAUUGUAGUUAUUAACUAACUUUAUAGUAUGAAUUAAAAAAAUGUCUCAAAUUAAUUAGAUGCCUAGUGACAGGAGGUGAUGAACUAUAUCGCAUAAAUUAUGCGUGUUAGAUCUUUGUUUUCCUAGCUAAUUCAUAUUGGAUUUAUGAUCAGAUUUCAUUUAUGUGUUUCAAAGGGUAAUCGAUUUGAUACUUAUAUUUGGGAUCCUACUGCAAAGCAUACUAAUUUGGAAAUAAAAUAUAAAAUGCCGUGAUUAAUCUUGUCCAUAAAAUAUGUAGGGGAAGACUGUAGAGAUUGGAUACAUAUUUUCAUUUACAACUUAAUUUUGUUGAUUUUCAGGUUGCAUUCCCUCAAUUGAUGAAGUUAAAGCUAUCUGGAUUACACAAAGUGCAGCAUCUCUGGAAGGAAAAUGCCGAAUCCAACAAAGUGUUUGCAAACUUGAAAAGUCUAGAAAUAUUUGAAUGUAGUAAGUUGCAGAAAUUAGUACCAGCUUUGUGGCAUUUGGAAAAUCUUGCGACUCUGGAAGUAUCGAAGUGUCAUGGGUUGAUAAAUUUAUUGACACUCUCAACAUCUGAAAGUCUAGUGAAUCUUGAAAGAAUGAAGAUAACUGAUUGCAAAAUGAUGGAAGAAAUUAUACAGUCGCAGGUUGGAGAAGAAGCGGAAGAUUGCAUUGUUUUCAGGAAAUUGGAGUACUUGGGAAUUGAUUGUUUGCCAAGCCUAACAAGCUUUAGUUUGGGUAAUUACGCUCUUGAGUUCCCGUCCUUGGCACACGUAGUUGUGAGACAAUGCCCAACGAUGAAGAUUUUCUCUCCAGGAGUCGUAGACGCACCAAAGCUAAACAAAGUGAAACCCACCGAAGAUGAAGAUGGUGAUGAUGAAGGAUGUUGGGAAGGCAACCUCAAUGACACUAUAAAAAAAUUGUUCAAUGAAAUGGUGAGUAUCAAUGAAGUGUUGGCACUAUCUAGUAAAUUAUUUCUAUUUAAUGUGGCAUAAUAUGAUUGCUUGACUGAAAAUAUAAAAUAAUAAUAAAUAAAUUAUGAGGGUCAUGUUAUGUUUUUGUUUAAUCAAUCAUAUUAUGUCAUAUUAGUUUGUACAAUAUUAUUUGUGCACAAGAGGCUGUGGUCGUAUCAUUACUCUUGCCUUAUUAUUAUUAUGGUUGUAAUGUAUGCUUGCUUACACGAGUAAUUACAAAAUGUGCAGAAUUCUAAAGAAAAGAUUGAGCCAACCCUUCAGGUACUGUGAAGAAGCUAUCUCGAACCAGGCCAACCUCUUGUACAUGAUUCAACUUGCUUGUUCUCCUGUACUUGAAUAAUCUAAACGCAUUUACAAUUAUUUACAGACAUGCAAGACACUUUGGAUUUGUUUGAUGCAUUCUCUGUUUAAGGAAGGACUUGAAUUGAUGUUUCAUGCUUCAUGCAAUUUUCAAUUAGAUACUGUUUAAACUUCUGCAUUAUUCAUUCAAUUGGUGUUUUAAGCAUUUGAUUUCUAACUAGUCCUAAUAGAAGAUUAUUGGCUGAAGAAAACAUCAUAACAUUUGUGGCAUUAUCAGAAUAAUAAUAGUUUUACGAGUAUAGUAAAAUUAACUCGACCAUUAUUAAAAGGAAUUAAUCCGUCAAAUUAACUUUCUCAGACCAGAACCCUUUAAGUUAAAAGAAUUUCGUGAAGUCAAGACCAUGUUAUAGAUCUUGUGGAAAUAAGUGAACCCAUAAAUGUUUUCACAGCAUCAUAAGAAAAUCAUUUUUUUAGUUGUUGAGUUUUAAAAGUAGUAGGCUAUUAAACAAUGACAAUUAGUGCGGUCGCAGUUGGGGAUCGAGUAGUUCACUUGAUUGCGAGUAGAAACCAACUUCAAUACUAUUACACUCAUUCCAAAAAUAGUAACUAAAGAAUUAUUAAGUUUCCUAUUAAGUAUUCUUUAUUUUUUAAUGCAAAAUUCCUAUUCGAAAACACCAGUGACUUUCUUUCAAAGUAAAUGAGAAAUUACAAUGAAAACGGGAUCAAAAUACAUGUAUGCAUACCUAAAACAAAUGAUUUUUUUUUUCAAUUAAAAAAAAAACAGUUGAGGUGAAAUGAAACCAGAGUCAUGAUGUCUCUGGUUCCAACUUUGGGACAAUAGCAGACUUGAGUUCUAUAUAAGAAACACGUACAGCUCCAAUCAGCCGCUCCGGUAAUUCAUCUGUAGUAUUUGCCUGCAUACACGAAGCAUUAUACCAUUCUGAAAAUGAUUCUUGAGUUACUAUUCAAGUAUGCAAAUAUGCAAAUUGCAGUACAAUAUCUCAAAAUCAUGUCUCUUCCCUCGUGUCAUUUAGAAGUGGGGGAAAAAAACAAUCAUACAUACCUGCACAAGGAAAGCCAUGUCAACCACCAAUGCCGUAAUUACACCAAUUACAAGGCCCAAAACUCCAUUAGCAACUCUAGAAGAACACGUCAACAUCAAUCUACAGAAAGAUGAACAAUGUUAAACCAUGUUAAUGGUAUUGAACAAGCUAUUUGAAAGGGAACACAUCCCAUGUACUAUAGGAAUUCGAAGAGCAUUUAUUUCUAACUACUUAGGACCGCGGAUAUAGUUACAAUCAACUGCUUUUCCUAAUAAACAAGGGGUGCUUCCAUCACUCUGGUGCAUGAUCCAUGACUAAGCCCUAUAUUUAAGUCAUAUUGAGGAAACAUAAGAAAAAAAUUCCAGAAAAAGUAUCAGCUAAGAAUUAAAAUUAAAUUCAUCAAAAUGAUCUCAAUCACUAGAUUUUUUACUGUCACAGUAUGUUUAAAAACUUGCAGAAGGCCCAAAGAGAACUUAGGACUGAACCGAGGGAAAAACAAGACGGUGUAUUUAUUUUAUUUCUGAAUGCCAACAAUUACAUUGGGAUACAGAAAUUUUAGGUAAUUUCCUCACAUAUUACAUCAGAAGAGAGGAAAGGGGAAAGAAGAACAAUAAAUGUUCUAUUCUGACCAAAGCAUAAAUGAGAUGAUUGAAUCAAGAGACUAUUACAUUGGAAGCCAGUCCAGCUGAAGCCUAUGAUAGAGAAUAGCCGUAUGACCAUCUACCUCUUCAACUAAGCUGCGAUACAGAAGACUACAAUCCCACCUGCACAAAACAUGAAAAACGGUGUACGUGCGGCAAGAACUUUGAGAAAGGUACAUAAAAAAGAUCUGAUGGCCAAGAAAUACAACAAUUGUACAACCAAAAGAGGUAGAAAUCCAUGUCUAGUACACUGCCCUCUUCAAGACCUCUAAAUACUGAGUCAAAUUGAUAGGAAUUUCAUGGAAAUAACUAUUCGACAAAUGAUCAGCCUUGCUGGCCUUUAUAAGCCAACGCACAGAGAUUAUGGAACAAUGCAAUGGUGCAAACCAAGAAUUAUUAGGGUACAGACAGUAAAAUUAAAUAGAAUAAUUUGAACACAUUACUAGCAAACCUUGCCAAGAGACUUGUUAAAAUCUAAUUCGCAAACCAGCUAGAUUUGCUAGGAAACAGGUAAUUUCAGGCAGCACGCCUUCUCCUGUUUUAGAACACUCUUUUAUGUAAUAGUGACUUCAAAAGUGUAACAUGUUUCGAAAAAAAAAAAAAAAGAGGAAAGAACGUAUUUGACACUUCAUGAAAUGGCUAAGAUACAAGCUUUAAUCUAGUACAACAAAUUAAUAUAACUAACUUCAACCAUCAAUUGAUCUAUAGUUCAGCAACAAAAAAUAUAGAUAGCUACAUCUAUUUUGUCUUCAUCAAAUACCAUUAGCUAAGUGGAGAAAAGUUAUAAAAAUGAGUCCUAGUCUUUCUUUAUUAAUGAAGCAAUCCAUCAAACUUCAAAAGCUAUUUUCAUUUCCACAUUCUUCAUAUACUUAAGCAACAAAAGUUUGUAAUAAUCUUUAGAAAGCACCAUGCAGAUUAAUUAAAUAUAUUCAAAAAGGCACAUACAGAAUCGGGACUGGAGACAAUGUGAAUUUCACAGCAUACAAGAGGAAAUAUAAUACUCAGCUUACACAGACAGCCAAUAUAGUCUUGAUUAUGUUAAAGUAACUAAAAAUAAAAAAUAGAAAAGAAGCAUACUCGUAUCGUGUCCCAUCCAUGCUCAUUACAAGUUCAAAUAUUUCUUCACAGCUGGCCUUCAUAACACCAACAGCCUUCAUUGCUCUACUACAGCUUCUCGGCAGCAUUAAGUAAACUUUAGAUGAUGGUUCUGACCUAAACAAAAUCACAUCCUGAGCAUAGAGUAAAGAAAGUGGCAUACAUGGUAAUCAACUUCAAGAAGCUCUUCAGAAAUACAUAAUUCUGUUGGGGAGAAAAGAAAAAAGAAAGAAUACAAAUAAAAAGAAGUCACAAACAAUUCAUUUCCUGCACUACACAUCAGCAGCAGUUUUUCGGGAACACAAAAAUGUUAUAAUAACUUUUCUUGAUUGCCACCCACAUGCUAAACUGAUCAAAUACAAAACAGGAUACAGAAAAUCUCUAACCUUUUUGGCACUGAAGAAGACGCCAGUGCUUUCAAAAGAAAAUGCUUGAUUGUUGGCAUUCUGGUUUGAAAAAUAUGAGUCCAAUUCCUGUGUCCAGUCAUGUACCAAAUCAGGACGACCUGCCAGUCAUACAAAGAUGACAAAAAUACACUAUAAAUUGCGUCAAACCAAUUCAAGUCAAUUGGAGAAGUAAAUCAAGGACCAUUUGCAAUAGUUGUUCUCCACAUCAAAUUUGGGUGUCCAUCGUCUUCAUCCUCUUGUGCACUGAACCUGAGAGUCCACGAGAAAUACAUAUAAAAAUUAGCCAUGAUUGAAAUUGAUAGUAGUACAAAAUGGAUAUAAACAUCACGAUGAACAAAUUAAAUUGUUCCAUGUCAGACAAAUCCAGCCUGCAAGCUUAAGCUCUUAAGCUAGACCAAAUCACACUGCAAAUAACAAUACAUAAGGCCAAAAAAAGAUAAUAUGUAUCAUUCAUAUGCUUCGCCCUAUAGAAAUGAUUUGAGUCUACAUAAGAAAAUUUUUUGAGCUUCCCGAUCCACGAAUAAUAAUAAAUCUCCUUAAAAUAAUCUUUUGUAAAUAAUUUUAUUUUUCUUGACACAUGACAAGCACCUUCAUAUAGAGAAGAAAGGAGAAUCUCAAAUUCCACCCGCUCUCAGAACACCACAUCAAAGCUUCGUAUCAGUGAACAUGGAAGAAGAAUAAAAGAAGUAGCUCAAAUCCUGUAAAAAAGAACCUUGGACUUCGACUCUUGUCAAACAGUUGACUCCGACUGAAUAUAGGAAGAGUAAUUGAGCAAGCAUAGAUCGGCCAAGCUUAAGCAAGCGCAUAGAUCGGCCAAAUUUGAGCAAAGCCGAGAGAGAGAGAUGAUUGUGGUCAAUUUACAGCCGCAGUUGAUCGUUGCCGACUCGUGCCGCCGUUGAUGGCCGUGGAACAAGAAGAGAGGUGAGGUGAGGCGAGGGAGUGGUAAGGCGCGUGACGCGAGGGCGUGGGAGUGGGAGUGGGAGUGGGAGUGGGAGUGGUGGUUUUUGUGCAUGUAUCAGAUGCACGCAUGUAUUAUAGCAGAGUUGAGUUCAAUACGAAAAACACGUACAGCACCAAUCAGCCACUUCGAUAAUUCAUCUGUAGUUGUGAGAUGAUGAAUCAAGUUUGGUUCCCAGAAACGGCUGCGUUUUGAAGCCGUAAAAGCUUCAUUAGCUCACGUGCUGUUCAGCUGAUUCUUAACAAAAAAACGAUUUAGUGGAAACGACAUGGAUGGAGCACGUUUUACAUAUCAAUUUAAGUAACCACGUGAGGAAGCAUGUGAUGAAGGUUGUUCCGAGUUCGUUGAAGGUUGUUAAGCACGUGUCAAAACAAAGUGUUCAUGCUGGAAAGAAACAAAAUAUUAAUAAAUAAACCCUUAAAAAGAUUCUCUGAAAAUUAUGUUUAACUAGAACAAUUAUCUAGCAGUUUGAUAUAUUAAAUGAGCCUGUUAAUUAUUUCACUUACUAUCUUAUAAAUCCUCUCAAAAUUACACCGCUGCUCUGACCCCAAGUUCCAUUAUCAAUUAUAUCAUUCCCUAUCUUAUAGUAAAGGUAAAAGAAAAGAAAAGGUAUAUUGCAUUAGAGUUCGUGUACUUCUACCUUUUAGUUUAUUCUUCAUUUUAUUAAAAUGACAGAUUCCUCAUUAAAAAAGGUCACUCUACAUAGUAUGUGGGUGUAUGUUCUUUUAAAAAGGACUGAGAGAAAAUACAGUAGCACGUAAAAAUGUGCACCCAGCAGCAGAACCAUAUUAAUCCACAACAGCGCAAAAUAAAUGUGAAAAACAAGUAACAUCUGAAGAAGACAGUGAUGCCGAAACAUUGACGACCAAUAUAGUGUCUUGAUUUGGUUAAUUAAAUAUAUUUUUGUUAUCAUCCACCUGUUUGCUUUAAAUAAUUUUCAAUAUUUUUUCGUAUGCCUGAAAUUCCAAGGAAAAAUAUUUGUAUAAGGACAAGAGUUAAGGGGGACAAAAAUGGAAAAAAUAGGGCUCCUUUGUUUUCAUUCCCCUGUUUCUCCGUUUGGUAAUUGCAAAAAUUUAAAUCUAAACUUAUGAUGCAGGCUACAAGGUAGCUGGUGGACGAUUAAUAGGGUCUAUCUUUUGUUGUUAAUUAGGAAUUUAAUUUGGAAUUUGUAGUGUGCGCCUUAUCUAAGCAGACUUCCUAACAGUAAUUAAAUAAUCUAAAUUUAUGAUGCAUUAGGAUAUGAUUGUGAUAAAUUAGCUUUUUUCUCUGUAUUCUAUGAGGCUGAUUAUUAUUUUAAUUUAAGCCACACCUUUAAAUUCAGUUUUCGCAAAACUGACAGGUAGCUUGGGUGUAAAUGAAUAUACAUUAAUGAAGAACGGACAUGUGGAGUACCGAUAUACUAGCAUAAGUAAUGUUUAAUUUUAAUGUAUAAAACAAUGGUGCAUUUAGAAGGUACUACUGUAGAAAUAAAAUUUGUGCUUGCAACUCAUUUUUUAAUUCCCCUUUUUAAUAAUAAUCAAAAGAAAGCAGAGGAGAAACAGGGGAUUUUCCAGUUUUUUAUUCGGUGAUUUUUAACUUUAUCAUGGAAUUGUCAAUUUUUAGUUGAAACUUAUCUAAAUCGUCCUCUCUAUAUAAGCGAAUACAAUAAUUUUGUGAAAGAUAUAUGCAAAAACAAUACUAAUAAGUAUAUUUAUUUAUCUAAGACGUAGAGCUCUAAUGCUCAGAUAUGGAUAGUCCCAUUUUUUGUUAGAGGCAUCUCUUUCCAUGCAUUGAAUUAUUGCAAGCAAAUCGCUUCUCGCAAUUACAAACCUACCCUCAUCAUUGUCUCUCACGUAUCCAGCACCACAGUUACCCAUUCCUCUCCUCACCAAGGCACACAGAUUACAGGACAAUGCAGCGAUGCCAACCAAGAAUGCUUAGGGUAAAGACGGAAACAUAAAACAGAAUAAUAAAAAAAAAUCUAUUCCGUAAACAUAAUAAUUAAACAGAAAGUGGUACGUUCAGACAAAACACCUGCUCCUGUUUUAGAAAAGAGCUCCUCCGUUUUUAUUUCUCUGUUUUACUGUUUGGUGAUUGCAAAAAUUUUUGUCUAAAUAAUGCAUAGUAGAGUCAAGAAUAAAUUUAUGUUAAAACAAAGAAACAUCAAAGAUCCCCUGAUAUUAUUAUCCAGAACAAUAUGUUUAUUGGGCCGAAAUGGGCUAACAUACAUGGGUUCAAGCUUGCAAAAUCCACAUUUAUGUAUAAUUAUAUAGUAAUUAAAUACUGAACUUGAACUCAUACAACUCUUCAAUCAUUUGGAUUUCGAAUCUGUGUUAAUUGAACUAAAUACUGUCAGGCAUUCGAGUAAACACAUAAAGAAUUCAUGAUUUAAUGUCGUUCUGAAUUUUGACUUCAUAAUAUUCCAGCUACCGUUGCAGUUUCUAUUAUUGUGUGAUAAAUAUGAAUGAUGUCUUAGUAUAAAGACAUGUCUCAUUAAUUAUACCUUAUAGAAGAGAUAUCUUUUUAUACUAAAACUAUAUAGUGAAAAGGGGUCCGCCUAAGUUACGUUAAACGUAACUUACGGCCUGGCUGUAAAACUUCAUCCAGCCCCCUAUAUUCGAUAUUAUUUAUAUUAUAUUUGUGAAUAUUAUAAAAAUUUUUGAUUUGAAAAAUUUCGUUUAACCCCUUACACUCAAUUUUAUUUUAUUAAAAUCCUAGAGUACGAAUUUGCCUCCUAUAAUUUUAAAUUCUCAAAAUAACCUCAUUUAAUUAAAAAAUAUAAUUAUUAUUAAUUGAAUUAUAAUUAUAACUAUUAUUUUAUUAUAAUUAUAAAUAUAUUUAUAUUUUUUAAAUAGAUUAUUGUUAUUAUUAAUAACAAGAAUAAAAAGUAUUACAAUUAAUUAAUCUAUUAACAAUAAUUAAUAAUUUUUUAUUAAAUUGUUAAUAAUAAUUAAUGAUAAUUAUUAUUAAUAAUUAAGUUUUGAAUAAUAAUAAUAAUUAACAAUUAUCAUUAAUAGAUUGUGACUGACUCUGAACAAGUUGUCCGAUAUUUUAUAUCAUAUUGUAUGCAUUCACUUCUGGCUACAAAAAAAAUUAAAGAAAUAGCUUUCUCUUUAACCAAACAAGAGAUUUAACAAAAUCAUAAACACACGUUUCUCAAAACUAACAAGGACUUGGACAAUUAUGGCACUAAGUAGUACUGCAAUUAAUAUCAGUGAUGAGAGUAUGUUGCUACUUUGCUAGCUAAGCCUAGGUGGGCAUUGGCAUUCCUAGGACUCUGAACAAUUAUCGUUAAUUUUUAAAAAUCAAUUAUUAAUAAUAAUUAUCGUUAAUUACUACUAUUAUUAAUUUAAUAAAAACUAUUAUUAAUUAUUGUUAAUAGAUUAAUUAAUUGUAAUACUUUUUAUUCUUGUUAUUAAUAAUAAUAAUCUAUUUAAAAAAUAUAAAUAUAUUUAUUAUUAUAAUAAAAUAAUAAUUAUAAUUAUAAUUCAAUUAAUAAUAAUUAAAAUUUUAAUUAAAUGAGAUUAUUUUGAGAAUUUAAAAUUAUAGGGGGCGAAUUCGUACUCUAGGGUUUUAAUAAAAUAAAACUAAGUGUAAGGGGUUAAAUGAAAUUUUCUAAAUAAAAAAGUUUUAUAAUAUUCAUGAAUAUAAUAUAAAUAACAUUGAAUAUAGGGGGCUGGAUGAAAUUUUAAAGCCAGGCCGUAAGUUACGUUUAACGUAACUUAGGCGGACCCAGUGAAAAGAUAUCUCUUCUAUCAGGUACAAUUAAGUAUGGUUGCUUGCAAAGAAAUGUAAAUAUAAGUCAUAAAACAAAGUCUCUAUUAUUUGAAGUACAAUUUCAUUCACAUGUUGCACAUGAGACUUGAGCAACCACGAUGUGCAGAAGACACUUUACAAUGAUUUUGCUUGUUUUUUUCCUAAUCAUUUCUGUAAUUGAUUUUGUUAGAAAAUGUUAGUAAUGAUUAAAUUACUUUAAAAAACACACUCACACAUCUUAACUGUAAAGGUUCAGAAAAUAUAUCGAUAAAGGUCAGAAGUAUCUAAUAAAAGUUGGCCAUAAACUUCAAUAUCCAAAAUUGCUUUAAUAAAGUAGCUGCAGUAAACAAAAGUCAGUAACCAUAGGCGACAAUAAAUCACAAUCAGCAACUAGGUCUCCAAAUCAAAAUAUAAUGGAUUUGGUUAAGUCUUCUUUCGAAAAGCUCUCUCUCCUUUAGAGAGGCUUGAAUGGAAGUAUUGAGGGGUCGUAAGGACUCAUGUGUUCACUCCCUGUGAGUGGAAGGUAAUCCAAAAAAAGUCAGCUUUUGGGGUUGGUGAGCUGGUUGAGAAAGCUUCGAAAGCAAAGUUCGUGUAGAGCGUUGGGGCACGAUUUAAAGCUAGUGAGCCUAAAUAACUUACUACCUAUCCAAGCAUUAACUACCAUGGAUACUGAAGAGCUAAUUCGUAAGUGUCAAGCAAUAACUAUCACAGAGGAAGACAAAGCCAAAAUAACGCUGGAGGUGAAUUUGGAAAAAAAGAAAGAACAAAUGAUGGCAGGAUGCUUAGUGGGCAAAGUACUUCUCACAAAGGGAGUAAAAAAAGAUGGACUUAAGGUUGCGUUACAGCAGGUGUGGAGGACUUUCAAAGAAGUCAAGAUCGAAAGCGUGGGAAACAACAUCUUCAUGUUCAAAUUUGCUGAAGAAGCAGACAAAAAACGAGUUCUCAAAGGGGGACUAUGGCACUUCGACAGGGCCUUGAUUGUUCUCGCUGAGCCAAGGGGGAUUGGGGAAGUCGCAAAACAAUCUUUUAUUCACACAUCCUUUUGGGUGCAUAUUCGUAAUAUCCCACUGGCGUGUAUGGAUAAAGAUUUUCUCCGAGACUUGGGCGGGAAGAUUGGAUCAGUAUAGGAGGUUCAAACGGAUGAUAAUGGAGACUGUAUUGGGGAAUUUUCCAGAAUAAGAGUCUCAAUUAACAUAACACAGCUGCUAGAGAAGAUUUUAUUUCUAAAGCAAGAAGGUGAAACUGAUAUCCCAAUGCCGGUGGUAUAUGAACGCUUGCCAGAUUUCUUUUAUUGCUGCGGAAUUAUUAGACAUCAAUACAAAGAGUGUGGCAAGUACCAAGACCAACCAAGAGAAGAUCUACCAUUUAGGAGUUGGAUGAAAGUGAUUACGGUAGGGGGUUUUACAAAGAGGAAUUGGAACAAGGAAAGGUGGAACUAUGGGGCUGGUAAAUCGGAUGAAAAAUCAACAAGCUCAGGAACUCACAACUUCCCGCAACAGCAAGGGCAAAACCAAGAAAACUCGAUAGGGGCAAACGGGUCAGUACCCAUUGAGAAAGAAAUGGGGCAAACCAUGAAGCAUGCCAAGAAGGAUGUUAUAGGAGGAGUAGCUGAGCAACAAUUAAUGCGAAGAGUGAUACAAUCAGCGGAAAAAAAGUAAAAUGAUGGCAACAAGCAAGCUGGGGAAACUGGCAAUGCAACAACCCCAAGGAAAAUGGGCACACAAGCGGGAAAUGGCAUUCCAAAAGAGAGGGAAAAAAUGCAGAUAAGUCAUGAAGAGGAAGCUGAAAUAAACAAUGGGCCGGAAGUAUCUCAACUACAGCCCAAUAAAAGGAAAUUGAAGUAAUUAACUAGAGAUCUAAGCGAGGGGGGGGGGGGAAAUUAAGUUACGAGUUCAAAAAAGGCCUAGGGGGAAAAAAUUUGGGCAAAGCCCAAGGAAAAAAACAAAGCUCUCUAGCCCCAAUAAGCUUGAGACUAAAAACCUGGAGCAUGUCUCUCCAACAGCAACGCUUCAGCUGGGUUAGGAACUGUUGGUACUGGAAGAAGUGGUAGUCAUGGAAGCAAACAAUAUGGAGAUAUCGGCGGAGGCUGGUGGUCAGCCCCCCCGGAAGCUAUGAAUAUUCUCAGUUGGAAUGUUCGGGGUCUGGGGAAUCCCCGAGCAUUUCAAGCCUUAAGAAAAAUCCUCCAAUUGCAUGGUGCUCAGCUAGUGUUUUUGUGUGAAACAAAGGUAUCAACCAUGCAAAUGAAUGUGAUUGCAAAUAAGCUGAGUUUUGAGAAUUGCCUCGCGGUGAACUGUAAAGGAAGAUGAGGCGGAAUAGCAAUGCUCUGGAAGUCAGAUAUUGGUGCAAAUCAAUUCAUACAGUCAGCACCACAUUGAUGCCGAAACUCAAAUGCCAAAUGGAAAUCGAAUGCGAGUUACAGGAGUGUACGGACAUCCGGAAACAAGACAGAAAAAACACACUUGGAUGCUCCUCAGGCGGCUGGCAGUUUUAUCUUCUAGCCCUUGGUUGUGUUGUAGAGACUUUAAUGAAAUUUUACAUCCAGAUGAGAAGAGUGGCGGCAAUGACAGGAAUGUGAAUUUAAUUAAUGAUUUCAGAGAAGUUUUGAGAGAUUGUGGCUUAAAGGAUGUUGGGUAUCGGGGGUACGCUUUUACUUGGAAUAAUGGAAGAUAUGGGUAGGGAUUCGUGGAAGAAAGGUUGGAUAGAUUUGUUUGCAAUAAAGCUUGGAGUGAUAGAUUUGUGGAUUAUGCAGCAAGCAACCUUGACACAUGGACUUCGGAUCAUUGUCCCAUGCUGAUGGCUGUUUAGGAGAGAAGUGGGGGCAUGAACCAAAGGGGUAGACAUUCCUCACGAAUCCAUUAUGAGGAUAUGUGGAGCUCGUAUGACUUGUACAAAGAGAUAAUCAAGGAGGAAUAUAAUUUGUAUAGAAAUUAGAAUAGUGAAAAUCCAGCCCAAUCCUUUCGAAAAGCAACAAAAGAUUCGAUGGGUAGGCUGUUGGGGAGGAGCAAGUUGGUGAGGAAAUUCGGAAGGUGGAGAAGCAAAUCCAAAAUAUCCUCAUGGAUGAAGAAAUCUACUGGAAGCAGCGCUCAAGAGCAGAUUGGCUCAAGGAGGGGGACAAAAACACAAAAUUCUUUCACGGCAAGGCAUCGACUAGAAGGAAAAAAAAAAACAAAAUUUUGGGGAUUGAAGAUAAUUUCGGGAGAUGGAUUGAAAAGCCAAAAGAAGUGGAGCAUGAGUUUUGCAAUUAUUUCACCAACCUUUUUACAUCAACCCAGCCGAGACAGGAUCAAAUUGCAGCAGCCUUGAAAGGAAUAACUCCGAGAGUUUCAGCCAGCAUGAAUGAGAGUUUGGAGGAACCGUUUACAGCCGAGGAAGUCUUGGAAGCUUUGAGUCAAAUAAAGGCUUCGGGGCCGGAUGGUUUUCCAGCAGUGUUUUACCAAAAGCAUUGGCAUACGGUUAAGGAGGGAGUGCUCACCACUUGUCUGCAUAUCGUCAAUUCACAAGGUACCAUAGGCCCUCUAAAUCACACUUACAUUGCUUUGAUACCAAAAAUCGGGAAGCCUAGGAAAGUGACAAACUUUAGGCCUAUUAGUUUGUGCAAUGUUAUCUAUAGAAUUGUAGGUAAGUCAGUUGCUAAUAUAUUUAAGCAAAUUCUGCACAAAAUCAUCUCUCUAUCGCAAAGUGCCUUCAUCCCCAAUAGGUUGAUCACUGACAACAUCAUAGUUGGCUACGAAUGUUUGCACAAGAUAAGGCAUUGUAAAGGAAAGCGAAAUGGAUUAAUUGCAUUAAAGCUUUAUAUUAGUAAAGCUUAUGAUAGAUUGUAAUGGAACUUCCUAGAGCAAACUUUAAAACAACUAGGCUUCUCGCAUCAAUGGAUUAGCUUGAUCAUGGGGUGCAUUAGUUCAGUUUCCUUCUAUGUGUUAAUAAAUGGCUCAGUGAAAGGCUUAAUUAAACACCAAAGGGGCAUAAGACAAGGUUGCCCCCUCUCUUCGUAUUUGUUUAUUACAUGUGCAGAGGCUUUUUCUUCCUUGCUGUAGCAGGCUGAGCAACAACGGCUUAUUCAUAGGCUAUCAUUUGGAAACGAUUUGAAGAUUUCGCACCUUCUAUUUGCUGAUGACAGCCUUAUCUUCAGCAGAGCUUCCAUGGCUGACUGUCGAAAUCUGAAGAUGAUCCUUGAGUGCUACUCCACAACUUUCGGUCAAAUAUUUAAUUUCGAGAAAUCUUCUCUUUUUCUUAGUGGCAAUGUACAACAAGAUCAAGCUGAGGCAAUUGGGAAUCUCUUUUAGCUCAAUAUUGUGUAAAGACAUAAAAAAUAUUUAGGCUUGCCGUCUAUGAUCGGGAGAAAGAGAAGCAGCUUCUUCAAUGACAUCAAGCUGAAGGUUUUCAACAAGAUCUCAAGCUGGCAGCAUAAAUUUUUUUCUUGUGGAGGGAAAGAAGUCUUAAUCAAAGCUGUUGUGCAAGUCAUCUCAGCCUACGCAAUGAGCGUUUUUAAAAUUCCGAUGGGAGUUUGUGAUGAUAUUUAAAAAAUGGUGGCAAAGUUCUAGUGGGGCUCCAAGAGGGAAGGGAGGAAUAUUCAUUGGGCGAAGUGUGAAAAGAUGAGUCAAGCUAAGUGUAAUGGAGGGAUGGGAUUUCGUGAUUUUUCAAGCUUCAACAGAUCCCUUCUAGCAAAGCAAGGCUGGAGGAUUCAGCAAUGUCCAAACUCGUUGGUGGCUAGGGUCUUGAAAGCCAAGUAUUUCUAGUCAAAAAAUUUCUUGGAUGCAAAGCUCAACUCAAACCCUUCAUAUAUUUGGAGAAGCAUUCUUUGGCGAAGGAAAAUUAUUUGCUCGGGCUCUAGGUGGAGAGUUGGCAAUGGUCAGAAAAUUCAUAUUCAUAAGGCUAACUAGAUUCCACAACCUUCAACAUUCCAGCCAAUGGUUAAGCCAACUUUUCCUUCGAAUGCUAUGGUCUCUGAAUUAAUCAAUGAGGCAAACUACUGGGAUGAGAAGAGGAUUUAUGAGCACUUCGAAAAAAUGGAUGCUGAUUUAAUUACUAAGAUUCCUCUGCCUAGAAGACCAAGGAAGGAUGAGCUAAUUUGGCAUUAUGGAAAAAAUGGCCAGUUCUAGGUUAAAAGUGGGUACCAGACAACUCUCCAAAUAAAGUUUCUAGCCAUGCCUUCAAGCUCAGUGGCUUCAAAAAAUGAAUGGAAUAUUAUUUAGUCUCUUGCUUUGCCUCAAAAGAUCAGAAUUUUUGCAUGGAGGGCAGCCAAAAACCUACUCCCCUCAGCUGAGAAUUUGUGGAAGAAAAAGAUAAUCCAGGAACCUACUUGCCAAGUGUGUAAAAUGGGAAUGGAAAAUGUAUUUCAUGCUCUAGUGGCCUGCAAAUCGGCUAAGAAAGUAUGGAGGCUAAUCUAUUUUGAAGAUGAUAUUAAUGCUGCUCACAGUCAAGAUAUCUUCAGUUUGCCGCAUGCUAUGAAAAGAAUGAGAAGCAAAGUUGACCUGGAGCUGUUGGUAACGAUUUUUUGGGUUAAAUGGAAUGCUCGGAAUCAGUUGCUAUUCAAAGGAAAAAUGGAGACCCCCCAUGUAACACCCUAGGCGAAUCCCAUAUCGGCAAAGCACAGGAGAGAUGCUGGGUUUAUAAGAAGUGAUCCACACCUUAAUUGGCAAGACGCGUUUUGGGGUCUAUGGGCGCCCCAAGAACAAAUCCGUGCAGGCCUUGUUAAGGCCCAAAGCGGACAAUAUCUUGCCAGGUCAUGACCCAACCCAGACCUGGCAAGAUAUUGUCCGCUUUGGGCCUUAACAAGGCCCGCACGGAUUUGUUCUUGGCGUGCCCAUACACCCCAAAACGCGUCUCAUGCUCCUUCUUACUCUUAGAGUAAAUUAAUAUGUCAUCAAUAAAGACAAUGACAAACUGGUCAAGAUAAGGUUGGAAGAUCCUAUUCAUCAAAUCCAUGAACGCUGCAGGAGCAUUAGUUAAUCCAAAAGGCAUAACUAAGAACUCAUAGUGUCCAUAACGAGUUCAAAAAGCUGUCUUCGAUACAUCCUCACUUCUUAUUUUCAAUUGAUGGUAGCCAGAUCGUAAAUCAAUUUUAGAGAAUACCGCUGCACCUCGUAAUUGGUCAAAGAGGUCAUCAAUUCGAGGAAGAGGGUAUUUAUUCUUGACAGUAACCAUAUUCAACUGCCGGUAGUCAAUACACAACCUCAUUGAACCAUCUUUCUUCUUUACGAACAAAACGGGAGCACCCCAAGGCGACACACUAGGACGGAUGAAACCCUUAUCUAGUAACUCUUGUAGCUGGACCUUUAGUUCUUUUAAUUCAAUGGGUGCCAUCCGAUAUGGCGCCUUGGAUGUAAGUGUAGUACUAGGAACUAACUCUAUAGUAAACUCAACCUCUCUAUCUGGGGGUAGACCAGGAAGAUCCUCAGGAAAUACAUCAAUAAACUCCCUUACAAUAGGUAUGUCUUCAAGGCACGCCCCAUCAGGAUGGUCAGCAAUUAUAUACGCUAAAAAUCCUUCACACCCCUUCUUUAGCAUUUUCACUGCCGUCACCAUAGAAAUCAAAGCUUUAUAACUCUUAUGAUUCCCUUGAAAAUGAAAUUCUUCCUCGCCAGGUAGGCGAAAAAUAAUUUCCUUAGCAAAACAAUCUAUUGAAACAUGGUAAGGUCCUAACCAAUCCAUCCUCAAAAUCAAAUCAAAAUCAUGCAUCUCUAAUGGUAGGAGAUCCACAAGGAAUUCUCUAUCACACAAUCUGAUCACACAUGACUUAUAGACAUGAUCUAUUAACUGGCAAUCCCCCAUAGGGGUACUAAUUGUCACGUGAACACCGAGUGGCGUGAUAGGCACAUCAGCAUAACGGGCAAACACACAAGAUACAAAUGAAUGUGUAGCACCAGGAUAAAAAGGAACUUUGGCUUCUCUAGAGAAUAAGGACAAUGUACCUGAUACUACAUCAUUGGACACCUCAGCAUCUUUCUCCGUUAGCGCAAAAACACGCCCUUGCACCUUCGGUUUCUUCCUCUGCCCUUCGUUAGUCGGAGUAUUUGUAGUCUCGCCACGUCUCUUUGGGCAAUCCAUAAUCCUAUGCCCAGAUUCUCCACAAGCAAAACAAGCUCCAGUUUUCCAAUGGCAUUCACCAGGGUGCCUCCUUUCACAAUGUCGACAAAUGGGGUAAUUUCUCCGAGCAGUGUCACUAGUAACACCCUUGUUAUCCCAUUUGUUACCUCCACCAUUAUACUUCUGGGAGUGAGUGCCUUGCCUAUAGGAACUUCCAUUUCGCGGUCCACCUUGUUGAUUCUUCUUAUUUCUCUGAUACCAUAAUGUCAUGACCCAACCCAGACCUGGCAAGAUAUUGUCCGCUUUGGGCCUUAACAAGGCCCGCACGGAUUUGUUCUUGGGGUGCCCAUACACCCCAAAACGCGUCUUGCCAAUUAAGGUGUGGAUCACUUCUUAUAAACCCAGCAUCUCUCCCGUGCUUUGCCGAUGUGGGAUUCGCCCAAGAACAAAUUCGUGCGGGCCUUGUUAAGGCCCAAAGCGAACAAUAUCUUGCCAGGUCUGGGUUGGGUCAUGACAUUAUGGUAUCAGAGCGGCUCCGCGUGUCCUCUUGAGCGAUGGUGGGGCAAACCUCAGCGAGGACGCUGAGUCCCCAAGGGGGGGUGUAUGUAACACCCUAGGCGAAUCCCACAUCGGCAAAGCACGAGAGAGAUGCUGGGUUUAUAAGAAGUGAUCCACACCUUAAUUGGCAAGACGCAUUUUGGGGUGUAUGGGCACCCCAAGAACAAAUCCGUGCGGGCCUUGUUAAGGCCCAAAGCGGACAAUAUCUUGCCAGGUCUGGGUUGGGUCAUGACACCCCAUAUUAUGGUAGCUAAAGUUGAAGCUAUGAUUGCAGCUUAUAAGAGGGUGCAUUCUUCAGUUGAGGCUUCCAGUGAAACAGAGCAGAGGGUACCUCUUCAGACAUGGAAUCCCCCUCAAGAUGGUUUUGUAAAAGUCAACAUUGAUGCAGCUAUCAACUUCAAAAAGAACCUUGUAGGGCUGGGGGCAGUGAUUAGAGAUGAUUCGGGGCAUGUUACAGCAGCUGCAAUCAAGAUUUCCAAGUUUCAUGGAGAUGUUUCUUAUGCUGAGGCAGCAGCUAUGGAAUGGGGUAUGUUGGUGGAGAGAGAAGCUAAAGUGAAAGUUGUAAUCGUGGAAUCAGAUUCUCAAGGUGUGGUCAGUUUAGUUAACAACAAGCAGGGCUGCAGAUCUGAGAUCUAUUGGGUUGUUUCGGAAAUUCAGAAGUUAGCGGAAAACUUCGAGUGUGUUAGUAUUAAGUAUACAGCCUAGAUCUUGUAAUGUUAUUGCCCAGUCUUUAGCUAAGUUAGCUCUAGAAAAACGCGAGACUGUUGUGUGGAGGGUUCAUACCCUUCACAAGUGAUGUAUUUCCUUUCAUCGUUGUUUUAAUUGAAAUCUAUUUUCAAAAAAAAAAAAUCACAAUCAGCAACUACAAUGAUCCAAAACCAACAUAGAAAGACCUAGAAAUAGUAAAAAAUAUUGCAAUAUAUUAAAGAAGAUUAAUUCAUCAGAGUGCCCACAACAUAUAAAUGGAUCUAAAGAAUAGAUUAUAUAAUAGCUUGUUUCUUAUGAAUGAUACAUGGGAUUCCACAGAUAAAAAGAAAAUAAGAAUCAAGUACGUGAAUUAAAAAAAUACCUAACCAAUAGGGGUUAGUGAGAUAUUUUAGCUAAAUAUCAGUUGACAGAAUCUGACCCACAAUAAAAAUUGCUAUCUUAUCACAAUGGGAAUCUGAAUUAUAAAAUUACUGAACAAAACUUUUAACACCUACAAGUCCAAAUAAUAUCAAAUAAAAUGCCUAACCAGCUAUUAAAUAUAAAAUGUCCUUGUAGGACUAAAACCUUGUGGCCAAUCCUUCAAAGUUCCAAGCAACAAUAUGAUAAAAACAUAAUGCAUAAUAUAUAAGGAGCUUAUCUGUAAAACUUCCAUACAGUACUUAUCAUAUUAAACAAUGUACCUAAUGAAAUAUUGGCUUAUUUCUACAGAAUAUUACAAUAUAAGUACACCAAUUUCUCAAGCAAUGCCAUAUAGAAAGAUACCGAAGAAAAAAGGAAAAUAAAAAAUCGAAGCAUGUUAGUUAUGAUUUCAACUUUUGAACUCAAAGUCUGUGACAAAUUUUGCUUCGGGAAAUACUAACAAACACUUGAGAAAAACUAAAGUGUAUCACACUUGAACCGUAUAUAAAGCACAAGAAUAAAAACAACAAUGGGCAAAAAGAGGCUAGAUGUAUCAUCUUCAUUAGUUAAACAACAUAAAUAGAAUCAAAAUAUUAAUGCAUACACCAAAACCUUCAAAAUUCUCUAAACAUUCAAUUUUUUUCAGAUUAAGAAAAUAAAUUUAUAAGAAAAUCGAGAACGCGUAUUUGUUGCGGUAUUUUAUCAAGCAAUUGGCAUGCAGCAAUGUAAAUGACAAUUAAAACAUGUAAAUCUCUGUACAUUGAAAGCUCACCUUCGUUAUUCAUCCAAAGAGAGAUAUAUAGGGCAUGUAAGCUCCUUCUUUGAUAUUUAUAUAUUUUGUCAUAAAAGAUUAUAUAUUGUCCGAAAAGAGCUAACUUUGGACAGGCUUUUUAUGCCAAAAAAAAAAAAAAAAUUCUUUUGUGACUAUUAUAAAGUUCGUCAAAAAGAAAUUGAAACAGGGACCAAGUAAUGUCUCAAAAAGAAAAAAAAAUGGUUAUCAAAUAUAAAAUUAUUCAAGACAAAACAUUCAAUGACUAUUGUUUAAUUUUGUCACUGUAGGUAAUUAUAUAUGAUAAAAAAAAAUGGUCUUAAAAUUAGCCAAAAGAACAAUAAUUUUGGCUACUAAUAUUUUGUGUCAUAGAUUGUGUAGUCAAUUUUACACCCCUCUUUUAGUUACCAAAUAAUUUGGUCGCCUAUAAUUAUAUUUCGUGACUAUUUAUUUUGUCAUAAAUAGUGAAAUAUUGUCUCAAAAUAAUCACUUUUGGAGGGAAGAUUUUGCGCCAAAAAAAUAUCUUUUGGUGACUAAAAUAAUUUUUGUCAUAAAAAAAAUUAAUUAAUGACCAAUGAACAAGUCUCAAAAUAAAAAUAAUUGGUUACAAAAAACAAUAUAAGUUAGGACAAGACUAUUAGCUACGAUUUUAAAAAUUUGUCACAAUAAAUACCAUUUUGUGACCAAAUUUAAAGUUGUAAAAAAUAUCAUCUUAAAAAAUCAAAUUUCUUAUAGUGGCCGAGGCCUAUGAUAGAGCAUAGCUCUAUGCCCAUUUACCUCUUCAACUGCCAUAGAGAACUAGAAUCCCACUUGCACCCAAAACAUAAAAACAAUGUACACUUGGCAUGAACUCUGAGAAAGCUACGUAAAAAUGAUUUGAUGGCCAAGGAUUACAACAAUUGUACAACCAAAAGAGGUAGAAAUCCAUGUCUAGUAUAGUGCCCUCGUUAACACCUCUAAAUACUGAGUCAAAUCAAUAGGAAUUUCAUUGUGGGAAAAAAAAAACUAUGCUACGAAUGGUCAGCCUUGCUAGCCUUUAUAAGCAACGCACACAGAUUAUAGAACGAUGCAGUGAUGCAAACCAAGAACUAUUAGGGUAUAGACAGUAAGAUUAAAUAGAAUAAUUUGAUUCCAUUUCUAGCAAACUUUGCCUAGAGACUUGUUAAAAUCUAAUCAGUAAACCUGCUAGAUUUGACAGGAAACAGGUAAUGUCAGGCAAAUCGCCUUCUCCUAUUUUAGGGCACUCAUGUAUAAUAGUGACUUUAAAAGUGUAAACAUAUUUUGAACAAUUUUAAGGAAAUUAAAACUAUAUUUGACACAUCACGAAAUGGCUAAGAUACAAGCUUCAAUUCCAGUACAACAAAUAUAACUUCAACUGUCAAUUGAAGGAGCGAGAUAAAGAGGAGAGACACGAAGCAAUAUACCAUUAUGAGAACAUUGCAGCAUACAAAAGUGUAAACGGCAGAGCAAUAUCUCAAAAUCAUGUCGUUUCCGAUGUGUGCUCAUUUGAAAGUGCAGAAAAACCACUCAAACAUGCCUGUACAAGGAAAGCCAUGUCAGCCACCAAUGUCGUAAUUACACCAAUUACGAGGCCCAAAACUCCAUCAGCAACAGUAGAAGAACCGAUGUCAACAUCAAUCUACAGAAAGUUUCUAGCAGUCACGAGCAUUAUCACGAUCAUCGUGCCGCAGAUUGCCCUAAAAACAAGACAAAUCAAUUUGAUCAGCUUGUUCUUCCUCUAGAGCUGCGAAUAAUUGAAAAAAAAAAGAUUAAUUCCAUAGAAAUCCAUUAAUGAGGACAUUAAUCCAAUAUAUAAAAAUGAAUAUUUAAGUUUGAAGCUCCUAGCUUGAAGCUUUCCAAAUAUAAAGUUACAUAGUGAAGGACAACAUUUGUCCAUGAGGUUUCUAAAAUGGCAACUUUUGCACAGUAAAAUUAAAACGGACGGCGGAAGCUCUAGAAACCUCGGAUCGGCUUCAUUCAAAAACGAAAAUCACGAGGAAAGAUUUAAGUUUAAUUAAAUCACUUUUAGUUUCAAAAACGGCUUCGUGAAGUAGAAGAAAAAGACUGAAAACAGCACGCUACGAACACUGUCCAGAAAAUAGAGCUCUGCACGAACAGCUUCUGUUUUGCCACGAUUUGAGAUCCUUAAAGCACCCCAAUUGUGAUGCCUCUAAUUAUUCCACACUUAGAAAUGUUCUAGGAGUUCAUAGGAUUUGGAAUCUCGAAAUUUCGUUUAGAAAUGAAAGAGAUAAUGAAAAAACAUGAAUGCUAGUUCAUGAUGAUUCAUUCCAUCAAAUAAAGCUACCAUUAUCUCUAAUAAUGGCACCAAACAUUAUCAUGUGCUAGACCCACCCACUUAGUUAUUAUUUAUUGAAAGUGAUCUUAUCACUUAAAUAAAUUAUUUAAUCAAAUAAAUAAAUAGCUAAAUUAAUUAAUUUCGUAAUUAAUUAAUUAACCCCAUUUUGAUCAAAUCAAAUGGUUAAAUGUGGGCUCAUUUUGUGACAUGUUCUAAUGCUUUCUCUUAAUCCAUAUUAGAUCUAAUAAAAGCCCAAAAUUCUAAACCCAAAAUUGGUCUAGAAGUCCAUAAUCAUAUAUGAACCGGAACAUGUCCAAAAUGGUCAUUUUACGUGCUUGAUAUUGCAUAAUGUUUAAUGGGGAUUUAUGAAAUUUAUUUUGUUCCUUAAACUAUUUAUGGAACAUCUAAAUUUCUAUCUUAAAUCAUAUUUAAGAUAUAUUUAUAUAUAUAUUCAUUCUUAAUGAAUUAUAAUAUAAAUAUUGAUUUUCCUAAAAUUAGGAAAUUUAACUUCUCAUUUUCUAGUAACUCCUUUUUCAUUUCUAUUUAGUGUGUGACCUUUCAGGUUCUUAGUUAUAAGGUAGUAGAACUAUUUUAAUGAUAACUCUUUAUUCAUUAAAUGAUGCUAAACUCUUUAGUAAUCAAUUAGAACUUUUCUAAUGACCUUAAGAUGCAUAGCUAAUAGGCUUUACCAAUAUUGAUCUUAAGGUUUCUAUAAGUCAUGAGUGACACCUAGCAGUAUAUCACAACUAUCCAAAUAACAAGAAUUGUUGGAUCUAUAAAACCUAUUUUAUUGUAUCUCUAUGUCUUGGUCUCUUCAUCAUCCAUGUCUAGAGAAAAGCACGGCUUAUGGUUUAUUAUGUUAAGCAGUUAUGAUUUAUCUCAAAAUAAAUCUAAAUGAACUUAACAUGAAAAUAUAAUUUGAACUCCUUCAAAUAUAUUUCACCUUGGCCAAGGAUUUCUCAUGCCAAUUCAUAUUAUCUCAUAGGGACAUCCUUUUUGUAUAUUACAAAGUGAUUAAUUCCAUAUUAGCCAUACACUUGUCUUCAUACAUAACCAACCAUGACAGCUAUUGCUAGAUCUCUUCCGUGAUUAGGAAUCCAUGAUUAUGCUUUCACAUAUCAGAGAUGUCUAUGUAUAAGACAUCUGUUAUGCCUCAAGUCUAAAGACCAUUAUUAAACAUAGUGUCUAUUACAAUGUAUAAUAAGCCAUUAACACUCAAAACCAUAUGACUUACUAUAUUUGGUCAUGUUCAGUAAACUCGUUCUCUCAACAAGUACCUAUGUGUUUGACUUGACAUGUCAUGUCAAUGAUAUGAAACUCACCAUCCAUUUUAGUAUCACAUACCAUAAGGAGUCAUAACACAUACUAGUGUUUAUAGGAAUUUAUAAUGUCCAAUCAUAAAUCCACCACUAGGAACUAUUUUAGAAGUAUAGUACAAAGGAUGCACGUUUCAUACUCUCGACAAACUCGAGAAUGUGUUCCUUAACUAUUUUACUUCUUGGACUAUAUUCAUUAAAUUAAUUUAUGAAUGUUGAUAACUUUGCCAUUUUAUAAAUAUCAAAAUGCUAUUCAAAUACAAUAAUUCCCUAAACAAACAAACACCAUUUGAUUGGCCUUUAGGGCAUAUUACUAACACAUAGCCCUUAGAAGGCCGAUUGCAAACAUCACCUUUCCCGGGGAUGGAGAGGAGGACGUCCUCAAGGAUAUUAUAAAGGGUUCUUAGUUUGAGUAGGUCAGUAUGGGUAGUGGCACACUUGAGGUAGUCAAUGGGAUAAGAAUCGGCCUCCAUCCUAUAGCCGAGGUUUCUUUUCUUAGAGGGUCGGCUCGGCUCAGAACUAUUCUCCUUGUUAUCACUUUCUUUUUCAGGGAUCCCAGCCCCCUCAGAACUGUGAUUCUCACCAGAAGCCGAUGCUUGUCCACCGCGAUUUCCCAUAGGUUCACAAUCAGAAGGAGGCAAAAUGGCCUUUGGACGGGGGUACUCAAGGGUAUCUCUAUUAUAAGAGGGACCUAUGUUACUGGAAGGAUUUUGGGGAUCAGUGGGUCUUAAUAAAUUGGGGUAUGAAUCUAUCUCUUCAUCACUCUCAUUUACAAUUAUUUUUCCCCUUCGUCUUGACAUAGUGAAGUCUUAAGAGAAAAAUAUAACAAAUUUAAGUAUAUGGGUACAAAAGUGUUGAGUGCGGAAUGCAGAAUCAAGCACACCAAAUAAUUAUAGAAAAAUAAUUGACACAAAAUUUAUGUGGUUCAGUAAUUAAACCUACAUCCACCGGAGCAAGAGAAAAAUAAUUGUAUUAUUAACAAUUAUUUGAGUACAAAUUUGAGUAAAGAAAUCUUACUUUCCCAUAACCCAAAUACACCCAGUACUCUCACACACACACUCUCCAAUUGCUCACACUUUCAGAACUCUCAAAAGCUUAAAAACUAAUAAGCUUAACAAAUUUUUUGGGAUACUUUAGAAUGAAGAAAUGACUUUAAUUUAUAGGCUUCAAGCUUGCACUAUUCCACUUAAUCCCUCUGCAAUUUGUCAAUCUUCAUCUCCAUCAAUUUGACAAAUUUUGCUAAAUUUUCCAUUUUUCUUCAUUUAGUGCAGGAUUGUCAAAUGCCAAAUAUUUUACAGCUUGCAGUUUUGGUGCCGACUUUGAAAAAACAAAAGCAAUGCAUGUGGCUCACUUUUCUUUUUCAACCAAUUUGAAAACACUCAUUGACUUUUCAACAAUUUUCCACCUCGGCGAAGAUUUGUUCAAAUAUGAGCCGACUCCCAACCAAUCAUCAUCCCCAAAGUGGCUGCAUCUCUGUGACUGCUACGUACACAAAAUUUGGGAUCAAGCCAACCGUAGUUCAAAAUUCCUGAAGGACAUAACUUAACAUAAUCGAAGGAUUUGAAUUAGUCUCAAGCAUUGUUGAAACUUAACUCCAGAAAUCACCUUUGUCAACAUAUCUGCUGGGUUAUCCUUGGUAUUGAUCUUUUUCAACAACACAUCACCACCCUCGAUAAUCUCUCUCACAUAAUGAUAUUUCACAUCUAUGUGCUUCGACCGAGCGUGAUAUGUUUGAUUUUUCGCGAGGAAUAUCGCACUUUGGUUAUCACAAAAGACCGCAAUGUUCUCUUGGAUUACUCCCAAAUCACAAAAUAAGCCUUUCAACCAGAUAGCUUCCUUUACAGCUUCAGUUACUACCAUAUACUCUGCUUCCAUAGUGGAUAGAGCAAUUGUCGAUUGUAGAAUCGACCUCCAGCUAACUGAUCCUCUACCCAAUGUGAAUACGUAGCCAGUUGUUGAUCUUUGCUUUUUAAGGUCUCCGGCGAAAUCAGAAUCACAAUACCCAACACAUUGUUGACCACAAUCCUUUUUUAACAAUAACCCAACAUCAACUGUCCCAUAUAGAUAUCGGAGAAUCCACUUUACCGCAAGCCAUUAAUUUUUACUCGGAUUGUGCAUGUACCUACUAACCAUUCUCACUGCUUGAGAUAUAUUGGGCCUUGUGCAUACCAUAACAUACAUAAGACUACCCACAACACUAGCAUAUGGAACACGAGCCAUGUAAUCGCGCUCCUCUUGAGAUUUAGGACAUGAAGAAGAGCUUAAUUUGAAAUGAGGAGUUAGAAGUGUACAUACCAGUUUAGUUUUGUCAUCCAUACCGAAUCUUUUUAGCACUUUCUUCAAAUAAGACUUUUGAGUCAACCAUAUGCUCCCAUUCUUCUUGUCUCUAUGAAUUUCCAUCUCAAGUAUUAUAUGUGCAUCACCCAAGUCUUUCAUCUCGAACUCAGAAGCCAGCUGCUUCUUUAAUCUUUCGAUCUCAUCUCUAUUCUUCAAAACUAUAAGCAUAUCGUUGACAUAGAGUAACAAAUAGAUGAAAGCUCCAUCUAUUAGUCUUCUAAAGUAAACACAAUGAUCGUGUUCACUUUUGGUGAAUUUCUGCCCUUGUAUAAAUUAAUCAAAUCUUUUAUACUACUGCCUUGGCGAUUGCUUCAGUCCGUAUAAAGAUUUAAUCAACCUACACACAUGAUUCUCCUUUCCAGUAACUUUGAAACCACAAGGCUGAAUCAUAUAGAUUUCCUCCUUCAAAUCUUCAUGUAAGAACGCCGUCUUAACAUCCAACUGAGCCAACUCUAACUCAUAUUCUGCAACUAAGGCAAGUAGGAUACGAAUGGAAGUAUGUUUUACAACUGGAGAGAAAACUUCAUUAUAGUCAAUACUUUCCUUUUGAGCAAAACCUUUUGCCACGAGUCUUGCCUUGUAUCGAGGAGUUGAUUGAUUUGGAGAUCCUUGCUUUUUGGUGUAGACUCAUUUAUUGCCAAUAGUCCUUUUCCCUUUUGGUAACUUUACAAGUUCCCAAGUCUGGUUUUGAUGGAGAGAUUUCAUCUCUUCCUCCAUGACUAACUUCCACUGAUCACUUUCACUGCUGCGUAAUGCUUCACCGAAAGUGUUGGGGAUGUCAUCAUCAAUAACUGAAAGUGCAUAGACUACCACCAUAUCUUUAGUAAGCCAUCCGGGUUUCUUUAUCUCUCUUCUUGGUCUCCUUGUUACUAUAAAAUCAUCAUUAUCUACAGCAUCAAUUGUUUCUUCAUUUUGUGGGACAUCAGAAGAAAUAACAUAUUCUUCAACUCUAGGUAUCACCUCCAUAGUUGAACCCUUAUUUGAUGUAGAACUAACUGGUACAUAUGGAGUUGUAUCAAACUUCACCAGCUGCAAUACCUCUUUGGUUUUGUUUUCCAUUUGCUGAGAACUUGAAGUUUUCAUCAUUGAAACUUCAUCAAAUGUGACAUCUCUGCUACACACAAACUUUUUGUCUUUGAGAUCCCAAAACUUAAAGCCAUUUACUCUACCUUUGUAUCCCACAAAAAUAGCUUUUCUAGCACGAGGAUCCAGUUUACCAUCUUUGACAUAAUAAUAAGCUAGACACCCGAAUAUACGAAGGGAAUUAUAGUCUUGUGCAUGCUUUCCAGACCACAUUUCUAUAGGAGUUUUACCUCCAAUUAUAGCAUAAGGCAACUAGUUUACCAAGUGACUUACGUAGUUCACAGUUUCAGCCCAAAACUUUUUAUCUAAACCAGUAUUAGAUAACAUACACCGUACUUUCUCCAGUAAAGUACGAUUCAUACGCUCAGCUACACCGUUCUAUUGCGGAGUAUGUCUCACUGUGAAAUGUCUUUUAAUACCGUCGUUCUGGCAUACUUACAAGAAUGGAUCAGAAGUAUAUUCACCCCCAUUAUCAGGUCGUAAUACUUUGAUUUUUCUGUCAGUUUAAGUCUCCACCAAUUUCUUCCAUUUCACGAAAAUCUCUAGAACCUCAACCUUUGCUCGCAUGGUGUACACCCACACACGUCUAGAGAAAUCAUCAACAAAUGUAACAAAAUAAUGGCUUCCACCAAUUGAUGUAGUCUUGGUUGGUCCCCAUACAUCACUAUGAACAUAUUCAAGGAUUUCACGAGUAUCGUGAUUAGCUGUACCAAACUUGACCCUUGUUUUCUUGCCUACUACACAAUGCUCACAGAAAUUUAAUUUAUAGGUUUUGGUACCUUUUAAGAGUUCGUGCCUCAUCAGAGUUUGCAAAGACUUUUUGCUAGCAUGUCCUAGUCGUACAUGCCAUAGCUUGGUGGUGUCACUAUGCGCCUCAAUAAUAUUUGCUUCAUCAGUUGUACCUCCCUUCAAAUAGUACAGAUUGUGACGCCGAACCCCUUGUAGAAUCACCAUAGCCCCAUGUGUAAACUUCAUUAUACUAUUUUCAAUGGUAGCCUUGUAGCCUUUAGCUUCUAGAGCACCCACAGAAAUUAGAUUUUUCUUUAAAACUAGAACAAAUCUAACCUCUUUGAGUUCUCUGACCAUUCCAUUAAACAUUUUGAGCCGAAUUGUUCUUAUCCCCAUUGUGCGACAAUGUUGAUCAUUCCCUAUCACAACUGCACCGGAUUUUAGAUUACGAGUAUUCGUAAACUAUUCCUUAAUAGGACACAAAUGAUAGGUUGCUCCAGUAUCAAGUAUCCACUUACUCGAACUAGCCACGUAUGCUGCAAGAGUAAUACUUAGUGAAUAAUCAGAAUCUUCAUCUUUCGUGCCAUGUUUGCUGCUGUUGGUUUUUUCCCAUCUCUGUUUUGAGCUUUUAGACAAUCUUUCCUCCUAUGAACCUUUUCAUGACAAAAGGCACACUCGUCUCGAGCUAUAUCUCUGCUUCUCGAUUUGGAUCGAGAAUUCUUUCCACCACCCUUUUUCUUUUUCUCCAUCGCCCAAUCUUUACUCACCAAAACUUCAGACGAUACUCGUUCAGAAUUUUUAUUAUUAUUCUGAAUCUCCAAGUUAGUCAAUGCUGUGCAAACAUCUUUGAAGAUGAUCACGCUUUUCCCAUAUAUCAAGGUAGUCACAAAAUGGCUAUCUUCCUCUGGUAGUGAGUGUAACAGAAUCAUAGCCUUGACUUCAUCCUUAAUAUCUUCAUCAAGAUUCUUCAAAUCAGCAAGUAACUUUUCAAAUCUCGAGACAUGAUCGUGCAUUGAUACCCCAGGCUUCAUUCGAAAGCCAUAUACUUGGCUCAUUGCAUGAAGACGAUUUUCAGGACUUUUCAGCCUAUACUUCUUCUCUAAUGUAUGCCACAAAGUCACCGCACACUCCUCAACUUUCACCAAGUAUUUUACCUCCUUGGUCAAAUAAGAUCUGACCUGACCACAAACUUUCUCGUUCAUACGAUCUCAAAUUUCUUCAUCAUACAAGUGUAUUUUAUUUUUCAAAACAAUAUCGAGAUCGAUUUGAAUAAGGGCAUCCAUAACUUCGCGCAUCCACAUGCCGAAAUUGAUUUUCCCAUCAAACUUUUCAACAUCGAUCUUCUGGCCUCCUAUAACAGGUGCUGAAUAGCGAUUUUACAAGUCUCGUCUCCCACUUGAAGUGUCUUCUAAAAUAGUCUCGAUAGAUCUCUCCUUAAUUCUGGAAGUUUCACCUUAUACCAUUUUCUCAACGAACUAUUUCCACUUGAAAAACAGCCUCUAUGAUGUUAAUUUCGCGUGAAUAAAUGUCCCAGGAAAGUUCCCUAAAGACUAGACGGGAACUCGGUCCUAAUUAAAAAUCGGAAUCCUUAGACUCUUAUCGCCUUUGUUGACAGAACUUUCAUAGACAUGUAAAAAUACACACUACUUACAAUAGACUGUCUCCCAAGUACAAAUGGCCGCCUCCACCGUAUUCGUGAAUAGUACUGUAUAUGUGAACAAUACAGUAUACUGGAAUAGUACUGUAUAUGUGAAUAGUACUGUAUCCCCCCAAGUACGAACCGUCGGCUCUGAUACCAGUUGUUGAGUGCGGAAUGCGGAAUCAAGCGCACCAAAUAAUUAUAGAAAAAUAAUGGGCACAAAAUUUACAUGGUUCGGUAAUUAAACCUAUAUUCACCGGAGCAAGAGAAAAAUAAUUGUAUUAUUAAUAAUUAUUUGAGUACCAAUUUGAGUAAAAAAAUCUUAUUUUUCCAGAACCCAAAUACACCAAGUACUCUCACACACACUCUUGGUAGUGUGUCUUUUAUGGGCACGAUCUGACUAGAAAAGAUACCGACCAGAAGUUCAUACUGACCAGGUACUUGUCACUCAAAGAGAGGACGUGAUCUCACAAACACGCGACAAUUUCACCACGCCCCAAACCGCUGGGAAAACACGACGCCCCACGAUUACCCACGUUCGGUUGUUGAAGACCCAUUAAGGCCCUUAACCACCCAAAUAUGACGAGCAUGGAAAAUACCCUGAAAAAGUGGGAUGAUUGCCUAUAAAAAGCGGAGAAAUCAAUGAAGAGGGGGAGAGACAAAAAGAGAGAGAGGGGAAACUCUGUCAAAUUGACUCCAGGCAUUGUUACAUAGCCACCUUAAAUACAUUUUAUCUUAAGAACAUCGCAAUGAAUGUGUGUGAGCAUAAAUCAUAUAGUUUUCCCGUAAAUUCCAUUUCCUGACUUAAGUAUCGGAGGGUUUAUGCCGGAAAAACCAUCAGCGUCUCUGAUUUGUUUUUGUGAAUGCAGGUUUAGAAAGAAAAGGGAGAGUGAUUCGGUUCCCAGGAGCUCGGGCAAUUACUAUAGCUGGUGGAGCGCAACCUCUUCUUCAUUGUCAACACACUUGUUGAUGAUCCCAUCUGGUCGGGCAAAAGGCGACUAGAUUUCAGCAUCAACAGUACGUUCAGACAAAACACCUACUCCUGUUUUAGAAACGGCCUCCUCUAUUUUACUGUUUGGUGAUUGCAAAAAUUUGUCUAAAUAAUGCAUAGUUGUAGAGUUAAGAAAAAAAGUUAUGUUAAAAUAAAGAAGCAUCAGAGAUCCCCCGAUAUUAUUAUCAUCCAGAACAAUAUGUUUAUUGGGCCAAAGUGGGCUAACAUACAUGGGUUCAAGCUUGCAAAAUCCACAUUUAUGUAUAAUUAUAUAGUAAUUAAAUACUGAAUUUGAACUCAUACAACUAUUCAAUCAUUUGGAUUUCAAAUCUGUGUUCAUUGAACUAAAUACUGUCAUGUAUUCGAGUGAACAGAUAAAGAAUUCACAAUCUGUUCUCAAUUUUGACUUCAUAAUAUUCCAGCUAUGGUCGCAUUUCUAUUACUGUAUGGUAAAUAUGACUUUUAAAUAAUUUUUUUGACAAAAUUAGUCAAGGUGCCAUAUGUGUAUCAAAUAAUAGUUGAUAAAAUCAUCUUAUAUUUUGAACUACAGAAGUAAGUAUUCAUCAAACACUUUAUAAUUGUCAGUCAAUGUUUAUGUGAACGUGACCGAAAAUGGUUACUAAGUGCAUGUUUGGGAGUUAGGAUUAAGUAUGGGAUUAGAAUAACUUUGGUAUUAAAUAUUUUAUCCCAUGUUUGGCUACUUUGCUUGGAUUGGAUUAAGGAGGACUAAAUUUAAAUUUAGGGCUUAAAUCAUGGGAUUAACAAUCGCAAUUUAUAAGUGGAUUUAGAUGGGAUUAGAAUAAGAGAAAAAAAUUUUGUUCAUGUUUCUUUCAUAAAUAACACUAUUUUUUAUUUGAAACCUAAAAUUUAAUUACUUAAUUUAUUAUUUUAUUCAUGAUUUACAUGAAUUUAUUUUUUAUUUUAUUUUUAUAGUCUAAUUACAUUGGUACUUUACUCCAACAAAAUUAACUAUUUAAUAAUUUGUUACAAUAAUUGAUUGUAUUAAAUUCAAUAAUCAACUAUGUAAUAUUAAAAAUAAUCAUAGAAAUUAAUAAUACAAAUAAAUAAUUGAUUUUGUAUAUACAUUAUUUGCUAACUUUUUGAUAAAAUAAAAUAUAUCUAAAAUAUCCGAUAAAAAUUAAUUAAAUAAUUAAAUAGUUUUAUUAAUUUAUAUUUGUUUAUUAUGAAUAUGACUACCCAAUAACUAAUUUACUACAUAUUUAAUGCUAUUGUUAAUUAUCUUUAAAUUAAUUUUAAUUAUUACUUUUAAAUAUUCUUAACUUUUUUUUUGUAUUUAAAUAUGAUUUAACAUUGUCUAAUUCGAUAUUGUACCAAACAUAGUACAAUAUAUAAUAUAAUCUAGCUUAAUCUAAUCUAACUUAAUCCAGUCCAAUCUUAAAAAUUAGCCCAAUUCAAUUCUACGUGUCAAGCACAACCUAAGAGUUCCUAGUGUUAAAAAUUUAACAUACCCACGAUCCAUUAAUGGGAUAAUUUAUUUUAUAAUAAUCAAAUUGAAGAUCAAUUUGUACGAUGAUGAGCUUUCAUGUUUCUGUCAAACAUGAAAUAAUUUUGUAAACAAUGGCCACGUGGAACUUAUAACCAAUCAUCAUUUGUUGAUAGACAAGUGAAAUAACAAAAAAGCAGCGGGUUUGGGCUUUCUCCAGGAAUCGGCUUAACACAAACAAUGUGGGGUUUCUUGAUCUUCUUAAAGAUCAAGCAUAUACGUAUACAUGUUCUAUACCUAUCAAUCAUUCCCCUAUUCUUCGGUUUGGUGAUUGCAAAUAACAUUCUUUGCAUCUACUCUUUAUUUAUUUAUUUAUUUUUAACUCAUUAAUUCUUGUUCUUCUUAAAGCGUUUAGUAAAUAUAUCAUCACCGGGUCAAAUCCCUAACAUUAACGUACACAUAAUCUAUUAAUGAAAUUUAUUAUUUUAUCAUAAUCAAAUUGAAGAUUAGUUCAUGCAGUUUUCUAUGAUGAGGAGUAUUCACUUUUCUGUUAAAUACAAGAACGAUUCGUAAAUAAUGUCCAUUUGGAACUAGUAAUAACGAAGCAUCAUUUGUGGACCGAAUAAAUGAAAUAACAUUUUAGUUUCUCUCUAAAAUGUCAUUCUUCAUUCAAGCUUUUGCUGCAUCUUUUAUCAGGCAUCUUAUAAAGCUUUUCCCUACUAAUACUAAUAAACUUUGUAAAUCAAUAUUCUUUUCAAUUUCACAGGACACAAGUAAUGCAUAUUCAAGCACAACAGGUAUUUAUUCGUUAGAAACUCCAACUUAAUUAUUUCAUUGGAAAAUAUGAAACGCAGAGCCAUAAACUAGUGCUUUCUUCAAUUUAAUUGGGUUGAACAAACUUUUUAAUGUAUUUUCCCCAAUCCAUUUCUUUUAUCUCACUGCAUGCUUUAUUAAAGCUUUGUCUUUGUUCUUGAUUGAUGACCUUCAAAAUUAAAUCUUAAAAAUCGGGUAUAAAAGGGGUGCUUGAUUUAAGUCUUCUUCUUUUGCAAUUCAUUGUUAUUGCUCUUUUCAGCUUUUUACUCGCAAAACUUCUUACUCACAAAUUCCUCUGCAGUUAACCGUGAUCUUUUACUCAUUAAAAUUGUUCUUAUUAAUUCUUUUUUAUAGAGAGAGAGAGAGAGACUCAAAGAGAAUUAAAAAAAAAGUAAUUCUAAAUUUUUGCUUGUGCAUUGUGUGAUUUUUACCAUUUUUAAAGUUGGUGAUUUGUAUUGAAUAAAUAAAAUAAUAAAUAGAUUUAUGGACUACUCUUUUUUGUUAUAAUAAACAUCAGAGGUCCUUUCCUGAUGUUUCAUUCCAUAAGAAUAAAUUAUAAUUUUAUUGAUAUAGUAACGUCAAUAAUAGAAAUCCUAACAAACAUACAAACUUUAGAUUAUGGAUUAAAGCACUACAAGGUGAAUGGAUCACAACAAAUUAUUUAUACUACAAGGUGAAUGGAUCACAACAAAUUAUUCUGACGAAAGCAUAAACAAGAUGAUUGAAUCAAGAGACUAUUACAUGGGAAACCAAUCCAGAUGAAGCCUGUGAUAAAGAAUAGCCGUACGCCCAUUUACCUCUUUAGCUAAGCUGCCAUACUGAAGGAGGCAAUCCCACCCGCACAAAACAUGAAAAACGAUGUACACGUGGCAUGAACUUUGAGAAAGCUACAUAAAAAUGAUCUGAUGGCCAAGGGAUACAACAGUUGUACGACCAAAAAGGGUAGAAAUCCAUGUCUAGUACACUGCCCUCUUCAAUACCUCUAAAUACUGAGUCAAAUUGAUAUGAAUUUCAUGGAUGAAACUAUGCAACAAUCGAUAAACCUUGCUGGCCAUUAUAAGCCUAUGCACACAGAUUAUAGAACGAUGCAGCGAUGCAAACCAAGAAUUACUAGGGUAUAGACAGUAAGAUUAAAUAGAAUAAUUUGACUACAUUACAAGCAAACUGUCACGGACCGCAAUCGUGGCACCCAAGAUAUGCGCUUGUACGCUAGUGUCGAUGAUGGUUGUUGAUGCUGAAAUCUGCUCGCCUUUUGACCGACCAGAUUCUUUCACCAACGUUUGUGUUAUCUACUGUUGCUCGUUCACUGGGAUUGGAUUCGUCCUCCUUUCUCUCAAUAGACCUGCGCUCACUAAAAACGGAUCAGAGACGCCGGUGGUUUUGCCGGCGUAAACCCUCCGAUGUCUAAGUUAGCUCAAGGUGUUUACGGGAAAACAGUGCAAUUUAGAUCUCAAAACGGUUUCUAAAUUAUUCGGAGUUUAUAAGAAAAUGGCCUGAUUGUAAUUUGGCAGCGUUUUCCCUCUCUCAAUUUUUUCUAUCCCCAUCUUCAUCGAUUUCUUCCUCUUUUAUAGCCGUUGUCCCCACGUUCCCAUUUGCCUUUCACCCUACCUUUUUCGGGUAGUGGCAGCCUCUCAUGGAACUCUAACCGCUGCAUUACGGGCAAACGUGGGAUCUCGCAUCCUCCGCAACGGUUCUGGGAACAGCGCAACUACCGCGAUUCUGUGGGAUCUGUUCCCGCUUUUUGGGGGACGGGUACCGGCUCGGUAUAUACCUCUGGUCGGUAUAUUUCCCUGGUUGGUAAUCGCCUCUGGUCGGUUCAUGCUUGUCCCCGUGUUCUGCUCGCACCAUUUGGCUAAGAUGAUCCAUGCCGGGGUGGAGAUUAGUAGCAUGGCCGACCUGGUGCUUUUAUUUACUUAACAAUGGUUGUGCUGAUUGUUGGAGACGUGCUUCAGGGGCGUGCGUGUUGGGAAUACAAUGCCCUAGACUCUUUGGAGUUCAGGCAGGCCGACCCGGUUGAGUUUGGGGAGCUUGUCGCUAGUCAAGGACUUAACGCUGAAGAGGGGUCUAGGAAAAUCCUGACGCACACUGGUUGGGAAUUGAAGCCGUUCUCCUGAUGAGCCCAAGGCAGGGCGAAACCAGUUGACAUUGUGUCACUUCCUCUAGGCUUACUCUCGUAGUAUGGGAUGCGGGAGUGCCGCACGGGCUCGAAACCUCUCGUCCCGUGACAAAUGGUAUCAGAGCCGCGCUUGUCAUCUCUCGAAGCCCUCGUCGCGAGCUCGCCAAGCGCUCCAAUGCCGCACCACGCGGGUCCCCACCCUUUCAGAUACAAGAGUUGACAAGCGGGACGAACAGGCGGGUUCUCACACCCCCAAGCGUUCGCACCAAGUGGAUGGUGUCUCCAUGCGGGUCCUCUCCAUGGAUUGAGGACGUGCAUGUAGGCAGGGAGUUCAUGGGUUGAGUUUGGCAAGUCGAUCUUCACAUUUUUGCGUGGAAGUGCACACUUGCGAGGCGUACUCCUCAUGCACGAGGACGUGCAUGGUUAUGGCGGUGGGAGAAUGUCACGGACCGCAAUCGUGGCACCUAAGAUAUGCGCUUGUACGCUAGUGUCGAUGAUGGUUGUGCUGAUUGUUGGAGACGUGCUUCAGGGGCAUGCGUGUUGGGAAUACAAUGCCCUAAACUCUUUGGAGUUCAGGCAGGCCGACCCGAUUGAGUUUGGGGAGCUUGUCGCUAGUCAAGGACUUAACGCUGAAGAGGGGUCUAGGAAAAUCCUGACGCACACUGGUUGGGAACUGAAGCCGUUCUCCUGAUGAGCCCAAGGCAGAGCGAAACCAGUCGACAUUGUGCCACUUCCUCUAGGCUUACUCUCGUAGUAUGGGAUGCGGGAGUGCCGCACGGGCUCGAAACCUCUCGUCCCGUGACAAAACGCUGCCUACAGACUUGUUAUAAUCUAAUCAGUAAACCUAUUCGACUUGCUAGGAAAAAAAUAGGGCUUUUUUGUUUUCAUUCCCCUUUGGUGAUUGCAAAAAUUUAAAUCUAAAUUUAUGGUGCAGGCUACAUGGCACCUAGUGGAUGAUUGUUAGGGUUUGUCUUUUGCUCUUAGUUAGGAAUUUAAUUAAGAAUUUAUAGUGUGCGCCUUAUCGAAGUAGGUUUCCUAAUAGUAAUUAAAUAAUCCAAAUUUAUGAUGCAUUAGCAUAUGAUUGUGAUAAAUAAGCUUUUUAUGUAUCCUGUAAGGCUAAUUACUGUUUUAUUAGAUUCUCUUGUUAGUCUUGUGAAUCAACGAGAUUUAAUUAGUAGUAGAUAAUACUUUAGGCUUCACAGGCGCACUAUUUUAUCCGCUAAAUCAAUUUUUUUUUUAAAUUAAAAACAAUUCAUCAAACACUUUAUAGUUCUAACUUUUAAGCUGGUAAACACUUUAAGCCACAACUUUAAAUUCAGUUUACGAGAAUUCCUAAUAGUCACAGUGGCUUGGGUGGAAAUGAAUAUAAAUAAUGAAAUACUAUCUAAGCAACUCAAGGGCGGUGAAUUGAGUUUCUAAAAAUUUUGUAAAACUUAAUUCAAAUAUGAAACGAAUUAAAACAACAGUAAGUAAAUCAACCAAAAUAUAAAAAGAUAGGGGAAGAGAGAUUCAAACACAGAGAUUUUUAUGUGGUUCGGCCAACCUCGCCUACAUCCACGCCUCCAAGCACACCGAGCUUGAGGAUUCCACUAGUCAUGCCUUUAAGGCUUCAAGAACACCUACAAUUGACUUCAAAGAUGUCAAUCAACCUUUACACCAAGAAAUUAUCCUCAAUCUCUUAACCCAAGUGUAUCCUAACACUUACAAUUUCUCAAUUUGAUUUAAAAAUAAAUACAAAAUAAAUCUCUCUCACACAAUGUGUUUGAUUACAAAUGAAAUUCUAAAGUGUGAAUAAAUGAGAUGUAUACAAGAAUUUAAAACUCAAUGAAAGUUGUAUGCUCAAUAAUUUGCUCAAUGAUAAUGGUUGGAAUCGUUGUUAUUUGAAUUUGAUUGAACUUAUUUAUAGUUGGAGCUGAAAUAUAGUCGUUAUUGACUUUUUGCUCAAUGUUGGAUUGCCGUUUUGACUAUGAGCAAGUUACCGUCGGACAAAAUUUUAAAUUCUCGGACCGUCGAUUUCAAGAUGUCGAAUCGCCGUUAAUGUCCAGAGGCUGCUCUUCAAUUCUGUUCAAUGUCGGCUAGCCGUUAUCAAGAGAUCGGUUAGCCAUUUGCUACAAUGACUGCUACAGUGAACUAUUUCUAAAAUUAUAAUUUGGCCCCAAAACUUUAUAAAAUUUACUAUGACCGAUAACUUUAUAAAAUUUUGUCAAAUAAGUCCAUUUCCAAAAUUUUAAGCAAUAUUUGCUAAUUUCAAAGUUCUCAAAACUUUUUCAAUUUAAAUCAUUAACAUGAAAAUAACUAAUAUCAUAAAAUUACUUUUCAUUGAAUAUAAAGCCUUAAUAUGAAAAAAAAAUAAUUUGAGCUUUUAAAUCAAGCUUAACCAAGUUUGUUAUCAUCAAAAUCAAUAUUAAAGAAAUAUUUAUGUUGACAAAUAAUGUUUAAUUUUAAUGUACAAAGCACUGGUGCAUUUAGAAGGUACUACUGUGUAAACAAAAUUUGUGCUUGCAACUCAUCUUUUCAUUCAACUUUCUAAUAAUAAUAAAAUAAUACAGAGGAGAAAUAGGGGCUCUCUUUCCGUUUCCCAGUGUUUGUGUUUGGUGAUUUUAACUUUAUCAUGGAAUUGUCAAUUUUUAGUUGAAAGUUAUCUAAAUCUUCUUCUCUAUAUAAGCGUUUACAAUGAUUUUGUGAAACACAGCAAAAACAAUAAUAAUAAGUAUAUUUAUUCAUCUAAGAGGUCAAACUCUCAUGCUCAGAUAUGGAUAGUCCCAUUUUUUGAUCAGGGACAUCUCUUUACAAGCGUUGAAUUAUGCAAGCAAAUCGCUCCUCAAAAUUACCAAUCUACCCUCAUCGUUACCUCUCAAGUACCCAUAACUAUAGUUACCCAUUACUCUCUUCGCCAAGGCACACAGAUUAAAGAAUGCUUAGGGUGAAGGCAGUAACUGUCCUGAAAUAUGACUUUUAAAUUUUUAUUUUUUUUUUACGAAAUUAGUUAAAAUGCCAUAUGUGUGAUCAAAGUUGUUAAAUAUCUUAUCUUUCAAAUUAUAGGAGUAAAUAUUCACCAAACACUUUAUAAUUUUUAGUCAAUGUUUAUGAAAACACGGCCGCAAAAUGGUUACUAAUGCUAGGGAUCAAUAAUCAAACUGAAGUUUGUACGAUGAUGGGCUUUCGUGUUUCAGUCAAAGAUGAAAUAAUUUGUCAAUAGUGGCCAUGUGGAACUUAAAACCAAGCAUCAAUUGUUGACAUAACAAAUGAAAUAACAAAAUGGCAGCGGGGUUGGCGAUACAAAAUCAAAUCUUUUUUAUUCUUUUGAUUUUUGAUUUUUUCUAUUGCAUUCUGCUUUCUUAAAAGUUUGGUCCAAUUAAAGAGAAUACGGAGCAAUGACUUGUAUCAUCUGUGGAAUAAUCCAUAGAAAUAUAUAUGUGAAGCACGCCAAAGAAAAUGGCGCUGAUGACAUACUCCUAAGAAUUGUUCAUACUGAGUCAUCCAUCAAUCAACGGGUGGAUUAUUAUCUCACUGUAGAUGAAAUUCAACUGCAGAAGUAAUCGGAUGUGGGAUCCCAAUUUUGGCGUGACCAAUUAGAGGUUAUCAAUAUUAUAAUGCGAAAUUGAUGAUCAAUCAUCUUAAUGUGGGGUACAUGAUUUCUGAUGAUCCAUCAAAAAUACAAAGUUGAUUCAAAAGGAUGAUACGGUGAGUGGAACAGACAGGCUGAUGGGAAAUCAAGCUAUUAAAAAACGAGCUCACAUGCUUCAUAUUGCAUUUGAUCAUGGCUGUCCUAGAAGUUCAGUGGCUGCUUCGGAUGCUUUCAAAGUUCUUAUUAACCAGAAAGCAGUUUAACAAAAACAAGUAUUGUGCAUAUUAUUAACCAUAUGCUUUCAAAGAUCAUGUAUAAGCAUAUCAGAGAUCUUGUUGGCUUGAAGAUCUUCUUUGGAUGCUUUCAAUACCUACACUUAUACUACCAUAUGUAAAGCCUUUGUUACUGAUUGCAUUCAAUUAUUCAAUUAAAAGUCUUACAAAGCAUCUAAAAUGGAAGAUGGAACAUCCUCCAUCCAAAAAACAAAACGGAAGUCAAAACGUUGAUAUUGUUUUAUGUUUAAUAUCAUGAUACUAGAACUUUUUAGGCUAAAGCACCUACCUGCUGUGAGCUUUACUACAAAAAAAUGAGACUAUUUAGUUGUGAGACAAAUAGAGAGGGAAAGUUUUUACCAUUUAGCUAAAUUUCGAUCUUAUGCAAAAUAAUAUAAUUCAUUUGUUAUUAUGACCUAACCAACUCAAAACAAAAAGGAUUAUUAUGGCCUAACACAGUUCAAAAUGCAUGCAACAAUGGUGUAUUUAAAAUGGAACUAAUGUACAAAUAAAAUUUAUGCAUCUCUUGGAGGAAGGCCUUUAGGCCAACAAAUGAAAAUAGUGAGCUCGCAUUUUCUAUUAUCAUUUUCACCACUUGAAAAAGAGAGGGAAAAAAAUUGAGAGGAAAAACAGGGCUCCCCUGUUUUCAUUUCCCAUUUUUUCAGUUUGGUAAUUGUAAAUAACAUUCUUUACUUCCCUCUUUAUUUUAUUUUUUUUUUAUUUUUAACUCAUUAAUUCUUUUUCUUAUUCUUGCUAAAGCGUUUAGUAAAUCUUAUGAUCAUCUGAUCAAAUCCCUAACAUUAACAUACCCAUAAUCUAUUAAUGAAAUUUAUUUAUUUUAUAAUCAUCAAAUUGAAGAUUUGUUCAAUUUUGUAUGGCGACCAAUUUUCAUUUUUCUAUUAAACAUAAGAAGAAUUUGUACAUAAUGUUCAGGUCGAAACUCGUAAUAACGACGCAUCAUUUUUCGACAGAACAAAUGAAAUAACAAAAAAGUAUAAAUCAAGUCAUUAUUGAUCCUACUUUGAUGAUCGAACUUUGGUUUCUUUCUAAGAUGCCAUUCCUCAUUCAAGCUCUUGCUUUUCUCUUUUAUCCGACAUCUUACAAAGCCUUGUCCCUACUAAUAAGCUCUGCAUAUCAAUAUUCUUUUCAAUUUCGCAGGAUACAAGUAAUGUAUAUGCCAAAAUUAUUCAAGCACAACAGGUAUUUAUUCGUUGAAAACUUUUAACUUGAUUAUUUCGUUAGAACAUAUGAAACGUAGAGCUAUAACUUAGUGCUCUCUUCAAAUUAACUGGGUUGAACAAAAAAUUUUAAAGUAUUUUACCCGAUCCAUUUCUUGUAUCUCACUGCAUGCUUUGUUAAAAGCUUCGUCUUUUGGUCUUGAUUCUGAACUUCAAAAAUUAAAUCUUAAGACUCGGGUAUAAAAUGGGUGCAUGAUUAAGUCUUCUUCUUUUCCAAUUCAUUGCUAUAACUCACACCAACAUUUUACUCAGACAUUCCUCUGCAGUUAACAGUGGUCUUUUACUCAUUAAAAUUUUUCUUAAUAAUUUCUUUGGAUACCCGUUCUCACUUAAUAUUCAAGGCGAAUAGAGAAGCUCAUCAACUCUUUGAUCCCAGACAAUUAAAGAAGUACACAUGUUCUAAAUCAUCUAAUAAUUUCUUUUAAUAGCUGUUCUUAAUUUCCAUCUACUUUGCAAGAAAAAAUUUAUCUUGUUUGUUUUCAUCUUGUCAUCUAUUUUGCUUGAGUUUUAAGUUAUUGUUCAUUUGUAAUGUCUGUGUUCUUAUUAUUAGCUUUGGAUAAUUUGCAUCCAUGUCUUUUCUUUGUUUGUGGGCUUUUAUUCAGACCCCCUGAAACCUUUCUGUUAAUAUAAAAACUCUAAUCCUUGAGCAAAAGGUUAAAAAAAGAAAAAGAAAGAAUUCUCUGUUUAGAUAUCAGUUGGGUUAAGAACAAUGUUGUUUGUCUCCUGUCUUUUCUUUGUUUGUUUGUUUGUUUAUUUUGUCAUUUUAUUAGAUUUGCUUUGUAUCUAAUUUUACUUGAAGAUUAAAGCUGAGCGAGAAAUGCCUUUUUUUUUUUUCUGAAGCAACCUACAAAUUUUAGAAUAGGGCCAAGAGUAUUAAAGAUUCAAUUAACCGCAAAAAGUUAUUUACAUGCAUCGCUUGCAAACUUAAGCUUAUCAUCCCAAAUUGAGUUGCUUGCAUUAGAAAUUUUCAUGCAUUCACGAGCAUUAUCAUCAUAUCACAAGAUAGCCUGAAAAACAAGAUAAAUCAAUUUGAGCAACAAGUUUCCUCUGUUUUCGUUCCUCUGUUUUCAUUCCCUGUUUAUUGAUAUUUUUUUUUUUUUUUGGCCUGAAAUUAAGAAGAAAAAAGUGGUAAAACAAGUCACCACUGUUUUUAUUCCCCUGUUUUUCGUGGAAAGAAUAAAUGAAAUUGAAAAAAAAAAAAGCAGCGUUGGCAAUACAACAUGAAACUUUAAAUUUUUAUUUUAUUUUUAUUUUUGAUUUUGAAUGUGCAUAAGUCAAAUCAUAUAUUAUUGAUCUUACUUCGAUUAUUUGCUGUUUAGUUUCUCUCUUAAAUGCUUUUUGUUUGUUUCCGGUAUUUGCUUUUAUAAAAGUUUUAGUCCUCAAUCAUUCGUUCAAGGAUUUGCUUUCUCUUUUAUUAGGCAUUUACAUUGCUCUGUCGAUCAAUAUUCAUUUGAAUUUCACAGUACACAAGCAAUGUAUAUACCAAAACUUAAUUAUUUCUUUAGAAUAUAUGAAAACGUAAGAGUUGUGAACUACUGCUUUCUUCUUCAACAUGCGUCAACAGGGCAACAAUAACCAAAUACAUGAUAUACAAAAGCGGUGCAUGACUAAUUCUUUUUCUUUUGCAGGUCAUUGUUAUUGCUCUCGUCAACUUCUUUUCUCACACAUUUCCCAGCAGUUACCAGUGAUCUUUUUUCUCCUUCAACUUGUUCUUACAUAUUAAAGGCGAAAUAGAAAAGCUCACCAACUCUCUAAUCCCAGAUAAUUAAAGAGGUGCACGUUUUCUAAAUCCUUUAACUUUUUUUUUUUUUUUUUUUAUAGUAGAACCCCUGAUCCUUGAUCUUGACAUUUGUUCCUUCAUAAUUUCCAUCUACUUUCCAAGAAAAAUUUCUCUGGUUUGUUUUAAUAUUAUAACUUAUUUUGCAUGAGUUUUAAGUUACUAUUCAUUGUUAAAGCUUGUGCUCUUAUUAUUUCCUUUGGUUAACUUGCAUGCUUUUCCCCAAAAAAAAGAAAAAAGUUUAUAAAAAGAUUAUAGGUUUUUACUCAGACCCUUGAAACCUUUCUGAUAAUACCAAAAACACUAAUCCUUUAACAAAAGAAAGCAAGAAAAAAAAAGGUCCUAUAUUUUAAUAUCUGUUGGCUUUGUAUUGAUAUUGCUUGUUUGUUGUCUUUUAUUUCAUUGUUUGUAUCUAAGUUUACUUGAAGAUUAAAGAUCAGUAGGAAAAGCCCUUUUUAUAAAGCUAACAUACACAUUUUAGAAUAGGGCUCAACCGCAUGAAAAUAUUUACAUUGUAGUAUCUCAUAUUAAUAAUCUAAAAAAAACCAAUCCAACAAGUUCAAAUUCACUGAAAUCUAAAAAAGAUUGCUUUUAAGGAGUACAUGAUAGCUAUUGAAUUUUGGUUAAAGAUCUUUUAGGCAGAAUUGAAAUUCACUCAGUCAUAAAUCAACCAAUCCAACGAGUUCAAGUGCAGAGUCAAUUGAACAAAUUCAUCACUUGCAGAAUUAAGCUUAUCUUCCGCAAUUGAGUUGUUUCCAUUAGAAAUUUUCCCGCAGUCACGAGACUAUCAUCAGAACAUGAUUAUUUAUAUAAGAACAAGAGUUAAGAGGAGAAAAAUAAGGCAAAACAAGAUUCUUCUGUUUUCAUUCCCUUUUUUUUUUUUUUGUUUGGUGGUUGAAAAAUUUUAUCUCUAAAUUUUUAUAAUUUUUCGUUAAAGUUUAUAUUUAAAUAAAGGGUUAAAAAAAUCUAGUUCUAAAUUUAUGCAUUGAAUGAUUAUUAUUAUUGGUUACGAUAUCAAUUAAAUAACAAAUAGAGCUACUAAUCACUUUGUUAAAAAUGAACAUGCGUUCUGUUUAUAUGACAGAGCAAAACACGGGGUGCACGCUUAAGUCUUGUUCUUUUACAGUUCAAUUGUAUUACUUACUCUCAUAAACUCUUUACUCACAUUCCUCUGCAGUUAACCGUGAUCUUUUGCUCAUUAAAAUUUUUCUUAUAUAUUCAAUGCCAAUAGUGAAGCUCAUAAACUCUGUGAUCCUGAAUAAUAAAAGAGGUGAACUUGUUCUAAAUGAUAGCUAUUCAACUUGGUUAAAGAUCUUUUAGAAAGAGUUCAAAUUCAGUCAAUCAUAACUCAACCUAUCCAACAACUCCAAGUCUAGAGUCGAUUGAGCAAGAUUCAUCACAUGCAAAAUUAAGCUUAUCAUACCCAAAUUGAGUUGUUUCGGUUAGAAAUUUUCCAGCAGCCAUAAGCAUCAUCAUUGUGUUUCCGUUAGGAAAUUGAGUUGCUUAUCAUACCCAAAAUAUUUAUAUAAGGACAAGAGUUAAGGAAAAGAUCCCUCAAGGAAAAGGUCCCUCUGUUUUCAUUCCCCUGUUCUUUCGUUUAGUGAUUGAAAAAUUUUAUAUCUAAAUUUUAUUAUUUUCCAUUGAGGUUCAUUUAAAACAGAAAAGAAUUAAAAAUGUAAUUCUAAAUUUACCCUAAUUCACGGAGUGAUUAUUAUUAUGUUAUCUCAAAAUUGGCCAUACGAAUUAAAUGACUAAUAGAGUUAUUGACAAUUUUGUUAAAAAUGAACAACCGAUAAGUCAUUAUCUUUUGCACUUCAUUCUUAUUACUCUCAUAAACAUUUUAAUCACAUUUCUCUGUAGUUAACAAUGAUCUUUACCCAUUAAAAUUGUUCUUACAUAUUCAUGGCAAAUGAAGAAGCUCAUCAACUCUGUGAUCCCAGAUUAUUAAAGAGGUGCACAUGUUCUAAACCCUUUAAUAGUUUCUUUUGAUACCAUAAUCUAAUCCUUGAUCUUGAUAAUAGUGCUUUCGCAACAUCCAAGUAAAAAUUUCUCUUGUUUGUCUUAAUCUUGUCAUUUAGGUUUCUCGACUUUUAAUUUAUUAUUCAUUGUUGACUUCUGUGUUCUUAAUAUUAGCAUUCGUUAACUUACUUAAAUCCAUCCUUUUCAACAGCCAGAAAAAUAUAUAUUGUUAAGCAACAGGAGAUGGCAGAAGUAUGUCUUGCUAUUUUUUCCUGCGUAUCAGAAGGUACAAAGACAUUGUCUGAACCGAUUAUAGGGCAGAUGUCUUAUGUGCUCAAGUGCCAGAGCUACAUAGAUGGGCUAAAAGACCGAGUAGAGGAGCUGGGACAAAGAAGAAAAAGGGUGGAAAUACUGGUUGAUCAGGCUCCUGGACAAGGAUAUAAGAUUUUUGGGGAUGUCACAGAGUGGCUAGGGAAAGUUGAGCAAUUCACUCAAGGGUAUGCAAAACACAUCAUUAAUGAUGAAGAUGAAGUUAGGAAGCCCUGCUUUAAAGGAUUGUCCCCAAAUUUGAUGUCUCGUUAUAAACUCAGUAAACGAGCAGUGAAGGCUGCAAAAUAUGCUGAAACUCUCUUGGCAACAGGCAACUUAUGGAUCAUGAGUAAUGUUUCCCACCCUCCUUCCCCAAAGAUGAGAGAAUUUGGCAACAUGAAAGAUUACGAUAUCUUUAAUUCGAGAAAGAAAAUAUUUCAAGAUGUUAUAGAGGCGUUGAAAGAUGAUAAGCUCAACAUAAUUGGGGUCUGCGGAAUGGGCGGCGUGGGUAAAACCACGCUAGUCAAGCAAAUUGCAAAGCAAGUUAUGGAAGAUAACGUGUUCGAUAAGGUCGUUAUGGCUGAGAUAACAAAGAACCCAGAUGCUCAAAAAAUUCAAGGAGAACUCGCUUCCGAUCUAGGCAUGAACUUUGACUCGAAUGAUCACAUAUACCACAGAGCAAAACAACUAUGUCAAAGAUUGAAGAAAGAGAAGCGAGUCCUCAUUAUAUUAGAUAAUAUUUGGACAAAACUUGAGUUGGACAAAAUUGGAAUUCCUUAUGGGGAUGUUGAUGAGAAAGAUAAAAAUGAUGAUCCGAGAAGAUGACGAUAAUAUUGACGUCUAGAAGUCGAGAUUUAUUGUGCAUUGAUAUGAAUUCUCAGAAAAUGUUCUGGAUCGAUGCUUUAUCAAAAGAAGAAGCAUUGCAGUUAUUUGAGAAGAUAGUGGGUGAUUCCACAAAAGCAUCUGAUUUUCGACCUUUAGCAGAAGAGAUUGUUGGAAAAUGCGGAGGAUUGCCUGUUGCACUGAGUACAGUUGCAAAUGCUCUGAAAAAUAAGAGUCUUGCCAUUUGGAAGGAUGCGUUGAAUAAGCUGACAAGUUCCAAUCUAAGAGAAAUUCAUGGUAUGGAUGCAGAUGUGUAUUCUUCUAUAAAAUUGAGUUACGACUUCUUGGAUGAUGAAGCAAAAUCUUUGUUCCUUCUUUGUGGUCUGCAC
rnacentral:lncRNA from 1 species